GCAUAUGUGAUCGAAGUUGCGAAAAUUCGAGUCUGAACGGACGACAAAGUUCUAACAUUUUUACUUAAAAUUUGACAUGUCACGAUCAAACUCUUGAUAUUUAUUCUCGAAGUUUGAUUUGCAAAGUCCCAACUACCAACAUUUAUGUUUGAAGUUUGGUUGGUCAAGACGGUUAGUAUUGUGGUGACUAACACAAUAAUGAUGGUGGUAAUUGCGGAAGUGAAUCGAUUUAAUGUUAGUAGUUGAUGGUUUGGUGGUGGAUGUCGCUGAAAAAUGUGUGGUGAUUGACGAUGACUGUUGGUGGAGGUAGUAGAUUUUGGGAAUUGGCCUUAAUGACGAUAAUGAUUGAUAGUAACAUCGGAGGUGGUGACAGAAAGUGUGCUAGCAUAAAUUAUUAUAAUAAUUGAUAUGUAAACAUGAUAGCACUAAGGGGUCGUUUAGUUGGAAAAGAGUUAUCAUGGUGGGAUAACUAUUCCAUCAUUAUGAUAUAAAUGGUGGGAUAAAUAAUCCCGAGACUAACUACUUCCUCCAGCCAAACACGGGAUAAAACAAUCUUGCAUUUUGUCCUUGGAUUAUUAUACCUUACACCUACUCCAAACAAUCCCUAAUAGUAGCAAUCGAUAGUGAUUAUGAUUAUUAAUGAUAGUUGUGAUGAUACAGAUGAUUGACGAUGAUGAUAGCGAUUACGACUGUUGACAUGGUUAGAGAUGGAGACCGAUAGAUAUGGAUAUACUAGUUGUGAAAGUUAUUUACAGAAAAUAUAUUUUAAUAAUAGUAUUUUGCAUCUUAAUUAUUUAUAUAUUUUAUAAGCAUAUUUAGUAUUUAAAUAUAUGUGAUGGUCCAAAUGGACUUUGAGUUUUUUAUUCUUAGUACUCUAUUCUAUUUCUUAAUAUUUUUUGUUGGGUAAAAUUCAGAAAUAGCUUACUUAUUCCCUUAAUUAUGAGUUUCAUAGCAACAGUUUCAUAAUUAUAUAAUAUAGCAAGUUGUAUUUUGUAUUUUUGAAAACUGUUUCUACAAAAAUACAAAUACAUAUGAUUUUUACUGCCCUUAUGAUCGAUAUGUAUUUUGUAUUUUCACAAACUGUUGCUACAAAAAGACAAAUACAUACAAAUACAUAUGCUACAAAAUGUAAUUUGAUAAAAGUGUUGUUAUUUUUUGUAAUUUAAUACUUAAGUAUGCUACUUUAUGUAUUUUUUUCCUAUUUUGUUUGGCCCACUGGCCAGUCCAAUCCAUAUUGCUCAAGCCCCAUGGACCAAAGGGCUUAUAUGGGCCGAGCUAAAAAGUCUUGUUCUCAAACGGGCUGUAAAAAUCGUAGCCUAGCCCUAUCAAAUUACAGGUUAGAUUGGUCCAAACCAAUGGGCCUCUAGUUAAAAGAAUGAAAUUCUAGGUUUUAUUCAAUUCGUUCUAGGUACUUACAUGAUUACUCUUUCUUAACAUUUUCAUAUAUUAGCAACAUGUAGUUUGAAGUUCACAUAAAAAUUGGAUUGUGACUUUGUAUCUUUCAUAAAAUAGUCAAGUUAUGACAUGUUUUUAAUUGAGUUUUAAAAUGAAUUGUAAUAAUAUAGAAUGAAAUUAAUAGAAAUUAAUAAACAUAAAGAUCACUAAUAAACAGAAAGAUCAUUAAUAGAAAUUAUUGCAAAGUACAUAUAAUAUGUACCAUUAUUGAAACAAAUAACAAAAAUGCAAAAUGAAAGCAUACUUAAAUAGAGUGAAUUUAUAUAUAGACUCACUUCAUUAUAUAGAACUUCGAUAAAUAAUAUUAUACGAAGAUAAUUUAUUAAUCCAUUUAAGAAGGAGUAAACUAGAUAUCUGCAUCUUCUGAUGGAGACUGUGAGGAGGACGAAGCUUCAGCUAAUUGAUCCUUCAACAUAAUUUCUCCCACAUCUAACCAAGCUUGAAACUUCAUUACAUCAUCUGCAUUUAAAUGAUCAAUGGACUCCCACCGACCUUUCUCUCUAAUCUUAUUCUUUUGAGAUAAGGAAAAGAGUCUCUCUUUUGCAAUUUCUUCUCUUUUAUCAAGUUCAUUUAGCCUAUCAUUAAGUUGAUUCACUUUAUUACGUGAAUUUUUAGCAACAAUUUGUUCACCUAAAUCUGUUUUCGAAUUUAUAAAACGAUCAAUGAUUGCAUUUUGUGUUGGGUGGACAAAAGCAUAUGCUUUAUCAGCUGGUGAAGAUAGAAAGAUUCCCAGAUCGACAUCAUUUUCUCUAACGAGUUCGCUAGCUUUUUUAUAUAAGCCAGAACGUCGUUUAGAGAAUGCUGAAUAUCGAUUAGCAUCUUUUUCUAUCCUCACCAAUGGAAUUUUUUGGCGUCCUGUUGUUUUCUUACGCUCCAUUCAAGAAAUGUGACUUACAAAAAAAAAUGAAAUAUGCUGAAUAUUUAUAUACAUAUUAUUCAUAAUGAUCAUUAAAUUUCUAUCCAAAUAUCACAAUGGAAAGUAAUCUUUUCUUCUUGAAAAUUAUAGUAGAAAAAUUUUAUUCAAUUUGAUACUCAUAAUCUGAGUUUUAUAGUAACAUCAAUGUGAAAUUAGGGGGGGGUGGGGGAAUUGAAAAUUUUUGUAAGUUGACUAUUGACUCCUCACAGUCGAAAUUCCUGCCGAUCAGUAUACUUCACAAAACAGAUUAGAUUUUAAACAAACAGACAAGUAAAUAGUUGACUUUAAAGAGAAAAUACAAAGAUUUAUCCUAGUUUGGAAUACCAAUGUGGUUCCUACUUCCAGUCCCAUUGGGUUUCAACGUUUUCUUAGAUCUUUCAAUGUCGAGCUCGAGUACAAUGAUGAGAAACAAGUUCCGUAGAAUUAUUUUAUUCUUCACAUCUUGUGGCACAACUUCAGCUUGUUUACUUAUUAGUUUAUCAUUAUAAAAACAUAAACAUAAAUAUAGGAGGCUAAAAAUCUCUCCCUUUUUUAUAAUGACAAACAAUUAUUUAAACAUCAGUUGACUUCCCUGUUGUAGUAGUCGACUUGCUCCUUUUGAGAUUUCUUUGUAUCAUUUGACUCUUAUCCAUUGAUAGUCGAUUUUCUCCCCCUGACUUUAAGCCCUUCUGAUGUUCCUGUCUUUCUCCCCCUUUUGGCAUAAUAAAAGAAUAGGAAAUCAUACAUCCAAAAAAAUAUGGACAUAGCACAGAAAUAUGUAGAUUAAUUAUCAAGAACUCAGGUAAAAACAAGGAAGUGUGGUAGAUAGUGUGUAUAAAAAACAUCUUACAACCCAACAAAAAUAAGGGACAGGACCCCCUUUUGAAUAAACAAUCAUCAUUCACAACAUAGCUAGAAAAUAUGUUAGGUUAUUGUGCAUAUUAUGGCUGAAUUUGUCAUAGGAUUUCUCAAUAUUUUUAAAGAAUGAGGAAUAAGAGUUCUAACCAGAAACAAUAAGAUCGUCAUUAAAGGAGGUGACUUGGAACUUGAGGGAGACCAUAGGAGUGAAUACUCGAGUAAACAACUUGAUGCCUUCCUGUUUGAACUCGUCGAGUGCCAACCGAACCACACCUAUAUCAGUGCUGGUGCUUUUUUCAACAUCCAAAAGUUUGGAAGUCGACUCCUAGAGCAUCAUAACACCUUCCUCAACGGCUUUGAACCGAUCUUUGAUUUCCUCCAGUUCCUUCAUCACAGCAAUAGAGGGGUUAGACUUACUUACCUUUGGGAGUUCAUAUUUUGCACGGGCAGAAUCGUUCUUGUACCAUUCAUCUUCAACCAAAACAUAGCCCAUACUGACAAAAGUUUUGGAGUCAUAAGUAGCCACAACUUCCACUAAAGGGUAAGUAGAGAGAUCAAUUGUGUAAUACAGAAGAAUCCAAGUAAUGAGCAGGCCAUACGGUAAACUGGCGAAAGCAUGAACAUCUGUUGCACUCUCAAGCAUGUACUCAUGAAUCCAAGUUGCCCAAUUGAUUUUGAGUUUCUUAAUCAGACAAUACAACACAAAGACAUCACAACAUGUAAUUUUGCUAAGGGAUCCUUUCCAAGGAAUCAAUGUGGUAGCAAUUAUAUGGGCCAGGAUGCGAAACUUAAAACACAGGGAGGGGACCAAAAUUGGUCGAAAUAGAGUCAGGGUCAGACAGGACCUUUUUGGCUUCUUCAGAGCUGGCCUCAAAAUCUUUGGGAAAAUUACCAUUUAUGAAGGAGAUUGCACUAUAAAACUUUGUAUCAAAAGCAUUUUCGAACAUAAAAUAAUUCAAAAAAAUUCUUGUGCCAUGCACCAGAGUCUCAAGUUCACCACUAUCAGGAAAGAGGCAGAGAUUCACAUAAAACAUACAAAAUGGAUCCUUAUAAACCAAAACUCCACAGGGAUGAAAAACCAGGGACAAAUCUUGAAACUUAAAGAAGUGACUGACAUUACAGUAUGUAUCUUUCAAUUGAAGGAGAUUGAUAAUGCGACCUGGUGUAACCGGGUGAGUUUUAAAGACAAAUAAUUUGUCUUUGUGAGAGCAUGUCCAGAACGUGUGCAUGUGUUCUGGAAGAAGGGAGUUUAGAGAUUUUGUACGAGGUUUCUUGGAAAAGGGAGCUACGUUGAAAGUAGGACGAAGUCUCUUGAUGAGAGUUGACUAAGAGUCCGAUGAAGAUUCAUCAUAGGAAUUGGAGAGGAGAAAAGGACUAUUGGAGAGGUUUUUGGGAAGGAGAUUUGGACAUAUUUUCCAUAGAAUGAGUUCUGGUUAUGAGAGAAGAGGGAAGAUGAAUUUUAAAGGGGCAAAGAGGGAUAAGAGGGAAUGGUUAAGAGGACUGAGGAAGAGAAGGGGCAUGUACACAACUUUUGGAAAAUAUAAGAGAGUAACUAUGUCAUGCAGGACCUUGGUUGGAGAUGACAUGCUAUAGGACCUAAUUUGCUGAGCAUUAGAUACUAUAGCCAAAGAGUGAUCCUGUUGUUGAAAUGCAAGAUCUUGAUUGAUGUCCUCAUAUUGCUCCAAGGUAUCACGUACUAUCAUUCCAUCAUGAGUUCCAUAUUUAUUCUAUUCUGGUGAAAAAAAUUCUUCAUAAUUAUCUUUAUUUUUAUCUACAACCACAUCCCCGGUAGCAUCCGAGUCUGCAUUUUUGUCAGCACUAUCACUUACUAUCAUUCCACCAUGAAUGCCAUCUUUAUCAUGUUUGGUUGACAAAAAUUCAUCUUUAUUUAGAGCUUCAGUAACAUCCCUCUUUCCCACCCAAUUUCUUGUUUCAUUACCUUUUGGUUGGUUACUAUCAAUGGGGUGCUUCAUUGGGACUGAAACUUUAGUGCUUAACUCCACCACAUUUUGAUUAACAUCUUCAUGUGAUAUGUCUCCUCUGUUGUUCCCUCAUUUUCAUUUGUUGAAUUAGUUAACUAUUACACCUAACAUCUUCAUUGUUUUCCCCCUCCUCAUCGUUGACAGUCUCUAAAGCUGCAUACUGGUUGUGUGAUCCAAUUUUUGUGCUAUUAUUUUUCAUUUGUGGAUCCUGUGGAUUAACUUUGUUCUUCCCUUUCUUAUUUUCAACUUCAUUCCAAUCACCGGGGUUUCCCACUAUCUUUUCACUAGUUAGUCUCCUAGGAAAAGAACCAGUGGGUUGGGAUUGUUGCAUAUUUCCCCCUUUCACUUGGCUAGAUUUUUUAUUAUCACCAUGUAAUUGUUUAUUAUCCCUAUCAGUUUUGUUUCUACAAUUAGCCCCCAUAUACAAUCCUGCUUCCAUCUUAUAGCCCUCUUUCGAGAUUUCGAGAUUGCUAGUUCAGGAUGAAUUACCCUACACUCAUACAUGUUAUGGCCUUGGAGUUCGCAUUCUUUGUUAUAUUUGGGAAAGUAAUCAUACUGAAUAUUAACUUUGAUUGUUCUUAUAACACCCGGAGCUUCAUCUUCAAUAUCCAUUCUCACAUGAUCAGGUAAAUUGGCCAUUUAAUCAACUAGACCUUAACUUUGGCACAACUAGGCCUAGUUUUAUUAAUUGUGGCCAUAUCUAAAUGAAUAGGAGUUCCUACUACCGAUGCUAAGGAGAAUAAAGACUCCUUGACAAAAUAGAUUGGUAGCAAGUUGGGAAAUGAUAUCGAAGCCACAGCCAUCGUAGUCUCCUCUUCCACAAUAAAUUUGGAGUCAUAUAUCAACGGUCUCAUUUGAUAGGAGGCACCAUCUUUAGACUUGAUGUAGAAAGCAACCUUCGGUGUAAUAUUAAUGAAAUCUUCUUUAAGGGACAAUCUAAUUAGAAUAUGCCUAUUUAUGAAAUAACCAAUCUGUCGGUCACCUUUGAUGUUACAUUGCACAGGAAUAGCUGUACGCAACUCCUCCAGAUCCAGCCAACCAUAUGAAAAAUUUCCCACAAUAGCAUGUUGCAGAUUUUCAAUUAUGUUCAUUGUGGCAAACUUCAGAUUCAGACCAUUUGAUGUAUGGCUCACUGUGUAACAUUAUAAUAGGUUUAAUAGCAAUUGAAGCACAUCACUUUUAGCACAUGCCUGCAUGUUAUUCAAAGUUGUAGAUUUCAAGAGUUUUGAGUAACCAAGAGUGGAAGUUACUGUGGGUGGGGUGGUGGGUAUUUUGGGUGGCGCGGCUAAGAGGGUAUGGUCAACCAUUGCCGUCGAUGAUUGACCAGUGGCUUGGUGGUUUCCGAUGAGAAAUCUAUUAGGGAAAAAUCGUGGAAAUUGUUUCUCAGAAACUAAUUGUAGUUUAUUAGCAAGUUGAUGAUAAUUUAAUUAGCAAGUGAAAUAUCACUAUCGUUCGUGUAAGAAAAGGGAACAACUGAUAGUUGAUCACUGAUCUUUGCUCCAUAUAUGUGCUCCUUUAUUUACGCCUACAAUCAAGCUAAUGUAAUAUUAAUAUUUUCUCACCCUCUCCUAUUUGCGUCACUUUUAUAAUUUAAAUUGAAGUACACUUUCUAUUAACAUAAUAAAGAAAAUUGAAUCAUUCUUUUUCCUUAUUAUCGUGUUGCCAAUGUAAUAUUACAAUAACACUAGUUUUUUCUUAAAAUUAUUAAAAUCUUGUAGAUAAUUAAUGUAUAAGGUGAAUAUUUAUAUGUAUAAUGUGAUAUUAUACAUUUUGGAAGAUUAUAUUUUAAUGUAUAAGUUAUAAUAUAUCAGGCAUUAUACAUUAGUUAUUUUUGGAAGACUAAUGUAUAAUAUAAUUCUUCUACUAUAUCUUCCAUUAUGUUAUACAUUAAGAAGUUCUUAUUACAUUUAAAAGGACAUUUUAAGUAUUAUUUGGUAUUAUAUAAUUAAAAAGUAUUAAUAUUGUAUAAGGUAACACCUUCUGAUAAGGAUACAGAAGUAUACAUGUUUAAUGUUAAUACUUAAAUGUAUAGUAUGACAUUAUACAUUACUACAGAUUAUUUUUUAAAUGUAUAGUAUUGUAUACUGUUGUUAUCUUUUAAAUUUCAACUUAUCCGUUAUUUGCAUUGAUUCAAUAAAUAGAUCACAUAUUGAAUAAUAAAACUAAAUAUAUCAACUGUAUUUGGAUAUAUAUUAUUCUCAUUUAACUAUUUUGUUAACUGGUGUUUAUUUUUUUCAUGGAUUUUAAAUUAUUUACAAUAAAUUUAUAUGAUUCCGUGAAUGAAAGAUUAUUUCUUUUGUCAAAACAUACUUUGAAAAUUAAUUUUCUAGGAACUUAAUGGAUCAUAUCAGUGUGAACGCAAAUAAUCCAUACGUAUUAAUAUUACUCCUACUAAAGUAAAGGAAAGAGAAUGAAAAACAAAUACUCCCACUAGAUUUUAUAUUAUUUUAUGUUGUUACAUAAUUUUCAAAAAUGUUUUAAUUGUUUAUGUAAUUUAUUACUACUAAAAAUAGUAUAAGAAGAAACUAAUAAGACUUUUUUAUCUGUUAAAAUCAAUAAGCAACAUAAAAUAUUGCAAAUAAGAACAAUUAAUAGAAUGUUUAAGAAUUUUUUUGAAUUUAAAUUUCAGUUACUAUAUUUAAUUAUACACCACAUAAUGAUAGGUAAUUAAUUUCGUUAAUUAAGAUAGAGAAAGAUAGUAUCUGAUUUCUUUGUCAUAAAUAUAAGCAAAUUUGUUUUAUCAUAUAUUGCAGCAAUGUAUAAGGGCCUACCUACUGUGUAAGUAUAUUUUACAAAUUAGGGAGAGAGAAAGACUAAAGGGAUUAUAUGUAAAUACUUUUACUAUAGAAGGGAUUUAUGUGGUUUAUACUACAAUAAAUAUGGCACCUAGCCCAUCUUACUCAUAUAUUUCAAUAUUACUAAUCUCAUAUACACCAUAUGUAUACAUGAAACACGGUUAAAGUAACUCUAAUAACAACAUUGUCACAAACCAAUGUGAGUUCCCAUCAAAAUGUAUCCUAUCAUGAUCAUAGUUGAAUUGAUUCAAUAGGAGAUAAACGAAAGAAUUCGUGUUUUAUUUUGAAUAAUCUAUAUUCCAAUAAAUAAUAGAAUAGAGAAAUUACUCAUUUACUUAGUAGGCUUUUCUCCAUGAGAAUUCUUUCACUUUAUUCCGAAAAAUUAUUUCACUUUAUGGAAAAAAGUGAAAAAUAGUAGUAUUUCUCCAUUAGAAUUAUUUCACUUUGCUAUUUCUGUCGCAAAAUUUCAAAAACAACUCCACUUUAUAUUCAUGUCCAAACACAAUACCGAAUCUUACUCAAAAAAAAUAUUAUUUUCAAGACCAAACGGGGCCUUAUUUACAAUCAACAACACUAAUUCUACCAAUAGCUUCAUUUACAAUGAUCCAAUUUGCCAUUUCCAUAAACAGGACUCACAAAUAUAAUUUGGGCUAUGUUUCAUCUAUGUGGCCCUAAUCUAAUAAGCCCAAAAAUGAAAGGGACAAGUGUACAAAUAACUGAUUUGGACUAUCAUUUAAAUCAUAAUGAUUAUACAUAAAAAAAAAUUUGUAAAUUUAGCCGCUUCAAAACUAAAUUAAGGCAUAUGAGAUCGAAGUUGCAAAAAUUUGAGUCUGAAUGGAACAUUUUUACUUAAAAUUGGCUUGUCACGAUCAAACUUUUGAUAUUUGGUUUGCAAAGGCCCAACUACCAACAUUUAUGUCUCAGGUUUGGUUGGUUAAGAUGAUUGAUGUUAUAGCGAUUAACACAAUAAUAAUGAUUGUGAUUGUGACGGUGAAUUGGUUUGAUGUUACUAGUAGAUGGUUUGGCGGUGAAUGUUGCUGAAAAAUGUAUGGUGGUUGACGAUGAGAGUUGGUGAAGGUAGCAGGUAUUAGGAAUUGAUCUCUGGCGAUAGUGACUGAUAGUAAUACCGGAGGUGGCGACAUAAAGUGUGAUAGCAUAAAUAAUUGUAAUAAUUGAUAUGUAAACAUGAUAGCACUAGGGGGUCGUUUGAUUGGGAAGAGUUAUCCCACGAUUAGUUAUUCCACUAUGUACAUGCUAUGAUAUAAAUAGUGAGAUAAAUAAUUUUGGGACUAACUAAUAACUCUAACCAAACAUGAGAUAAAACCAUCCUGCCUUUUAUAACUUAUACCCCACACCAAACGAUCCCGAACAAUAGUAAUCGAUAAUGAAUAUCAAUAACAGUUGUGAUGACAGAAAUGACUGACGAUGAUGGCAUUGAUUAUGAUGACUAAUGUAGUUAGUGAUAGAGACCGGUUGAUGUGAGUAUAGUAGUUGUGAAAAUUAUUUACAAAAAAAAUAUAUAUUAACAAUAUGAAGAAGACUCGGAGGUCGUUUGGUUGGAAACAAAUUAUUCCGAGAUUAAUUAUUAUAUGAGAUAAACCUAUCCAUUACUUUACUAUGAUAUAAAUGUUGCAAUUAUUACAAAACUAACUAAUACUAUCUUCAACCAAAUACAAAAUAAAAUAAUUUUGCAUUUUAUAUCGAAACUUUAAUAGUAACAUAAACAAACAAGGCAUAAGUUAAAAGAUCCAAAUGAUGAAAAAUACAAAUGGCAAAAUGACCUUCUGGAUCCCUGUACUAUGUCAGUUUUGUAAAUUGGACACUUCUACUUACAUGUUUAUCAUCUGGAUCCCUGAAUCCAUUAAAAAGCAACAUUUUAAAUCUUUUUUGGUGAGUGUAACACACUCUCCCCCACGUCAGUUGCCAGUCAGCUGCCACAUCUGUCAUGUCAUCUGCCAUGUCUAUUUUUUUUUUUUAAAUAUUACAAUAAAUUCCAAGUCAUUUUUAAAAUACUACAUAACAAAUGAAAUAUAAAAAUUAAUUUAAUUAAAUAAGAAAAAUUUAUAAAUUUUAAAAAAAUUUGAAUAAUCAUGUUUUUAUUUUUUUCUCACAAAUUAAACAUCAAAUCCAUUCCAAAUAAUUAAAAUUCUUCUCCAACUAAUUUAAAUUUUUAACUAUAAACUCAUAUAUACAAACAUAAUAAUUUUUUUGAUUUUUAAAUUUGAAUAUUUUUAACAAAUUCACAACAAGUUUAAUUUUUUUCAAGCGAAAUUCACUAUUUUUUUCAAUAGUCACUAUCACUCACUUUCAAUUUAAAUUUAAAUUUUAAUGCCCAAAAAAAUAAAAAGAUUUCAAAUUUAAAUUUAAAUUGAAAAAAUGAAAAGAAUUGAAUUGAGAGAAAAAAAUAAAAUAAAAAAUAAAAAGUGAACGUGUGGGGGGAGGGGAGGGGGAUAGAAGAGUGUUAGGGUGAGGUGGGGGGCUGGAGGGGNNNNNNNNNNNNNNNNNNNNNNNNNNNNNNNNNNNNNNNNNNNNNNNNNNNNNNNNNNNNNNNNNNNNNNNNNNNNNNNNNNNNNNNNNNNNNNGGGGGGGUGGGAGGGGGUGGAGCCGGUCUGGGGUGGGGGUGGGAAAAGGCGGGACGGGUGUUGGGGUAGGGUGGGGUGGGACAGAGCUGCGUGGGGUAUGGGGGUGGGGAGGAAAAAAUAUGUUUUUAUUUUUUAAAAAUUUUUAAAAAUAUUUUUAAAUUAUUGUUAAAUUUUUAAAAAUAUAUUUAAAUUGAAAAAGAUGGAGGGAAAAAAAGGACUCUUUUUUAUUUUUUUUUUUAAAAUUUUUAAAAAUAUUUUAAAAUUAUUUUUAAACUUUUAAAAAUAUUUUUAAAUCUAAAAAGAUGGAGGGAAAAAAAGACCCUUUUUAUUAUUUUUUUAAAUUUUAAUAUUUUUUAAAAUUAUUUUAAUAUAAAAUUUUUCAAAAAUUGACCCCCACUCGCAACCCUAGGCGAGUGGCUACACUCUCUUUGUCCUAGUCACCAUGACCUUAUCACAUAGGCAAGGUCAACGAUCAAAGGGUACAAAAUAUUGUUUCUUGAUGGGUUCAAGGGUCCAGAUGACAAACAUGUAAGUAGAAGUGUUCAACUUACAAAAUUGACAUAGUAUAGGGGUUCAGAAGGUCAUUUUCCCUCAGGUAAGAAAUACACCAUAAAAAACCCCCCUAAUUUUUCUCCAUUUUUUUUACCUUUUAUUUACUACAAUUAUGCAAAUUAAUUCUUUUUUUUAUAUAAUCAUUUUGUCGUGUUUAUUUGUUAAAUUAUCAAUUGUAUUUGUUCAUAUUUUGUUUGAGAUUUUGAUUUUUUUCUUUUAAUAGAAAUUUUAUGUGAAGAUUUUUUUUCUAGCUAUUAAUUCACUAUUAGUGUAGUAUUGGUAAAGUUGCCCAUCAAUAAUUUAGCAAUUAGUAUUGUUUUUCUGAGUUUCGUACCUGAACUAUUAUGUGUGCGAGUUUCCUAUGUUUCUAUAUCCAAUUAUUUAUAAAAAUACAACUCAACUUUAGGUAUGUUUUAUAAAUAGUUGAGAAAAUUGAAAGAAAGGUGUCUUUUAAGUCUUGAAUGAAGGAUUGAUGACAUUGACCAACUUAAAUGAAGGAUUGGUGACAUUGACCAACUUAAAGGGUCAAACAUUAUUAGAAAACUUGAUUAAAUUAAUUGUGGACUUGAUUAAUAUUUUCAAAACUUUCUAAUCUUUUCAAAAAUACAAAUCAACCUAACUCACACCCUUCUUCAAUCCAAAUCAACCAGUCUCUCUCCUCUCUCUCGACAACUUCUCUCAAUUCUCUCCCAAUCAAUAGUUCGACAAAUUUCUCCUUUCAAUCCUCGGCGACCUCAACAUCCGAUGAUAAAUAGUUGGGCUUCAAGUUCCUUUUUGACUUCAACCUUUAAUCGACGUGACAGCCUUACUCUCCGGCCACAACAUCUUUGAAUUCUUCAGUCUUCAACUGGCGUGACAACCUUGCUCUCCAGCCACAACAACUUUGAAUUCAUCAUCGUUCCUUUUCUUCUUUCACAGGUAAAAAUUUAUGGUCUUUUUAGUUUUGAAGAAAACGAGGAACUUGAGCCAACUUCUCUUAUAGUAUUGGUUAACAAUUUCAAUAUUUGUUGCUUUAAUUUGAAAUGCGGUCUCAAUAAAAUCCUAAUUUCUGGUAUUUCUUCUCUUCUCUUUUCGAAGUGAAUUAUGAUUUUUUGUUGUUUAUUUUUUUUUUAAGUUUGAUUUUUGUUGUUUGUGUUUAUAAAAAUAAAACAAUGAUUUGGGUUGAUUUGUUCAGUUCUUGUUCUUAGUAAAAAUGGUGAUAUUUCUGUUUUAUGUUGAACAAAAUCGUGCUACUAUUUUUUGUUUUAUCCAACAGAUUAUCCAUCUGGUGCAAUAUAUUAACCAUCUGAUGCAACGGAUUUGUCAGAUGAUGAAACAGAUCAACAUCUAAUGCACCAGAGGAACCAUAAGAUUACAAUUCUGAUGCAAUAGAUUAAUCAUCUGAUACAAAAGAUUUAGCAUAUGAUACAACAGUUUAACUAUCUGAUGUAACAGAUUAAAGCAUCGGAUAAAAAAUCUGAUGCAACUGAUUAACCAUCUAGUGCAACAGAAGAACCAUCAAAUUAAUGAUCUGAUGCAAUAGAUAAACCUCCAGUUGGAUAAAAUCCUAUCAACUCUUCCAACAGGUCAUGUCUAAGACAUGAUUUUUCCAACUGAUCAUUCAUCUGCCGCUAUAGAUGACCCUAUGCUGAAAGAAAUCUAAAUAAUAUUGACCGUUGAUAAGUGUUCCAACAGAUCACUCAUAUGUUGCAACAGAUGUGUGAUCUGUUGCACAGACCAUUCAUCUUUCUCAAUGGAUAAGUGAUAUGUUUUGUAUUAUCGCAACAGAUUACUCAGCCAUUGCAGCAGGUUAGUUAACUGUUCCAACAGAUCACUCAUAUGUUGCAACAGAUGUGUGAUCUGUUGCACAGACCAUUCAUCUUUCUCAACAGAUGAGUGAUAUAUUUAGUAUUGUCAUAACAGAUUACUCAGUCGUUGCUAUAGGUUAUUUAACUGUUCCAACAGAUCACUUAUAUGUUGCAACAGAUGAUGUUGCAAUAGAUGUGUGAUCUACUGCAUAGACCGUUCAUUUUUCUCAACAAAUGAGUAAUAUGUUUUGUAUUGUUGCAACAGAUUAUCUGUUGCAACAUGUUAUUUAACUAUUCCAACAGAUCACUCAUGUUGCAAUAAUGUGUGAUCUGUUGCACAAACUAUUCAUCUGUCUUAAAAGAUGAGUGAUACAUUUUUUAUUAUUGCAACAGAUUGCUCAUCCACUGCAAUAGGUUUGUUACAUGCUGCAAUAGAUAUACUACCUGGUGCAACAGAUAAAUGAUCUGUUGGAACUGUUAUUUUACUGUUUUAUUUGUUAGAUUUACUGCUAUCCUUUUUAGCGAUGCAUUAAUCAACUAUAAUAUGUUUUUUAUGUUUCUAUUAAUUUUAAAUAAUAUAGCUCCCAAAAGAAUAGAAACUGAAUCAAGUCCAACUAAAGGAACAAGUGAAGCAACUAGGCUACAUCCACCACUCUAUGAACUUCCUUUACAAGCAUUAUCUUAAUAAGGAGCAGAAUAUGAUGAAUAUGGGGAGGAGGAAUGUUUCAAAAGAGAUGAUCUAAAUGCUAAUAACCCUUCUGUCGAAGAGUUGGUCAAAACCUUCAGCAUUGAUCGUUAUCCUGUGAGAAUACAGUGCGAUAGUGCCAUAAAUUUAAUGGGUGAUUUCGUUGUUAAGUCAGCCAUGGAAAAAUCUUUUGACGCCUUGAGAAAAAUACUUCGAGAACAAAAAUUGAAUGCUUAUUUUACGGACAGUUGCUUUGGGAAAUAUUUUGAUUUGCCGGAGGACAACAAUGCUCGUUUCUAAAUAAAAAUGGUAUAUUAACUUCUCAAGCGUAGGUUUAUGUAUGAAAACAAAGAUAAGAUGGAUGAGGUAUGGAUAAAUUACUAUGGCAUGCCUAUUUGUUUUGGGUGGAAGGAGUUUUUUUAUAGAUACUGGACUAAAAUGUUAUCCUCCUUCUCAAGUUAUACCUAUUCUAACUCAAGAAAUCACCCCGCACACCCAAAAAAGACAAAGACAAGUCGUGUAAUCGUGAUGACCUGGUGUCCAUUGUUGGUCCAAGAUUCAAAAACAAAAAUUUGAUAGAAGCGUUGAAAGGUAAAGAACUUUAAAAGAAGCAUAAACAGUCAUUGUGCGUGGUUUGGUUUGGUUUGUACAUAAUAUUCUUUGGGCGAGAGACGUUAACAACAACAUAAGCGUUGGUUUAAUAAAGAUCUUCGAGGAUCUUGAGGCAUUUAACAGCUAUCUUGGGGUUAUGAAAGCUUUAAAAAGACUGUACAAUAUUUGUUGACUCCGUUAGCGCCAAAGAAGUCAACUUAUAUGGCUUUCCAUAAGCUUUCAUGGUAAAUGUUUUCUUCUUUUAUUAUGAUAUCAUUUAUUUUUUUACUCAAUAAUGUUUUUGAUUAAUUGGCGUUAUUUUAUAGGCUUGGGCAUUUGAAGUCAUUCCUUAUUUGAGACAAUAAGUGAACUAUCAGGAAGAAGUUUCCUGUCGAAGAAUCUUGAGAUGGUUGUCGGCCAAAACUGAUAAAAAUAUAAAAUUUUUAGAUUUCUUCAACCCUCCGAAGGAUGCAGUAAUUAUAAUUAUAAUUAAGUUUUUAUUUUAAUUAAGGAUUUUUUUGAAUGAUCUAAUCAUCAUUCUAAUAAAUGUAAUGAUUUAUGUUAGAUUGUGUAUCCGUCGCUAGUUCCGACCAAUCGCGAGUUACAUAUGCCAUUUUUUCUUAAUUUACGAUCUGUGAAAAAUUUAUCGGACCCUAAGGUCAUCGACAGAAUAAAAAUUGAAUUGUUUGGAGCAACAACCAUUACAGAUUUUGCCUCUCCCAGCGAAUGUUCUGCAUUCAAUGUUAAGACUACAAGGCUAAACAUAAUGUAGUGGUUAAUGCUAUUAAUGCAUUAACUGCUUUUGUAAAGGAAUUGACAUCUAAGUGGGGUGUCAUUCCAUCAAAGAGGAUUUUAUUUCCAUCCACUCCAUUAGAGAUUAAGUCUUAGAGGAGAAAGAAAGUGAUUUCCAAGGCAUUAUCAAGCAUUCAAAAAAGCAAAAUUGCAACUCCUAUGUCCAUGUGUUGCACUGAGCAAUGUAAAAUGUCCAAAGGAGAGCUGCAUGAUCUGAACAAGGUGAAGCUGCAUGAUUUGAACAAGGUGAAUAUAUAUGUCUUCCAACUAACAAGUAGACACAUUUCUAUUUUAACAGAUGAUACAUCUGCUAAAAAUUAUCACACAGAUAUAUACAUCUGUUACUAACUUGUUGCACUAGAUAAAGUACCUAUUGCGACGUAUGUCUCAUCUGUUUUAUCAAAUUAAAUAGCUCUUCGUACUGCUUUUAUUUGUAUCAACAGAUGACCUAUCUGCUGCAACAGAUGAGUUAUAUGUUGCAACAUAUGGUUCAUCCGUUGGAAAUUAUCAUACAUGUCUUCCUCUUUUAGAAUUUUACCCAACAAUUGAUUCAUUAUUGCAACAGAAAUAUAAUCUAUUUGGGACAAUUUAAAAUAGGAGGAAGACCUGUUUGAUUUGCUAAACAGAUGAGUUAUCCAUUUCUAUUUUGUUGUAUCUCUGUGAUUAGCAUUGACCAAUUUUGGAUUUCCAGGUGGACGUAGAAGCUACUGCAGAAAAACAUUGACAAUAUGCUACUCUACUCUUUUUAUGGAAAUACGAAGAAUAAAAAGCGUAGAAACCGUACGUAAGCGACAAUAAAGAUCCACAAUGAACAAAGCCAAAUUCAAUAGCAUCGAAUGAAGAACAACUUGUCCAUAUUGAAUUGAUCUUUAUAGCUUGAGUCUGUCAAAGUAAUAACCUCACCCCUCAUUAGGAAUCCUUGACAUCAAUACUUAAAUUGCUGAUGUAUUUGUUGAGAUCUGUACCGGUAACAAUUUUUUUAUAUUUUAUUUAUUCGUUGAUUUUAUUUCAGCUAAUUUCUUAAGGCUUCGAUUUAUUUUAUUUUGUCUAUGAAUUUUAUUUUUUCCUUAGAUUUGAACUUAUUACUUGAAACGGAAUACUAGAUUCAAAUAUUGCAACUGAUAAUGUAUCUGCUGCAACAGACGACACAUCUGUUGGAAAAUAUCAAAUAUAUUUGACAUAUGUUGCAACAGGUAGGUAAUCUGUUGGAAUUUUUCAAACAGGUCUUUCCAUUGCUGCAAUAGAUAGACUUAGAUAGAAAUACCAACAUAAUACAACAGAUGAUCAACCUAUUGCAACAGAUAAACUAUAUGUCAGAACAGGUAGAAUAUCUGUUACAACGGAUGGAGAAUCUGUUGCAUUAUAAAAAUUCAAUUUUCAUUGGACAUAAAAAAAUUGUCACUACAUGUAAAAAAGUGAAAGUGAAUUUAAAUAAAAAAAAGGCGGAACCCAUCAACACUGUUCAGUUCAAACACCUAAAAUAAAAUAGGCAUCAAGUAGACAGUGUUUAUUUUAAACACGUAAAAUAAAUUAGGCACAAAUGUGUCAAGUUGGCAGUUUUUGUUGACUUGACGUCUGAUUUAGCCCCUAACGGUCAUCCCCCCCCCAAACGUCUUAUAUAUUCAUCUUCUUCCUAAAAUUUAACCCUAAAUUUUCAAAUCUUCUUCUUCGUCGUCAUCUUUUUUUUAUCUAUGCAAAUUCUCCAAAUUAUUUGACUUUGAUCUUUCUUUUCUUCAUUUUUUUUUUCAUUUUUUCCAACUGAGCUUGACAUUGUUGAGAGCAUCUUCCACUAUUUUUUGUGAUAACGAUUUUUAAUAUUGUAAGUGUGGUCAUGAAGCUCUAUUGAAGACUUCUUGGACUUAACAAAAUCCAGGUUUUUGGUUUUUUACUUGUAAGAUUUUAAAGGUAAUAUUUUUUUUAUUUAAUUAGUUGAUUAAUUAUUGGCUUGUAAUUGUUUUGUAAUUGUGUUCUUGUUUUUAUAGAAAUUUGGUGGAUGCGAGACUUUGAUUGGUAUAAAGAAUGACACCCUUCACAAGCAAAUUGUGUAAUCUGGGGUUUGUUGAAGAAAGUCAAGGCUUUUAAAGAGAAACAAAAUCGAGCAAGAAGAUACUACAUUGUUGCCGUUAUUAUUACUGGUUUGGUGGUGUUGGGCACAUGAAUUUUCAAGCCUAAUUGCUUAAAUUUUCAUGGUGGUGUAUUUGCUACUGAUUUGGUAUUGUCGAGCACAUAGAUACUCAAGCAUAAUUGUUGCAAAAUAUCAAACAGAUUUAGGCAUAUGUUGUAAAAUUUAGGUCAUCUAUUGGAAAUUAUCUAACAGGUCUUCCCACUGUUGCAACAGAUUAGACUUAGAUUAGAUAGAAAUAACACCGACAUAAAGCAACAAAUGACCAAUCUAUUGCAAUAGAUAAACUAUCUGCCAGAACAGAUAUAAUAUAUUUUACAACAAAUUAACAAUCUAUUGCAUUAUAAAAAACUCAACUUUUAUUCAUUAGAAAAAAAUUAUUGCCACUACAUGUACAUGUAAUUUAAAGUAAAGUGAAGUGUGACUUGAAAUAAAAAAUUAUUAUUUCACAGGAUCUUCUAUAUACAUAGGCUCCAAGCGUCCAGUUAGUAUCCUAUAAGCCCAGACCUCUUACAAGUUUGCCAUAGCGUUGUCUCACAUAAAGGUCAUUGGCUCGGCCGUUUCUGUGUCGGUCAGCAAACAUUCGAUGUGUAUAAGAGCAUACAAGCCGCCCGCGUAAUCGGUAUGGUAGGUUCCUUUGUUUCGACCUUCAAAAUCCCAUGAUUUCUUCAUCAAUACUUCCUUUGGCAAAUGAUUCAUCAAUUUACCGUCCCUCAACAAGAUGGUCAACAGCUCCAUCAGUGGCUACACGAGGAGAAAAAGAUUGACAUCAUUUAUGGUAGGUUUGUUGUAGUCAUAAACUUUGAUCUUUCCCUCUUCAAGUAGUAUCUCAAUAGCCUGAUAAUGUAUGCCGUUCAUGGUAAUGACUUUAAUAAUCCUCUUUGCCUCAGUCUAGAUCUUGCCGUGUGGAUUUGGCCUCUCCCCUCUAACAUAUUUUAUCAUUUCUUCUUCCUCCAAGUCCAAUGUAGAAACUAAGAAAUCAAGUCUCAUGCCACAGGAUGACGCUUCAGAAUUGAGUUGAUCGUACUUAUCCUUGAGCUUCUUGCGAAAAUUAAGGUCUAUUAUCCUAUCGAUAGCGUCAUAAGCAUUUGGGUAUGUUAAUUGCCUUUUCCUUAUGAGGCAGAGAAUUUUGUCAAUAUAAUGUGAUUUAAUAAGACAAUUUUUAAAUAGGUUAGUAAUUGUAAAGAUGGUACAUCUAUUGCAUAAGGUUCUUUGCAUCAAUAAUCCAAUGCAACUUAUGCAAUAGAUGGAUAGUAAGUUGCAACAAAACCACUGCCAGUUGCACUAAAAUACCCAGCUGUUGCAAUAGAUUUCACAUCUUUUUCAUAGCUUCUUCUUCAUGGGUAGAUUAGAUUAGAAGGAUAGGUUAUGAAAAGUAAACUUGCCUUGUCCUCAUACCACAGACAGAUAUCUGUCAUAGUCUGGAAGUCUUGGGGGGAAAAGGGAGUCCUGGGGUAAUGUGGUGUGCCUGGCUUGGCAUUCUUGGCCUGUCGUAGAUCCCUUUUAUCUUUGGUACCAAGUUUCGUGUAUAUGUCCACCUUAUUGAAUGACCCUUAAACUUCAACAUCUUUUUGAGAGAGAGGAAUUGCAAUUAUUUUUUAUUUCUGACAGGAGAGUACAUCGGUUAUUGUUUUUUUCUUCCUCCUAACCAAUACUGUAGUAGUGUAUGGCUCCCUCACCUUCUUAGAUGGUAUGACACCCCUCUUGGAUUUGAAUUCCUCAACAGCUUUAGAAAUAGCCUCUACUUUUUUCAAAGAGUUUAUCCUGGUUGUCCCUGCACUCUUUGCAUUCGCAAUGAGAACACGAGGGUAAAGAGGGGUGAGAGGGACCUGUGUAAGGGUGAAAAGAGGUGUUUUCAUAAAUAUUUAUUUUUUCUUGAGUAUCAACAUACUCAUCAUCAUGAGUGGUAUUAGAAUCUGGAUGCCUUCCACCAAUACCAACAACUCUACCAGAAGAAGCACCCAGAUCUGCCUUAGUAGAUUGGUCAUGAAGAGCCUCAAUAUUAGGCUAACCUUGCUUAACUGCUCUUUUUGUGGUUAUUUCUCUAGCCAAUUCCUUUCUUAUUAACUCCACCAUUGGGUCUGUUACAAUAUCAACAUGACCUAGAGUAAUAUAAGAAGUCAUCAACGACUCCUCCUCAGUAGGCAGGAUCCAUGGAGCACAACUUAGAAAAAACCCAGAUAUAUUUAAAUCAUAUAAUAUAAUAAUUUUCAUAGUUGGGUUAACAUUUUAACAGUCAACUUCUGCAACAGAUUAAUAAUAUGUUGCAUUAGAUUACCCAUAUGUUGUAUAGUUUGCAGUAGAUGGUUAAAAUUUAUUUGAGUCAGGUUUAGAGAACCAGAGAAACACAUAGAUAAUCUGAUGCAAAAUAUCAAUCAUUUGUCAUAAUAUAUUACCAAUCUGUUGCACCAGUUUCAUAAAAUAGGUAAUCUGUUGGGUUACAUAUUAUGCAACAGAUGAUCUGUAUGUGUAUUAACAAUAGGUUAUAUCAGAUUACAAUUUGUUGCAUAAUUUGCUUUAGAUGGGUAAUCUGAUGCAAGAUAUCAAUCGUCUAUCACAAUAGAUUAUCUAUCUGUUGUACCAAUUGGCACAGGACGGGUAAUCUGUCGUAACAGAUGUCCCAUCUGUAUCACUAGAUAUAACAUCUGCUCAAUAUCUUUCAUUGAGUAAAAUUAUUUUACUUAAAGAAGACGUACUGCAUCAUCUAGAAGGUUAAGGAGAUUAGUCUCCUUAAUUUUGGUGUUGCUCUUUGCAGCCAACCACCUAAAUAUCAUUUGAUGAGAAACCUCAUCCGGGUAAUCCAUUACCUGCUUUCGGGGGGGGGGGGGGGGAAUGACUUCAAAUGCCCAAGCCUAAAAAAUAUAAACAGGAAGCAAGCAAAAAAGGUCAUCAUUACUAUAUUUAGUAUAACUUAAUGGAUGAUUAAAAUAGUGAUUAAUUUUACCUUGAAAGACAAAGGAAAGCCAUAUAAUGUGGUCGUCCCUGAGGAUAGCUUUGUUAGUAAAUAUUGGACAAUCAAGUAGAAGCUGUCAUAUCCCCAGGGAUAAUUGUUGAAUUUAUCAAAAUAUUCAGCAUGCGCUAACAAAUCAUCUUUUAUGACCUUGAUGACGUCUCUUGCCAAUAUAACCAAAUGGGCAAACCAAACUAAGCACAAUUUCUCCCUAUACCGCUUUGGUAUGGUUUUAUCCAUGAGAUUUGUCAACAAAUCCGAUGCUUUGUAUCCACAUAGAGCAAUGUCAAACAACCCAUCUAUUUUUUCCUUGCGUUUUCUUGCCUUAGAUCUUUUGCGGGGUGUUCCCUUGGCGAUAGGCGGUUCUUAUGGAUGAUGACAUCUCAAGCCGAUCACUAUGGCAAACUCUUGCAAGCCAAAACAAACUAGCAUGACACAGUAGUUGAUCCAGAUUUCAUCCAUCUUUUUGUUGCCCCCCUCCUUCAAAUAUUUAUCAUCCUCCAUGUACUUGAUUCUGCACUUAAGAAGACCAUAUACCAUCCUCAUAUGGAAACGGGCUAGGGACUCAGGCAGCUCAAGAAAGAGUCCAAAGUAGAUCUUCUUGAAAAGUCCGUCUAUGUUUUCGUCUUUCAUAUUUUUCUUAAAUUAAAUAAAUUUACUCCCCAUCUGACAUUUAAGUACAAUUUCACCUGUUAGCUCUUCUUCUGCUUUUUUGUCAUUUAUCGGCAUCGCAACUUGAAACUUGUCAAUACUAAAAGUUUUUAAAGGAUCAUGUUGGGAUGCCGAUAUUAAUUCAUGCCUCAUUGCUGAUCCAUUAUCAUCAUGUUGAUGAUCAUCCUCUUUCUCACUCUCUAAUUCCUCCUCUUUAUUGCUUUCAUUUUCUUCAUCACCAUCUACAGACCCUUGUCCACCUCCCUCAACAGUGUUUUCAUAUCUCUCCUCAACUUCACUUUGUUUCCCUAACUUAGAUUGUUCAGGAAGCUCCUCGGAAUCUCUUUAUACUGUAGCCUUUUUUUGGGGUGGUCAGACGUUGAUCCACUUUCACUUUCGUUUCUUUUGGGAGACAUGUUUUACCUAUAAAUAAUAGAAAAACAAAAAUUACAUUACAAUUGAUGUAUGCAUAAAUUUUAAAAUAUACAUUACAAACACAACUAAUAAUGACACACCAACAACUACCACCACCACAAACACCACCAACUAAUGCCACAAACACCAUGAAUACUGCCACCAUCGACAGCCACUACAAAUACCACCAACCAAUGCCACCAAAAACACCACUAACCAAUGCCACCAACAACCACCACCAGUGCCACGACGACGACGAAGAUGAUGACGAUGACCACCGCCAUAAACCAACAAUGCCACGACAGUUAAUGGAACACUCCGAUAGAAACUAGAAUUUUCUUGAGUUCUUCCUAUAAUUUUACCAUCAAAAUUAAAAAUUGUAAACCUAUUCUCGAAGAUAAUACAACUAAAAGUUUUCUUUUUCAUCAUUAACUUAAAAGCCCUUAUUUUUUGGAAAAAAUAACAAAUAUAAAACUCUUCUCAAACUAUGUUUCCUAUGAAGACAGAGAAAACGACAGAUACAAGCAAGAAUGAAGUCGAAAAUAACACUUAUGUGGUCAGAAAUAAGAAGAAAAUUGAUCUGUUGUGAAGGGUAGAGCAAUUUGUUGAGUAGUUGUAGUUGUUGUCUGUACUAUAUAAUUGAGUGAGAAAGAGAAAAGAAUGAGAACUCGAUAUUUGAAAUAAUGCAACAUUUUUCUAGCAAAUGGAUGAUUUGUAUGGGUUGAUUUGUAUUUUGGAAAAGAAUGACAAGGUUUGGAAAUGUUAAUUUGGUCCGAAUUGAUCUUAAUUAUUUUUUAAAAUUAUAAAAGAUUUGCAUAAUUUUUAACCUUCUCAUCAUGCAAUUGCCAAAAGACUCAAUUGAAGUUGUAGUUGACCCUAUGAACUCACCCACCCCUGGUCCUAGAUUAAUCAAUUUAGGUGUAUGAACUCAAUUGAAAUUGUAUAAAAAUAAAUGUUCAACCUGUUGCAUCAGAUACUCAUCUAUUGUAAAUUAUCAAACAAAUUAAGUAAUCUGUUACGACAGAUUACCCCUCUGUUGUAAAUUAUCAAAUAGAUUGUCACAUAUCGCAACAGAUUACCCAUUUGUUAUAAAUUAUAAAAUAGGGGCUACGAUCUGUUGUCGUUGACCCUAUGAGAACUCACCUCUGGUCCACGAUUAAUCAUUAAGGUAUUAGUCUAACAUAUGAGGGAGUAAGAAUCGGUUCAUCUCAGAGUGAUCGAUCGACGACUCUGGUCGAGAGGAAUGCAAUAUCGUCUUAUAUGCAAUUGCUAAAAGACUCAAUUGAAGUUGUAGUUGACCUUAUGAGAACUCACCCCUGAUCCUAGAUUAAUCAAUUAAGGUAUUAGUCUAACAUAUGAGGUACUAAGAAUCGAGCCAGCUCAGAGUGAUCGAUCGACGACUCUGAUUGGGAGGAACACAAUACCGUCUCAUCAUUCAAUUGCUAAAAGACUCAAUUGAAGUUGUAGUUGACCCUAUGAGAACUCACCCCUGGUCUUAGAUUAAUCAAUUAAGGUAUUAAUCUAACAUGUGAAAUCAAUUGAAAUUGUAUAAAAACAAAUAUUCAGCCUGUUGCAACAGAUGAACCAUUUGUAGUAAGUUAUCAAACAGAUUAAGUCAUUGGUUGCAAAAAAUUACUCAUCUGUUGUAAAUUAUCAAACAGAUUAAGUAAUCUAUUGCGACUGUUUUGUAGAGAAAUUUUUGACUUUGGAGAGUCGCCACUUAAUUUUGAAAAGGAAUUAAGAAACCUUUAAAGAGUUACUUAAAACGAUUCAAAAUAGGAAAAUCGGUUUAAGUUUUGAAGAUUCUGAGUAAGUGAUUCUUAUUAACGUUUUAGGAAGGUGUUAGGCACCUAAAACGUCUGCUAACUUGAGGUUAUCCGAUUUUUUUAAAACAUGUUUGAUUAAUUUCUAAAGAUUAAUUUGCCGAAAAAAUGAUUGAUUUUAGAAAUAUUUUGAAAGUUUGCAAAAAUUAGUUUUUAGCAAAUUCAUUAGGGGAUUUAACUAGGUUCGCAAAAGGCAUGCAAAACAACUAAACAAAAAUAAAAGGGAAAGUGGAGAAGUAGCGAUUUAGGCUUUGAAGCCCAAACCGCUGAACCUGUCCUAAUCUAGUUGGGUUUUCAACCCAUUUCUCCUUUCACCUGUCCUAUUCCUAUGUUUUCGAGCCCUUUGGAUCGAGUUUUUUGCUUCACCUGUAUUAAAUACAACUUUGACUUCGAGGCCCAAAAAUGAAUAGGUGAAUAAGUAAAUAAAUAAAGGGAAUAAAAACAAGACUAAUAAAUGGAGAUAAGCCUCUUCUUUCUUCCUUCAAACUUCUCGUAUUUGGACGCCACGGGAUCACUUUUGAACUUAGACCUUCGGGCUUGAUCCAAAGAGAUGGGACUCAUUGUUCCCUCAUGAAAUGCAAGAGGCAAGAGUCCAUUUGGACUCCAACAAUUUUCAUGCAAAAUAAGGAAACAUAAAGGACCUUAACACAUCAUUAACGAAGGAAAAGAAAAAAUAAAUUUAGCACACGGCCAACCAAGGGGAAAGACCUGAAUUAAAAUUAGUUAACACACCAUUUCCGUCAAAGAAAGGACAAAUUAGAUGAAAACUAUUGCGGUUUUAACCGAACAUGAUAUAAAUCUUUAAAUAAUCAUAAGCCGAUAUGAAAAAUAGUAAAACGUAUUUGCACUGAUUCAAGUUUACAAACUCAACGAAAACAGCAAAUCUAAAGCAAUUAAUACAUAUCACUGACUUGAUUGAGUGUAACAAAUUUUCCGCCAUUAGAGUCAAAUCUCCUUUUCGAUAUUUCGUUAUUUGUAAGACUAAACGGGGUGCAAAGUUUCAAAAUAUUGAUACCAAAAUUAUCACAGGGAGAGAAAACUAUAUCCUAGAAACUACACAUCACAUAAAAUUUCUCCUUAGAAGCCAAAAGAAAACACAUGGUGAUUCAACUACAUGAAAACUAUCCACUUGGGGUAUGUGAGGAACCAAUCACUAUUAGACUAGAAUUUUCAGGCACAUGAUGGUUAUCCAACAGUAUGAUGUCAAGAGCAUUUAACAUUAUACCUAAUUGACAUUGAACACUACAGAUGUUGGAACUAUACUCCUAACUAAAUAGAUUGGAGAAGUAAGACACUAGAUAUGAAUAGGAUGUCAACCCAUACGGAAAGCACAACGUUAUGCUAAAUGAAAUUCCAAGUUACAUCAUACAUAGCAUACAAAGAGUGUUCAUUCUGACUUCUAACAACGAUAAAACAAAUUGCUUGAAUAAUUUGAGCACACUAAAUUUUAGCACAUGCUAAUUCCCAACAAACAACCAUAAUGGCAAAGAAAAUCAACAUUUAUAUAUAAAAAAAAAGUUGGAAAGCAUCUGUGGAGGAAAAAUUGAGAGAUCAAAAAUAUGCUAGAGGAAUUCUAAGCCUAUUAUCGCCAUCCGUCUUUGAGAAUUAAGAAUCACAAGAUUAAAUAUGGAAUUUAUUCUCUAAUCUUAUUAGGAUAGUCGCAAUAUCUAGGAGAACCGUUUACAGUGAACAAAGCAAAAUGUGAAAUGGAAAAAAUGGAUAAAUAACUAAGUAACGAUAUCGGGGGUUUAAGAAAGAGCUUGCAAACUAAAGGAAGCAAAACAAAGUUAAAAUCGGGGAUCAAACAAUUGCAACAACAAUCAACAUAGUGUAGCAAAUCCCUAGAUACGCAAAAGGAAACUAGAAACGAAAGGCAAAAUCUUGCUAGUGUAUAUGUUUGAUUCAUACCAUGGACUCUCAGGUAAACCACCACAUCUGUUUAGGACAGUAUGUUCGACAUGGUCACAUUAAAAUUCAAGACAUGACUUUGUAUGCCAUAGCACUGAGAGAAAGACACAGGAGAAUUCCUCUUUUAGGAAGACCUAGUAGCUCAGGAUCUCUGACGCUAUCCCAUUAAUAAAGUACAGAUAAAUAAUAUAUUCCAAGUAUGAAUUUUAAAGCAUACACAUUGGAAAAAACCUUUGGCUUUGGACUUUCUGCUUUUGAUAGAUCUUUCCUCUCAAAAUAGGUUUGGAAUAGAAGGGGAAGGGGAAUAUGCCAAUGAACUUGUUGCAGGGGAAAAAGACGGGGAUGGGAAGGUUCUUUAUCAAUGAUGCGGCAUUACCGCAGUUGUAUGUACUUGCAUUUCUUUUCUGCUGUUAGCAUGCUUUGAUGGCAUAGAAACAAUAUUUGACACACACAAAACAGAAUAGAAAGAAGGGCUCUUUGAAUGACUCCGGUACUAUCUCAUCCGCUGCUCUAGCUAAUUGUCCCCCCUUUUCUAAGUGUGAUUUCUAUCUUAUGUAUGGCCGGGCCUAAGGGCAUAUCGUUUGAAGUAGAUUCUUCUUUUGAUCAAUUCCCAAACUCUUUAUCGAGCUUUGGACUUGAGCGCUACUCCAGGGAAAUGGUACAACAACAGUCACAAAACAACCCUUAAGGCUAUCACAGCCAACUACAGCAGACAGAUCCAGCCUCAUUUAAGAUACACAGAUAACUACUUUAUACGAAGAAAAAGGGAUGAAGUAGAGAAAAUGAAGCGGAAAGAGGGACGAGCGUACGUUUACCUUUUUCGGGGCAGCAAACGGGACGAUGAGCUAUCAACAAACUUAUCGCUACAUGGAAUCUCACGACGUCCACCACUAAUGGAGCGUCCCUUUGGCUUUUAACUCUUAGUGAUUUUUCAACCCCCCAGAUUUUCAAACUAAAUAUCUUUAAAUCUUAGCUUUUUCUAAAAAUAUUUUGAAACUCCCUUUGCCUGUAAAACUUCCAACUCAAAAGGGAAAGAAAAUGAGAGAAGGGAAAAACAAACUUCUUAUUUCUUUCAGCUCCACAACCCUCCUCCGAGCCUCGAUCUCCCUACAAAGAGAAGAAGACCCCCCAAAAAAAGACCAAAGAAAGAAACCCAAAAUUUCGCCAAAAGAAACCUAACCUCUUGAAUUUUCCAACCCAAAAUUCCUAGCCCCUGCCAAAAGAGAGAAGAAAGGAAUAAGCCCCCUUCAAUAGUGACCCUAGGGACCCUUUUUAUAGAAGUUCCAUUAGGGUUUCCCUAGGGAUUUCAAAUAAGGGCAAACUUCAAAUUUCACCCGAAUCCAACUUUUAAGAACCAAUGAAAUUUUUAAGAAAUCCAAAAUGGAUUAGCCAAUGCAAAACCAUACUUUUAAGAACCAAUGAAAUUUUUCCACAGGGGUACGAACUCAUACCCCUUUAACCAAGAUUCUAGGGAUUUAAAUGUUUAACGAUACCCCUAGGCAUGUUUCUAGAAGGUUUCUUGAUGUCUUCCUCGUACGAGUAUGCGUGGGACAUGCGGAGAAGGUUAAAAAUGGGUCGGGUAUGGCCAAGGGUUGGAUGAUGUUGUAUUGCCAGGUUGAUGUAGGUUGAAUAUGGGUUAACGGGUCAUUUGGAGUUGAUUAUUAGGUUUUGUAGAUGGUUUCAUCACAAUUUGGAUUUGCAUCUUUGCUAUGUUGUAUGCUGACUAUUGAAGGGUGUUGGUACAAAAAGUUGAUGUAGAAGAUAAGCAAAUGGACUGGGUAGGUAGAACUUUGGGCCUAUUGUUGAAUUGGACUUGCUAGGAAUAAAGAAAAUGGGGGUCAGUUAUGGGUCUGGUUGAGACGGGUUGGGUCAGCUGAUGUUUUUGGGUUGCACAGCUGGCCUAAAUUUGGUUAGGGAUUGCGAGAUUGUUUGUGUUAAAAUAAAAAGAUAAAUUAGAUUUUGGGCUAUUUGUUAAAUAGCCUAUGAUGGGAUUUAGCCAAUUGUGUUUAAAUUUUGGCCUAAUUGAGGAUUAGUUGGCCAAUUGUGUUGCAAUUGUAGCCAAAUCAACUUCAAUUAAAUCUAAUUUAGUAAAUUUACCGAAUUGAAUCAAGAUUUGAAACGAACUUAGCAACUAAUUUAUUCCCGAGCUUCUUUGAUUCGAUAAAAUCAAGUAAGCAUUUCUCCAAAUAAACUAUUUUUGAAGUAGAUCAUUUUCAACUCGAGAUUUUAAUUAUCAUAUUUAUUUUUAAAAAUAAUCUUUAAUUAAAAUCUGAUAUUCCAUAGAAUAAAUAUUUAAGCAAUCAAAUUAUAUAGUAUCACAUAAUUGACCAUGAUAAUAUGUAGUUGCUACUUAAAAGUGAAAAAUCGCGUACAAAUACUUUUCAAAGAAAAUUUAUUCGGAUGAAAUAAUUAUUUUUGAUUUUAUUAAAAAUCGAAGAAACUUGAGAUUAAAUUUAGUGAUGGAGGGCAAAAAUUAGGUGUCUACAACUGCCCCCUCCCUUUGGGUAGGAUGGAAGAAAGUAAUCCUAGGUAACGGGAGGUUGACGUUCCUAAUUUUUAUCUGACCAUAGAUUCGAAUCUGAAAGAAUCUAGUUUUCGCACGAGUUUUAUAUAGUCAUGGACGGACCACGGUAUUAGGUUUCCUACAUAUCUCAGGUUACAUGAGAAUUCAGGCCACUUGUAGUUCAUAAAGCUUGAUUUAAAGCACGAUUUUCAAAAAGUUCACAAGCUGUCUCGAUUUUUUGAGUUUUUAAUAAAGCUGAAAAGCUGGGGAAUAGAGGGAUUUGGGGGAAGGUUGGAAUGCAGAAGAGUUUUCUACAUAGAGCCCAGCCUACAUAUCCUUGAGACUCAGGGAAUCAGAUUGCUUGUAGUUCGACUCUAUCGGUAGAAAAGAUAGUCUUCUAUUUUCAGACAAUCUUUGGAUUUGGAUGAGUGACAAGUUGAUCGAGUUGCAGAAAAGAGGCUUGUAACCUCUAAAUCAUGAAUGUGGGAUCCUUCACCCAUAUACAAGAACUUAUCUAGACAUAAUUUCCAAAACUGUAAGUAUGUUGUCACCCGAAAGAGAAAGUUCCCCUUGAUAUGAAUUAAGAAAAUAUCCCAGAGGUAAGGUCGAGACCAGAAUAUCCAAAACUACCCACAUGCCAUCUAAUAGAGGCUUGGUUAGAUGGUUGUGGUGAUCAUCAUUUAGCUUGCAUCCAGAGUGUUUGACGUCCCUCUCUAGACUAUGUCCCGUUUUGCUGCUAAGAAAGAGUUCCACGUUAUGCUGCGUCCUUUUUGGAGUUGUCUGCACCUGUGGUUUUGAUUUGAGAUUUUCAUCCUCUCGGAUGCUCUCGACAAUAUCUCAAACAGAAAUCAUCAGUAAUAAGCCUAAUUCACGAAAGAGGUGUGUGAUAUUUUACCAUAUCUCUAUGUGAGUUGUUGUCUAAAAAGUGAAGUCAUCUCUUCUUGUACCUAUUUGGAAGAAAUAACUUACAGUAACAGACAUAACAACCUUCUUGGUUGUUGCAUAAUUAGCUCAUUUGUUGAGCGAACAUGUCUUCAAAGUGGGUGGCCCUUUUGGACAUCGGCGAUACUUUAUGCUGAAUGGUCCCUACAAUCGUCUAAUCUUAUGCUGGUGUGGCAACCCUUUUGGUUACUUAUAUCACUUGUUGUACAUAGAAAAUUAACCUCUCUAGUUAUAGCCGAUGAUUGAUUUAUAAAUUUUCCUUAAAUUGUCAAUCUUUGAAUAAUCUUGCACAUUAUUUGACAUUGGAUACAAGGCGACCUACAAAUAUCCUUUGAAUUGCUAGCUUUUAGGUAAUCCUACAUAUUAUUUGACUUUGGAUAAGAGAUGGCUUACAGAUAUCCCUCCAAUCGCUAGCUUUCAGGUGUUCCUACCCAUCAUCCGACCUUGGAUACAAUAUGACUUAUAGAUAAUCCCUCAAAUUAUUAGUCUUUGGGUAAUCCUGAACAUAAUCGAUCUUGGAUAUGACGUGGCUUUUAGAGAACCCUUGGACGUACCAAUUUGAUAAUCUUGCAUAUUCUUCGGUAAGGAUUUAGUUGUGACUUAGGAAUAACCUUUGAACUAUUGAAUUUUGGAUGAUCUUCCACACUAUCUGAUUAGGAUGUUGUUAUGGCUUACGGAUGACCUACAGGCUAUCAACUCAUAUGUGAUCUUGCACACUAUCCCGUUUUAAAUAAUAUGACUUAUAGAUGACCCUAAAAUUGUCAAAUUCCAAGAAACCUUAAAUAUCAUUCAGCCUUAGAUAACGACUUAAAGGCGCUCCUUCAAAUCGUGUGCUCUCGAUGCAUUCAGAUGCUGAUUCAUGAAAAGAUGAUAAUAUCCUCGAUGCCAACAUUAUGUCUAGAGUGUCAACAGAUAUAUUGAAUGCUGAUGAUAUCCUCGACGCCAACGUUGUGUCUAGCGCAUGAACAGAUAUUGAAUGCCUUCUAUGGUGAUGGUAUGAGAUGACCUUUGUGGCAAUGAUAUGAAAUGGCCCUUGCGGCAAUGAUAUGUGAUUGUCCUGGCAGCAAUGAUAUAUAAUGGCCUUUACGGUAAUGAUAUGUAAUGGCCUUUGCGGCAAUGAUAUACAAUGGCCCUUGCGAAAAUGAUAUGUAAUGUCCUUUGCGACAAUGAUAUGCAAUGGCCUUUGCGGCAACGAUAUGUAAUAGCCUUCGUAGUAAUGAUUUGCAAUGGCCUUCAUGGCAAUGAUAUCCAAUGGCCUUCGCGAUAAUGAUAUGUAAUGGCCUUUGCGGCAAUACUAUGCAAUUGCCUUUGCAGCAAUGAUAUGUAAUGGCCUUUGCGACAAUGAUAUGUAAUGGUCUUUGUGGAAAUGAUAUGAAAUGUCCUUUGCGGCAAUGAUAUGCAAUGGCCCUUACAACAAUGAUAUGUAAUGUCCUUUGCGGCAAUGAUAAAAUAAUUUUACCUGGCUUCAUUCGCUAGUGUCCUGCUUUCUACAUGUACCUGUACUCAAGGUAGAUGAUUAGUAGACACAAAGUCACUUUUACUAGUGACUAUUUUUAGGAAACUUCUAAAUACAAUAUUUAUAAAUAAGACAAAGAGCUUUUGCUUGUCGCCUACGAUCUCAAGAAAUGAAAUGGACAAAUCGAAAGGUCCUCAAUAAUUGGGCAUCAAACCUAUUUUUAGAGCUACCCUAAAAUAGCGUUCUUGGGUAUUAAUGCUCUAUUAUGGCUCCCACUUUGCUCAAAGAUUUUUGAAAGAGACCCUCAUUUUGUAAAUUGAACCCUGCAUCCACAGAAAAAUGAUUAGUUUGAAUGAAAUUACUCCGUGUUGACCUUCUUCGAUCCUUGAUUUGCUCCUUGCCAUCUCUUGGGCAUUCCACCAUAUCAGGACUUCCACCUUGACACCCCAUCCCAAAUGAUAUCUAGGCAAGUACUAAAUAAGUGAGUCGUAAUAUUUUUGAAAAUAGUCUUAGAUUUUUGAAAAUAAUUUUGAAAACUUCUGUAAAAUUUUAGAAAAUCUCUACCAGUCAUGUCAUGUACUAGAUCAGCAAGCAUCUUCCUCGUGGUUUUAAAUAUAUCCGAUGGAUGGUUUCCAAAACUCAUGAUCAUUGUUGGGGGGUUUCCUCAAGUAGUUCUAUCAUAGCCAAAAAUUGAGUCUACCCAGACUUUGUUACAGUUGGUGGCUUCCAAAGCUUGAAUUUAACCUCUAGUACUGGGGAAUUUGGAAUAUGUUACAACAUUUGGUGGAAAUUUUGAGGUCUUCCUCAAAAUUUCUGUCCUAGUUUAAAAUUGUUUGAGAUGACACCAAUCCGAGUGGAUCUGAAGUCUUUGCUGAUCUUCAUUCUCUUUGUUGGAUGUCGAUCUGCUCUUAUGAAUUUUUGAUAUUUCUUCUAAAAAAUUCUGCCCCAGUUUCCAUUUCCUGGGGUUAUAUGACCGAGCCAUUGGGGCACCUACGUAUCCCAUUGAAGCAGGAAUCAGGUGAAACAUAGUUCAGGACUACGCUAGAAAUUAAUGGGUUGACCGAAGCCGACAUAGGCCGCCUACAUAUCCGUUUCUUGGGAAUUCAAGUCAUCACGUAGUUCAUACAUAAGAAGGAAAUGAUGAAUCCUCCUAAGGAUUUGACCGAAGCUGACAUAGGCCGCCUACGUAUCUCAUUCUUGGGAAUUCCAGUCAAAUGUAGUUCGUACAUAAAGGAAAAGAAUUCUAGGCAGUCACACACUAGACAACAACAUUAUUACAAAAGUAAUUAUAAGUCAAUUAAGGAAAAACAAAAAUUAAACCAUCUUUUAAACAUAGUAUCUCUUUACCGCAUCAGAAUUGAUUGAUUUGGUCCAUUCUCGGCCAUCCAUCUCAGAAAAAAUCAGAGCUCCUCUAGAUAGUACCUUGCAAACUAUGUAGGGCCCUUGCCAGUUUGGAGCGAACUUGCCUUUGUAUUCCUCUUGGUGAGGGAAUAUUCAUUUGAGAACCAGUUGCCCUACUUCAAAUGUUCGAGCUCUCACCUUUUUGUUAAAGGCACGAACCAUCCUAUAUUGAUACAACUGAUCAUGGCAUACUGUGACCAUUCUCUUUUCAUCAAUCAACAUGACUUGUUCAUUGCGAGCACGAACCCAUUCUUCGUUACUCAGUCCAGCUUCCUGAAUAAUUCUUAGGGAAGGUAUUUCAACCUCUGCAGGUAUUACAGCUUUAUUCCCAUAAACAAACAAAUAAGGAGUUGCCCCGGUGGAGGUUUGAACCAUUGUACGAUAUCCUAGCAAAGCAUAAGGUAACAUCUCAUGCCACGAUCUAUCAUUCUAGACCAUCUUCCUCAAAAUCUUCUUGAUAUUUUUGUUGGCAGCUUCCACGGCUACAUUCAUUUGGGGACGAUACGCAGUCGAGUUGCGAUGCACGAUUUUGAACUGAUCCUAAAUUUUGUUCAUCAAGUGACUAUUCAAGUUUUCCCCAUUAUCCGUAAUGAUUGAUUCCUGUACUUCGAAUUGGUAGAUCAAGUUAUUCCUGACGAAAUCUGCAACCACUUUCUUAGUGACGGCUCUGUAUGAAGCAGAUUCAACCUACUUAGUAAAGUAGUUGAUGGCAACCAAAACAAAUCUAUGUCCAUUCGAUGUUGAUGGAUAUAUUGGUCUGAUAACAUCCAUGCCCCAAGCUAUGAAAGGCCAAGGUGAAUUCAUUGCAUGAAGUUCAUGUGGAGGCAUUUGAAUCAAAUCUCCGUGUAUCUGACAUUUUGGACAUUUCUGCACAUACUUUCCACAAUCAUUUUCCAUAGUCAUCCAAAAGUAACCGGUUCUCAGGAUCUUUCUAUAAAGGACAAACCCAUUCAAGUGGGGCCGACAAACUCCAGCGUGUACCUCUUUUAUCAAUUUAUUGGCUUUCGCAGCAUCGAUGCAUCUUAGGAAUCCCAAAUCAGGAGUCCUUCUAAAAAGAAUUUCCUUACUUGGAAAGUAAUUCUUCGCCAAACAUCGGAUUGUCUUCUCUUGGUUGUUACUAGCCUCCUUAGGAUAUAUUCCAGAUUCCAAAUACUUCUUAAUAUCAUAGUACCAAGGCUUUUCAUCAGGCUCCUCUUCCACGUGUACACAUGUGCGGGUUGCUCCUUCAAGCUUAUUUCCAAAGGAUCAAUGUAACUUUGAUCCGUGUGCUGAAUCAUGGAAGAUAUAGUGGCCAAAGCGUCAGCAAACUAAUUUUGUAUCUGUGGGAUAUGUCUAAAAUCAACUUCCUUGAAUCUUUCACAUAAUUCUUGCACCAGCUCCACAUAAGGAGUAAUCUUGGGAUAUUUUAUCGCCCAUUCUCCCCGUACCUGGUGAAUCAGCAAAUCUGAAUCCCUGAUGACUAACAAUUCACAAACACCCAUAUCAAGUGCCAAUUUGAGACCCAGGAUACAAGCCUCAUAUUCAUCUAUGUUAUUGGUGCAUGGGAAAUGUAACUUAGCAGUUACCGGAUAAUACUAGCCUGUUUCUAAUACCAAAACUGCUCUGAUUCCUGACCCUUUGAAGUUGAAUGCCCUAUAAAAAAUAGCCUUCAUCCGGGGUAUAUCUUUGUAAUGUCUUGGCUAGCUUUCUUGUAGGCAUGGCCUUCUGGAAUAUAUACUUUAAUGGAUCUAUUAUUGGGAUGAGGUAUGUUAUGUAGGACGACAAAUAAUGCCUCAACUUUUGUGCUACCCAAGUCAAAGCACAACAUGUCCUUUCUACAAGAGUGUAACAGGCUUCAUAUAGCGUAAACUUUUUAGUCAAGUAGUAAAUGGCUUUCUCUUUUUUGCCAGUUUCAUUAUGUUUCCCGAGGAAACAUCUGAAAGAAUUUUUUGUGACUGACAGGAAAAGCAACAAUGGAAUUCCUUCUCUUAGUGGUACCAAAAUCGGCAGUGCAGACAAAUAUUCCUUGAUGCGGUCAAAAUCUCUCUGACAUUCUUCUGUCCACUCGUUCAAUGCAUUUUUCUUCAGCAUCUUGAGAAUUGUCUUGCAUAUGACUGUCGACUGAGCGAUAAACCUACUAAUGUAAUUCAAACGACCCAUGAAACUCAUAACUUCUUUCUUGGUUCUCGGCGGUGGCAAGUCCUGAAUUGUCUUGAUUUUGAAUGGGUCUAACUCGAUGCCUUUUUUACUGACUGUGAACCCCAUCAACUUUCCUCAUGGCACACCAAAAGCACACUUAGCAGGGUUUAACUUCAAACUAUAAUUUCUUAAUCUAUUAAAGAAAUUUUCUAGAUGGGUCAGAUGAUCUGAACUCUCAUGGGAUUUGAUAAUUAUAUCAUCCACAUAAACCUCAAUCUCUUUAUGGAUCAUAUCAUGGAAAAUGGUGGUCAUAGCCCUUAUAUAUGUUGCACCCACGUUCUUGAGACCAAACAGCGUUACCCUAUAAUGAUAGGCACCCUAAGGCGUAAUAAAAGUCAUCUUUUCUGUAUCUUCCUCAUCCAUUAAUAUCUGAUGAUAGCCAGCAAAACAAUAAACAAAAGAAUGCAUUUCAUGCUUUGCACAAUUAUCAAUGAGGAUAUGAAUGUUGGGCAAUGGAAAAUUCUCUUUAGACUGGCUCUAUUCAAGUCUCUGUAGUCAACACAAAUACGAAUCUUGUCAUUCGUCUUUGGAACGGGGAUGAUGUUGGCUAACCACGUCGGAUACUUUGUGACCUCUACUACCUUAGACUGGAUUUGUUUCAUCACUUCUUCCUUAAUCUUUAGACUUAAGUCUGGCUUGAACUUCCAUAUUUUUUACUUGACUGGAUCAAACUCAGAAUUUAUCGGCAACUAAUAUAACACAAUGCUGGUACUCAACCUUCGCAUAUCAUCAUAGAACCAAGCAAACACAUCGAUGUAUUCCCACAACAGGUAGAUGAGCUCUUUUCUUUGUGGCACCGCCAGGUGGACACUGACACUUGUCCCUUUGAUUUUAUCAUGAUCUCCCAAAUUGACUGUUUCAGUUUCCUCCAGAUUGGGUUUUUCUCGAUUCUCAAAUUCCUCCAUAUCUUCAACUAAUUAUUCCUCGUCAUCGUCUUUCCAAUCAUCAUCGUUCCCUUCAUCUUGUUCGUUCAAGCUUUGACAUGACACGACAUUGGCAGAUUUUAAUCUACUAUUACUGUAAUGGACAAACAAACCAAGUUAGAUGAUAAUAAGAUAAUAACAAAAUAUAUGACUAGGAGUGUUUUAGAAAUAAUAGAAUUUUCCAAAUAAAUGAAGGCCUUUUCAUUGAAAUUUGAGAGAUAAUCACAAAACCAUGGCUCGCGACUUGGACAAAUACAAGUCCAUGCCUUUUUGAAAGCAGUGAGAUACAAAAAGAAAGUUUUGAGAUAUAAAAGGUGGAUCACAGGGCCUCCUCUGGAUCAUCACUGAUUUCAAAACUAUUAGUAAUUGUCCUUUUAUCUACCAUGACGGGCGACGGGUUAUGAGUGGAGUGGAGGUCCAAUUUUGCAAGGCCUCCCCUGGCGCCAUCUUCUUCAACCCGCUGGAUUUUGGGAAAUCUUCUGAUACAACAUUGCAUCCCUCGAACAAAUCUCGUAUCCUAUCCCCAAUACCAUCAUCAUCUGACAUCUCUCAUAUAGGAAAUGACUGGCACAAGAGUGGCAAGGGCCUAAACAAACUUUUCUCUGACUCAUCCCAACCCUACCCUUCUUGGUAGGCUGAUAUCCUAAUCCAUACUUAGAGCCUCUCUCUGGGAUUAUAAUAGGCCCGAUAAUUCCUUGUAAAUUCUUUCCCAAGCCUCGACCAGGUUCAAACCCAUUUCUUAACAUCACCGUUGCAAUCAUUUUGUAGAAAGAAGGCAUUGGUACUUUGGGCAUCGAAUCCCUGUCCACAGCAUUUACAAUUUCCACUAUAUAGAAACUACUACCUUUUGGAACAUCUUCAAUCACCGGCAUGUAACCAUUGGGAUGAUCCGCUCGACUUCCUUCUCCUUGGAUGACUACUUCAUGAUCCUCCCAAAUGAACUUCAAUAAUUAAUGAAGGGGUGAUAAAAUUGCCUUUGCACCGUGUAUCCAUGGUCUUUCCUAGAGCAAGUUGUAGCAAGGAUGGAUAUCCAUAAAAUGAAACUUAGUCUUGAACUCAGCAGGCCCCAUUUGGAUGUGCAAAUCAAUCUCUCCUAUGGUAUCUCUCUGCCAUCCAUCGAAUGCUCUCACAUUUACGUGACUUUGAUGAAUUUUCCCCAAAUCAUAGCCCAUUUAAACCAACGUGGAGAGGGAUAAAUAUUUACACCAGAUCUGUCAUCUAUUAAUACAUAAUUAAUUGCAUAAUAUCAACAAAUGAUGGUGACAUGCAUGGCUUUGUUAUGCAUCGCCCCUUCAAAUGGCAACUCUUCAUCACUGAAUGAUAUGCGAUUAUUCCCCACAAUAUUUCCUAUCAUCGCAGCCAGGUUCUUAACACUCGUCCCUGCGGGAACAUAUGCUUCAUCCAAGACCUUUGAUAAAGCCUGUCGAUGGUAUUGCGAACUCAUUAAUAGCGCUAAGACAGAGAUUUGAGUUGGUGUCUUCUCUAAAUGUUUGACAAUUGAAUAAUCUUUGGGUUACAUAUGCCUCCAAAAUUCUUCAGCCUCUCUUUCAGUUAUUGGCCUUUUCUGUGAAUCCUUUUUGUUGGUUAAUUUCUCAGGGAUGUAGCAUCGUCCCAAUCACGUCAUCCCUUGGGCAGCAACGGUCUACACAAUAAAUUCUUUCCUUGGAGGGGGAGCGUACACCUGAGUCGGUGCAGUCAUCACUAUAAAUGGGGCUUUCUCAUUGAUACUCAAGGCAUCCAUAAUCUUCUCUAUCUUUCCUACCUCUUUUGCUCUUUUGUGCUUUUUGUAGUUCACAUGGGUAAUGGUCUUUCCAGAUGCCCAUUCGCCAUCUAUUUCAAUCAUGUUAACUGUAGAUCCCCCAUGAUUGGGCAAUGGAUUACUAUUAAUAUUUGGUGUAGGCGCCCAAAGCAUGAUGACUUUUUGAUCGAUUAAAUCCUGGAUCCUAUGUUUCAGGUAGCCAUAAUCCUCUGUGCCCCGCUGCUCUUGAAUGAUAGGCAUAAUGUUGAUUUGCAUUAAAAAAUUGAGAGUUGGGAUUGACAUGCCUUGGCUGUAUUGGCUGCAAAUGACCAGCAUUCUUCAAUCUUUCAAAUAGUUAGGUGUGACUUUCAGCUAGUGGGGUGAAGUUUUGGGGAAGUUUAUUUUUGUGGUUUGGACGUUGGGGGUUUUACUGGCUUUGAUUUGUAGGAGGAGGUACUUGGUGAUAAUUUGAAGGUGCUUGGAAAUUUGUUCGGUUAUUUGGAGGAGUGGAUUGGAAAUGAGACUAAUAAUUUGGAUGUGGAAUUGGGUAUUGGGGAAAGAUAUUUGGCUGUGGAUCUUGGUAUGAGGAUUGGAGGUUUAGGAGUGGAGUUUGGUACUGAGGUUGGGCAUUUGAGAGUGGAGCUAGGUAUUGGGGGUAGGCAUAGAACACAUGAUGAAGGUUGGGUGACGACGGAGAAGAUAAAACAUUUCUAGAGUUGAACCUCUUUUUCAUUUUCACAAUAGGAUUAGCAGAAAUCACACCUACAUCUUCAUUUUUCUUCUUUGAGAAUAUGACAGUCCUAGAUGACAUCGGGGUUUUGACAAUUUUCCCUGUCCGAAUACCUUCUUCCAAUGUUUUUCCUAUUUUUACCAAAUUCGCAAAAGUUGCCCUGACAGUGGUACCAUCCUGGUAUAAUAUUCUCCUUCUUGAGCGCGAGAGAACACGAUACCAUUUCCUCCUCAGACAUGGGGGGGUUGCACAUUGGCGGCUUCUUUCCUCCAACGAAAAACAUAGUCUCAAAAACUAUCAACAUUCCUCUGUUUGAUCCGAUCUAGUGAAUAUCGGUCAGGGACUAUUUUAAUGUUGAAUGCGAACUGGUCAAGGAAACCCUUGGCCAAUGCUUUCUAACCAGUCCACUUUUUUGGCUCCGGAGACAUGAACUACUCCAAGGCUUCAUCACUCAAACUUCGACUGAAUAGGCGCAUCAAUAAUGCCUCAUUUUUCCCUAUCCCUACCAGUUGCUCAAAGUACUUUCUCAAAUGGGCCAUUGGAUUUCUGGUACCAUCAAACAUCUCAAACUUAGGGACUUUGUACCCAUCUGGUAGGUCUGCUCUCGGGUGAACACAUAAAUCAUCAUACCCUAAACCGUCGUGGUCCCUAGUUUCAUGAGACUCUUUGAUCCUCAUGAUCUCUUCCUUCAUAGCUAGUAAAUUUCUUUCAUGUUAGGUCCUCCACUCUUUCUCCUUCUCCUUGUAAUGGUCCAUCUCGAGGUUAGGAAGGGGUUCAUAAAUAUCAGGGGAUAUGAUGGCUUGAGGGGGAGUUAGAAGGGAGGUUUGAUUUUAUGGAAGAAAGGAACUUGGUUGGUAAGUGGGGAGGAUGUUUUGGAAUUUAGAAAGGUUCUGUGGACUUUGUGAGUAGUUUGGCAGAAUAUGAGAAGGAUUUUGCGGAUUUGGAAAUGAAUUUGGUGGAUUCGAAGGUAGGUUUGACGUAUUUUAUGGGUUUGAGAGUGAAUCUUGCAGAUUUGGGAAUGCAUUUUGGUAAUUUGAAAAUGUGUUUUUAGGAUUUAGGAAUGGAUUUGGACGCGGGUUCUAUGGGUUUACAGAUGGAUUUUGUGGAUGGUAGGUGUCUGGGUUGUUUUCACGAUUAGUAUUUUGGACAAAUGGAGGAGCUGAGACGGAUGAUACGUUAUUUGGCUGAUCCCCUAAAAUAGGUGUGCUGAGGAGAAGGAUUUGGAGUGGAGUCCCAUGUCCUCUUAGAGUGGGGGCAUUAACGGUGAUGGCCAAGUUAGCCAAAUCUCAAGUGCGAUUUAUUUCCUCCUGAAGCAUUUCUAACUUUCUUGCAAGUUCCACAAUCAUUUCAUUCUGUUCCACUAUCACAUUGUCCCGGAUAGUCAGUACGCUUUCUUCAUCAUUUCCUGUCAUUUUUGAAUGAUGGUCAGAGGAUGGAAUUUUGUGCGCUUUCGAUCGGGUGAAGUAGGGGUGUUCUGCUAGCUUGUAUCAACACGGAGUAAUUUCUAUUAUCUGUAAAGUAAAACAACUCAAAGGCAGAUGUGUUAGUUUCCGUAUAUGAUAAGUAAUGCAAAAUAUUUGACACGAAAUAACCACAUAGAGGUUCUUGAGUCAUAGCCAAAUUCAUCCAUAGGACAUAGUGGAUAAACUUGCCUUUGAUCCAAACAAAUGCUCAUAAGCACAUAAAACAGAUAUAUCACACAAAAUCAUUAUAAUAACGUGUAUCUUAGCUCGACUGACCCUUUUUGAGCCAAGGGUUCAGGCCUAACGAUUUUUUGAAGAAAAUAUAUGUUUCCUCGAAGUCAAUCCACUAACCCCAACUUAUAUCGACAAGAAAAAGGGCAUAAAUGCCUACAAAAGAUAACGAAAAAGGGAUACAAUCUUUAGGGAAAAAGGGAAAUAACAUGAAAGAAGAUAAGUUCUCGCGCAGGGGAAAUAGAAAAACUAGCUACUGGAGGCUCCUUCGUCUGCCUUUGCCUUUUUUGCCUUAUUUACCUCCAGUUCUAUUUGAUACCUAUUAAUGAUAAGAUGACUCCCGCAUAAUUGUGCCUUGCUGUCGUAAGUCAUUUUCCCUAUACUAUCGAGUUGAGAGGCCAUGCUAUCAUCCAAAUUGAUUAAACACUGCCUAGCAUCAUCAGCCUCUUGCCUAGAUCUUUUCAACUCUUCCCUCAACAUACAUAUUGUUAAAGCAUCUUCUACAUGCAUCUAUCGGUGCGUGAUUUCACUUUUCUGAAACUCAUCCUAAAACCUGUGGAGUCAGAUCUGAUGCUCAGAUGCUACAUCUAUGACUCGCGGAGCCGAACUUGAUGCUCGGAUUCUAUAUCCACAACCCGAGUGGGCACAUUUGGUCCUGGAAUCAAUGCUCCGGCGAGACUCUUUUUCAACCACUCCUUGUAAGUGUCGCUGACUUCAGGGUCAUGCUCUAUAUGGAAAGUCACUUUCGUCCACCUUCUUAUUCUUCUCCAUCCAUUUAUCAUGCCGUCUUUGAGUGGAGACUCACUUUCAACGUAUUUGGUGAAAAACUUACCCCCUCAAAUGGUGUAUUUCCCUGAACGAAGAUAGUUAAUGGACCAUUGCACAUCGUCAUCUCUUAAUUCCUCGAAAGUCUUAAACCAAAAUUUGUGAGAUGCUUCCCUUUUGAAUUUAUGUAGAAACAACCACAUGUCGUGCGAAGCCAGCAUAUCCACCCUUGUUUUAUGAUCAGGUUGUACCGUUCUCAAAUUCUUUACCAAAUGCUUCAUCAUCCACCAUUGUAAUAUGAGGUUGCAACCUUAAAAGAAAUGAUUUUUGACUUGAUACCUUCCCAAGGCUCGAUAUAUGUCGGCGACAAUCAUAGGAGCUAAAUUGUGGAAUACCCUGGUAGAAUCGUAAUCUACUCCAAAGAAAAGUGCAUGAGCCACUGUUACAACCUUUGGAUGAAUUGUGCCAUUUUCUCCCUGUGGGAGCACCAUGGUUUCGAGUAGACAUACCGCAAACACAAAGGCUCUAAUAUCCUUCCAUUUUGCUUCGGACUCAAAUUUAUGUCCAAAUUUGUGGAAGGAAUUAAAUUUUCCAAACCGAUGAUACAACUCCCGAAAAGUGAUAUUUGCUCCAUCACGUUCCCCUAGCAAGGUGUCGUCGUCAGUUAAAAAUGCCUUUUUUAUUGUUUGACGGUCCCACAUGGCGGGAGCCAAAAUGUUCUUAUCAGGUUUUUCCUUUAUCUUGAAACACAUUUCAAUACUCUCAUAGCAAAUUAACACUUCUUUGAUGGUAGGGGUCAAUUCCACAUCCCCGAAGUGAAACACCAUAUUCUGAUCAUCCUAAAAAGUGGUAAGCACGUGGAUCAUUUCGGGCCAAGCAUCCAUUUCGAUCAUUGAAGGCAGGAAUCCGAUGUGUGUUCUAAUAAUUUUUCUCUCCUCUAUGCUCAUACAGUCCCACCAUAGUUUCAAGUAAUCGUCGAAUUUAGCAACCAUCUUGAACUUCUCGUGGGAAUUUAAUUGAGCCAUACAUACACGAAAGCAAACAAAGAUAAGACUUCCCCCGUCCCCAAAGGGUAAUGGAUUGAAUUAGACAAGCAUAUAUUUCUUCAACACAUAAAUAUGAUUCAUCUGUAAUUGACUCGAGGUCAAUAGACGCAGGGUAGGGUUUCUAAUAGGCCCAAUACCCCACUCGGGUAUUGGGUCGUCCUAGGCUCAUGCCUAAAAUAGGAUUUUGGUUUCGCUCUAUCCUAGGUAUCUAGAGUGGGUUUGAACACUGGUUCUUAAGUGGAUAACUUGAAUUUGAAAAUACAAACAGCCAUCAGACGAAUUACGUGCUAAUAAACUGUUUGUAUUUCCAACAGAUUUUUGGAAUUGAUCGAUAGGGGUCGGGAUACCCACGAAACCCCCAAAUAGUUUAUAUAAUGCGGGAAUAUGCCAUGAAUGCAAUAGUUAAACUUUAAAGAAUCGAAACAUAUAAACACAUAAACAGUUAAUCAAAAGACGAAAUCAAACAUUUGGUUAGAACCUAGUUCAAAAAAUCCCCAGCAGAGUCGCCAUUCUGUUUUGAGCAGAAAUUUUUGACUUUUGAGAGUCGCCACUUAAUUUUGGAAAGGAAUUAAGAAACCUUUAAAGAGUUACUUAAAAUGAUUCAAAACAGGAAAAUCGGUUUAAGUUUUGAAGAUUCUGAGUAAGUGGUUCUUAUUAACGUUUUAGGAAGGUGUUAGGCCCCUAAAACAUCCGCUAACUUACAGUUAUCCGAUUUGUUUGAAAACAUCUUUGAUUAAUUUAUAGAGAUUAAUUGGCCGAAAAAAUGAUUGAUUUUAGAAAUAUUUUGAAAGUUUGCAAAAAUUAGUUUUUAGCGAAUUCAUUAGGGGAUUUAACUAGGUUCAUAAAAGGCAAGCAAAACAAAUAAUCAAAAAGAAAAGGGAAAGGGGAGAAGUAGCGAUUUAGGCUUUGAAGCCCAAACCACUGAACCUGUCCUAAUCUAGUUGGGUUUUCAACCCAUUUCUCCUUUCACCUGUCCUAUUCCUAUGUUUUCGAGCCCUUUGGCUCGAGUUUUUCGCUUCAUUUGUAUUAAAUACAACUUUGGCUUCGAGGCCCAAAAAUGAAUAGAUAAAUAAGUAAAUAAAUAAAGGGAAUAAAAAGAAGAUAAGCCUCUUCUUUCUUCCUUCAAACUUCUCGUAUUUGGACGCCAUGGGAUCACUUUUGAACUUAGACCUUCGGGCUUGAUCCAAAGAGAUGGGCCUCACUGUUCCCUCAUAAAUACAAGAGGCAAGAGUCCAUUUGGACUCCAACAAUUUUCAUACGAAAUAAGGAAACAUAAAGGACCUUAACACAUCAUUAACGAAGGAAAAGAAACAAUAAAUUUAGCACACGACCAACCAAAGGGAAAGCAAUGAAUUAAAAUUAGUUAACGCACCAUUUCCGUCAAAGAAAGGACAAAUUAGACGAAAACUAUUGCGGUUUUAACCGAACAUGAUAUGAAUCUUUAAAUAAUCAUAAGCCAAUAUGAAAAAUAGUAAGUCGUAUUUGCACUGAUUCAAGUUUACAAACUCAACGAAAACAGCAAAUCUAAAGCAAUUAAUACAUAUCACUGACUUGAUUGAGUGUAGCAGAUUUUCCGCCAUUAGAGUCAAAUCUCCUUUUCGAUAUUUUGUUAUUUGUAAGGCUAAGAGGGGUGCAAAGUUUCAAAAUAUUGAUACCAAAAUUAUCACAGGGAGAGAAAACUAUAUCCUAGAAACUACACAUCAAAUAAAAUUUCUCCUUAGAAACCAAAAGAAAACACAUGGUGAUUCAACUACAUGAAAACUAUCCACUUGGGGUAUGUGAGGAACCAAUCACUAUUAGACUAGCAUUUUCAAGUACAUGAAGGUUAUCCAACAGUAUGAUGUCAAGAGCAUUUAACAUUAUACCUAAUUGACAUUGAACACUGCAGACGUUGGAACUAUACUCCUAACUAAAUAGAUUGGAGAAGUAAGACACUAGAUAUGAAUAGGAUGUCAACCCAUCCGGAAAGCACAACGUUAUGCUAAAUGAAAUUCCAAGUUACAUCAUACAUAGCAUACUCAGAAUGUUUAUUCUGACUUCCAACAAUGAUAAAACAAAUUGUCUAACGAUUUGAGCACACUAAAUUUUAGCAUAUGCUAAUUCCCAACAAACAACCAUAAUGGCAAAGAAAAUCAACAUUUAUAAAAAAAGAAGCUGGAAAGCAUCUGUAAAGGAAAAAUUGAAAGAUAAAAAAUAUGCUAAGGAAUUCUAAGCCUAUUACCACCAUCCAUCGUUGAGAAUUAAGAAACACAAGAUUCAAUAUGGAAAAUUUUCUCUAAUCUUAUUAGGCUAGUCGCAAUAUCUAGGCGAACCGUUUACAUUGAACAAAGCAACAUGUGAAAUAGAAACAAUGGAUAAAUAACUGAGUAACGAUAUCGGGUGUUUAAGGAAGAGCUUGCAAACUGAAGGAAGCAAAACAAAGUUAAAAUCGGGGAUCAAACGAUUGCAACAACAAUCAGCCUAUUGUAGCAAAUCUCUAGAUACACAAAAGGAAACUAGAAACGAAAGGCAAAAUCUUGCUAGUGUAUAUGUUUGAUUCGUACCAUGGACUCUCAGGUAAACCACCACAUCAGUUUAGGAUAGUAUGUUCGACAUGGUCACAUUAAAAUUUGGACUUGAGCGCUGCUCCAGGGAAAUGGUACAACAACAGUCACAAAACAACCCCUAAGGCUAUCACAGCCAACUACAAUAGACAGAUCUAGCCUCAUUCAAGAUACACAGAUAACUACUUUGUAUGAAGAAAAAGGGAUGGAGCAGAGAAAAUGAAGCAGAAAGAGGGAUGACCGUGCGUUUACCUUUUUCGGGGCAGCAAACGGGAUGAUGAGCUAUCAGCAAACUUAUUGCUACAUGGAAUCUCACGACGUCAACCACCAACGGAGCGUCCCUUUGGUUCUUACCUCUUAGAGAUUUUGCAAGCCCCCAGAUUUUCAAACUAAAUAUCUUCAAAUCUUAGAUUUUUCUAAAAAUAUUUUGAAACCCCAUUUGCCCGUAAAACUUCCAACUCGAAAGGAAAAGAAAAGGAGAGAAGAGAAAAACAAACUUCUCAUUUCUUUCAGCUCCACAGCUCUUCUCUGAGCCUCGACCUCCCCACAAAGAGAAGAAGACCCCCCAAAAAAAAUACCAAAGAAAGAAACCCAAAAUUUCUCCAAAAGAAACCUAACCUCCUGAAUUUUUUAGCCUAAAAUUCCUAGCCCCUGCCAGAAAAGAGAAGAAAAGAAGAAGCCCCCUUCAAUAGUAACCCUAGGGACCCUUUUUAUUGAAGUCCCAUUAGGGUUUCCCUAGGGAUUUCAAAUAAGGGAAAACUCCAAAUUUCACCCGAAUUUGACUACCCCCAACGGUCUAUACCUCUCUUCGCUUUUUCCUCAAGAAAUCAAAAAUGUAUUAGCCAAUGGAAAACCAUCCUUCCAAGAACUAAUGAAAGUUUUCCACAGGGGUAUGACGUCAUACCCCUUUAACCGAGAUUCUAUGGAUUUAAAUGUUUAACGAGACACCUAGGCAUGUUUCUAUAAGGUUUCUUGAUAUCUUCCUCAUACGGGUAUGUGUGGGAUACGCGGAGAAGGUUACAAAUAGGUUGGGUAUGUCCAAGGGUUUAACGAUGGUAUAUUGCUAGGUCGAUGCGAGUUGAAGAUGGGUUAGCGGGUCAUUUGGAGCUGAUUAUCAAGUUUUGCAGAUGGUUUUAUCACGAUUUGGAUUUGAGUCUUUUCUAUGUUGUAUGCUGACUAUUGAAGGCUUCUGGUACAAAAAGUUGAUGUAGAAGAUAAGCAAAUGGGCUAGGUAGGUAGAACUUUGGGCCUGUUGUUGAAUUGGGCUAGCUAGGAAGAAUGAGAAUGGGGGUCAGUUAUGGGUCUGGUUGAGAAGGGUUGGUCAGCUGAUGUUGUUGGGUUGCACAGCUGGCCCAAAUUUGGUUGGGGAUUGGGAGGUUGUUUGGGUUAAAAUAAAAAGAUGAAUUAGAUUUUGGGCUAUUUGUUAAAUAGCCUAUGAUAGGAUUUAGCCAAUUGUGUUUAAAUUUUGACCUAAUUGAGGAUUAGUCGGCCAAUUGUGUUGCAAUUGUAGCCAAAUCAACUUCAAUUAAAUCUAAUUUAGUAAAUUGACCGAAUUUAAUCAAGAUUUGAAACGAACUUAGCAACUAAUUUAAUCCCGAGCUUCUUUGAUUCGAUAAAAUAAAGUAAGCAUUUCUCCAAAUAAACUAUUUUUGAAGUAGAUCAGUUUCAACUCGAGAUUUUAAUUAUCAUAUUUAUUUUCAAAAAUAACCUUUAAUUAAAAUCUGCUAUUCCAUAGAAUAAAUAUUUAAGCAAUCAAAUUAUAUAGUAUCGCAUAAUUGACCAUGAUAAUAUGUAAUUUCUACUUAAAAGUGACAAAAUCAUGUACAAAUAAUUUUCAAAGAAAAUUUAUUCGGAUGAAAUAAUUAUUUUUGAUUUUAUUAAAAAUCGAAGAAACUUGAGAUUAAAUUUAGUCAUGGAGGACAAAAAUUAGGUGUCAACAGUGACAGAUUACCCAUCUGUUGUAAAUUAUCAAAUGGUUUAUCACAUGUCGUAAUAGAUUACCUAUCUGUUAUAAAUUAUAAAAUAGGAGCUGCAAUCUGCUGUAGUUGACCCUAUGAGAACUUACCCCUGGUCCUAGAUUAAUCAAUCAAGGUAUUAGUCUAACAUAUGAGGUAGUAAGAAUCGGUUCAGCUCAGAGUGAUUGAUCGAUGACUCUAGUUGGGAGGAACGCAAUACCGUCUCAUAUGCAAUUGCCAAAAGACUCAAUUAAAGUUAUAGUUGACCUUAUGAGAACUCACCCCUGGUCCAAGAUUAUUCAAUUAAGGUAUUAUUCUAACAUAUGAGGUAAUAAGAAUCAGUUCAGCUCAGAGUGAUUGAUCAACGACUCUGGUCGGAAAGAAAUGCAAUGCCGUCUCAUUAUUCAAUUGCCAAAAGACACAAUUGAAGUUGUAGUUGACCUUAUGAGAACUCACCUCUGGUACUAGAUUAAUCAAUUAAAGUAUUAUUAUAACAUAUGAGGUAGUAAUAAUCGGUUUAGCUUAGAGUAAUCGAUCGACGACUCUGGCCGGGAGGAACACAAUACCGAGCCAUCAUUCAAUUGCCAAAAAAGUCAAUUGAAGUUGUAGUUGACCCUAUGAGAACUCACCCUUGGUCCUAGAUUACUAAAUUAAGGUAUUAGUCUAACAUGUGAAAUCAAUUGAAAUUGUAUAUAAAUAAAUGUUCAACCUAUUGCAACAAAUGUUUUUUUGUAUUGGAUUUAAUCAAACAGAUUAAGUCAUCUAUUGCAAUAUAUUACGCAUCUAUUGCGAAGGAUGACCGAGCUUUAAAAAUUUUCAAACAGAAAUUGUUAUCUGGUUCACUUAGAUGUUUUAAGACCCUUUUUAAAAGUAAUUUAGGUAUUUCCUAUCCGACAUAAAAAAAAAGUUAAAAUACUAAGGCGGUAAAAAAUACAACAACAGCAACAACAAACAACACCAAACCCAGUGUAUUCCCACCAAGUGGGGUCUGGGGAGGGUAGAAUAUACGUAGUCCAUACCGCUACCUCUGAAGAUGUAGAGAGGCUGUUUUCAAUAGACCCCCGGUUCAAGAUGAAGAAUAGGUAGCAAUGUCAUAGUAAAACAUGAAACAACAUGGGUGACAUAACCAAAAAAGAAAUAGGAAAUAGUAAAAGUAGAAAUAAGAGAGACAUGAAAAAUGUGAACAAUACGAAAAUAAGAGAUAGGAAAUAAGGAAUAAGGUGGUAAAAAAUAUUACUUGGAUAACUCAAAAAUCUACUGAGUGAGUAGUCUUAUCUGGUCUUUACAAUGUCACCGUCUCUUUGUGCCCCUCAAAAGUCAAAAGUUAUUAAUGAAUAUAUAAAACCCAUAUCUAGAAGAAUACUCUCUCCUUCAUCCAUAACAUUAGUAAGACUCAACACUCAACUCAACUCAUCUAUCACUCUUUCUUCUUUAUUCUCAAUUCUCUUUCUUUCCUAUUUGCCUUUUUUUCUCUCUUCUUUCGGAUGAGGAUCCUUUCGGAUCUCAACUGAUCAAUAUAUUAUCUCAACUGAACUAGAUGUUUUGAUCCCUUUGCUUUUUUCACAUUGCAGGUAUGGUUCAUUAUUACCCUUUCCAUUUCGUCUUCUUCUCUAUAUGUCAUUUAAAUUAGAUAUUUACAUCUGUUGCUAUUGAUGAUUUGCCUAUUACCAGUUUCCUGUUUAUUGAGAAAAUUGAAGGAACCAUUGUAUUUAUAUCUUUUGUAAAAUGCCUCAUCGGUUACAUAGAUGGGUAAUCUGUUGUAUCAAAUUGGUCAUCUGUUGAUUCACUGAAUUUUAUGUUACCUUUUUGUACAGACGGAACAACUAUUUGAAGAAAUCAAAUUAGUAGCAAGGAUGGUUUGAUUUAUUCCAACAAAUGACCCAUCUAUUGUAACAUGUCAUCCAUCUGUUGCAACAUAUGCCUCAUCGAUUGAGCAGAUGGGAAAUCUAUUAAUUCGCUCAAUUUUGUGUCACCCUUUUGUAAUGUUCUUUUUCUUAUUCUUUUGUUUGACAUCAAAUGCAUUUCUCUUGUUUGUAGAUAAAAGGAAGUGAAACUGGAUCCAUUUUUUCCCCGACCAGCAUUAAAGUCUAGAGUAAAGAUGGGUUUAGAGGAAUAAGCUACUUGUAGAUGGAACCACAUCAUAUAUGGGAGGUAUAUAUUAUUGAUCAACCUAUCGUGAAAAGACACAUCCAGUAUAAUGAUUUUGUGAAUGUUUGUUUUUUACCUAUUAGGCGUUAAUUCUUCAAACAAGAUAUGGCAUAUUGCAGUUAAGAUUGUUAGGUUCGAACUGGUAAGGCUGAGGGACCAAGUAGGUGGUGUCGAUACCCUAUUAUAAUUUAAUGACCAUUUAUGCUCAUGUUUUUGUGUCAAGUUUGGGGAAGGGUUCAAUUUUUUGGUGGAAGUGUAAAUAUCCAAUAGUGAUUGGACCGAUUUUAAUGGAUCAAUGGACUUCUUGAAAGGCCUCCAAAGCCUUGCACUGCAGCAAAUACCGAUGGAACCAAUAGAAAUUUCUCUGGUCCAAAUUUAUAUGGAUGGGUUGCUGGAGGAGACUAUUAUACAGCAGUAGGUGCUUAGGAAAAUACCUGUAUGGGAAGGGGGAGGUUGAGAAGGCGAUAUAUCAUCUCAGACCUUGUUCAAGAGGAAACAUAGGGUAGGAAGGAAAGUGUAGUGAAAUUGGCUGAUAAAAUUGACAUGAAAAAUGAAAAAACUGGAUGAGCUGCGAAUGUGAAAGCGUAUCCAAAAAUGAAAAUCCAUCAUUCGUUGAAGUAAAAUAAGAAUGGUCAAGAGGAUUGGAGCUAUUUACUUUACUAUAGACUGCAAUUAGCGAGCGUAACCUCAAUGAAGACCCACAAAAUAUAGGACCAAAACUCUAAGGAAGCAUCUUUGCGAGCAUGGAAGGUGGUAAGAUUGUCGGUUAGAAUUAAAACCUGAACCAACUACUCCUAAAUUAAAAAUACAGGAUCAAGCCAAUGUGGCAAUUUCUCAAGUUAAACUUGCAUCCCAUGCCUCUUAUUUAUGGCUCUGUUCAGGUCAAAGGUAGUAGAAACUACAAGGUAUGGGAUUUCUGCCAAACUUCAGACUUUUUUAUUUACUACCAUCAACUUGAUCAUAGCCAUAAACAGAAGGCAUGGAAUGCAAGUUUAACUUGAUAAAUUGCCACCUUGCAUUGAUCCCGUAUUUUUAAUUUAGGAGUAUUUGGUUCAGGUUUCAAUUCUGACCGAUAAUCGUAUCAAUUUCCUGUGCUCACAAAACUUCUUCCUUAGAGUUUGGGUCCUGCACUUUAUGAGAGUCUUCAUUGAGGCCACGCUCGCUAGUUCCAUUCUCUAGCAAAGUGUCCAGCUCCAGUCCUGUUGACCAUUCUACUUUUUUUUUCAUCGACUGAUGGAUUUUUAUAUUUGGAUAUACUUCCACAUUUGAAGCUCAUUCAGUUUUUAUGUUUCCCAUGUCAAUUUCAUUGGUCAAAUUCACUAGAAUUUCCUUGCUUGCUCCCCCAACAUAUGAUCUAUCUGUCGCAACAGAUAAUCCAUAUGUUACAAAAGAUUAUAAAUUUGUUGCGACAGACCAAACGUUAUUUAUUCAUCUACACGCAUGUGAUGAGUAUUAAAAAAGAGGUGAAGAGUCAUGAAUUUUUAUCUAACACAUUCAAAACAGCUAAUGAACCAAAUUCUCCAUCUAUUGCAACUGAUGAAUCAACUGUUAGAAGACAUCAAAACAUCUCCUCCAACAUAUGAUCCAUCCGUCACAACAGAUAAUCUAUAUGUUGCAACAUAUAGUAAAUCUGUUGCAACAGACCAGACCGAGUUUAUGCAUCUGCACGCAUGUGAUGACUAUUAAAAAAGAGAUAGUGGUGACUUUUUAUCUAACACAUUCAAAAUAGUUGAUGAAUCAAAUUCUCUAUCUGUUGCAACUAAUGAAUCAACUGUUAGAAGAAAUCAAAAUAUCCCCAACAUGUGGUAUGUUUGUCGCAAUAGAUAAUUUAUAUGUUGCAGCAGAUGGUAAAUCUAUUGCGGUAGAUGGACGAUCUGUUACAACAGCUCAAUAAUAAUAGUUGUUAUCAAGUCUCCAAACCAUUUUAAAAAGGUGAGAAGUAUUAAUGUAAAUGAAAAAGUCACAACUUUUCACAGAAAACAAAAUGCCAUCAGUUUGAAUGUAAUUAAUACAAUGGAGCUUAACAGACAUGCCUUUUGUCCCUACACAUCCAGAUUCAAUCCUCUAUAAAUAGGUCCCUCCUUAAUCUUCAUUCUACUAAACUUUAUUUAUUUUCUUGCAUUUUUUCUUUUCGUGUGACAUCUUCAACAACUUCUCUUCAAAGAGCAUAUUCUUUUAUCGUUGAGGUAAGUUUUUUUAUGGUGUUAAUCUACCAGUUUGUAGUAUACGUUGUAUUACAUUGGACUCUUUUCUUUGUAUUUGUCAAUUCAUGCCUGUUCUAAAUAUGGCUAAUCCUAUUUGGGACAUUUCUAUUCUGCACGACACAAUGUGGGAAGUUGAGAGGCAGGUUAAUGACCUGCAGAGGGAGUUGGUUGCCGUGAGAGCGACGAUGUUCAGAGAGAUACAGAGGCUGAUGAGGGCCUUGCUGCUUGAUGUGUGAGCAGAUGCUAACACAUUUGAGGCUUUUAACUAAGAAUAAUUGCAAAGUCUUAAGCAACUUUUGUAAUUUUUAAUUGUUUUAUGUUUGAUUUUACAGUAUAAGCUGAUAUGAUAAAGAACCAACAAUAAUGGAAGCAAAAAGGCUGAAAUCUAAAGCAAUUAAAAGACAAGUGCAGUUGACGACAUUCAUGAUAGGUCAUCAUCCCGGUGAUAGGCUAUCAAGGCCAUCAUCAGCCUUAAAUAGGGAAUGAGUUCCAGAUGGUAGAAUUGAUGACAUUUUGUGAUAGGCUAUCAUAAUAGUGAUAAGUCAUCUGGAAUACUGUCAGACUUAGGCAGGACAUGAGAAUUGGAGCAAAAGUGUGACGAUAUUUCUGAUAAGUCAUCACAGUCCUGAUAAGCCGUCAGAAGUUACCGUCAACCUAAGACAGGACUAGUACAAAUUUGAAGAAGACCUGAUGACAUUCUUGAUAAGUCGUUAGGAUCCUGAUAAGGCAUCACCAAUAGUCAUCGUCUAUUCCGAGAAAAUGUUGUAACCUUGAUUUUGUUUCCUUAUUUAGGGUAAACUAUUUAAAGCUUUGCUUUAGGGUUUUCUAGGAAGGAUCAUUAUUAUGAUUAUUAUUCCUCACAAGGUCGACACUUUGAUUUUUGGACAACAUAUUUUGAUAUUUCCUCUCUUUACUUCUUGACUUUAACAACACAACUAUUUUUGAGAGAUUAUUAUCAGUACUUUAAGAUUUUUCCGUUGUGAUCUAAACUGUGAUUCACUAGUUAUUAUUCAUCUCUGUAAGUUUAUCUUUCAAAUAAUUAAUUCAAUUAUGUGUUUCAUUCGUUAUAUCAUGAGUGGCUAAACUCCAUUAACCUGAGUUAUGGGAUCUAGGGUUAGGUCUUGAUGAGGUGAUAAGUAUUCCAGAUUUAAAAAGUGGUAGGAUUUCUUGAUAAUUCUGAAGUUUUAAUUAACGUCUGUUGGUUGCAAAUAGUAAACACACCUUCUUUGAUUUUCUUGAAAAGAAAUCAAAUAUAGUAGAAAGUGAAUUAUUAACAGGGACUCGAAAAUACUUCGUUUAAUAAUCAGCAUUGUAACAAGGUUGGUUAACCUGAGAUAAAAUCUGAGCUGUAAAUAGAAUUCCCUAAGUCCGAGAGGAUUAGGGAAUUAAACGCUUAAGUAGGUCGAGAGACAUUUAAGCAUAACAUCGAUAAAGAUAGCUUGUUAUCCUAUCCACCGUGAGAAUCUUGAAUCACCUUUAACAGCUGUCAUGUACCGGAAGCCCUAGUAAAUAUAAUUCUUGUUAUUUCAUGAACUCUUGAUUUACAAACACCGAAAGUAAAGUGACAAACAACAACUUGUUAAACCUAAACCCCCGAUUUCAGGAAACAUUAAACUACCAGUGGAUUAAAUUGCAAACAACUUGAGUUCACACUAUAUUCCCAGUGGGAUUCGACCCCAACCUAGUUGGGUUUUAUAUUGAUAAUGAUCAUUUACACCCAUUCAAGAGUGUAAUUUAAGCGUUAUCAAAAACGGCGCCGUUACCAGGGAAUACGGUUGUAAGCUGAAGUUUGUAUGCGCUAAUUGACUGUUAGUUAAGUUUCCUAGAUUUAUGUUUAUUUGUUGUUUUUGUUUAUUUGCAGGAUUUUAUAGUGUAUGCCAAGCACCAAAAGUUCUGAAGAAACAUUAUUACCACUAAAUCUAGAACCGAAAUGAAUAUGAAGAAUGGUAGAACAAUAAGAGGAUGAUAGGCUGGCAGCCUUAGCUAGAGCUCAGGUGAAUAUGCAAAAUGUCAAGCAACAUGCAUGAUAUCCAAACCCUGAGGACGAAGAUUUGGAGGACAAGGAGUUAUUGAAACCUGGUAACCCAAGGAGCAGAUAGCUGCACAAGUGCCACGUAAUGUUAACCAAAACCUUCCAUUCCAAAGAAGACAACAGUACCAGCCGGUCCAGUAUGAUCUGAAUAAUGAUGAUGAUGGCAUGGACGGGGCAGGUGCAACGGGUGAAAUUAUUCCUCCACCAUUGGCACCUGGAGCUAAGUUUAACAUUACAAGUACUAUGAUCCAACUUCUCAAUCUGAAGGGUUUGUUUGGUGGCCUUCCUGGGGAUGAUCCGAACCUAUAUCUGGUGAAUUUUAUCACCAUUUGCAAAUCUUUUGAUAACCCAGGAGUGGGCCAGAACGCUAUCCGAUUGAGAUUGUUCCCUUUGUCUCUAUCUGGGGAGGCAACAUAGUGGCUGAAUGAGCUUAUGCCUGAUUUCAUCACCCACUGGAGGCAAUUAAAAGAAGCGUUCCUAGAAUGGUUUUUCCAUCCUUUAGGAGGGUAUAGUUGAGGGAUGAAAUCAUCAAUUUUAGACAGCUUCCUACUGAAGGUUUGCAUGAGACUUGGGAGAGAUUCAAGAAGAAGCUAACACAGUGUUCGAAUUAUAAUAUGACGAACCUACACUUGAUGGAAACUUUAUACAGGGCCCUCAACUCUGUAACAAAGCCAAUUGUAAACAAUGUUGGUGGUGGUUCAUUUGUUGAUCUAUCUUUUCAAGAUGCCUCAAAUAUGCUAAAUAGGAUGACCAAACAGAGUUGGGCUUGGCAUACCAGGGAGUCUAUGGUAGCAAGCCCCACUAUUUUUGUUGGUAUGUCUAUUGAACAAUAUAGGAGAGAUAAGGAAUAGGAUCAAGACAUGGCCCAUCUAAAGACUCAGAUGGACUUGCUCACCUAGUACUUAUUGUUAGGGAAUACUGAGAAAGUGAAAGUUGUAAUGUCUCAAGACCAAGUGGAUGUAAAGCCUAAAAAAAAAGGAAAAUUAUGUUAAUUAUCAAGGGAUUUUUGAGGCAAUAGCCAAGGGAAUUAAGGUCAGAACAUUCAUGAAAAGACUGGUAACAAAGAUAGGGAGCAAGGAAACUGAAGAAUCAAUAAUGAAAGGAGUGGUUUAUAUGUUCCUCUGGGAAAUCGGGAAGCUACUGCAACUAGCUCUGGAAAGAUGUACAUAGAGGACAUGAUGGAGAAACUGUUGAAGGGAGUUGAGGCCACCAACUCUGGUGUAACCACCAUGAAGACUGAUCUGACAUCCAUCAGUCAGUUGGUGCACUCACACUCCACUGCCAUCAAACAUUUGGAGCAGCAGAUAAGCCAAAUUUCCACUGCAUUCAACCAGAUAAAGAGAAAAAUGUUACCAAGCAAUACGGUUCAGAAUCCGUGGAAUGAUGGCUCAUGUAUGGCAAUUACCACUAGGAGUGGUAAGAUAUUACCUGUACCUUCUAUGAGAAAAUCUGUAGGUGGUGAGUUAGUUAUUGAUAAAUCCAAAGAAAGCAAUCCAAUAGAGUCUGAGAAGCUGGAUAGUUCUGUUAAAGCUUCGGAGAAGGAAAAGGAAGUGGUGUUGAAAAUUAUCCCAAGAUCACCACCUCCCUUUCCUCAAUGAUUGAAGAAGAAGGUUGAUGAUGCAAAAUUCAAAAAAAUCCUGGCAAUGCUUAAGAAUUGAUAAUAAAUGUGCCUUUGGUUGAGGCACUUGAUCAAAUGCCAGGAUAUGCAAAGUUUAUGGAAGACCUUGUGACCAAGAAACGGAAGGUUAGCCAUGAGCUGGAGGACAAUAUUCUCCAUUGUGGCACCAUCUCUACAAGGUCUUUAGUGCAGAAAAAGGUAGACCCGGGAGCGUUUACCAUUUCAUGUACUAUUGGUUCCAUGAAAUUCACCAAAACAUUUUGCGAUCUGGGAUCCAGUAUAAACCUAAUUCCAUUUUCUGUGUACAAGAAACUAGGUUUGGGGAAUCCCACCAUAACAAAUAUGCGGUUGGUGAUGGAAGAUAGGUCUGUGAAGUAGCCUGUGGGCAUAUUACACGAUGUUUUAGUAAAGGUAGCCGAUUUUAUUCUGCCUGCUGAUUUUGUAGUCCUAGAUUGCGAGGUAGACUUUGAAGUGCCCAUCAUCUUAGGUAGACCUCUCCUUGCAACUGGGAGAGUGGUCGUAGACAUGGAGCUGAAUGAGCUAAAGUUUAGGCUAAAUGAUAAAAAAGCACGCUUCGAGAUACACUUAUCCAUGACUCAGAAAAAAGAGGUGGGUGUUUCUCAAUCAUUGAUAUAUUCUAUAAAGAUGAUAAAGAGGUAUCAACAGGUUGUCUUGGUGAAGUCUGAGUAGUCAAGCUAACCUAGUCGUGCCGCGACAGUAAAUCAGGCGCUAUUGGGAGGCAACCCAAAAUUUAUAUUCUAGUAAAGUAUUUAUUUUAGUAGUUAGGAUUUAGUUUACUGAAGGUGGAAAACUGAUGAAAUCAGUAGAAAAGGUCCUGACGGCAUUUAUGAUAAGCCAUCAAAACUGUGAUAAGCUAUCAGAAUUGUCGCCAGAGAGGCCAAUUUUGAAUUGAAGUUCUGUAAAGGCUGACGACAUCCAUGAUAGGUUGUCACACCUGUGAUAAGCCGUCAUAAGAUGUCGUCAGAAAGUAACUUAACAACCAAAUCUGGGCCAAUUAUAAAGAUCUGACCCGUGUGUGGGUUUGUAAUUAAAAUCAAGAAUUUCUUCCUACUUCCUCUUGUGCGUGUAAUCACAUUGAAGGCUCCUAUCAGGUAUACUCUAAAUUUGACUUUUCUUUUCAAGUGGUAAGGGAUAGAUUGAUGACAACCCAUUUUCCCAAGAGACUUGAACCAAGAUCAAUUGGAAAAGGGGCUGAAAUUUGGAACUAGGGUUUGCUGUGCAAGCCUAAGGCUUAAAAUUUAGCUCACAAAUCAGAACUCGAGUGGAUUUUGAGAAAUAAUGGGACCAAAAAUUGAGUUAAAAUCAAAAGUGGGGUUCUGAUAAGAGAUGACUACAUUUAUGAUAAUCUAUCACAGCUAUGAUGGCUUAUCAGAAAUGUCGUUAGAGGUAACUAAGAAUGAAGUAAGUUCUGUUUAGAGCUAACAACAUUUGUGAUAGGCUAUCACAUUUGUGACGGCUUAUCAGGAAUAUCAUCAGAAGUUGAUAAAUUUUUGCAGGUUAUAUCUAAGGCUAGCGAAAAUUGUGAUAAACUAUCACAGUCGUGAUGGCUUAUCAAGAAAUGUCGUCACAUCUGGAACCUUAAGCAUGAAUGAGCCUUUUCAAAGGAUGUGAAGCUUAAAUGAUUAAUGUGUUUGUGUUUAGGCUCUUGAGGACUGACUAAUGGUUUUUCUAUUGCUACAGGAACCUUAUAAUGGAACCCAAAGAAAAGAUCCCCAUGCUUACAAAAAAGGAACAAUAGAAAAGUGUACGUCGGAAACUCAUCGAUGAGGAGUCUGAUUAUGAAGAGAAAGAACUUAUGCAUAGGAAGUGAAAGAAGAAGCAAAGCCCUAACCAGCCUCCACCACCCCCACCAGUUGAGGUGAAGGAUACUAAGGACACUGAAAUAAUAACUACUUCUGAGUAGGAGGCAUCUGAAUAUUCUGAACAUGAGCAGCAUGAGUUUGAACAUGCUGAAACUGAAGAAGAAGAACAUGAAGGUUCUGAGGAUCUUGAGUCUAAGGGAACAACAUCUGAAUCCCCUUUCACUGAAUAACAGGAUGAUGAGGAGUCUCCAAUUUAGGGAACACUUACCAAAUAUAAGAAUCCCAAAGUUCGAGACAAUGCUAUAUGGAAAAUUCCCAAGGCAGAGGGCAUUUUCACUGCUGGGCUCCACAGAAUUGAUAGAAGAAGGACUAAAAGGCCGAUUCAAGAAAAAAAGAGGAUUAUCACCAAAGUUUUGUGUAGGUAUCCUGAAGUAGAAUAGAAGCUCCAAGAGUACAGCUUAGGAUGGACUAUUAUAGGGGGAAGCUCAUUUUUCCCUGCACUGGUCUGAGAGUUUUACACGAACUACCAGGCUUAGUUGGAAAACAUAUGUAGGUCAGGAGAAAAAGUUGCAGACUACCCCCUAUUGGAGAGAGUUCAGGUAUGGGGCGUAAGGGUUGAUAUCUCAAUUAGAACCAUCAAUAGGUUCUUGCAUGGCCCCAACUUCACUCCUUAGGCCACUUCACCAUCAGUCAAUGCUCGGAUUAAGAAUCGUGAAAAUCAACAUCCAUGGUUGGCCAACAUCAUAAUCGAAGGGGAACCAACAUGAGUGACCAACCCAAAUAAGAGAAUCUACAAGUACUCUUUGACUCAACAGGCAAAGUUUUAGUGGGGUGUAGUGCAUAUCUGGCUGAUGCCCACUAAUGGAGACAACAUUCUAGGUGACGACCGAGCUAUCCUAUUAGCAAGCAUGGUGCAAAAGCUCCCCCUUGAUUUCAGGGAAAUCAUUACUGAUGAGAUAAAGAUUAGAAUGUCAAGAACCGACACUGCUUAUCUUUUCCCUUGUCUUAUCACAGAGUUAUACCGAGCUACUAAUGUACCAAAGAUUGCAGGGGUUAAUGAUGACAUUCCUACCCGAAAGACCCACAAUCCCAUAUGGUAUGAUGAAAAUCAGCCAAGACUGAGACUUGAUAGAGGUGUAGAGGUAGCAGAAAACCCUCUAUUUACAGAUUUUGGUUCAACACCUAAUAUGGAAGUGCAAGAUUCUGAGACUGCGCAGCCAAUUUUUUCAGCACAAGUAAGUUCAGUUCUUGAGAAUGAACCCAAUCCCUCAGUUUCUACAACAUCAGGAGGAUUUGUAUUUCAUCCGAUCGAUAUAAAAAAAGUGGCCAAACAAGCCAAAUAGUGUGAGGCACAACUACAUGCUUUUGCCAAACAGUUUGCCACUACAGUAGAUAAGAGAAUCAAGGCUGCCCUUGAGUCUUUUGUGACUUUACCUAGACGGGUUACAGAUUUGGAGAACCGAUUUGAUGCAUGGGCAAAAGAAAUAUUAGGGGUUGAUCUUUCUAAAUUCAGAGCGGCCUUGAAUAAGGUAAAGGCAGAUGUUGGGGUGUUACAGCAACACCGAUUUAUGAUGCCGACAUAUCCGGCUAUGCAUAAAUCUGAGGAAGAAAUUCCAAUGGUUGACCUCACUGGAAAUUCACCAAAGAAAAAGAAGAAAAAGAAGAAGAAGAAGGGGGAGCAGAAGGGCAAAUAUAAGAGAGAAGAUCCUGAUAGUGAGGAAGAAAGAAGAGAGAAAAAAAAGAAAAAAGGGAAGGCCGAAAAAGAGGAGUUGAAGAAAGCAAGAAUAGAGUCCCUAGCGAACAAUGAGAGAUGGGAAGAGUCUUUGAAAUCCAGGGCUGCAGGUGCCUCAUCUAGCAGACCCCCUACCUCUGCAAGGCCAAAAGCUCCUGAUGGAGAGAAGGUAGUAGAUGAUGCAGCAACUGGGUCAGAAACCUAUGAACCCCGGGAUUGAUCCAUUCCAGGUAUACUCUAACCCUUAGUUUAUCUUUAUUUUCAAUUUUAAGUUGAGGGUGUAGGGUAGGAUGUUGUUGUAACAAUUUUUGGUAGAUAAUUAGGAGUAAUACAGGUACUUGAGAUAGUUAGCUUGUUUUGUGACUUUUAAGCACAUCUCAAUUGAUCUGAGUUUAUAACUGUGUGAAUUGCAUUCAUCUGUGACUGCGGUGUAUCUUUUUGUGGCAUUAGUCUGGCGAAUUAACAAUUUUUUCUAAACAAAUUGCAUGAAUCGGAUAAGUAGUGAUAUGCAAUGUACUUGUGUCCCAUGUGUGUGUGAGGUCUUACUCAGCUCCUGCUGUGUGCCAAAUCUAGAACUUGCCCUGUUAGUCCUGCCUAGGUUAUUGGAUAGGGGUUAGGAAAGGAUCAUAGGCCAUUUUUUAUUGUAACCCACUUUCAGGCUAAAUGACCUUCCCAAUGUGAAUAUAUUCUUUGAUCCCUGAUUUGAGCCUAUAUGCCUGUUUCUUUCUGUGAAACCUCUUACCUUCCUAUUUACCUCACAAUGAACCUAUUUUAGCCCUGGUCCUCCUUGGAAUUUGUGCACCUUGACUUAGGCAAACAACCUACGUUGAGGGUGGCUAUUAUAGGGGUUCGUGAUGCAAAAUGAGCAUAAAGAGAGGGAGAAUAAGAGAAAAGAAUAAAAAGUUGGGUGCAGUGAAAAAAGGAAUAAGAAAAGAGAAAGCUGUGUUAAAGAUGAUAAAAAAGAUAAUAUGAUGAUUGAAAACACCGCAUCCAUCUUGAGCAUGUGUGAUCAACAAAAUAAGAGGAAGAAAAGAAGGCUGAGAAGUGAAACCCUAAGAGUUUAGUAUAGUGUCAAGGAGGCAUAGUCACUCUAAAAUAUCCAUGAACCAACCCCUAGCCUACAUUACAAACCUAAUAAAAUCCCUAAAGUGAUCUUAAAUGACCUACCUAAAGAUUUGGGUACUGACUAUAAGGGAAAACUUAUGGCAUUUGACAUACAGUGUUUGGAACUUCAUUCUGAGAGUGAGACUUGUGAUUACCGCUAUGUUUAUGUAUGUGAAUUCUGAUAUGAGUGAAAAAGAGAUUUCUUUGUUGUGGGGGCACAUUGGGUAUGUUGCUAAGUCACUAACUUGUUCAGAUAGUGUGAUCUUGGUAUGGCAUGAUUGUUAUUGCUGAAUUUUUGCCGUAUCUUGAUGCUUGUGAGUUGCAUGGUUGUUCUUCAAAACAUCUAUAGUGAGUUUUAAAUUGACUGACCUUGGAGAUGGUGAAAUUAUUCUGAACUAAUAGGAGUAGUUAGCUGGCAAAUUGUACUUUGUAUUCUCUUAGUUAUGUUUUGGUUUCUUGAGGACAAGCAAUUGUUUUAAGUUGAGGGUGUUGAUGUGUGAGCAGAUGCUAACCUAUUUGAGGCUUUUAACUAAGAAUAAUUGCAAAGUCUUAAGUAACUUUUGUCAUUUUUCAUUGUUUUAUGUUUGAUUUUGCAGUUUAAGCUGAUAUGAUAGAAACCAACAAUAAUGGAAGCAAAAAGGCUGAAAUUUGAAGCAAUUAAAAGACAAGUGCAGCUGAUGACAUUCAUGAUAGGUCGUCAGCCCGAUCAUAGGCUAUCAAGGCCAUCAUUAGGCUUAAACUGGGAAUGACUUACAGCUGGUAGAAUCGACGACAUUUUGUGAUAGGCCAUCAUAAUGGNNNNNNNNNNNAUGCCAUCAGACUUAGGCAGGACAUGAGAAUUGGAGCAAAAGUGUAACGACAUUUCUGAUAAGUCGUCACAGUCCUGAUAAGCCGUCAGAAGUUGUCGUCAACCUAAGACAGGACUAGUGCAGAUUUGAAGAAGACUUGACGACAUUCUUGAUAAGUCAUCAGGAUCCUAAUAAGGCAUCACCAAUAGUCGUUGUCUAUUCUGAGAAAAAGCUGUAACCUUGAUUUUGUUUUCUUAUUUAGGGUAAACUAUUUAAAGCUUUGUUUUAGGGUUUUCUAGGGAGGAUCACUAUUAUGAUUAUUAUUCUGCACAAGGUCGACACCUUGAGUUUUGGACAACAUAUUUUGAUAUUUUCUCUCUUUACUUCUUGACUUUAACAACACAACUAUUUUUGAGAGAUUAUUAUCAGUAUUUUGGGAUUUUUCCUUUGUGAUCUAAUCUGCGAUUCACUAGUUAUUAUUCAUCUGUGUAAGUUUAUAUUUCAAAUCAUGAAUUCAAUUAUUUAUUUCGUUCGUUACAUCAUAAGUGGCUAAACUCCAUUAACCUGAGUUAUGGGAUCUAGGGUUAGGUCUUGAUGAGAUGCUAAGUAUUCAAGAUUCAAAAGGUGGCAGGAUUUCUGAUAAUUCUGAAGUUUUAAUUAACGUCUAUUGGUUGCAAACAGUAGACACACCUACUUUGAUUUUCUUGAGAAAGAAAUCAAAUAUAGUAGGAAGUGAAUUAUCAACAGGGACUCGAAAAUAAUUCAUUUAAUAAUCAGCGUUGUAACAAGGUUGGUUAACCUGAGUUAAAAUCUGGGCAGUAAAUAGAAAUUCCCUAGGUCCGAGAGGAUUAGGAAAUUAAAUGCUUAAGUAGGUAGAGAGACAUUUAAGCAUAACAUCGAUAAAGAGAGCUUGUUAUCAUACCCACCGUGAGAAUCUUGAAUCACUUUUAGCAUCUGUCAUGUACCGGAAGCCCUAGUGAACAUAAUUCUGUUUAUUUCAUGAACUCUUGAUUUACAAACACCAAAAGUAAAGUGACAAACAACAACUUGUUAAACCUAAACCCUCUAUUUCAGGAAAUACUAAACUAUCAGUGGAUCAAAUCACAAACAACUUGAGUUCACACCAUAUUUCCUGUGGGAUUUGACCCCAACCUAGUUGGAUUUUAUAUUGACAACGAUCGCUUACACCUAUUCAAGAGUGUAAUUUGAGCGUUAUCACUGCUGCGAGUUGAUUGACCGACUGUCAUUAAUGACGAUGAUGAUAAUAAUAAUAAUAAUAAUAAUAAUUAGAAUGUGUUUUUUCUUUUAGUGUAUGUAUUUUAAUUUUUCUAUAUCGGAUCUAUACCUAAUGUAUUUUAUUUUUCGUUUAAUAAAAAAUUUAUUUUUAGUCGACUUUGGAUAUUUUGGAUCUUGAGUUCUUUCAACAGAUGGACCAUGUAUUGGAACAGAUUGGUCAUCGGUUGAUAGUUGGAGGUAAAGAGCAAUUUUGAAUCCAGUAGCAAUAGCAAUUUUGGCUUUUGAGUUCUUUCAAUAGAUGGACCAUAUGUUGAAAUAGAUUGGUCAUCGGUUGGGUUUCUGUCAACAGAUUAUCCAUCUGUUAUGACAGAUUUAUCAUCUGUUAGAGGAAAAUAUUCCAGUUUUAUGGAACUAUGUUGUGUUCUUCCAGCUAAUGUCCAUCUGUUGCCACAGAUAGGUAAUCUGUUGUUCUAUAUCGGAUCUAUACCUAAUGUAUUUUAUUUUUCGUUUAAUAAAAAAUUUAUUUUUAGUCGACUUUGGCUUUUAAUCCUUAUUCAAUUUUCAUUCUGUCUAUUUCUUCUUCUAAAUAUUUUAUAUGUUAACAUGUUGAUAGUUGGAGGUAAAGAGCAAUUUUGAAUCCAGUAGCAAUAGCAAUUUUGGCUUUUGAGUUCUUUCAAUAGAUGGACCAUAUGUUGAAAUAGAUUGGUCAUCGGUUGGGUUUCUGUCAACAGAUUAUCCAUCUGUUAUGACAGAUUUAUCAUCUGUUAGAGGAAAAUAUUCCAGUUUUAUGGAACUAUGUUGUGUUCUUCCAGCUAAUGUCCAUCUGUUGCCACAGAUAGGUAAUCUGUUGAAAAUACUUGUGGUCUGUUGUAUUGUUUAGUUCAUGUUUUGCCUCUUUUUAUUGAUGCACAAAUUAUUAAAAAAGAUAUCUUAUAUAUAUAUAAUAAAUGAAUAUUAAGUUCACAAAAAUGAUUUAAAUAUAUAAAAGUGCACCACAAACAACAACACAAGUUUUUGCAAUUACAACAAUCAUGGUGAAUUACGAUUCGGGCAUGUAGUUCUUUUGUGGCCAGCGCUCUUACAUACGGAGCACUUGUUUCUUCUUGAUGAAAAUGAUUCUCCAACUCCACGCCUUCUCUUAUAUAGGUUUCUUCCUAGUUUGAUAGUGCUUGAGUCAAUAUAUUGGAGGAGGUAUUAAUCUCCCCAUAAGCUCUGCAAGAACAACCCAAGAUUCUUCGGGAGACACCAGAGUAAUAUGUCCUUUCAUAUUUUGCCAUCGAAUAAUAUUGAGAGGAGUGCUCGUAAACUUCAACUCCAUAUUUAUGUCUGUUUUGAGCUUGAAGCACUGCCAUAGCAUGUGGACAGGAUAUUUUGUCCAAGUCAAAAACUCUGCACAUACAAGAUCUUAUUUGAAGAUCGACCGUGGCAACAUCACCAUGACCGGUGAUACUGAAUUUGCAAUCUGCUAUUUUAUGAGAUAAUAAACUACUCCCCAAACUGAUGUUCGUUGAUAUUAUUUUUUCUAUUUUGAGAAUAAAUCGAGAUCUUUUUUUGGGGCACUUGAACUGUACACGCCUUUCGUUAAAAAAUUUGCCAUACUUCUUGCUUAUUUUUUCAAACAUAGCCUUGAUAGAAAAUUCUCUUUCAUCGCCAAACAAUGAAUUCACCAAUUCAACUAUGUUUGAUGUCAUAAUAUUGUACCUAUAUAAAAGAAUCACUUAGUAUGACAUCAUACUAAACUUGUAACUUAAAUAAGAUAUUAAAUCGAUAAGAAUGUGCCUAUCUGCUGGACAGAAUGCCCGGGUCCAUCUCUUGAAACUGAUACGUAUGAGAAAUUCUGCUACCUUGGAAUUCAUAUCCAUUAAUUCUCCUUUCUACUAUAUUCUUUAGCUGCUCUAUAAAAAAGGGUCACGACCCUUUCUUUGUGAUAGUUGGUCCAAAUGUUCUCUCCAAGAUGCCUGAUGCAACAACCAAAGUAAGCUGAAGUGAAAAAAUGUGAACCCAUCUUUAGAAUACUUGGAUUCCUAUCUGAUAAAAAACACAAAUCUUCGGUAUCUCCGACGCAGCUUCGUAGUUGUUCAAAAAAAAUCCAUAAGAGGCAUCACAUUCCUUGUCUUCUACACAAAAAGUGAUAGGAAAGAUGUGAUUCUCCAUAUCCUGCGCCACCGCCUCUAGCAGAACUCCAUUAUACGAGCUCCUCAAAAAGGUACCGUCGACGGCUAUGCCUUUUCUUAAAUGUCAAAAACCUUGAAUUCAAGCACCAUAGGAUACUAUAAAGUACUUAAGCCUUCUAUUUUUAUCAAGAUUCAAUGUCGUCUUACUUUCAGGAUUUGUGGACUCAAUCAUGUAACGGUAGGCAUCCAGGACGACAUACCCAUGUCAAGUGUCCCCCUAACCAAGUCCUUGGCAAUCUCCAUGGCCAUAUAUAUCUUUCAAUAACUGACCAGGACACCCAAUUCUGUAAGGAUUUGAUUGGCCAUAACCUUUGUUGUAGGGCCUUUGCCAUCGGGGAAACUAUUCCUGAAAUAUUCACCGAGGACCUUUGCCAUGGCGUGAGGAUUUUGGCCCGAGAUAUGCUCCGAACCACAUGUGUGAUGCUUUUCAUGUUUAUGAAUGAUGAAUCUGUCAGAACUUGCAUACUUCACCACUUGCAGUUCAAAUUAGCAUAUUUGAAGCAAAAGACACUUCUUGAAUUAAUCACCUUCUUUAUUCUGAAAUCUUUUUUCAAGCAAGAAAUAAACAAAGUGGUAGAUAGUUCAUUAUUGUCCUUGAAUGACAUUCUAAUAAAAAAGACAGUCCUGUCGUCUCGAAGAUUUCCAGACUGUGUUGAUUGAGAAGAACUGCACAUCAUAUUGGUCGCAUUAACGGGCAUAUGUAUUUGAUCGUCAUCUGGAAUAUUCAUGUCUAGAUCAUCCAACCUAUCAUUAAAGAUGUCUUUUUGUUGAUGUUGUUCUACAUUCUGGUUCUUGUUCUCUCUCAUCUUUUCAACCACGUACACCCUUAACACCGACCUGGAUGAAUCACUAAGAUAAGCACGCAACCGAAGCUGAUCGAUUAUCUUGAAAGCCAGUACCCUCUGAUUUUCAAAGGAGAUGUACAUGUAGCUAAUUACAAGUUCUUCCGAUUGAUAAUUCAGUCCACAAUAAUUGAUGAUUAAUUUCACAAAAUAAUUAUAAGAAAUAUCACUUUGGACUGUCAUAACUAUCGUCUCUAACAUUUCACCCUCGUUCCAACGCCAUACAUAUCGAUUGCUCUUCUCGAUCCAUUGACCAUGACAAUCCACCCCUAUUGUAAUUGGCCCCUCCAUUAGUGGUACCUAAAUAAAGUCAUUUGUUAAAAAAAGUUAAUAGUGAUUUCAUAGUGCUGUAAAUGAAUCCCAACAGAAGUAUAAUUAGUCACAACAGAUUACUUACCUGUUGGGAUUCAUGUUACGCUCCUGAAUCUGAUUUCAACAGAUGAGUCAUCUGUUGUAAAAAGUGAAUCAUAUAUUGCAACAGACUAUUUAUCUGUUGGGAUUGAUGUUAUAGUAAUGAGGCACCUUUGAAGUUGAUUCCAACAUAUGAGUGACAUAUUGCAACAAAUAAUUAACCUGUUGCAACAAAUGGCUUACCUGUUGAAACAGACGAUGAUUUGUUGGAAUUGAGGUCAGGUUUUAUCGCAAUAGGUUACUAAUAUGUUGCAACAAAAAUUUGCCUUCCAUGGUAAUCGAGCUCGGGUUCUGUUGCAAUAGAUACCCUAUUGUAACUGACAACACGUCUGUUGGAAUUGAGUUCAGGUUCUGUUGCAAUAGGUUUGUAAUCUGUUGCAAUAGAUAUUUAUCACGUUGCACCAGAUAACUAAUAUGUUUAAACAGAUAAAUUAUUUAUUGCAAUAGAUGACCCAUAUGUUCAAUUCAAUUUAUGACAUAUAGAACCAUAAAUAUGAAUCUAAUAUAUCAGUCUUCCGUUGAAACAAAUGUCUCAUCUGUCGUAAAAGAUGAUUUAUCUGUUUAAAAAAAUGGCUCUUAUGCUGGAUUCAUGAUCGGGUUCUAUCUAUUGUUGAAAAAAUAGUACAAUAGUAAUUACCCAGAUAAAAUUCAACUAAAAAUCAUAAUUUGACUUACCAAAGUCUCCUAUGAAGUAAUGCCAAAGUGAAAAGUGAUGUACGAAACAAGAUUUGACUUAAUAAAUUGGUCAAAUAGCAACAGUAGCGGUAACAACAACAAUAACGACAAUGGUCAACAAGAGGAAAAUGAAAGUGAUAAUGAAGUAGAAGAUGACGAUAAUGAAGUAGAAGAUAAUGAAUAAAGCAGUAGCGACAAUAAACAACAAAAAUCGUUAAGAGAGAGAAAAUAAUAAUGGAUGAGAAGAGAGAGAAAGGUUCCUUUUUCCCCUCCGUUUUCCGUUAUAUUAGGUAAACAUUUGGAUCAAAGUGUAAAUUUAAAAACUUGUGAGUUAUUCUCAAACUUACCAAACUUUCUUAAUCCAUAAUAAAGUUAUUGUCACUCCACUCAAUUAUUAAGACUUGUGUCUUUUACUAUAAAUGCUGGACUAUUGUGUUUACUAUUACUUUUUUGUAUAUAUUGUUUUUCAGUAAUUCAUCUAUAUAUUUUAAAUUCUUUUAAAUCGUCAAAAUUAUAUGUUAAUGGUUUUUGAGUUAUUAUGCUAUUUUUAUCUAUUAAUUCAAUUUUUUAUAGUAGUUUUAUGUUUUCCCCAACCUUUUAAUAGAUCUUCACUAUGUAACUUUAUUAAUUUUUUCUUUAUUAUUUCUACUUUAUCUAUUGAAAAUAUAGUUAUUUCUUUUUUAUUUAUUGAAAAUACAACUAGUUCUAACUUUUGUGUAAUUUUUUUUACUUCCUUUUAUCCAAUUAGUUUUCUUUCUUAUUUUAUUAAUAACUCUUUUUGCUCUUACUUUUUAUUUACAUAGUGUUGUAAACCACCAAUCUAUUUUAGUUAUUAUAUAUGUGUAUAAUUUAUCUAAAAAUGACAUUCCUAAAAUCAUAUCUUUUGAUGUUAGUUCAUAAUUAUAGAUUUCUUAUAUUGUUAUUAUUUUAUCCCAUAUCUUUAUUUUUACAUUUUUAGCUUUAUAUGUAAUUAAACUUCCUUCAUUAUUAAAUCCUUUGAUUACUAUUGAUAUUUUUAAUUUAUCCCAUUUACUUUCUGAUAAACAGUUGUAUCUACAUAAGUUUGCUUCUGCUCCUGUAUCUAUCAUAGGUGUAUAAUACCUAUUAUAAUAUCCUUCUUCUAUUAUUUUUACAAGUACAUAUAUUUUCAUGUCAUGUCAAAGUUCUUUUUAUGAAUAAUUUCUCUUUAUUAUAAGUUAUAGCUAAUUGUGUAUGUUCUAUAUUGUAUGGUUUUACUUGUUCUAACCAUUUUAUUCCUAAUAUUAUNNNNNNNNNNNNNNNNNNNNNNNNNNNNNNNNNNNNNNNNNNNNNNNNNNNNNNNNNNNNNNNNNNNNNNNNNNNNNNNNNNNNNNNNNNNNNNNNNNNNNNNNNNNNNNNNNNNNNNNNNNNNNNNNNNNNNNNNNNNNNNNNNNNNNNNNNNNNNNNNNNNNNNNNNNNNNNNNNNNNNNNNNNNNNNNNNNNNNNNNNNNNNNNNNNNNNNNNNNNNNNNNNNNNNNNNNNNNNNNNNNNNNNNNNNNNNNNNNNNNNNNNNNNNNNNNNNNNNNNNNNNNNNNNNNNNNNNNNNNNNNNNNNNNNNNNNNNNNNNNNNNNNNNNNNNNNNNNNNNNNNNNNNNNNNNNNNNNNNNNNNNNNNNNNNNNNNNNNNNNNNNNNNNNNNNNNNNNNNNNNNNNNNNNNNNNNNNNNNNNNNNNNNNNNNNNNNNNNNNNNNNNNNNNNNNNNNNNNNNNNNNNNNNNNNNNNNNNNNNNNNNNNNNNNNNNNNNNNNNNNNNNNNNNNNNNNNNNNNNNNNNNNNNNNNNNNNNNNNNNNNNNNNNNNNNNNNNNNNNNNNNNNNNNNNNNNNNNNNNNNNNUUUUCAAUAUAAUACUAAUGAUUUAUCUAUAUUUUUAUUUGUUAUUGCUACUGAAUAAUUCGCACUUAUUAUAAAUUUAAAUUUUUGGUAUAUUAAAUUUUCUUUUAUGGCAGUUAUUAUACUUUUUUCUAUAGAUUUUAUAAUUCUAUCAUCUGCUAAACAUAAUUCUAUUAGUGUAUCUAUUCCUUCUCUAAACUAUGCUUUUAUUAAUAUCUCUGUUCCUCCAAGGUGUACAUAUUUUAUUAGGUCUUUACUUUUUAUAUCGUUUAUUUUCUUAUUAAUCAUUCUCUUUGUUACUAGUGGUAUACCAGCUCUUCCUUUUGCAUAUCUACAGUCUAUUAUAUGUUCUUUUUGACUUAGUACGUAGUAUUCUUCCUUUUUUCUACUAAAUAUAUUUUUUAUUGUUGGUAUUUUAAAUAAUUUUUCUACACUUAAGUCUAACUCUUUUCCUUUUAUUUCAUCAAAUAUAUUAUUCUCAAAUAUUAUGUAUUGAUCUGUUCGUUCUUCAUUUAAAUAUUCUUCGUUUGUUAUUAUUUUUAUAUCUUCUUUAGUUAUUUGUUUCAUUUUUAUAUCUUCUUCAGUCAUUUGAUUCAUCUAAUUCACUAUCUAUUUCAUUCUCCGAAAUUUCAUAUAUACUAUCUUCACUUUCUAAUUCGUAAUCUAUAUAAUCUAUCUGCAUAUAUUCUGUAUUUUCUAUUUUUAUUUCUGAUAUUUGUUUCUUUUUUGNNNNNNNNNNNNNNNNNNNNNNNNNNNNNNNNNNNNNNNNNNNNNNNNNNNNNNNNNNNNNNNNNNNNNNNNNNNNNNNNNNNNNNNNNNNNNNNNNNNNNNNNNNNNNNNNNNNNNNNNNNNNNNNNNNNNNNNNNNNNNNNNNNNNNNNNNNNNNNNNNNNNNNNNNNNNNNNNNNNNNNNNNNNNNNNNNNNNNNNNNNNNNNNNNNNNNNNNNNNNNNNNNNNNNNNNNNNNNNNNNNNNNNNNNNNNNNNNNNNNNNNNNNNNNNNNNNNNNNNNNNNNNNNNNNNNNNNNNNNNNNNNNNNNNNNNNNNNNNNNNNNNNNNNNNNNNNNNNNNNNNNNNNNNNNNNNNNNNNNNNNNNNNNNNNNNNNNNNNNNNNNNNNNUACUAUUUUUGCUUCAUCCCAACUCUUUAUUAUUUUUGAACUAAAUAGUUUAGGUAAUUUACUAAAAUAUAAUCUUCUUAUUUCUUUACUUUCUUCUGUAUUAUAUAUUCCUUUAUAAUAAUAUUAUUUAAAUACGCACGUAUACUCAUCUAAAUAACACAUAUUACAUAUUGCUAAUUUUAACAUUAAAUUUCUAUUUGUAUCUUUUUCUUUAUUUUGCUCUUCUCCUGUUGUUACACUGCUAAAUUCAUCUCUUAUAACUAUUUCAUAUUUUUUCAAAAUUUCUGCUAGUAGUAUUUUAGUAGUUGUUGAUGUUCCUUCUGUUUUGUUAUCAGAUCUUAAUACUUUUUUACUUGCUUCGGCUACGUUUAAAAACCAUAAUCUUACUGUUCCUAUUAAUGUCUUUUCUAUAUAUUUUGGCGUGUUUAUUGUAUCUAUUUUAUUAUCUAAUAAUUGUUUUGACAUAUAUUUUGCCCAUAAUUGUAUUUUUUUAUUUGUGUCUAUUACAUAGUCUAAAUCUAAAAAGUUGUAAUUAAUUAUUUAUUUUGGUGUCUAUUUAUUAUAUUCAUCCUUUGACUUUUAUCUUUUAAACUUAUUUUUGUAAUUAUAGGUUGGUUUUCUUAUUUUUGAUGUACUUGGUAUUAUAUUUUUAUCUGAAGUAUUUACUUCUGUAUUUACUAGUUCUAGAUUUUCUUUAUUAAUUACUUCUUGUUCUUCAUUAAUUUCUAGUUUUCUUAUGUUUUCUAGAAUUUCUAUAUAUGUUUCACUAUCUUCCGAAUCAUAAUUAUCUUUCUAAUUCACUGGUUUCUGAUUCUUUCUUUUUUAUUUCUAAUUUUUCUUUAAAUUGAUUUAUCUCAUUUAAUAAUUUUUGUUCUUUAUCUUUUUCUUCUUUUUCUUUCUGUCUUUUUUCAUACAAAUCUUUUAGCAUUAAUACCAUCCAAUUACUCCCAAGAUAUGAGUAUUAAUAAAAUUAAAAUAAAUAAACUAAAAAUAAAAUUUUUUAGAGAAGUUAAGGAACAUCCAUGCACAAAUAAAAAUAGAUCCACCCAAGUUAUAAUAGAUCUAUUUUUUUUUUGUGCAUGGAUAUUUCUUAACUUCUCUAAACAUUUUUAUUUUUAGUUUAUUUAUUUUAAUUUUAUUAAUGUUCAUAUCUUGGGGGGUGAUUGGAUGGUAUUUGAUUAAAUGCUUUACUAUAAUAUUCUUUAGUUUUUUCUCUUAGUCUUUGCAAUUCUUGUAUAUUAUUUUGAAGGUAUUCUAAAUAUUCUAUAUCCUUUGUUCUGAAAUAUUCAAUAAAAUUCUCUUUCAUAAGUAUUUCUGUUAAUCUUAUUUUUUCCAUAUAUUGUCUCUAAUAUUUUAAAUACUCAUAGUCUAUUAUUUUAUCCUAAAGUAGUUGUAAUACUGCAAUUUUCUUUGUAAUAAUUUAUUCUAAUUGUACUAUAUCUGAUAUUAAAUUCUAGGCCAUCUAUUUCGUUAAUUAUCCUGCCUUUUUCUUCUAUGAAUAAUUCUAUGUCUAAAUCAUAUUCUAAACUGACUUUUAAUCCUAGUUGUUUUAUGGUUUUAUUUAUCCAAAUUAAUCUUUCUUUCAAUUGUUCUCUUUCUCUUCUAAGAUGGUUUCUAUAAUUAAUUUCUUCAUAUAGCCAACUUUAUUUUUCUCUAACUCUUUGAAUAUAUUCUAGUAUUUUUAAUUUGUAUAAUAUCCAUCUGAAUAAUAAAUAUCUGAAUUAUUUCUACCAUAGAAAUCUAUAUUUUCUAAUUCAUCUUCUAUCCGAUUAGUACUUACUAACUCAUCUUCAAAAUCAAAUUUUUUUUCUCAUAUUAUUUUCUUUAUGUCUUCUAAUUCUAUGUCUUUUAUGAUAUAUAAAACAAGUAUCUUAGUUUCAUUAAAUAUAUAACUUGUCAUAUUAUUCAUAUAAUUCUUAGGUUUCUACGAAUAACUUGGAUUACUUGGAAUUGGAUUCUAGUAAUUAAAUGCUUUAUCAUAGUAUUUAUUAGUUGUUUGUUUUAAUCUUAAUAAUUCUUGUAUAUUUUUAUUAAGGAAUUCUGUAUAUUUUAAAUCCUUAGUUCUCAUACAUUUUUCUAGAUUGGUUUCCAUUAGUUUUUCCUACUAAUUGUAUAUUUUUCAUAUCUAUUUUCCAAUAUUCUAAAUAUACAUAAUUUAUCAUGGUUGAUGUGUAGGUUUGGUAUGUAAGUAUUUGUAAGAAUAGGUAGGUAGGUGUGGUAUGUAAUUUAUUCUAGUCAUAAAAUAUUUAUCAAAUAUUUUUUUCAAUAUGAUUUUUCUUAUAUCUACAAUUUCUAUAUCCUUAAGUACAUACAAAACAAGUAUUUUAAAUUUAUCCACCAUUUCGUCAGAUAAAUAAGUAUUCAUUUUUCAUAUGAUGUUUUUUUCAAUCAUACACAUAACAAAAUAUGAUCAUUUUAGAUUACUAUAUACUAGAUUAUUCUUAAAUAACAUGUUCUUCGGUCAUUAAUAGCAUGGUAAUCUGGAUACUUUUUCCUUAAACAAUGUCUCUACUCUGGCUACUCCCCUAUCACGGCUUUCUUGCCUCACCGGUUUCACCUUUAGGAUGGCAUAGUUCUUAGGGAUUUUUCUCCUUGUCCACUUUGCUAAUAAACUUCUUAACAUGCUAUUCUUCGAAUAAUUCUACUAUAAAUUAACUAACAUGAACUUAUUUUAUCAUAUCAUGAUUGCCAGGAAUUUAUAAAUUUAGCUAUUCAUAAUCACAAAUAUAAAUACCUGUUCUGGUAAAUCUGUUAAUUCUAUAUUUUCCAUAGCUAUUUGAUGAUUCAUAGCUUUUCCUUGGAAAUAUACCUGUUUUUAUUAAAUAAUUCAAAAUUUUUUUGUGUACAAAGGAGGGUUUUGCUUCAACUCAUGAAGACUUUCCCUUUAUCUGAGCGGAUGCUUGUCUAUUUAUAACCUAAAAAUGAAAACACGUAUACUAUUUUAAUUUACACCUUUCCUAAUAUAAUUCUACAAAGACUACUUUAUAAAAAGUAGAAAUCAAAAAGUCUUAAAGGCUAUUAAGACUAGUAAUGAUAGGUGCCAAAAAGUCAAGAGUAAUAAUGACACUCUAAUAAUGCUAUACAUUUUAUGUAAAAAUAAGUUAAGAAAAACUUACUAUUUUUCCAUAUGUCGCUUUCUAACUUUUAUUAACUUGUCUCCUUUGUCUUUUAUUUCUUUAUUAUUGAUCCGUUGUUAUUUUCUUCUUGCCAUAUCUGCUAUUUUUUUUUAUCUUCUUACUAUUGUAGCAUCACAUCUGGAAUAAAGAAGUGUCUUCCACUACAUCUGCCGCAUAUGUUUGUAUCUUUGACUAACCUGUUUACAGAAUUGAUCCAUAGCUUCUUUUGAAAUAACUCCUUUCGUAAUAGAUCUUGUGAUUGAUAAUUCUUCUAGUUUUUGGAUCGUUAUGACCCAUUUUCUUAUAUCUUCUCUGUCAUUUUCUCUAAUAUUUUUACAAGUAGAGUAAACUAAUAAUUGAUUUCUGUUAUAGUAAAUCAAAACUGGGUUUUGAUUUAUAUAAUUAUUUGCUAACUCAGUUAAUAUACUGCUAAGUCCUAUAACUCUCUUGUUUCGGUAGAAGUUCGGUAUCUGAUUUUUGGUUAUCUCUUCUUGUUCGCAUAUUUCUUCAGGGAUAAUAUAAUCUCAUGUCAUUCCUAUCUUGACAACAGUAAUUGUCUAUUUUAUUUCAUCAAGCAAUAUUUCUGCUAGUGCUGAGUAGAAACGGACAUAGAAUAACUGUCCCUUUGUAAUCCUUUUAUAAUCCAUAAAUCUUUUGUGAAUAUCUGAAAUUCCUGUUAACUCUUCUUCAGUAAUUGUAUAACUGUAAAUAAUAAUCCAUAAUAGUAACAUGAAGUAAUUAAGUUUGCAGUGGUGUCAGGCAAAGCAAUAAGUUUGUUAUAGUUCUGACAUUUUUGUGUAAUAUAUCCUUGGUGUUGUUUUGCUAAAUCUUUACUCUGGAUAGGUUUUCUAUUUAACAAUUUUUGUAAAUUAUAAAUAUUAUCAAUAUAUGUACGAGUGAUAUGGUUAUAAGUCUAUUUUUGUUGAUUGAGUGAUUCGGAAUAUGUGUGUAUCUAGGGAGGUAUAGAUGACUCUGAUUUUUGUAUAUUUGGUGUAUACAGUUUUGAGAAUAUCUGGUUGAGGUUAUAAUUCUUCUUCUUUGGUUGUUCAGGUUUAUUUUGAGUGACUAUAUUCUUUCCUUUGGAUACAUCUCCUGCGCCUGCAGUUGUAACUGUAAUUUCGUUAGUAAUUUGAGUUUUUAGGUGUUUCUCAUCGUCACCUUCUAGGUCUAGUUUUUUAAUCUGCUCUUCCUGCACAGUAUCUUUGCUAAUAGCUUUUUCUUGUUUUUUAUAGUGCUCAACCUGCACUUUUACAUCUGUAACUUCAGUAGUUAAUGUGAUAACUCGUUCUUGUAAUAACUUCAUUUGUUCAAACAUUUGUAAUAUUAAGUCUGUUUGGGUAUCUUUGACAUUAGCUUCUUCCAUUGGUAAAUCAGUUUGAAUAGAUUUGUCUUGAUAUGUAAUCUGCAAUAACAUUCUUGUCAGUCUUGAUUACUUCAAUUGUAAAUGUAAAGUUUAAUAUAUUCAAUACUAAUCUUCAAAUUUCCUUCGUCGUAACUGAGUUUUGUAUUUUUCUUGUUAACCACCAUCGAAACUGGGUAUUAUCUGUCCUCACAAUAAAUUUGUUAUAUACAAUAUAUGGUUCAAAUGCUAAUAAAUAUUUAUAUAAUAAACAUAAUUCUUUUUUAUUUAUUGCCCAUUUUAUUUAUGUUUCAUUAAAUGCACCUGAGUAUUAUCUACAAUGGUGUUCUAAUUUUUCUUCUUCAUAUCUAUAUUUAAGUACUCCUCCAUAACUAUAUUCACUUGCGUCUGCUUCUACUAUAUAUGUAAAUUUUUUAUUUUCAUAUGGGAAUUAUAAUUUUGGUAAUUCUUUACAAAGUAUUUUUAUUUUCUGAACUUGUUUUUUAUCUUCUUCGUUGNNNNNNNNNNNNNNNNNNNNNNNNNNNNNNNNNNNNNNNNNNNNNNNCUUUAGGUUUUCUGCUAAUUUUGGUAUAUAUUCUCUUACUUGGUUUACUAAUCCUAAAAAUAAUUGUAAUUUCAUUUUUGUAUCUAAUUCUUCUUUUGAAUUUAUUAUUUUUUGUACUAUAUGUUGUUGCAUUUUUACUCCACUUUUAUCUAUUUGUAUUGCUAAAACCUCUAUCUGGCUUUUCACAAUUUCGGCUUUCUUUUUACUUAAACUUAUUCCCGAUUUUUCUAUUAUAUCUGUAAAUUGUUCUAAUAAUCUUAAAUGUUGCUCUUUAGUUUUUGUAUAUAGUAGUAUAUCAUUUAUGUAUAUUAUACAAUUAGGUAAUUAUUUAAAAUAACUAUCCAUAAAGUGUUGGUAUCUACCUGGUGCAUUUUUAUAUUCAAAUGGUAAUACGUUUCAUUCAUAAAAUCCUUGUGGUACCGUAAAUACGGUUAAUUCCUUAGAUUCUUCAUCUAACUUUACGUGGUAAAAUCGUGAUUUACAGUCAAAUUUACUAAAGUAGUUGUAUCCUUGUAUUUGUCUUAUUUUUAAUAUCUUAUUUGGUAUUGGAUAAUUGUAUGUCAUAGUUUUUGCAUUUAAAUUUCUAUAGUUAAUAACCAUUCUACUUUUNNNNNNNNNNNNNNNNNNNNNNNNNNNNNNNNNNNNNNNNNNNNNNNNNNNNNNNNNNNNNNNNNNNNNNNNNNNNNNNNNNNNNNNNNNNNNNNNNNNNNNNNNNNNNNNNNNNNNNNNNNNNNNNNNNNNNNNNNNNNNNNNNNNNNNNNNNNNNNNNNNNNNNNNNNNNNNNNNNNNNNNNNNNNNNNNNNNNNNNNNNNNNNNNNNNNNNNNNNNNNNNNNNNNNNNNNNNNNNNNNNNNNNNNNNNNNNNNNNNNNNNNNNNNNNNNNNNNNNNNNNNNNNNNNNNNNNNNNNNNNNNNNNNNNNNNNNNNNNNNNNNNNNNNNNNNNNNNNNNNNNNNNNNNNNNNNNNNNNNNNNNNNNNNNNNNNNNNNNNNNNNNNNNNNNNNNNNNNNNNNNNNNNNNNNNNNNNNNNNNNNNNNNNNNNNNNNNNNNNNNNNNNNNNNNNNNNNNNNNNNNNNNNNNNNNNNNNNNNNNNNNNNNNNNNNNNNNNNNNNNNNNNNNNNNNNNNNNNNNNNNNNNNNNNNNNNNNNNNNNNNNNNNNNNNNNNNNNNNNNNNNNNNNNNNNNNNNNNNNNNNNNNNNNNNNNNNNNNNNNNAUGUGUGUAUAAUUUAUCUAAAAAUGACAUUCCUAAAAGCAUAUAUUUUGAUGUUAGUUCAUAAUUAUAGAUUUCUUCUAUAGUUAUUAUUUUAUCCUAUAUCUGUAUUUUUACAAUCUUUGCUUUAUAUGUAAUUAAACUUCCCUCAUUAUUAAAUCCUUUGACUACUACUGGUGUUUUUAAUUUAUCUCAUUUAUUUUCUGGUAAACAAUUGUAUCUACAUAAGUUUGCUUCUGCUACUGUAUCUAUCAUAGGUAUAUAAUACCUAUUAUAAUAUCCUUCUACUAUUAUUUUUACAAGUACAUAUAUUUUCAUGUCAUGUCAAAGUUCUUUUUAUGAAUAAUUUCUCUUUAUUAUAAGUUAUAGAUAAUUGUGUAUGUUCUAUAUUGUAUGGUUUUACUUGUUCUAACCAUUUUAUUCCGAAUAUUAUAUCUGCUUUUUACAUUUCUUCUUUUAUUUCAAAUUUUAUUUUUAUUUUUCUAACUCCUAUUAUUAUUUCUUUUUCUGCUGUAUCCUUAAUGUUUAUUAGACUCCUUGGUAGAUCUGGGCAUAUAUUACUAUUAGAUUCUAUUUCUUCACUUUUUACUAGAUAUUUUGCUAUAUAAUUUUUUCUUGUCCUGUAUUUAAGAGUAUUAAAUAUUCUUUUCAUUUAUUUUUCCAAUUAUAUAAUAUUGGUUUAAAUUAAGUAUUGAAGUCGUUUCAUAAUUUGUUCUUUUUUAUGAGCUUGAUGAUUCUGGUUUUCAUGAGCUAUUCUUUUUGUUAUACUUAUUCUAUCAUUUAUUAUUUCUAAAUCUUCUUCUAUGUCUAUAUUUUUGUAACUAUAAUCAUUAUAAUCAAUUGCUUUUACAAAUUUUUCAAAAGGACUUUCUAUUUGUAUUUUAUUAAUUUUAUUUUUUCCUGUUAUUUUAUUUUUUGUUGUUAAUACAUAUAGGUUUUUACAUGUUGCUGUAAAUAUUUUACUUCUUAGGGUUAGUUCUAUUCCUGAUAUUUUUCAAUAUAAUACUAAUGAUUUAUCUAUAUUUUUAUCUAUUAUUGCUACUGAAUAAUUCGCACUUAUUAUAAAUUUAAAUUUUUGAUAUAUUAAAUUUCCUUUUAUGGCUGUUAUUAUACUUUUUUCUAUAGGUUUUAUAAUUCUAUCUUCUGCUAAGUAUAAUCCUAUUGGUGUAUCUAUUCCUUCUCUAAAACAUGCUUUUAUUAAUAUCUCUGUACCUGCAAGGUAUACAUAUUUUAUUGGGUCUUUACUUUUUAUAUCGUUUAUUUCUUUAUUAGUCAUUUUCUUUGUUACUAGUGGUAUACUAGCUCUUCCUUUUGCAAAUCUACAGUCUAUUACAUGUUCUUUUUGAGUUACUACGUAGUAUUCUUCCCUUUUUCUACUAAAUAUAUUUUUUAUUGUUGGUAUUUUAAAUAUUUUUUCUACACUUAUGUCUAACUCUUUUCCUUUUAUUUCGUCAAAUAUAUUACUGUCAAAUAUGAUCUGUUCCUUUUUUAUUUAAAUAUUAUUCCUUUGUUAUUAUUUUUAUAUCUUCUUCAGUGAUUUGGUUCAUUUUUAUAUCUUCUUCAGUCAUUUAAUUCAUCUAAUUCACUAUCUAUUUCAUUAUCUACUUUAUUCUCCGAAAUUUCAUAUAUACUAUCUCACUUUCUAAUUCAUAAUCUAUAUAAUCUAUUUGCAUAUAUUCUGUAUUUUCUAUUUUUAUUUCCGAUAUUUGUUUCUUUUUUGGAUUCUUAGGCAUUUUACAAUCUCUAGCUAAAUGUCCUAGUUUUUCCACAAUUAUAACAAAUACAUUCUUUUAUAGAUUUCUUUUUCCUAUAUGGUCUUUUAUGUUUAUAAUUUUUUACAUAAUAUCUUUUUCUUGGUUUCUAAGACUUAUAUUUUAAUUUCUUGUAUUUCUUAUAUUUCUUAUGUCUUUUUCUUUUCUUAUAAUAUCUUUCUUCACAUCCAAAUUGAGGUGCUAUUUUAUCUUUGCAACAUGCUAAAUUUCUUAUUAAUGUUUUUUCCAUUUUUAUUUCUUCUCUAUACUUUUCACAUAGAUUUCUAUACUAUUUUUGUAAAAAUUUUAUUCUUACUUCUAGGGUAUCUACUAUUUUUGCUUCAUCCCAACUCUUUAUUAUUUUUGAACUAAAUGGUUUAGGUAAUUUACUAAAAUAUAAUAUUCUUAUUUCUUUACUUUCUUCUGUAUUAUAUGUUCCUUUAUAAUAAUAUUCUUUAAAUGUGCACGUAUACUCAUCUAUAUAACACAUAUUACAUAUUGCUAGUUUUAACAUUAAAUUCCUAUUCGUAUCUUUUCUUUAUUUUGCUAUUCCGCUUCUGUUGUUACACUGCUACAUUCAUCUCUUAUAGCUAUUUCAUAUUUUUUCAAUAUUUCUGUUGGUAGUAUUUUAGUAGUUGUUGAUGUUCCUUAUGUUUUGUAAUCAGAUCUUAAUACUUUUUUACUUGCUUCGGUUAGGUUUAAAAACCAUAAUUUUACUGUUCCUAUUAAUGUCUUUUCUAUAUAUUCUGGCAUGUUUGUUGUGUCUAUUUUAUAAUCUAAUAAUUGUUUUGACAUAUAUUCUACCCAUAGUUGUAUUGUUUUAUUUGUGUCUAUUACACAGUCUAAAUCUAAAAAGUUGUAAUUAAUUAUUUGUUUUGGUGUCCAUUUAUUAUAUUCAUCCUUUGGAUUAUAUCUUUGAAACUUAUUAUUGUAAUUUAGGUUGGUUUUCUUUUUUCUGAUGUACUAGGUAUUAUAUUUUUAUCUAGAGUAUUUACUUCUGUAUUUAUUAGUUCUAGGUUUUCUUUAUUAAUUACUUCUUGUUCUUCAUUAAUUUCUAGUUUUCCUAUGUUUUCUGGAAUUUCUGUAUAUGUUUCACCAUCUUUCGAAUCAUAAUUAUUUGUUUCUUCCGCAUCUACUGUAUUUAUUUCUAAUUCACUAAUUUCUAAUUCUUUAUUUUUUAUUUCUAAUAUUUAUUUAAACUGAUUUAUCUCAAUUAAUAAUUUUUGUUCUUUUUCUUUUUCUUUUUCUUUUUUUUCUUCUAUCUUUUUUCAUACAAAUAUUUUAGCAUUUGCAGUUUUUUUUCUAAUUUAGCAAUCCUACUAUUUUUAGUUUCUUCUAUUUUUCAUAUUUCUUCUAUGGUUUUUUGUUUUAUUUUAUUUAUUUCCUUUUUUCUGUCUAUUUUUUUGUUUUCUCUUUCUAUUCUUACCAUGACUGCCAACUUAUCUUAUAAUUUUAAUUCUUUUUUUCUAACAUUAAAUAUAAAUGUUCACCUAUUUUCUUAGAUCUUCUUCCUAAAUUAGAGAAUACUAUUUUUAUUUUUAAUCCUUCAUGAUUUUCAUAUGUUUUUUCAUCUAUUAUAAAUUAUUCUUUGUUCAUUUUAUUUAAACGUAUAUAGGUUAUGUUGAUAUAUAUAUUCUAGACUAUCGAUUGUUGAUUAUAAAUUUGAUAUUUCUUCCUUUUGUGCAUUUAUUGAAUUUUUGCUAACUCCGACAAUUAUGUUAUAUUGUAGUCUUUCUAUCCUUAUUUUUAAUUCUUUACGCUUUUCAGAUAUUAUUUAUUUUAAUUCCUCAUAUUUUUAUAAUUUUUUUUCGUUAUUCAUCUAAGCAAUAUUUAUAAUAUUUCGAGGUGCUUUCCAAUGGACUUAAGAAGGUUCUGAAAUCUACUUGGCAAAAUAUUUUUGUGAGGGAAGACAUUUACUAUAUGAAACUUUGGUGGCAAAUGAGGUGGUGGUAGAUUCUAGAAGAAAGUAAGCGAACCACACAUUUGUGCGAUUUGAUUUGGAUUCCUAAGGUAUUGAGUGAGCAGUACGUUUUACUUGGUUGACAGCCAGACGGGUGGUCUUAACUACUGAGAAUCUGAGAAAGAGGAAUAUCACUUAUGUCCACCAUCUCCUUAUACUGUGGUGGUUUUGGAUUAUUUUGGGUCAUGCUAGGCACUUUGAAAUAGAGAAAUUUUAGUUGCAGGUGUUUAGAUGGUGGAGAAGAUGUAAGGCGUGGAUCCUGGCUCCGCACUCAUGUGGGUUGUGUUGUGAAAAAAAAACAUAGAGCUUUUGAAGGGGUGGAGAUGAAUUUGUAUAGUUGAGUAGUCUCUCAUCCCUUAUUUCCUUUGGUGCCUCAAAAUUAUUCCAUUAGCAAAGAAGAUUAGGUGACGUUGGUAGAAAAUCAUUUUUUUAAGGUCUUCCUACUUUUUGGUUUACUUGUAUUAUGGGUGUAGAAUAUCAAUCAACAUUUUUUAUUAUCUUCACUAAUGAAAUUUUUCGGUGUCCCAUUGUUUUCAUACUCUCCAUGCAAGAAAUGUGACUUACAAAAAAAAUUAAAUAUGAUGAAUAUUUAUAUACAUAUUAUUCAUAAUGGUCAUUAAAUUUCUAUCCAAAUAUCACAAUGGAAAGUAAUCUUUUCUUCAUAUUGAAAAUUAUAGUAGAAAAUUUAUAUUCGAUUUGAUACUCAUAAUUUUAGUUUUAUAGUAACAUCAAUGAAUAUGAUACUUUAAACAAAAAUAGGUAAAUAAUGUAAUAUACUACAUGAAAUUUAUCAACUAUAUAAUUUGAUGGAACAUUAAUUACUUACCAAAAUCAUCCAGUUAUUUCUAUAUUAACUAAAUAAAAUUUCGCACAUGGUCAAAAAAAAAUAAAAAAUCUACCAUGUAAUUUGAAAAUAAAAAUGUAUUAAUAUACUUUUAAGUUUUAAAAUUAUAUAAAUCCUUCACUUGGGUUAACAUCUAGAUAAUUUUAAAGGACAGAGAAUAUAAUUAUAAAUCUAUUUUGACUAGUAAAUGUUUAAUGAAUAGCCAUUAUGAAAAUCAUAUAAAUCUAUUUUGACUAGUAAAUGUUUAAUGAAUAACCAAUAUGAAAAUCAAACUUUCAACAUGUCUUAUAAGUAAAUCAAAUCUAAAAUUUAACUUGAAUUAAAAAAAUAUUUUUGAUGUGCUAACUGAAAUAAGAGAAAAAACAUUCACAUUAUGAUUAAUUAGUUUUUGGAAAUGCAUUCAAUUAAAAAGUUGAACCUUAACUUGAUAAUUAAAAUAUUUUUUUUUAAGUGUAAAAAUUGAAAUUGUUAACUAUAGCGACUUAUAUAUGCCCUUUAAUUCUAUAUCAACAAUGCAAAAAGUGUAGAUAAAAUUUUUGGUAUUUUUCAUCGAUAAAAUAUGAUACGAUAAAUUAGCAUACCAAAUUUAUACUUCAAGCCAACAAUACCAUUCUAUUUCAUAGGAAAAAUAAAUACACCUUAACUUAUCAUAUUUACAUAAAUUUUCACCCUUACAAAGUAAAUAUAAAAAUUUCAACUAAUUAUAUAUCUUUGUUGAAUGUAUCAGGGAGUUAAUUAUGUAUCUUAACAGAUCCAAAAGUAACUCUAGUAACAACAUUGUCACAAACCAAUGUGAGUUCCCAUCAAAAUGUAUCCUAUCACAAUCGUAGUAGAAUCAAUUGAAUAGGAGAUAAACCAAAGAAUUCGUGUUUUAUUUGAAUAAUUUAUAUUCCAAUAAGUCAUAGAUUGUUGGAGAAAUUACACAUUUACUUAAUAGGCAUUUUGCUAUGAGAAUUCUUUCACUUUUUUCAAAAAAUACUUUAACUUUAAUGCAAAAGUGAAUAGUAGUGUUUCGCCAUAAGAAUUAUUUCACUCUGCUAUUUCUCUCACAAAAUUUCAAAAACAACUCUACUUUAUAUUCAUGGGCAAACACAAUACCAACUCCAACUCCAAGAAAAUAUUAUUUUCAUGGCUAAACGAGGCCUUAUUCACAAUCUGCAACACUAAUUCGACCAAUAGAUUCAUUUACAAAUUUACAAAUAUAAAUUGGGUUGUACUUCAUCUAUAUGGCCCUAAUCAUAAUAAGCCCCAAAAUGAAAUCUUUGUUUAGAUUCAUUUACAAAUUUGCAAAUCUUAUGUUCUGUUAGCACUUGCACCUUGGCGUUUUUUUUUAAAUAAGGUGUUUGCUGUUCGUUUUGGCUCGGAAUUACUUACAAAGUAAUUAAACCAACUAAGUUGGUUUGUUAAAUGUUUAAAUCAAACUACAAAUUGUACAAAUAUAUCAAUUUCAUUUUUAUUUGGUCAGUUCAGUCUUUUCUUCAAAUACCAAACAAAUGACUUUAACACUAGAAAUUUUUUUAGGCACGUUUAAAAUAUUCGUCUCAAUUAAAAAUGCGGCAUACGCAUCUUUCUAAGAUUUUUUUAAAAAUUCAAGGAUGCAAUAAUGCACCUUGACAAAUAUUUUUCUAAAAUUAACUUUCACCAAUUUAUUUAUUACAAAAAGUAUAGACAAAUAUUAGUAGAUUAAAAAUGAGUGAAUUAAGGCCUUCCAAACAUAAGUUAUCAAAAUAGUUUAAGUUAAGUAUAAGUCAAUAAAGAGACCGUGCAGAACUCGGGACUCGAGGGGUGCCUCAUACCUUCCCCUUGAUCAACAGAAUCUCUUACUCAGUCUUUUGUUUUUGCAGACCAUAAGAAAGAGUCAUUUCCUUUUGACUAGGGAUUCAAUAAGGUGACUUGAAACACCAUAACUCAAUUCCAAGUGACGAUUCUGUAAUAAAUUAAUCCCUUUUCAAAAUCGUCACUUUAAUUGGAAAGACCCUUUCGACUCGGCCCUCGAGCGAAAAAGGGGUGUGACAGAUUGAACUCUUGAUAUUUUCCCCCAAAGUUUGGUUUGCAAAGGCCCAACUACCAGCAUUUAUCUGAAGUUUGGUUGGUCAAGACGUUUGAUAUUGUAGUGACUAACACAAUAAUGAUGGUGGUGAUUGUGACAAUGAAUUUGACUUGAUGUUAGUAGUUGAUGAUUUGGUGGUGGAUGUCGCUAAAAAAUGUGUGGUGGUUUACCAUGAGUGUUAGUGGAUGUUGUAGGUAUUAGGAAUUGGCCUUAGUGACGAUAAUAACUGAUAGUAAUAGCAAGGUGGUGAUAGAAAGAGUGAUAGCAUAAAUAAUUAUAAUAAUUGAUAUUUAGACAUGAUAGCACUUAGGGGUCGUUUGGUUAGGAAAGAGUUAUCUCGGGAUAAUUAAUCUUUGGAUUAGUUAUCCCACCAUAUAUAUAGGAUAACUUAUCCCAUCAUUAUGAUAUAAUUAGUGGGAUAAAUAAUCUGAGACUAACUAAUACCUCCAACCAAAUACGGGAUAAAACAAUCCUGUAUUUUAUCCCGGGACGAUUAUACCUUAUACCUCACACCAAACGAUCCCUAACAAUAAUAAUAGUUAAUGAUUAUGAUUAUUAAUGAUAGUUGUGAUGACAUAGAUGAUUGACACUAAUGGUAGUGAUUGUGAUGGUAGACGUGGUUAGAGAUGUAGACCGAUAGAUAUGGAUAUACUAGUUGUAAAAAUUAUUUACAGAAAAAUAUAUUCUAGUAAUAUGAAAACUUAGGGGUCGUUUGGUUGUAAACAAGUUAUCCUGAGAUUACUUAUCCCAUCGUGUAUAUACAACAACAACAUACCCAGUAUAUUUCCAUCAAAUGGGAUAUGGGAAAGUUAAGUGUACGCAAUCUAUACCACUACUUUAGAGGUGAGAUAGAGAGGUUAUUUCCGAUAGACCCUCACUCUUAUCCAUCAUGUAUAUGAGAUAACUAAUGAUAUAAAUGGUGCGAUUAUUACAAAACUAACUAAUAUCUUCAACCAAAUGCAACAUAAAAUAAUCCUGCAUUUUAUCUCCUGACCUAACCAAACAAGGCCUAAGUUGAAGAUCCAAAUUUAGAGGCUUAUUUCUUCAAAGUAGAAAAUUAGGGGCAGUUAAAUCAAAAAAUUUACAAACGUUAUGAAAAAAAAAAGCAAAUUAAAGGUAAAAAGAAGAACUGCUUCGAGUUUCUAAUCUCCGGCUCUUCAUUUCCCUUCCAGAGAUUCAGGUACCACCAAACAAGCCCUAAUUUUUCUUAUUUUUUCACAUCUUUUUUUUUGGGAAAAUAUGCAAAUAAAUUUGUUUAUCCUUUCUUUGUUAAAAUUUUCCAUACUAAUAUUAUUUUUGUUUGAGAUUUUUUUGGAGGACUUUUGAGUCUUUGUUAGCUAUUGAUUUACUGUAAUCGCUAUAUUGUGUACAACUCGACUAAUUCCAGGGGAUAUUUGCCAACUUGCACCACCACCAAUAGGUAAUCAGGUAACUCUGUCAAUCAAGGCUAAGUGUUUUAGUCUUUGUGGGAAUUUGAACGUGAGACCUAAUGGUUUCUCAACUACUUUAUUACCACUAGAUUACCAUAAGCUAGUUAUAGUGUCUUUGGAUAGAUGGUUGAGUAUCCUUUUAGUUUUUGUAGAUUUUUCCUCAAGAAUUUUUUUUAUAAUAGUGAUGUCCAGUGCAGUAUGUGCACACCUUGAUUAAUUCCACGAAAAAUUUGCCGACUUCUAGUAGAAGUGUAACAACCUGGGACUACCCCCUAGUCGCUACACUAUGCUUGCGACGCUGAAGGACCACAAGCUAACCCAUGACUGAUAUCUGCUGUGAGCACUGAACAAUAAUAUGGAAAUAAAUGUGGAAUAAAAGGUUGAAAUGUCAUAAGGUUCAUAAUUUGAAAUACUGAUAAUGAUUAAUAACAUCCGAAUCUGAAAUACUGUCUGAAAACUAGUUUGAAAAGCCUCUAACUAAAUCUGUCUGAAAGUGGAGUUGAUGGGACAAUCCCCCAACUAACUCCAUCUACUGAAAAUAUGAAAUAGUAGAGUAUUCUCGAAUGAUGAGGACUCACUGCCAAAUCCACUGCUGUUGGUUGAAUCUAAAUCUACUAUGCGUGAUCGGGAACCUGAGCGUCCGAACCUAUGAUAUAAAAUAGCAUAGCACAUAAAAGUAUAUGUCAGUACGUAGGAAUGUACUGAUAUGCUAGGUGAGGUAAGGCUGAAUGCAAGGGUUCAUAUGCAUGAGGAUAUAACUGACUGAAUGAGAGUAACUAAACAUGAGAGUACAUGGAGAAUCUGAGACUACUGUAAGUACUGACAAUGCAAUCUGUGCACACACACAUAUAUAUAUAAACUAUAACUGAGCUUUUCUAAAGCUAAGUAUUGAAUUAUGAUAACUAAUUAACUGAUACUUGACUAUAUCUGAUAGUCCUGAUUCUAUAAAAUUGAGCUGAGUUCUGAACUGAAGACAGAAAUUAAAAUAGUGGGAGGUAAUCAUCUAACUGAUAUGCACCAAUUUGUGCUAAUAGGGGUCCAAUAUGUAACCCCAAUUGGAAGGAUGUCAGUAUCGUGCCACAGGUAAAGACAAGCUGAAGGGUCACCCUCUACUGGCAGGUUCCCUACACAGUGGUACCCUUUACUGCCAGGUAGAGCACCUCAUCAACCCUCAACUGACAGGUUUGAUGUCUCAACCUACAAUAGCUACAUAGUUCUGGAACGCAAGGAUUGCUUCUAAGGGUCACACUCUCUACUAACAAGUGAGCCCCCAUCCGUGGGUUCACUUGGUGAUGAAUCCUACUCCCAACUAAAAGACACUAAACUGACUAACUAAACUAAACUAGAUUAGUACUGAGAUCACUGAGUUUUCCUAAAUUCUGUGACUGACUGAGUUCUACUGAGCUCUAUAACUGACUAAGAGGAGUACAAAUCGUGACAUGACUGAUACUAUUUGUAAAUAACACUGGCUCUAGGUAAACAACUAAAUUGUUGGGUAUUAAAUACCCCCAGGACUCGAUAGCAUGAAAAGUAAAGCCAAGCAUAAUCUUGAAUAACAUAUAAAUGUUCACUUGGCCAUUAUUCAUUCAUGGAGACAUUUCAUCAAACACUUGUAAUGCAUUAACUUGUACAUGAAUGGGGAAUACAUGUUAGCAUGCUAUAAUGACAUUAUCUCAUUCUCAUAGAUAAUUUAUCAAACACAUGGAAAGCGUACUUGGUUCAUUAAAUCAUAAAGACUUAGGGUUAACAUGGUUACCUUAAUCAACUUGUAAUUUGAAGGGUUUAUCAUGAAUAUCAUGUAAAUCAACAUAUACUAGGAACAAUUCUUGGGAGCUUGGAAUCUAAAUCAUGGAUAACACAUAAUCAUGGCAAUUACAAUGCCCAAACUUGCAAAUUCAUGGAUUUUAACAUGGGAAUUACUCAAUUCAAUAUACAUGCUAAUCAUCUUCAUGGAAUCUACCAUAAAUUAUGGAUUGAAACUCAAUAAAUGUCAAAACAUGAAUACAAUCCAAUUUUAUACAUGUAAAUCUUAAAUCAUAAUUCUUGAAGUUUUAAAAAUGGAUUCUUUGACUCUAUGGGUGAAAGGGACCAAUAGUAGAACCCAUAACAUACCUUAAAUCUUUAAUCUGGAAAGAGAACUAAUGUUUCUUGAAUGCUCUUGGAUUGGAAAAUACAAAUCUUUAUGUUUUCUUGAUGGUUCUUGAACUUGAAUUUCUUAAUUUCUUAAAGAAGGGUUUGAAUCUUAUUCUUGGGGAAUGAUCCUGAAAAAAACCCUAAUUUUGAUGUUAAGGAUGAAUGAGGAGUUAUGUUCUUUAAUUUGAUGGAAUUAUGGAUUAAAAAGGGUGGAAAAAGACUCAAAAAUCUCAUUAAAACAUCGUUUUAGCAUUGUUUCGAACAAAAUUGACGGUCUGGGUAACGGACCGUCACUCUGGUGACUGACCGUCACUCAAACCAUCAAUUUAUGCCAGAAAAUGGGCUUACUGCCUUAGUUAUGAUGGCUAGAGCGACGUUCCAUCGCUGGCUUGAUGGUCCGUCAGCCUUUCCGUCGCACUUUGGCAGCUGGACAACUCUUUGGUAAAAUGGGCAUAACUUUUUACUCUGAUAUCGAAUUUUGAUAAAAUUGGUAUCAUUGGAAAGAUAAUUAAAUUAUCUAUCUGUUUGUCUAUCAUGAGCUCAAAAAUUCAUAGUAUAACUAAUAAUAUGCUUGUUUGAAGUUGACUAUAGCAAUAUCCUUCUCAAGAAUUCAAUCGGCAAGGGAUGUUUUGAUUUUCCUAAUAGCUAGUACGUAUUUGAGGCCUUCAUACACAUCAAACUUGAUCAUAAAAAUACCAAAUCACUAAAAUUUAUUUCUCAUGAGUUUGAAGUAUGGUUGUACUAUCGGUUUGGAUUCUCAGGGUAUUACAAGAAGUAGCAGUUAACUCUAUUCUAUCAAGGCUAGAACAGAUGGGAAGAAAUCACCUAGUAUUUAUCUCUAUUGGAAAUUAAACCUUAAAUCCGAUGGUGCUUAAUCCAAUUUUAUUGAACCACUAGGCCACACUCUUGGGUGCUCAAGAAUCUUUUAUGCAAGUGUAGUUUUUUUUCAAGCAAUCUUUUAUGAAAAAUCCUACUUUGUUCAAGCAUAGCCAUAACAGAGCUCGCCCUCAAUGCCCCUAACUACAUUAGACCCCAAACUACUCCGCCUCUCAACAAAACACAACAAAGUAUCAAUAUUCUUUCCAUUCCUCACAAACCUAACAAUCAUCGACGAAAAAUAGAACUGACUGAGUUCUACUGAGCUCUAUAACUGACUAAGAGGAGUACAAAUCGUGACAUGACUGAUACUAUUUGUAAAUAACACUGGCUCUAGGUAAACAACUAAAUUGUUGGGUAUUAAAUACCCCCAGGACUCGAUAGCAUGAAAAGUAAAGCCAAGCAUAAUCUUGAAUAACAUAUAAAUGUUCACUUGGCCAUUAUUCAUUCAUGGAGACAUUUCAUCAAACACUUGUAAUGCAUUAACUUGUACAUGAAUGGGGAAUACAUGUUAGCAUGCUAUAAUGACAUUAUCUCAUUCUCAUAGAUAAUUUAUCAAACACAUGGAAAGCGUACUUGGUUCAUUAAAUCAUAAAGACUUAGGGUUAACAUGGUUACCUUAAUCAACUUGUAAUUUGAAGGGUUUAUCAUGAAUAUCAUGUAAAUCAACAUAUACUAGGAACAAUUCUUGGGAGCUUGGAAUCUAAAUCAUGGAUAACACAUAAUCAUGGCAAUUACAAUGCCCAAACUUGCAAAUUCAUGGAUUUUAACAUGGGAAUUACUCAAUUCAAUAUACAUGCUAAUCAUCUUCAUGGAAUCUACCAUAAAUUAUGGAUUGAAACUCAAUAAAUGUCAAAACAUGAAUACAAUCCAAUUUUAUACAUGUAAAUCUUAAAUCAUAAUUCUUGAAGUUUUAAAAAUGGAUUCUUUGACUCUAUGGGUGAAAGGGACCAAUAGUAGAACCCAUAACAUACCUUAAAUCUUUAAUCUGGAAAGAGAACUAAUGUUUCUUGAAUGCUCUUGGAUUGGAAAAUACAAAUCUUUAUGUUUUCUUGAUGGUUCUUGAACUUGAAUUUCUUAAUUUCUUAAAGAAGGGUUUGAAUCUUAUUCUUGGGGAAUGAUCCUGAAAAAAACCCUAAUUUUGAUGUUAAGGAUGAAUGAGGAGUUAUGUUCUUUAAUUUGAUGGAAUUAUGGAUUAAAAAGGGUGGAAAAAGACUCAAAAAUCUCAUUAAAACAUCGUUUUAGCAUUGUUUCGAACAAAAUUGACGGUCUGGGUAACGGACCGUCACUCUGGUGACUGACCGUCACUCAAACCAUCAAUUUAUGCCAGAAAAUGGGCUUACUGCCUUAGUUAUGAUGGCUAGAGCGACGUUCCAUCGCUGGCUUGAUGGUCCGUCAGCCUUUCCGUCGCACUUUGGCAGCUGGACAACUCUUUGGUAAAAUGGGCAUAACUUUUUACUCUGAUAUCGAAUUUUGAUAAAAUUGGUAUCAUUGGAAAGAUAAUUAAAUUAUCUAUCUGUUUGUCUAUCAUGAGCUCAAAAAUUCAUAGUAUAACUAAUAAUAUGCUUGUUUGAAGUUGACUAUAGCAAUAUCCUUCUCAAGAAUUCAAUCGGCAAGGGAUGUUUUGAUUUUCCUAAUAGCUAGUACGUAUUUGAGGCCUUCAUACACAUCAAACUUGAUCAUAAAAAUACCAAAUCACUAAAAUUUAUUUCUCAUGAGUUUGAAGUAUGGUUGUACUAUCGGUUUGGAUUCUCAGGGUAUUACAAGAAGUAGCAGUUAACUCUAUUCUAUCAAGGCUAGAACAGAUGGGAAGAAAUCACCUAGUAUUUAUCUCUAUUGGAAAUUAAACCUUAAAUCCGAUGGUGCUUAAUCCAAUUUUAUUGAACCACUAGGCCACACUCUUGGGUGCUCAAGAAUCUUUUAUGCAAGUGUAGUUUUUUUUCAAGCAAUCUUUUAUGAAAAAUCCUACUUUGUUCAAGCAUAGCCAUAACAGAGCUCGCCCUCAAUGCCCCUAACUACAUUAGACCCCAAACUACUCCGCCUCUCAACAAAACACAACAAAGUAUCAAUAUUCUUUCCAUUCCUCACAAACCUAACAAUCAUCGACGAAAAAUAGAUUUCAUCUCUCACAAAUAUUUUAUUUUAAAAAUACAAUGACACUCAAAAUAGGAUUUUUGAUACAUGCAAAUACUUGUAAAAGGCGGGCCAAUAAAACCUUUAUCAAAGUUAAAAGUAGAGUUGUCAAUACGAGUCAGCUCAGUCCAUUCGUGCUACCCCAGACGGGCUUUGGAGUUUGACAGGUCAGGUCAGGCUGGCCCAUCAAUAUGAUAGGCCAGAAAAUAGCAAGCCCCAAUCCUCACUGUGGGUUGCGGGCUUCCACGGGUCAUCCAACUUUUUAAAAUAUCUUAUCUUUAUAAUUUUAAUUUUAAUUUUAAAUUAUUAGUUACAUAAAUUUUUAUAAUAUAAUAUUACAUGAAGUUACUAUUUGUUAAUCUGGUUUCAAAUUUACAAAACAAAUUCCAAUAAUCUGUGAAAUUAAAUAACUUUUGACACCAAAUUCAAACUAAAUAGCGAUGUUGAAAACAAACAAAACUAUUAAUGAUCAAUAAUAUACUAUCUAAAUAGCAAUAUUAUCCUAAUUUUGUUUUAAUUGAUCAUAAUAAAAAAUAUAAAAAUGUCAAUAUUUAAUCCAUUUAAAGUUAAAAUGAACUCCUCAAAAAUAAAAAAACUCCCAUGGCACUUAUGACGUAUUCAACGUCGCCACAUCAUUCCUAUCAAACUUAUUUAAUUCCUUAAAAAUUUUAGUAUUUUGUAUCUUAAUUAUUUAUAUAUUUUAUAAACAUAUAUAAUAUUUAAAUAUCUAUAAUGGUCCAAAUGCACUUUGAAUUUUUUUAUUCUUAGUACUCUAUUUUACUUUUUAAAUAUUUUUUGUUUGACCCACGGGUCAUCCAGCCCAUAUUGCUCAAGAUUCAUGGGCCAACAAACUUAUACGGGUCAGGCUAAAAGCUCAGUUCUCAAAUGGGCUAUAAAAAUUAUAGCCUAACCCUAUCAAAUUACAGGUAGGGUCAGGCCAACCCAACGGGUCUACCCAAAUUGACGGCUUUAAUUAAAAGAAUGAAAUUCUAGGUUUUACUCAAUUCGUUCUAACUACUUACAUGAUUACUCUUUCUUAACAUUUUCAUCUAUUAGCAACAUGUAGUUUGAAGUUCACUUAAAAAUUGGGUCGUGACUUUGUAUCUUUCAUAAAAUAGUCAAGUUAUGAAAUAUUUUUAAUUGAGUUUUAAAAUGAAUUGUAACAAUAUAGAAUGAAAUUAAUAGAAAUUGAUAAACAUAAAGAUCAUUAAUAAAAAUUAUUGCAAAGUACAUAUAAUAUGUACCAUUAUUGAAACAAAAUAACAGAAAUGAAAAAUGAAAGCAUACUUAAAUAGAGCUAGAUUCACUUCGUUGUAUAGAACUUCGAUAAAUAAUAUUAUACGAAGAUAAUUCAUUUAAGAAACCACAAACUAGAUAUCUGCAUCUUCUGAUGGAGACUGUGAGGAGGACGAAGCUUCAGGCAAUUGAUCCUUCAACAUAAUUUCUUCUACAUCUAGCCAAGCUUGAAAUUUCAUUACAUCGUCUGCAUUUAACUGAUCGAUGGACUCCCACCGACCUUUAUCUCUAGUCUUAUUCCUUUGAGGUAAGGAAAUGAAUUUCUCUUUUGCAACUUCUCCUCUUUUAUCAAGGUCAUUUAGCCUAUCAUUGGGUUGAUUCACUUUAUUAAGUGAAUUUUCAGCAACAAUCUGUUCACCUAAAUCUGUUUUCAAGUUCAUAAAAUGAUCAAUGACUGCAUUAUGAGUUGGGUGGAAAAAAGCAUAUGCAUUACCAGCCGGUGAAGAUAGAACAAUUCCAAGAUCGACAUCAUUUUCUCUAACGAGUUUGCUAGCUUUUUUAUAUAAGCCAAAACGUCGUUUAGAGAAUGUAGAAUAUCUAUCAACAUCUUUUUUUAUCUUCACUAAUGGAAUUUUUCGGCGUCCCAUUGUUUUCUUUCCCUUCACGCAAGAAAUGUGACUUACGAAAAAAAUUAAAUAUGAUGAAUAUUUAUAUACAUAUUAUUCACAAUGGUCAUUAAAUUUUUCCAAAUAUCAUAAUGGAAAGUAAUCUUUUCUUCAUAAUGAGGCUAUCUUAAAAAAGAACUGGAUCCCCAUUCAAAUUUCCUGAGGUGGCCCUUCCAUGCCCCACCUCUUUUUCGCCGAUGAUUUAGUCCUUAUGUCUAAGGUUAGUGGUAAUAGUCACAAUUCUUUGAUGUGGACCUUAUCAAACUUCUGUCUUUUGUCGGGGAAAAGUAUCAAUUUUCAGAAAUCCAAAAUCCUCUUCUCAAAUAACUGCCCUACCAGUACCCAAAAGCUACUUUCCUCUUUCUUUCACAUCAGAAGAAGUAGUGAGUUUGGUAAUACAUAGGUUUUCCUAUUCUCAACAAAAAUCCCUCUAAGGCGGAUCUCCGCAUUGUCUUGGAUAACCUUCAGGAAAAAUUAAUGGGCUGGAAAAUGAAGUUUCUUACUAUAGCUGGCUGAACUACUCUUGUGAAAGCAUCUCUAAACAGUAUACCUACGCACCUCAUGCACUACAUUCUUUUUCCGAUUGAGGUGUCCAAACAAAUUGAUGCUUCCAGCAUAACUUCACUUAGGACACAACAACUACUUAUGAGAAACUACACCUUGUUAAGUGGGAUAUCUUUUGUCUCCCUAAAGACCAAGGUGGCCUGGCUAUCCAGAUGAGGCCCUCUUAGCUCAUCUUGCUUGGAGACUAUUCAAUAAUCCUAAUUCUCUUUGGGUGUCCAGCCUUAUCCAUAAAUAUACCCGUGGGUACGGACUACUGGACAAAUCCAAGCACAUAAAGAAACCUAGCUUUAUUUGGAAAAACCUAAUGACUGGAUGGGGUAUUUACGAGAAGAACCUACGAUAGACUUUAGCUGAUGGUACUAAUAUCUCCCUCUAGAUUGAUAAUUGGAUCCCCCACAACAAACCCCUAUCACAACUCCUUCAUGGUCCUUUGCAUGCCUCUAAUUUGUCUAUGUGUGUCUCCGAUAUUAUUGUAUAUGGAAAAUGGAAUACUUAAAAUAUGACUUACCCUCUUCCCUCAAAUACUGAAAUCCUCAUCAAAUCCAUCCCCAUUCCUUAUUCUUCUCAUAUGAGAGAUUCCUGGGUAUGGUCCCUAACCCCAAUUAACAUCUUCUCUACUUUCAUCUCUGUUGAGCUUCAUACAGAGAAGGAGAAAAAUAGAGAAAAUAUCUUCUUCAUUGAGAAUGAAUGAAACAGUAACUGUACAGCUGUAUAUAUACACUAACUGAACCUCUCUCUGCUAUCUCUAACUAACAUUGAUUAUCACUAAUUAAUUAACUAACUAACACCUAAUCAGAACUAACUAAAGGACAGCUGUCAUACACAUGUGCUACUCAUGUGACUCCUUCAAUGCUCCCCCUCAAACUGUAUAAUAAGAAUAAUUUGAACAUUCCCAAUUUGCAUAAAAGAAAUUCAUGUUGUGUCUUUCCCAAACUCUUUGUCAAGAUAUCAACAAGUUGCAGUGUGGUAGUGAUGUUUUCAGUGUUCACUAAACCUUCUUGUAUUUUUUCUCUAUAAAGUGGCAAUGAAUCUCUAUAUGUUUUGUCCUCUCAUGAUAUAUUGGAUUUUUGCUGCAAUUUGUAUUGCUGCCUUGCUAUCACAAUGCAAUCUUAUAGGUAGCUGCACUUGUAUCCCCAAUUCUUUAAACAACCCUAUUGUCUAUACUAUCUCUACUACAACAUUAGACAUACUCUUAUACUCAACUUCUGCUGAACUUCUUGAGACCAUAUUUUGUUUCUUGGAUUUCCAAGAUAUCAAGAAAUUUCCCAAUCUCACUAUAAACCCACUAACUGACCUCCUGCUCAUGGGACAUGUCCCCUAAUCAGCAUCAUAAUAUAUUGAAAGUUUCUUUGAGUCUUUUGAUGAUAGCAAGAUUCCAAGUCCUGGGGCAUUAUUCAAGUACCGUACUACUCUUAAGGCUGCCUCCAUAUGGGAUUUCUUUGGAUUGUGCAUAAAUUGGCUCAAGUUCUAAAUGGUGAAGUUGAUGUCUGGUUAGGUCAUUGUUAAGUACAAUAACUUGCCUACCAAUUUUGAUAGCUUCUUGGACCGGGGAGCAACUCAUUAUCUAUUCUCCCUUCACUAUCUUGAUCAAAUUUUACAGUAGUAAGCCUUUGGUUAGGUUCUAAAGGUGUACUAGCAGGCUUGGAACCAGCUAAUCCAAAGUUUGCAAUAAGGUCUAAAGUAAAUUUUCUUUGGCACAUAAGAAUUCCUUGAUGACUUCUGGAAAUUUCAAGACCAAGGAAGAAUCUCAGCUACCCCAGGUCCUUGAUUUUGAAAUGAUGGUGCAACAAAUGUUUAAUAUCUCAAUGAGAGAUGAAGAAGAACCUGUGAUGAUCAGAUCAUCAACAUAAACAAGAAUCAAGGCUAUAUCAGUGUCAACAUUUUUGAUAAAAAGAGAAUAUUCGUAAUGACUUUGAUGAAAACCAGAUGGAACAAGAGCCUCAGUAAGCUUCAAGUUCCACUGCCUAGAAGCUUGCUUGAGGCCAUAUUAGGACUUAUCCAGCUUGCACACAAGAGAUGACUCCCCCUUCUUCAGAAGACCAGGAAGGGGAACCAUGUAUACCUCAUCUACCAAAUCUCCUUGAAAGAAGGCAUUGAAGACAUCUAUUUGAUGUAGAUUCCAUCAUUCAUAACAGCUAAAGUAAGCACUGCUCUAACAGUGACCAUAUUCACCACAGGAGAAAAAGUAUCUUGAUAGUCUAACCCCUCUUAUUGAGUAUAACCUUUAGCUACCAACUAACCUUUAUACCUGUCAACCUGACCCUAAGAAUUAUACUUGACUUUAAACACCCAUUUACACCCUAUUUCCCUCUUAUCAGCAGGUAAAGGUGUCAAAGUCCAGGUCUUGUUAUCAGCUAAUGCUUGCAAUUCCUGAUCCAUGGUUGCAAUGCACUCAGUAUGUUGCAUAACUUCUUCAUAGGAUUCAGGUUCUCUAAUAGUGGAAAUAUUACACAAAAUCUGAAGGUAAUUAUUAGACAAUCCAUCAUAUGAAAUAUAGUUUGCCAUAGGAUAAUGGCAUAGAGAAGUCUGUGAGAUGGGCUUGUGAACAAAGUCAUGUAACCAAAAUGGGGUUUUAAUAACCCUACUUGACCUUUUUGUUGAUAGAGAUCUCACCACUUGCCCCACAGGUUACAAAGAGGGGUUCAAUCUGGCUGAUCUUCGCACUACAUGCUCAACAGGCUCCAUAAUAGGAUGCAAUGCCUCCUCUGUAACUUGCGGUGAUUCUAGUGUAAUAGAGUCAAAUGCAGCAAGAAUUACAUCUGGUAUAUUCAAAGAGGGAAUAGGAACAUCUUCUCUGAUUAUCUCUACAGGAUCAUCCCUGAGCAUAAUGAAAGGUUCUGCAUUGAAAUUAUCUUCUGCUACUUGAAUUUUUUGAUAAAAGGCCGUCUCUAGAGAAGAAUCAACCUUGAAAGGAAAUAUAUUUUCAAAAAAAUACACAUCCUUACUAACAAAAAACAACUUAUUUGUUAGAUCAAAGAGUUUAUAAUCCUUUUGAGUGGUGGAGUAUCCCAUGUGAACUGACUUCACUGCUCUUGCACCAAAUUUAUCUCUAUUAUGAGAAAUAGUGGUGGCAUAGCAUAGAAAUCCCAAUACCCUAAGGUGUUUUAAGUUGGGUUUUCUACCCAGGAGAACUUCAAGAGGAGAUUUACCCCCUAAUACACUAGUUGGUAUUCUAUUGAUAAGAUAAGCAGUAUUUUGAAUACAAACUCCCCAAAAUCUAAUCGGAAAAAAACCCUAAAAUCUUAUGGACCUAGCUACCUCCAAAAUAUGUUUGUGCUUUCUCUCAACCACCCUAUUUUGUUGGGGUGUAUAAGCACAAGAGCUUUGAUGAACAAUUCCUGCAUUACUGAAUAAAGCAUUGCAAGAGGAAUUGAAAAACUCUAUCCCAUUAUCACUUCUGAAAACUUUCACAUCAAUUUCAAAUUGAGUUUUAACAUGUUGUAGGAAAUCUUUCAAUAUAGUAGAUACAUCACUUUUAAAUUUCAGUAAGAAAAUCCAAACCAUUCUAGUAUGACCAUCCACUAAUGUGAGGAAGAAUUGGUGACCACCAUAAGUGGGUACUUUAUAAGGACCCCAAACAUCUCUAUGAACUAAAUCAAAUAGUCUACUAGCUCUAUUAGUACUAUUAGAAAAAGGUAGUUUAGUCUGCUUAGCUAGAGGACAUACAGGACAAAAGACAUUCUUCACUUGCUUAACUAACUUCAUUUGUGAUAGAACUCUAUGUGAAACAUGACCCAACCUCUUGUGGUAGAUGUCAGUACUUAUUGAUGUGCUGUAAGCUGCUACUGAAUGAUGUACUCUUUCUCUAGACCUUAAGUGAUACAAUUCAUCUACCAUCUUACCAAUCCCCUUCACCUGUCCAGUGUGAAGGUCUGCAGUAAGCAAUAAUUAGGGUAGAACUUCAUAACACAAUUUAAUUCUCUUGUCAUUUUUGCUACUGAAAGUAAAUUCAGUUUAAAGCCCGGAACACAUAACAUAUUUUCUAAUUUUUCAUUGUCCCAGCCUACAGUUACCGAUAUAUAGUAUAGGAAGUGUCCUUCUAUUAGGUAAAUGUACAUCUCCAACCCCCUUACAAAUAGUAAUAUCAGUUAACAAGUUAGGAUUAUACACCAUGUGAUUAGCAGCUCCAGUGUCUACUAUUAAAUCAUAUAUAUCCUUGUCAUCUACUAGAGUAUAAAAUUACCUGCUAUGUUAGCUGAUGGUGUAGGAGUAGUACUUUUGUGAAACAUCUUCUGAACUUGAUUAUACUGAUCAAGAGUUAGAGAUACAGUGAUAUUCUUAUUAUUCCUCACCUCUGGUUGUUGUGGAACACAACUCUUCCCUUUACCAUCUCCUAAAUGAUUUCCACUAAAGGAUCCAAAACCAUUAAGUUGUCCAAUGAAUUGAUUGCUAGUCUGACCAGCUCCAUGUGUUAGUGUCCCAUAUUUGGUGUCUGGGUAUUCAUGAUGAGGUUGAUGUUCAUCAUUUGGAAUGUAUGGAGUCCAAUAUCCAGCUUGAGAAUCUGUAGAAAAAGAGUGAUAUGGUCCUGGUGGUAUAUACAGCUAGAGGCUUCUUCUUCCUUUUGAAAUUUGCCGGAUAGCCUAUUAGCUGGUAAAAAUUAUCAGCGGUUUGACCAUGUAUCUUAUAGUAGUCACAUUAAUUAUUCUAGUUUUUCUUAGGCUUUUGAUUAUAACCACGAUUAGGUCCUCCACCUCGAAGUGGUCCUGCACCUCUUCUAGGUCCAAAAGUUCCUGCUACUUUUGCACUCCAAAACGCUGUAAUAUCGCUAUCAUCCCCUAAAGUGUGGUUACCUAUUUCAUUGAUAAAGCGAUGACUCUAUUCUUUCAUAAUCAUGGCAUAACAUUAAUUCAAACUAGGCUCAGUAGAUUUCACAAGAAUUUGCCAAUUUGACUAUGAAUAGGUAUCAUUUAACCCACUUAAAAAUUGUAACAACUUUUGUUUCUAUAAAUCAGUAUAUUCUUUAGACCUAGCACAUCCAUAGAUCAGAAAAUGCAUAAUUGCAUCAUAUUCAGCCUAGAGUAUCUUCAAUUUCGUAAAGUAAAUAGAGACAAUAUCAGUCCCCUAUAAAAUUGUAGAAAUUUCCCUAUGCAAUUGGAGAAUUCUAACUUGAUUAACCAUAUCAAAACGCUCCUACAGAUCAGUCAAAACAGUGUGCAAAUCACUAGCAUAUACAAUUCUACUCAAUAGAGGUAGAGCAAUGGUGUUAAUGAUCCAAGAUAGAACAAUGGCAUUGCAAGUGUCCCAUUGUUCAUGUAAUUCUUUCUCAAAAGAGCUCUUCUUGCAUGUUUCGAGUACAAAUCCCAACUUCCUUUUUGCCUACAGUGCAAUACAUAUCAAUCUCGUCCAAACUCCAUAAUUUUCAAAUCCUUUCAACUGAAUCGUAACUAAUAUAGAACCUGGUCCAUUUGAUGGUCCCACAAAUAGGGGAUAAGUGUGAUCUAUUUUGAUUUCUACCACCAUUGUCAUACCUCAACUCUCUCAAUGAAGAAACAAAAACAAUUUGAAUUAGUGAAAGGAAAAUUAGAGAGAAAAAAAUUUGUAUUGCUUACAAAAACUGCAAAAUUCUCUGAUCGCAAACCCUAGAUUCUUUGAUCUCAAUUUUCCGAUCACCAACCCAGAGAACCAUGAUCCUCAAAGAUUCUGUCUCCCUAUCUUCUCCUCUAACCACUGGGAAUCGCCAUUCCUAGCUUUGAUACCAUGUUGAGCUUCAUAAAAAGAAGGAGAAAAAUAGAGAAAAUAUCUUCUUCAUUGAGACUGAAUGAAACAGUAACUGUACAGCUGUAUAUAUACACUAACUGACCCUCUCUCUGCUAUCUUUAACUAACUUUGAUUAUCACUAAUUAAUUAACUAACUAACAUCUAAUCACAACUAACUAAAGGACAGCUGUCAUACAUAUGUGCUAGUCAUGUGACUCCUUCAAUAGUCUCCUUCAGGACAAAAUAGUUCAACCAAACACUGCCUCUGAGUCUCGUUGGGUUUGGAAGCUUAAAUGUCCAAAGAAAAUUAAAUACUUCCUUUGGCUAAGCAACCAUUGUCAUCUUCCUAAAAAAACCUAUCUCCACCGCCUGUACUAUUUGUAAUGCUAUUCUUAAUGCUCCUGAAACAUUACAACACAUCUUUCUUCAAUGUCCCAUCGUGUAAAUAUUUUGGAGCCAGUUGUGCCUUCUCCCUCUUUUCUAAAAUAUUGCGAUGUCCAAUAGAGAAGAUUGGUUACGCAAGUGCAGCAAACUCCCAAUUCCUCUGGUUAAUAAAUUACUUAACUGGAAUGAUGCCUUUCCUUUCUAUAUAUGGCAUAUUUGUUUCACUUGGAAUGAUAACCUUUAUAACGAGUCCAAAAUUAAUAUCACCCUCUCAACUCCUUUUGCUCAGGCUGUAGAAUAUUUAUUCUUGACCAAGAAUCAUCCCCAUGUACCUCUAAAACCUAAAACAGCCUGGAAACCCUGAUAAAAGACUUAAACUAAACUUUGAUGGAUUUUCCAACCACUUAACAAAGACCGCGGGUUCUGGGGGGACUUUCGCGCCCCUUUGGAAUAUGGGUGAAAGGUUAUAGUGCAAAAAUCACUGUCUAUUCACCCUUUGAAGCUGAAUUAACUGGCCUUCAAUUUGGCCUUUUCAUUGCUCGUGACAUAAACGUCUCCCACUUGGAAAUUGCUACGGGCUCUCUUGAGGUAAUAAAAUCCUUGGGCUCAUUUGCACAAAUAAUACCAAUUUACUCCUAUAGGGAUAUUCUCCUCAACCUGGGGAGCCCGAAGCUGUUGCAUGAGCCCAGGAAACAUAACAAUGUAGCUGACAAGCUUGCGAAGCAAGGGCAGAAGUUAACCAGAAGUUUUUGUAGCAUGGAUGGAACCACCAAUUUUUGUUUACCGUCAGAUCAAUGCUGAAACUAAUGAAUCUCUGUUUGUUGGUCCUGUUGGGCGCUUUUUAGGAUCUAAUUGUAAUAAUAGUACUAGGCAUGUAACACCCCAUACUUUCAGGCUAAAAUUUAGACCAUCGUUCCUAUAUGUAUAGACCCGAACUAAAUUAUUCCUUGAUAAUGUAUGUGUGGUGAUCACUCCUAUAGUGAGGGUAAACCUUUGAGUAUGAAUUGACGUCACAAGAAUCCCCUAACUCUAAGACGAGUUGAAAACAAUUCUAUCGAUUUUGUUUUAGUGGAUACUUCAACUGGGGUCAACUUUUGUCAACCAUAACUUUCUGUAUAUAAUGAACUGGGAGGGUUGUUAUAUAUCAAAUGAAAGCUCUUAAUUUGAGUCAUCUUUCUAAUACAACUAAUUUCAUCCAAAUCCAAUAUCAAAGUAAAAAAUUAUGCCCAAUUUACUUCAGCAUAUCAGCUUGUCAACAGAGGGACUGCUGCGACUUUCUUUGUUUUCUCAGGGGUAUUUUAGUCCUUUCACCCAUACUUAUUCAGCUAUAAACACGUGAUUAAGCCAUUAAUUGACCAAAAUAUGGUCAUUUUCUCCAACUUUCUCAAGAACUAAACACUUAGGUCUCAACCUAAGAAUCAAGAUCCUUCAAGAUUCAGUCAUGGGUUUUAGAAAUUGAUUGAAGAUUCGGAAUCCCUAAACCGUAGACUUCAAGAAGCAUCUAUCAAAUUUCUAAUUUGAGUUACGUGGGGUUUAUCCUAAAAAAUACAUGGGCUUGUAAACACUAGAUCAUGAUUUAAAGAUUAUCAAGCAUGAAUUUUAAAGGAGUUUUUGGAAUCUAUAUUUUAAUUAUGCAUUAUAAAUGUUUUUAUGAUAUUGUUGAUUUGGCCUUUAGGUCUUUCCCCCUUGAAUUGAUUUACAAGUAUAUGUAUAUGUAUGAAAACUAAGAUUGAAGGUUGUUUGAGAGAACAUAUUAUGAAACCCCCCUCAUAUGUUGAAUUAAAGAUUAUGGUUUUGUCAGAAAAGAGUUUCAAUGCAAGCCUUGUGAUUUGAAAGUAGUUUUCUCAAUGUCAUAGAUAUUGAAACAUGAUUUAGAAAUAAUGAGAGGGCGUUUCUUGAUGUUACUAUGAUGUUCUUGUGUUAAAGAUAAAGAAAUGCAUGUAAUUGAGAACUUUGACAUGACCGCCUUGAAUUCUUGAAAUAUUGACAAAGAGAGUUUCCUUGCAUAUGUUUACAUGAGUUUUAAAGAAUGAGUUUCUUGAAAAGAAUUGUUGAUAUGGUGGUCCGAAAUUCCAUGUUUUGAAAAUAGAGAUAUAAUUAGCUAAAUGGCCCAAAGAAUGUGACUUGCAAGUCAAUUGUAUGACGAUACCAUAUAAAUGUAUGUCAUGAUAGAGUUAGAGUUUGAUUUCAGAGAAUCUAUGUUUUAAAGAGUUAAAAACUGGGUUGAUGUGAGUUAGGUGGUUACCCAAAGAAAGCCCAAUUCAAAUGACUCUAUGCUGGAAACCAUGAUUUGCCGACACGAGAACUUUUACCCUGCUAUGUGAUCUUGUGUACCUAUCACUUUGUCAUCUCAAAUUGAGACUUAUGGUUUGGAGCCCUGCUUCCUGAUCUUGAGCCCAACCACGAUAUAAUGACAUGAUUGGGGUUGUAACACCCUGCUGUAUGUUUUUGUUUGCUCUUCCCUUACUAGUACUCCUAUCUUGGCUGCAACCGAGAUAAGGUAGUCCUGCAAAAUUAUAGGGUAUAGCACCUAGCGCAGAAGUAAAACAAAGAGUGUUAUAGAGUUCAGAUAAUUUUACAGAGUCAUUUAAAAAUGCCCAUGAGAUUUUUACCAUAUUACAUAUUUAUGAACUGUUUUAAAUUGCUCUCAUAUAUGUUGAAUAUAAAUUAUUAUUUUUGAUUUUCUCUGUGUACCAAUACAUCUAUAUUGACCCCCUACCUCCCAGGUUCGGAAGCUCAAUCUAGGGGCCUGACUAAGUAGUAGAGUAUUCAGAGAGAAGUGAUCAGUGCAGUGGUGAGCCUUAUUUGUUCCAGAAGGCCUAUUAUAUCAGAUUAUGUUAUUCCUUUUGUUUUGGUCUACUGGGGGCCUUGUCUCAGUUUUUCAAACAGUUGUCAUUUGAUCAUGUAGUAGAGAUUUCGCAGAUUGUUCUAGAUGUUGUUUGGUUGAUUUCGGAUUUCAUUCCUUAUUGUUAAACUAAAUUUAGAGUAUGACCAUGUUUCUAUAUCAGAUUGUAUUUUAGCGUCUUCUCUUAUUAUAUGAAUAUUGUGCAUGACUACCAGAUAGAGUAGGACGUUCGGGCCUUCAUGGUUCGGGAUGUCCAUCAUGUCUAGGCCCUAGUUCUAUUCGUGAUAAACUUGGUAUUAGAUCAUGAUUCAUGGUCCCAGGGUGUCUGCAAAAUCGCAUCGAGUAGCAUCUUGAUUAUGGAUUUGUAGCAUGCUAUACUUAUAAGCAGGAGGCUAUAAGGCAUUUAGGAAUGUUAGUUCGUGCUAUAGAGUCAGAAUGUUCCUCUUUCAUACUCUAAUUCGUGCUAUGGUGUCUCCCAUACGAAAGCAAAUUUAUCCCAAUUAUUUCCUUACUCUGAUGUUCUCAAAUAUGUCUCAUUAUUGAGGUGAUUCAAGUGCAGAAGUCUAGAAUCUAAAUAGUGUGGUCCUUUAUGAUUGAGCCAUAAAAGAUUAUAAAAAUUAUGCAAGGACUUGAGAGGAGUCCAUUAGUUCUUUAAGUUUUAUUGAUUUGAGUGUAUGCCUUUAUUCUGAUGAAAUCGUGCCUAUCAGCCCAAGGUACAAAGUCUAUUCAGUCCCCUUUCAAAAUUCAUACUACAGAUGUCAUGUAUAAGGGUAAUGAUGUGUAUAAAAAUAUUGGAACUGUAUUUCCAUCCAAGUAGUAGUAUUUAUUAAAUUGUCAUGACCUAUUAGUAGUGAGAUUGGCCAGGAAGUUGGUGAUAAUAAGUCACAAUGUUAGAAGUCAGAGUGAGGGUGACUUUUCUGUAAAUAAAUAGUUUUAGUUGUUUAACUGUUGAUUGAGGGAUGGUUCACCAUUUUAUAGUGAUAGACUAAUGUGGUAGCAAUAAUUGCUGAUUCGGGAAGAAUGGUCUUACAGAACAAAUCUAAUGGGUGUGAGUCAAGGUUUAUUCAAGAGAUUGUAAAGGUUGUUGUACGAAACCUAAAUCGUGCAGUUUUAAGUGUUGCUCUCCACCCCGUUGGAAUAGAUUCUCGAGUUGAUAUUAUGGCUAUAUAUGGUAUGGGGGAAUAGGUAAAUCUAGCCUAGUCAAGACUUCUUACAAUCUUAACUUCGACAAAUUUAAGGGCAACAACUUUCUUGCUGAUGUGAAUAAAACUUCAAAUAGACAUAAUGGUCUAGUAAGUCUUCAAAAUGAAAUUGAGGAAAUGUUAGAUCACGUAAGAAGGAUCAAGAGUGGAGGUGAUCUAGAUAGCUUCAAGAUUGAUCAAAUUGAGAGACAUGAAAUGGAUCUAAGAUUGUUAAAAACUUUUGUAAAGUACAAUCAUUUUUUUUUGCCUAAUUCCGUAGUAAAAAUCACAAAGAAGGCCAGAAGGAUUGUGAAAAUGCUUUGUGGGGAUUUUUUUGGAAUUCCAUAUGAAUGUAAAACUAACCUUGAUCUGAAAAGGCUAGAAUCACAGUUGUUGGAAGUCAUUGAUGGUAAUACUAGUUUAAGUUACAAUUCUGAGUUGAAUGGUUCUGAUCUGUCAAAAUAUAUGGAUUUCCUCAGAGAGAAUCUAAAUGAUGUACUGAAGCGCCACAGGGAAUCGAAUAGGUCUUACCUUGAAACAAAUCAAUUUACAAAGCAACUGGAAAUUGUUCAAAAGAAAAUGAAAUUUUUUAGAUACUUGUAUGCCAUAGAGAUAAAUGGAUACGUCAACCAUGAGAAGUUGGAAUGUCUGGAGACUUGACUUCAGUUCAUGGCUAACAAUUUGGGGCAAUUUUAUCUUGUUGUUUUAGUUGACGCUGCUGAGUCUGAAGAUGAUAUCUUCAACAAACCUCCUAUCUAUUAUGUUUGAUUGUGUUAGUGGAGCUAGAAAUGAAGAAGAUUUUUCUUGGUACUACAGGCUUCAAAGUUUACUCAAUCAAACAUUUUCAAGGACAAGAAAUUACCAAAAGGAUUUUUCACAUCAUCUCCACAGUUUGCUGAUGUAUCUCAAAAACAAAAAGCUUGAGAACAUUUCUUAUAAUAUCAUUGCUGAAAAUAUUGAUGUGGCAAUAGAUUUCUUGUUGGUUUUCCUUGAUGCCUAUGUAUCAAAUCAUGUUAAUAAUGGUAACUGGUUUAAUGAGGUUAUGGAAAAAGGUUGCUUCUAUAGCCGGUGAUGUUCUAUAUGUAAUUCAAAAUCUUCUUCCUGGAUCUAUAGACAAAGAUGAAACCAGUGACACUGGAGAUAUUUACUCUAUACGGUCACUGGAGAAACCUAAAGAUCUGAAGGCACUGGUGAAGUCAUACUACAAGUCCUUAAAAUUCAUUCCAUCUCAGUUCUACCGCACUUCUGGUGGAUUGAGAUUUCUAGAUUCUCUUUUGAGUAAAUUGAAUGAGGUGUUGAAAUCUAAAUCAGAUUUAGAUUUCCUAAUGGAACCCCUUUUUGAUAAUUUGGAGAGAUAGUAUGAUCUCUAACAUCUAUUUUAGAGGAGGAGUUGUCAUCUUUAUCAUCCAUUUUCAGAGAUGUCGCAAAGGUGCACCAUGAACAUGAAAUUCUUAAAGAUUUUUGGAGGCGUACUAUCCAUUUGGCAUAUGAAGCUGAAGUUGCCAUUGAUUCUAUUCUUCUAUUAUUUCUUAGUAUAAUGUGUUUUGGCAUAUUUUUUCUCACUUCCUACAAUCUUAAAAGAGAUCAAGCAAAUUAAUGCAGAGGUGACUGUGAUGUGGUCUGCAGACGUCGCUCUUAAGCCUUACUAUGUGGAAGAGCCAUCUAAACAUUUGCCAAGUCAACAUAGCAAUCCCGUGGGUGAUGAUGAUGAGAUAGUGGGUUUUUAUAUAGCAACAGAAAAAGUAAUUUGGCAUCUGACUCGAGGGACAAGUGAGCUAGAUGUCAUCCCUACUGUCGAGAUGGGACAAACGGAAAACGAUUAUUGCUAGAAAGGUGUAGGAUAAUAAGAGGAUUGUUUCUCACUUCGAUGUUCGAGCAUGGUGCAUCAUUUCUCAAGGAUAUAACCAAAGAGAUCUAUUACAAAAGAUUUUUAGUCAAGUUACCGGUUCAAUGGAUAAGGGAGAAAAGGAUGACAUACUUACUGACAAGUUGAGGGAAAACUUAAUUGGAAAGAGAUAUCUUAUUGUAUUAGAUGAUAUGUGGGAUGGUAUAGAAUGGGAUAACUUAAGACUUUUGUUCCCUGAUGGUGGAAAACACUGUGCUGAAAAUGGACUUUUUUUCAGUUACAAGAUGAAAAUGCUUCUGCCACAGGGCUGGUAUGAGCAAGGCAUCUUCAGUACAUUUCUUUCUGGAAAAAAGAUACCUAGCUGGUUCACAAAGUUAGUUGUCAGGUCAAUCUUGAAGGAGAAUUUGUUUGAGCAUUAUUAUGUGCAGACUGCAGGUUCAGAGGGCGGGGUAGAAGAAGAAGAGGAUGAUGAUGAUAGCAUUCUUGAUUAUGAUAAUGAUGAUGAAGACGAAGAGGCUACACUGGUAGAGAUAGAGAAGUUGUUUGGAGAUCUUGGUGAAAGAAAUGGAACAAUGCUGCAGCAGUGUGUUAACAUUGAUGAGCUAAAAAAAUUUGUUAUAUUUGAAGGUGAAAAAAAAAUUGAUGUGACUCUCGAACUAAGGUUAUUGGUGAAAGGGAAAAGAAAGAGAUGAACUAUUGUUGUGUGGAAUAGCUAAGAAGGAGAAAUAUGGAGAAAAUAUUUGAGAAAGUAAUUGAAAAUUUUUGGUUUUAGUGGGGAGAUCCAUGUAGUGGGUGUAGUAAUGAUUAGGCUUAAUGUUGUGAUUGUUGAAAAUGCAAACCAAUAUGCUGUAUGGUUAGUACUCCUUGAAUUAAAACUUGAGUGUGUUUGACAUUAGUGAUAAGGUGAAGUAAAUCUUCUUAAGCAGAUGUAGAAUAUGGAGUCCAAAAGCUUAAGCUAGCACCUCUUUUCUCCAAGUUAGGCUUCAACAUAAGAGUAUUAUACAGUGGGACUCAAACUCGUGUGGUUAGUUGUGUAUUGGGAGAAUUCUAAGUUGGAAAUGAUGAAGCAUGAAAUUUAUUAUUUGUGGUGUAGACGAGUAGUGUCUCUAAUGUUUAAGUCUUUUUGUUGUAUCUUUAAUGUUUCGAUUCUUAUGUCCUGUGAUAAUGUCAUCUCAUGUCGUGUACUAAUCUUAAUCAGGACAAAGAUUCAUAUAAAAAAAAUUCAUGUCUUACAAUGUUUUGAUCAUGUGCUAUAAAAUACAUGCCAUGAUCAUGUCAACAUCAAGUUUCGUUAUCACAUGUGUCGUGCUUACACGUUUCCUAGGGGUUAUCAUGAAUCUCGUUGACUGCCUUCGUAUAUUUUGUUGAGGAAAAAUGUUCAAUGCAAUGUUACAUUCUUUAUCUACACUUUUAGAGCUUAAAAAGUCCCUACCCAUCAUUCGGGGACGAAUGAUCCCAAGGGGGGAUAAUGUAACACCCUGUACUUCCGAGCUAAAAUUUAGACCAUCGUUCCUACACGUAUAGAACCGAACUAAAUCAUUCCUUGUUAAUGUAUGUGUGGUGAUAACUCCUAUAGUGUGGGAAAACCUUUGAGUAUGAAUUGAGGUCACAAGAAUCUCCUAACUCUAAGACGAGUUGAAAACAAUUCUAUCGAUUUGGUUUUAGUGGACACUUUAACUGGGGUCAACUUUUGUCAACCAUAACUUUCUGUAUAUAAUGAACUGGGAGGGAUACUAUAUAUCAAAUGAAAUCUAUUUAAUUCUUCUUUCCAAUGCAACUAAUUUCAUUCAAAUCCAACAUUGGAGUAAAAAGUUAUGCCUAAUUUACUUCAGCAUAUCAGCCUGUCAACUGAGGGACUGUUGUGACUUUCUUUUUUUCCUUAGGGGUAUUUUAGUCCUUUCUCCCACCCAUAUUCAGACAUAAACACGUGAUUAAACCCUUAAUUAAACAAAAUAUGGUCAUUUUCUCCAACUCCCUCAAGAACUAAACACUUAGGUCUCAACCUAAGAAUCAAGAUCCCUUAAGAUUCAACCGUGGGUUUUAGAAAUUGAUUGAAGAUUUGGAAUCCCCAAACUGUAAGCUUCAAGAAGCAUCGCGUUGAAGAGUUAAAGGGAUUAUAUAGGGGUAGAAAUUUGACCCUUUUAACCCUGGACACGUCAUUAAAUUUUCAGUAAAAUUUUCUAAGUUGGGCCCUUGGCGCGAUUCGGCAUUAUCGCAUCGUGUCACUGGAAAUUGACAAUUGAGAAACUGCAAGGUGAUGCGACGUGGAGCUAUCAUGUUGCCACCUUGUCUACGACCUGGAAUUUUGGCACAACAUGCUAGUAUCGCGGAACAACACUGGAAUUUGACAAUUACCAUUUGACCUAUCUCCGCGACGCGCUGAAUGCUCAGGUCAAACACUAUUUCACUAAAAAGGCUCUACCUCUUCACCCGGGUAUCAGAUUUGGGUGAAUUAUAUAUCAAUGGAAAUAUUAUUCAAAGAUUAUGCGGUGAUACUUGAUGCCAUGUUUAUCAUGGGAUCAUGAACAUGAGACUGAAUACUAUGUUAGUGAUGUACACUAAUCAUGAAACUGAGUAAGCUUAAGGAGAAUUGUUACCUUGAGCUUGAUUUGAGUUGGCGGGGAAGAGGUGAGGAUACUUGGUAUGCAUAUCUACUUCUGCUUCCCAAGUAGCUCCCUCUACAAACUGAUUUUGCCAAAGAACCUUAACUAGAGAGAAUUCUUUGUUCCUCAAUCUACCGAGUAUGAUAGUUUAGGAUUUCGACUGGAAUCUCUUCAUAAGAGAGGCUGCUCUGAACAUCGAUGCUCUGAAUAGGGACAACAACUAAUGGGUCACCUAUACACUUCUUGAGCAAACAGAUAUGAAAGACUGGAUGAACUGAGGCUAGAUCUAAAGGCAAUUCGAGCUCAUAAGCUACCUUGCCGAAUUGACUAAGAAUCUUGAGGGACCGACAUAUCAGGGACUGAACUUUCCCUUCUUUCCUAAUCUCUUCACUCCCUUCAUAGGAGAGAUCUUGAGGUAGACAUGAUCACCAAUCUCAAACUCAAUAUCCUUUCAACGAACAUUUUCAUAACACUUCUGUCGGCCCUGAGCAGCCCAGAGUCUUUCUCUCAUUAACAAAACUUUCUCUAAGACAUCAAAUACUAAGUUAGGACCUAUGACUAAGGCCUCACUAACUUUGAACCAACCGAUUGGAGAUCUAUAUCUCCUACCAUAGAGAGCUUUGAAUGGAGCCAUCUAAAUAUUAGAAUGAUAGCUAUUGUUGUAUGCAAACUCAAUCAAAGGAAAGUGGUCAUCCCAACUACCCUUGAAAUCAAUUACACACGCCCUUAGCAUAUCUUCCAAAGUCUGAAUGGUCCUUUCUGCUGGACCAUCUGUCUGAGGAUGAAAGGUUGUACUAAGAUGAACUUGGGUACCAAGACCUUUUUGGAAUGCUUUCCAAAAAUGAGAGGUGAACUGGCUACCUCUGUUUGAGAUAAUAGUCAACGAAACACCGUGCAAUCUGACCAGCUCCUUAAUGUAGAGCUUGGCGUAAUCCUCGGCUGAAUAAGAGGUAUGAACUAGAAGAAAAAGAUCUGAUUUGGUCAUUUUGUAUACAAUGACCUACAUUGAAUCAUGCUGACGACGAGUUCGAGGCAAACCCAUCAUGAAGUCCAUGUUCACAACUUCCCACUUCCAAGUAGGAAUAUUGAACUCCUGCAUAGGACCACUAGGCUUCUGAUGCUCUAUCUUAACUUGCUGACAUGUAGAGCACUUAGCCACAAACUCUGUAAUAUCUCUUUUCAUCCUACUCUACCAAUAGAUUUGUCGUAAGUUGUGGUACAUCUUAGUGGCCCUUGGAUGAAUAGAAUAACACGCACCAUGCGCUUCUAAAAGAAGCCGCUGCCUUAAGUCAUCUAUGUCUGGAACACAGAGACGACCCUGACAAUGAAGAACAUCGUCUCCCCUUUGGGAGAAAACCUCUAUUUUUUUAAUUCUUAACUGACUCUUUUAGCUUGACAAGGCUAGGAUCCUUAUCUUGAUUUUCCUUCACCUCGAAAACUAGAGAUGAUUCUGAACUACUCUGAACACAUACACCGCCCUCUGAAGAGCUGACUAAGCGAACGCCUAGUCUGGCAAGCUGGUGGACUUCCUGGACUAACUUCUUCUUACUAUCAUCAACAUGAGAAAUACCACCCAUGGAUGGUCUACUGAGAGCGUCGGCCACUAUGUUGGCCUUGACUAGAUGAUAGAGGACACUCAUGUCAUAAUUUUUUAAGAGCUCUAACCACCUUCUCUGACAAAGAUUGAGAUCUUUUUGAGAAAAGACAUACUGAAGGCUCUUAUGAUCUAUGAAGACGUCUAUAUGAACUCCGUAGAGAAAAUACCACCAAAUCUUUAAGGAAGAUACUACGACUGAUAACUCAAGAUCAUGAGUAGGAUAAUUGUUCUCAUGGGGUUUAAGCUGUCAGGAGGCGUAGCCUAUGACCUUACCAUGCUUCAUGAGGACACAACCUAAACCUACUCUAGAUGCAUCACAAUAAACUACAAAACCAUCUGAACUAUCUAGAAGAGCUAGAACUGGAGCUGAGGUGAGUCGAAUCUUUAAUUCCUGAAAACUCUUCUCGCAAUAAUCUGACCACUGAAACUUGACCUUCUUCUGAGUAAAUUUGGACAUAGGAUAUGCAAUAGAAUAAAAUCCUUUAACAAACCAUCUAUAAUAGCAAGCCAAACCCAAGAAACUCUUGAUAUCUGAUGGAGAAAUAGGGCGAGGCCAGUUUCUUACUGCUUCGGUCUUUUGAGGAUUUACUCUAAUGCCAUCACCAAAAAUAAUAUGGCCAAGGAAUGAUACUAAUCUUAGCCAAAAUUUGCAAUUACUAAAUUUGGAAAAUAAUUGAUGAUUUUGAGAGUCUGGAGUACUAUUCUGAGAUGGUCUGUAUGAUCUCGCUCAGUGCGGGAAGACUAUGACGAACAUGUCCAAGUACUGCUUGAACACGCGGUUCAUCAAUUCCAUGAAAGAUUAUGGGGCAUUGGUAAGACCAAAUGACAUAACUUGAAUUUUGAAGUGACCAUACCGCUUACGGAAAGCUAUCUUCGGGAUGUCACAUUCUCUAACUCUAAGCUGAUGAUAGUCGGAUCUAAGGUCUAUCUUAGAGAAAUAACUGGCACCCUGAAGUUGGUCAAACAAGUCAUCGAUUCUGGGAAGAGGAUACUUAUUCUUGACCGUAACCUUAUUGAUUUGACAGUAAUCAAUGCAUAUUCUGAGUGAACUAUCUUUUUUGCGUACGAAUAAGGCUAGUGUGCCCCAUGGAGAAAUAUUGGGUCUGAUGAAUCCCUUAUCUAAGAAAUCCUUUAACUGUUCUUUCAGUUCUUUGAGUUCUGCUGGUGCCACUCUGUGUGGCGAAAUAGAGAUAGGUUGAGUGUCUGAAAGAAGAUCAAUACCAAAGUCUAUUUCCCUUUCGGAAGGAAUUCCUGGAAGAUCUUCGGGAAAGAUAUCUGAAUAUUCAUUCACUACUGGGACUGAUUCAAGACUGGGAGCCUCAGAAUUGGAAUCUCUAACAUGAGCUAGAUGAUAAACGCAUCCCUUAGAUAUCAUUUUCCUUGCCCGAAGGUAGGAAAUAAGCGGACCCCUGAAAGUGGAUACACUACCCUUCCACUCUAGGACGAGUUCAUUCGAGAACUGAAACUGAACUAUUCUACUUCUACAGUCGACUGUGGCAUAGCAGGAAUAAAGCCAAUACAUGUCGAGAAUGGCAUCAAAAUUAGUCAUCUCUAAUUCGACUAAGUCUGCUGAAGUGACUUUCUGAAAUAUCAUAACCGGGCGAUUCCUUUAUACCCGUUGGGCUAUGAUGGUUUUACCCACUAAGGUAGAGACUGAGAAGGGCUCUGCUAGAAUUUUUAGACUGAUUCUGAAAUCAACUUCUAUAUAAGAAGUAACAAAAGACAAAAAAGCUCCUAGAUCUAGCGAAGCAUAAACAUGCACAUGAAAGAUCUAUAACAUACCAGUAACUACAUCAAGAGAACUUUUCUCAUCUUGUCGAGUCUGAAGAGCAUAGAGACGAUUUGGGCGUUGCCCGCUAGUAGCACUAGAAGUGGAACCCUACUGAUUUGGGAGAUUGGACUGAGCUGAGGAGUGAUUAUUUUGUCCCUGAGGACCUGGCUGCGAACAAUAUCUAACUCUAUGGUCUGGCUUUCCACAACCAAAAAAAUGCCAAUACCUGAUCUACACACACUCUGAUGGUGCUUACCGCAAGUCUGGCAAAGAGGAUAGGUGCAGGCACUACUAACACUGCCCUGGGUAUUAGAGCCUGGUGCUCUAUCUUGUUACCCUCUCUGAACUUAGGGUACUAGAGCACUGGCUGUAGUGGGUGCUGGAACUGAUGACUUAGGAUGAAACUAGGAAAAGUUUCCUCCUUCUGACUUAGGCUGAGCGAAGUUAAAACUACCUGUCUUCGCUCUCUUAUUCUAUUUUUCCCUCUGCUUAAUUUUCUGCUCUUCUAUCUGCUGAGAAUGGUUCAUAAGUCUAGAUAAGGUCAUGUCACUGUUCAAAAUGGCGGAUCUACACUCAUUAACCAUACUGUCGUUCACCCCUGAAGCGAACUUACUCAUCUUGGAUCUACUGUCUGCAACCACGUGAGGGGCAUACCUGGCUAAUUGAGUAAACUUAAAAGAAUACUCUUUCACUGUCAUAUUGCCCUGCCUGAGGUUGAUGAACUCUAGUAUUCUUGGCUUCUCUAAGCUCUUGGGGAAAGAAUCUGUCUAAGAAUGAAGUGACAAACUCCUCCCACUCUAUAGGACCUGCAUCAUCUGAUCUUUCGAACUUUUGUUGUUUGAACCAAGCAUGAGCCACAUCCUGCAACUUGUAUACAGGUAGCUCAGCACUCUCAACAGUAGUCACCUCCAUGGCGUCUAUCACUUUUUGAACUUGAUCUAAGAAUUCCUGAGGGUCUUCAUCUACCUUAGACCCAAGGAAGGUUGGAGGAUUCAUUCGGGUGAAGUCCCGAAUCCUAGCUGCGGCUGAGUUGGCCAUUGGGUUAGCCGGAAUGACUGUUGGCCAUUCAUUAUGAGCAGUGACUGAUUAAGCAAGAGUGAUAAAUGUGAUCUUGAACUCCGCAUGAGAAACAUGAUCGCCCAAAGGUUUUUUGGGUUGAGGGACUGACUGAUUUCUUCUCUUAGGAGACAUGUUCUGAAAUAAAGAGAAGGAGCAGAUUAGACUGAGAGACUAACUUGUGAUUAUGCUCACUAGCACGAUAUGAAUACUGAAAGAAAGGAAAAUGUUCUUAAAAUAUCUUAUAGCCUCUUCCACAUAAAUGUGGCGCAUAAUACACCCUUGUACAAGACUCUACUAGAUGCGGCUUUCAGACUUCCUAGGUCUCUAUUGAACCUUAGACUCUGAUACCAAGUUUGCAAUGACCCAAUUUGCUGAACCAAAAUUCUACACGGUGCUCAUGACACCGAAGGACCACAAGCUAACCCAUGACUGAUAUUUGUACUUGUAUAUUGCAUAAGAUAACAUAAUAAUGUGGAAAUAUACACUGAAAGGCCAUAAGGUUCGAUCAUAAAUAUAACUGAAUAACGUAACAUCUGUGUGGGGUAAUAGAAUACCCAAAACAAAACUGAAAAUACUGAAGUCUAAACAUGAUAAUAUGUAUCUAGUCGGCAUCUAGUCUGAAAGCCUCUACUGUCUGAAGAAUCUGAAUAAGAAGUUGAUAGGACAUUUCCCCAACUAACUCCAACUAAUAAGAUAAUCAAUGAGAUAAUAGAAAAUCAUUAUGUCCUCAAAGAAAGAGGAAUCACUUCUAAUCUGACUACUGAAACUGGAAUCUACUGCUGAUCUGAAACUCGUGUCUUUGAACCUAUGGUGUAACAUAAAAAGAAAGCACCAUAGCGUGAAUGCAUCAGUACAUAUGUACCGAGUAUACAUGUGAGGUAGGCUAUAUUCAAGGGUUUGCAUGCAUGAAUAAUGCUAACUGACUGUCUAACAUGAACGUGAGAAUAAAAGCAUAAAUACGUAACUGUAACUGACAAUGUGAUUUCAUGAUUUUUGAGUCUGUAUACUGAUAAUGUGACAUGCUAGUAACUGAUAUGACUGAUAACAUGAAGGACUAUAUCUGAAUAAUGUUGAUAACAUGGGUGACUGUAUCUGGGUAUAACUGACUGUAGAUGACAGUCCUAAAUCUGAUGGAACUAUCUGAGUUCCAUACUGUAUCUAAGUUGACUAUGUCUGACAGUCCUAAAAUCUAAAAGACUAUCUGAGUUCUAUUACAGAAACUGAUUGACUAUAUCUGAUAGUCCUGAUUCUGUAACAUGAAACUGUGGGAAGUAGUAUCUAACCGACAUGCCCCAAAGGUGCUAUGAUAGCUGAGCUGGGGUCCAAUCUAUGCCCUGACUAGAAGGGUGUCAAUACCGCGCCACUGGUAAGGACAACAUGUGAGUAACCCUCAUAUAAUAGGUAACUCUAGCGAGAAUGGUGGGAACCCUCACAUAACAGGUUAAGCCACCUCAUCUACCCUUAUAUAGAAGGCUACGAUGUCUCAACCUAUACUGGUUACAUAGUUCUGGAAUGCAAGGAUUGCUUCUAGGAAUCACAUCCUCGUAUAACAGGUGAGUCCCGAUCCUUGGGUUCACAGUUAAUAUUUUGGGUACAAGUACCCCCAGGACUCGAUAGAAGGAACCUGACAUGACUUAAUAUUCUUAAAUACAUGAUAAUCACCACAAUAUGUUUAUUGAAGCAUUUCAUCAAACGUCUAAUAGGCAUAAGCCUGUACAUUUAUGGGGAUUUUCAUGAUAUCAUGCUAGUUAGGCAAAUUUCCUUUAUCUAUGCAUUUUAUCAAACAUAUGGUAGGCGUAGUACAUGUAAACACAUUAUACAACAAUUAAACAUCAUGCUUCAAUUCCAAUUCCAUCAUACAAGAUUUUAGUCAUGAGAUUUUGUAAAUCUUUAUCUAUACUAAUCAACCCACAUGUAAUUUAUCAUCAAAUCAUGGAAUAGAAAUCAAUUCCUCAUUUAUCAACAUGAAAGAGAACAUACAAAGCAUAAAAACAUGAAAAAAAUCCAUAACUUGUAGUUAAAAAGGAUUCUUGGACUUCAUGGACGAAAUGAGUCUAUGAAUGAACACUAUGCAUAACUUAGAUCAUGAUUUCGUGAAGAUUGAUGGUGAAACCUUACUGAAUUUGAAUCCCCAAUAGAAACCCUAGUUUGUUCUUGAGAUAAACUUGAGAGAAACUAAUAUGUUUUGGGUGAAAAGUAGCUAAAUCACGUGUUAAAGGGAUUAUAUAGGGGUAGGAAGUUGACCCUUUUAACCAUGGAUACCUUAUUAAAUUUUCAGUAAAAUUUUCCGAGUUGGGCCCUUGGUGCGACGCAGCGUUAUCGUGUCGUGUCAUUGGAAAUUGACAAUUGAGAAACUGCACGGUGGUGCGACACGGAGCUAUUGCGUUGCCACAUUGUCUAUGACCUGGAAGUUUGGCGCGAUGCGCCAGUAUCGCGGAGCAGCACUGAAAUUUGACAAUUGUCAUUUGAGCUAUCUCCGCAAUGCGCUGAAGGCUCAGGCCAAACACUGUUUCACUAAAAUGGCUCUAACUCUUUGCUCGGGUGUCGAAUUUGGGCGAAUUAUAUAUCGAUGGAAAGAUUAUUCAAUUUUCCACGUGAUAGGAAGUGAAAAUUAUGGAAAUACAUCAUGUAUAAGAAUGAAUUUUGAUUUCAAAGUAAGUUCUAACAUCCUUGAGAACCCCUCUCGUAUGUUGAAUUAAACAUUAUGGUUUUGUUGAAAAAGAGUUGAAAUGCAUGCCUUGUGAUUUGAAAGUAGUUUUCUCAAUCUCAUAGCAAUUGAAACAUGAUUUAGAAAUAAUGAGAGGGUGUUUCUUGAUGUUACUAUGAUGUUCUUGUGUUAAAGAGAGAAAUGCAUGUAAUUGAGAACUUUGACAUGACCACCUUGAAUUCUUGAAAUGUUGACAAAGAGAGUUUCCUUGCAUAUGUUUACAUGAGUUUUAAAGAAUGAGUUUCUUGAAAAGAAUUGUAUAUAUGGUGUCCUAAAUUCCAUGUUUUGAAAACAGAAAUAUAAUUUGCUAAAUGGCUCAGAGAAUGUGACUUGCAAGUCAAUGGCACGACGAUACCAUAUAAAUGUAUGGAAUGAUAGAGUUAGAGUUUGAUUUCAGAGAAUCUAUGUUUUAAAGAGUUAAAAACUGGGUUGAUGUGAGUUAGGUGGUUACCCGUAGAAAGCCCAAGUCAAAUGACUCUAUGUUGGAAAUCGUGAUUUGCCGACAUGGGAACUUGGUACCCUACUAUGUGAUAUUGUUUGCCUAGUACUUUGUCAUCCCAAAUCGGUACUUAUGGUUUGGAUCCCUGCUUCAUGAUCUUGAGCCCAACCACGAUAAAAUGAUUUGAUUGAGGUUGUGGUACCCUGCUGUGUGAUCUUGUGUGCUCUUCCCUCACUAGUACUCCUAUCUUGGUGGCAACUGAGAUAAGGUAGUCAGUGAAAGUUGCGAAAUUAUAGGGUAUACCACCUAGCGCAGAAGUAAAACAAAGAGUGUUACAGAGUUCAGAUGAUUUUAUAGAGUCUUUUAAAAAUGCCCAUGUGAUUUUUACCAUAUGACAUAUUUAUGAACUAUUUUAAAUCACGCUAAUAUAUGUUGAAUAUAAAUUAUUAUUUUGGAUUUGCUCUGCGUACUAGUACAUCUGUAUUGACCCCCCUACCUCCCAGGUUCGGAGGCUCAAUCUAAGGGUCCGACUAAGCAGUAGAGUAUUCAGAGAGAAGUGAUCAGUGAAGUGGUGAGACUUCUUUGUUCCAGAAGGCCUAUUUUAUCAAAUUAUGUUAUUCCUUUUGUUUUGGUCUACUGAGGGCCUUGUCCCAGUUUUCAAACAGUUAUCAUUUGAUCAUGUAGUAGAGAUUUCACAAAUUGUUCUAGAUGUUGUUUAGUUGAUUUCAAAUUUCAUUCCUUAUUGUUAAACUGAAUUCAGAGUAUGACCAUGUUUUCAUAUCAGAUUGUAUUUCUGCAUCUUCUUUUAUUAUAUUAAUGUUGUGCAUGACUACCAGAUAGAGUAGGACGUCUGGGCCUUCAUGGUUCGGAAUGUCCGUCACGGCCAGGCCCUAGUUCGGGUCGUGACAAGGACUUUGUGUACUUCUGCUGAGCUUGUGCAAGCUACCACUGUGUCCACUUAUGAUGCAUAUUAUAAAUAGUGAAUAAAAUCUCUUUUAUUACCAAAAAAGAAGAGAAAAUUAUAGUAGAAAAUUUAUAUUCGAUUUGAUACUCAUAAUCGUAGUUUUAUAGUAACGUCAAUGAAUUUGACACUUAAAACAAAAAUAGGUAAAUAAUGUAAUAUACUACAUGAAAUUUAUCAACUAUAUAAUUUGAUGGAACAUUAAUUACUUACCAAAAUCAUUCAGUUAUUUCUAUAUUAACUAAACAAAAUUUCGCACUUGGUCAAAUAAAAUAAAUCUACCAUUUAAUUUGAAAAUAAAAAUGUAUUAAUAUACUUUUAAGUUUUAUAAUUAUAUAAAUUCUUCACUUGGGUUAACAUCUAGAUAAUUUUAAAGGACACUGAAUAUAAUUAUAAAUGUAUUUUGACUAGUAAAUGUUUAAUGAAGGACCAUUAUAUAAGUCAAACUUUCUACAUGUAUUAUAAGUAAAUCAAAUCUAAAAUUUAACUUGAAUUAAAAAAUAUUUUUGACGUGCUUACUGAAAUAAGAGAAAAAACAUUCACAUUAUGAUUAAUUAGCUUUGGAAAUGCAUUCAAUUAAAAAGUUGAACCUUAACUUGAUAAUUAAAAUAUUAUUUUUAAGUUUAAAAAUUGAAAUCGUUAACUAUAACGACUUAUAUAUGCCCUUUAAUUCUAUAUCAACUACGCAAAAAGUUUUGAUAAAGUUUUUGAUAUUUUUCAUCUAUAAAAUAUGAUACGAUAAACUAACAUACCAAAUUUAUAUUUCAAGCCCAACAAUACCAUUCAAUUUCAUAGGAAAAAUAAAUACACCUUAACUUAUCAUAUUUACAUAAAUUUUCACCCUUACAAAGUAAUUAUAAAAAUCUCAACUAAUUAUGUAUCUUUGUUGAAUGUAUCAGGGAGUUAAUUAUGUAUCUUAACAGAUCCAAAAUCUGAAAAAGUAUGUCGAGGGAUAAUAUGUAUCCUCUUAUUAGUAACAUACAUUAUUAUUUAUUCCCUCGUGAAAAAUCCAGUGUGACAUUUUUGUAACAUAGAUUAAUAAUUUAAUUUUGAAUUAGCUCGACGUAAUUUUUUUUCCCCGGAUACGUUUGGUAUUCGUGAGUAACUGAUUAUUAUCUCCUAAUAUAAGCAAGAAGAGAACGAUCAUCGUAUCUCAUGUAUAACUCUCUUAAGUAUUUUUUAAAAACUUAAUGUACUAAUGGGCCAAAUUCUGAUAUUGGUCUCUUUAUCAUGUUAGGACCCCUUUGAUGAAUCAAGAAGUUUUCAGCUGAGGAGAAGCCCAAUAGCUACAUAUUGGACUCUUUAAACCCAUACAAUAAAUGUGGCACCUAAGCCCAUCUUACUCUUACAUAUUUCAAUAAUAUUACUAAUCUCAUAUACACCCGAUGUAUACACAAAACACGGUUAAAGUAACUCUAGUAACAACAUUGUCACAAACAAAUGUUAGUUCCCGUCAAAAUAUAUCCUAUCACAAUCGUAGUAGAAUUAACUGAAUAGGAGAUAAACCAAAGAAUUCGUGUUUUAUUUGAAUAAUCUAUAUUCCAAUAAGUCAUAGAUUGUUAGAGAAAUGACACAUUUACUUAAUAGGCAUUUCGCCAUGAGAAUUCUUUCACUUUUUUCAAAAAAUUCUUUAACUUUUGUAAAAGAGAAACUAGUAGUGUUUCGCCAUAAGAAUUAUUCUCUCACAAAAUUUCAAAAACAACUCUACUUUAUAUUCAUGGCCAAACACAAUACCAACUCCAACUUAGCAAAAAAUAUUAUUUCAUGGCUAAACAAGACCUUAUUCACAAUCUGCAACACUAAGUGUACCAAUGGAUUCGUUUAUAGUGAUCAAAUUUGCCACUUCCAAACAGGAUUCACAAAUAUACAUUGGGUUGUGCUUCAUCUAUAUGGCCCUAAUCAUAAUAAACCCAAAAAUGAAAGGGACAAGUGCACAAGUAACCGAUUCGGACUAUCAUUUAAAUCAUAGCCAUCAUACAUAAUUUUUUUUUUGUAAAUUUAGCCGCUUCAAAACCAAAUUAAGGCAUAUGUGAUCAAAGUUGCGAAAGUGAGUAUGUACGAACGACAAAGUUCUAACAUUUUUACUUAAAAUUUGGCUUGUCAUGAUCAAACUCUUGAAUCUGGUUUGCAAAGGCCCAACAACCCAACAUUUAUGUCUGAAUUUUGGUUGGUUAAGACGAUUGUGUUAUAGCGACUAGCACAAUAAUGAUGGUGGUGAUUGUGACAAUGAAUUGAUUUGAUGUUAGUAGUUGAUGGUUUGAUGGUGGAUGUCACUGAAAAAUGUGUGGUGGUUGACGAUGAGUGUUGGUGGAGGUAGUAGAUAUUAGGAAUUAGCAUCAGUGACGAUAGUGACUUAUAGUAAUAGCGAGGUGGUGACAGUGAGUGUGAUAGAAUAAAUAAUUAUAAUAAUUGAUAUGUAAACAUGAUAGUAUAGGGAGUCGUUUGGUUAGGAAAGAGUUAUCUUGGGAUAUCCCAGGAUUAAUUAUCUCACCAUGUAUAUGGGAUAAGUGGGAUAACUUAUCCCAUCACUGUGAUAUAAAUGGUGGGAUAAUAAUCUCGAGACUAAUUAUCCCACAUUUUAUCCUGAGAACAUUGACCAACUUAAAGGGUCAAACAUAAUUAAAAAACUUGAUUAAGUUAAUUUUGGACUUGAUUAAUAUUUUCAAAAAAUUUUAAUCUUUUCAAAAAAACAAAUCAACCCAUACCCCUCUCCUUUCCAAAUCAACUGUCUCUCUUAUCUCUCUCUCGACAGUCUCUGUCAGCUCUCUCCUAACCAGAAAUUCUAUAAAAUUUCUCUCUUUAAUCCCCAACGACUUCAAGCUCCGUCGACAAAUAGUUGGGCGAGUUUCUUUUUGACUUUAAAUUGUCAAUCGACAUGACAAGCAGUGUUCUCUAGCGACAACAACUUUGAGUUCUUCAUCGUCCCAUUUCUCACGGGUAAAGAUUAUGUCUUUUUUAGUUAUGAAGAAAAAAAGGAACUUAAGCCAACUUCUCUUCUAUUAUUGGUUAACAAUUUCAAUAUUUCUUACUUAAAUUUGAAUUGUGGACUAAAGAAAACCCUAAUUUCUGGCAUUUCUUCUCUACUCUUUCCAUUGUGAGAUAUAAUUUUUUGUUGUUAUUGUAGUUCUUGUUGUCUAAUUUUCAGCAAGUUAAAGCGGAACAUCAGAGACCCUUCUAGGUCAAACCUUUAGUAUUCCUGUAUGGAAAUGGGAUGCUAUUAAUAUGGACUUCAUUAUAGGCUUACCUUUUUCUUAUUGAAAACAUGACUCUAAUUAGGUAAUAGUUGAUCGAUUGACGAAAUCAGCCUAUUUCUUCCUGUUAAGUCUACCAUCACGGCUGAAGCUUAUGCCAAGCUUAUGUAAAUGAGAUUGUUCGCCUACAUAGGACCUAGAUGUCCAUUAUUUUAGAUAAAGGUUCCCCAUUUAAAGCUCAAUUUUGGAAAUCAUUUCAUAGGAGCUUGGGUACUGAUACGAGCCAAAUAGACAACUUAGAUUUUGAUGAUAUCUUUGGAGUCUAGCACAUAGAGACUCAAGACAUGGUCACUUCGAAUAUACAAGAACAAGCAUGGAGGACAAGUUUUGAGCAUUCCAUUAAGCAAGGCCGUGUGUGGAAGAUUUCUUGGAGCAUUAAAGAUUUGAGGACUCACGAUUUUGGACCAUACUUAAUGGCUCAUGAUUUUUGGAGCAUUGAAGAUCCUUAAAACACUCCAAAACCGCCAUUCUACUUAAGGGUUUUUUGGUCAUUUUUUGCCCUUUCCUUACACUCCAUAGGAGUUCCUUUCAUUAAGGGCAUUAGCGUUAUUUUGGUUUUGAUUUUGUAAUUACUAUAAGUAGGCUCUUUAGAGUUCAUCUCAUAGUUGGUUGUUUUAUCGAUGUAAGACUUUGAAACAUUGUAAAAAACUCUCUCUAGUGUGAGGAGUGUAACACCUUUAGUUGUAAGGCUUGGAAUAGCCACCAAACCGAAAUGAAGGAAGCAAGUGUGGAUAUCACUUAUAUUGCAGUCGUUGGCUUCAAACGUUGGUGCUAGGGGAGGUAAUGUCCCUCUUGUGUCUACGUAGGAGAUUGGUAAUAGUUUGUGUAGGUUGUAAGGGUCCUUAGAUUUGAUAUAUCUUAGGAUUCUUAGAGUUUAUACACUCCUUUGUCAAUCUAUUCAUCCAUUUUAUCUUUUGUAAUUCAUGUGUUCUUGUGUUGUCAUCUUGUUGUCGUUUUUGUGUCUUGUUCUUGUAGACUGUUUGUGACAUUUUUGUGGCUGUUUUGUGCCUUGUUUAGACCAUUUUUUAUCAUUUGGUAUCAAUGAUAAGGCUGAUUUUAUUUCCACAAGAUCAAUCUUGGGCUUGUAAACUUGAAAAUCGAAAAAAAAUUAUUGAAAACUGAAAAGUCCAGAAAAAUAGCAAUAUGCCCGUGUUUGUGUUCUUAGCCGAAAUUGUGUUCUUGUUGUUGUUUUGUCCAAGAUUUAAGUCGACAUAUAGGUGUAUUUUACUUGUUUUGAGUGUUUUUGGUGUUAGCUCUCUUCUUCUCUAACACCUUGAGUCUAGAUCCAAGUGAGCUUGAACGAUUGUUGGUGGUAUUAUUGUUGCGGCUUCAAAACUUGAACAUUAUUGGUGUUAUUAUUGUGGAUCCAAAAUCUGGAAGGUGUUGUAUUAAACUUGUGUUGUCGAUAUUGUGUUGUGGGUUAUAAGCUUGAAAAGGGUGUGUUUGAUUCUUGGAGGUUCACGUGAGGUUUGGUCUUCAAACUUCUAUUGAAGGUUCUUGUUGUUCUAAACCAAUCUUCAUGUCUAGUUGCAAGAAGACUCUUCAAUAGUGUUUUUUUGAUUCAAAACAAAGUGUAAAGAAGUGGAGUUUUUGUUAGUCUUGAAAACUAAUCCCAAAGACCUGGCAAAAGGGAAGGGGAACAAGAAGAUCUACAGAAGACUUGGUACCAAAAGAGGGAAAGAACACUUUUCUAGGUGUCCAAAAGAAGAAAGGGCCACUCCAACCCUUCAAAAAUAUGUCUUUCCCAAAAGGUGUAAGACAAGUCAAACCUUUUGAAUGUGAAAAAAAAAGAUCCAACCUUGAUGUUUUCUUCCCCAAGGACGAAAUACACUUCUUCAAGAAUUGAAAAUUGAACAAAAAAUUCAAAGUUGAAAAAUAAGAACCUUUCAAAACCCGCAACCAAUUCUAGACCGCCACAUCACCAAUUUCCAUACAAUACCGAAACCAAGGGCUCAAAAUCUUGGAUUCUUAGUUUCUUAUUGUUGAUUCUUAGUUUAGUUUUGUUGAUUCUUAUACUAUUUGGCAACUAGUAAAUACCUACUAAGUUGUAAAUCAGUUUUUAAAUAUGUUUCUUCGUGUUAGCAUUAUUUUUGUGCUUUUGUUGUUUUUAAGUGGUAGUAUUUCUUGGUUCAAGUUCAGACAUUACUUUCUUGAGUCUUCAAUCAAAGAAUCCAUUCCGACCAAGGAGUAGACUCACCCCUCGACUCAUCACGAACUACAAGCUGACUUGCAACACUUGUGAAACCAAGUGUGAGACGAUCAAGUCUGUGAGAGUGUGGAGAGGUUGUUUCGAACUAACUUGUGUUUUGUUUUGUAGGCUAGUUCUUUUUUUAUUUCCCAUUUUUUUAGGCACAAUUACAAGGGAACUCACGCCUUCAACCUCUCAAACCAUGGCAAUAAUGUCACCAAUGUCAUUUUGGCCUACCUUGACACUAUGUCCCGAGACCUAGCUAUGAUAAAUGAAAGGUUGGAUCAUAUGGUAGGUCAAAGGGAGCAAGUGAUAUGCUCGGACACACGUCAAGAGGAAGGUUGUAGCUCAUGUGAGCUACAAGGUAAUAACGUUAUCCCCUACACUCCUACGAAUUUAGAAUGUUGUGUUGUGGCUAGUAGUAUCCAAAUGGGUGUAGUUGUGGCUUUGCCUAGGGAAGAGGUGCUUGAGUCUUCCUUUUGUGAUACUCUUGGUAUUGCUAGGUCGUAUGAGGACCAAACUCUUGUUGUAGGUACACAAGAACUAGUUGAUCCUUUAAAUGCUGAAAUUGAUUCUCCUCGUGAUAAUGAUUUGUGUCCAUCUAGUGCUAGCACUUAUAACUUGACUAAGGUUCCAUUACCAAGUUACAAGAGUAUUCACACACUAGUUGACCCUUUUGAAAACCAAGGUGAGUCUACGUUGGUAUGUGAGUUUCCAACAACUAGUAAGGGUGAGCAAAAUGAUCAACCAGGUGAAGAUGAUCUUGAUUUGUUUGAAUGUUUAGAAAACCUGAGUUGUGAUUGUCCUUGUGAAGAAGGUUUUGAUUGUGGUCCUUUGGCUUCCCGUGAUGUCUUGGAUGUAUGUGAGGACUACUCUUAUGAAAGAGAAGGUGGUAUAUGUUUAGAAAUUCCAUUGACUUCUUCUCUAUGUGUUUCUUAUGUUGGACAUACUCCUAGUGGAGAUUUUGAAACUAGUAGUAAGUGCAUGCAAGAGAACCCUUUAUUUGAAGUUGACUUGUGGAACAACUUUCUCAACCAUCUUUUUGUUCAUAGUAUUUCCAUUAGUGAUAAAGAGGGUAUGCUUAACUUUGAGAAUAGCACCCUAGGGGAGAGUGAGAGUGGCCGAGACCUAAGCCCUUGGUUACGUCUUUCAUUUGACCCCGGUAAUUUCUUAGGGUGUGAAGGAUGGAUAGUUGUUGUUCGGUCCACUUGUUUGAGUAACAUUGCUAUAUGUGUUGCGUGGACUUUACUUUCAAUUAAGGCACCUCUCCUUGAUGGUGAUUCCUUUUGCCAACUCCUUUGUAAUAUUUUUACUAAGUUCCUCGUGAUUAAAACAAAGAAUGUGUGGUUAUAUCUCAGGUGUGUACCUCUUUGGCAUGUUGAUGUUGUUUAUUGAGCUAACUUUAACCCUCAUGUCAUGAGGAUGUGGUUCUUGUUUUUUUUUUUGUAAGGUUUGGAUUCAGUUUGAAUCCUUUUCAAACAGGGGAGGAUGAUACGAGCCAAAUAGCCAAGUUAGCUUUUGAUGACAUCUUUGGAGGCCAACACAUAGAGACUCAAGACUUGGUCACCUCGAGUAUACAAGAACAAAUAUGGAGGACCGGUUUUAAGCAUGCCAUUAAGCAAGGCCAUGUAUGGAAGAUUGCUUGAAGCAUUAAAGACUUGAGGACUCAUGGUUUUGGACCACAUUUAAUGGACCACGGUUUUUGGAGCAUUGAAGAUCCUUAAAACACUCCAAAAUCGCCACUCUACUUAAGGGUGUUUUGUACAUUUUGUGCCCUUUCCUUACACUCCAUAGGAGCUCCUUUCAUUAAGGGCAUUAGGGUUAUUUUGGUCUUCAUUUUGUAAUAACUAUAAGUAGGCUUUUUAGGGUUCAUUUCAUAGUUGGUUGUUUUAUUGAUGUAAUACUUUGAAACAUUGUAACAAACUUUCUCUAGUGUGAGGAGUGUAACACCUUUAGUUGUAGGGCCUGGAAUAAAAACCAAACUGAAAUGAGGGCACCAAGUAUGGAUAUCACUUGUGUUGCAAUGGUUGACUUGAAACGUUGGUGCUAGAGGAGGUAACAUCCCUCUUGUGUCUACGUCGGAGAUUGGUGAUAGUUUAUGUAGGUUGUAAGGAUUCUUAGAUUUGAUAUAUUUUAGGGUUCUUAGAGUUUAUAUACUCCUUUGUCAAUCUAUUUAUCCAUUUUAUCUAUUGCACUUCGUGUGUUCUUGUGUUGUCAUCUUGUUGUCGUUUUUGAGUCUUGUUCUUGUGGACAGUUUAUGACAUUUUUUAUGCUGUUUUAUGCCUUGUUUGGACCAUUUUAUAUCAAGUACUUAGGUGAACCUUAGCAUUGCAUUUCAUCCACAGACAGACGGCCAGGCCGAGCUCACUAUUCAGAUGCUCGAAGACAUAUUGAGAGCGUGUGUGCUGGAUUUUAAAGGUAAUCGGGAUGAUCAUUUGCCUUUAAUAGAAUUUGCUUAUAAUAAUAGUUAUUACUCCAGCAUUGGCAUGGCUCUAUUCGAAGCUCUCUAUGGGAGACGAUGUAGAUCACCUAUUGGUUAGUUCAAAGUAGGUGAAACACAAGUAUUAGGUUCGAAUCUAUUCUAUCAAGCUGUCGAAAAGGUUAAACUGAUACGAGAGCGGUUAAAGACUGCCCAGAGUAGGAAAAAAUCGUAUACGGAUGUUCGGCUUAGAGAUUUAUAAUUCCAAAUUAAUGAUUUCGUGUUCUUGAAGGUGUCGCCUAUAAAAGGCGUUAUGCGAUUUGGUAAGAAGGUAAGUUGAGUCCUAGGUAUAUUGGGCCCUAUAGAGUUAUUCGCAGAAUUGGACAGGUAGCCUAUGAGCUAGAAUUACCUCCAGAGUUAGUUGUAGUGCAUCCUGUCUUUCAUGUGUCUAUGCUACAUAAAUGCUUAAGAGAGCCCUCUCGUAUGAUCCCUAUUGAAGGUAUUGAGUUUGCUGGAGACUUAUCAUUUGAGAAAGUUCCCGUGGCUAUAUUGGAUCGCCAAGUCAGAAAGUUGAGAACCAAAGAUAUAGCUUUGCUAAAGGUGCUUUGGAGGAACUAGAAUGUAGAAGAAGCCACUUGGGAAGCAGAAGCGGAUAUGAAAACUAAAUACCCAUACUUGUUCCAAAAACUACUAGAAGGUUCUUAAACUACUUGCCCCUUUAUAUGAUUGCUAGUUUCUACUAUAUUUUGUUUUGUUGAUAUCUGACUCUUACUUGAUAUGUUUAGGUACAUGAUUUGUGCCUAAGGGUCUUGAGAUUUACAUGGAAACAGCGUGUGUAUGAAGAGUAUAAGGUAAGUUACAUGAUUGAUUAUGACCUUUAAUUAUGUGUAAGGCUAAGAGGAGCCCCGUGAACUAUUUCUUGAGUUUAAGGCCAAGCGGAGCCUCGUAUGUUAUUUGUUGAGCAUUAUAUGUAUAGUGACGCUCUAUGAAGCGUAUUUGGAUGUAUUCUAGCUAGCUAACAGGUACCCAACAGGCCUAUUUACAAAGAAAACUCUGGCGAAAUUUUUGAAAAUUUAGAGAGUUAGUCAAAUUUAAGGCCUUAUGAUUGGUCAAGUGAGACCAGAGUUGAUUAAAUGACCGUAAGAAUAUCUUAGAUAGUUAUGGGAUGGAAAUUAAGGUACAAGCAUCAUUCGAGGAUGAAUUAUACUAAGUGGGGGAGAUUGUAGCACCUCGAGAAAAUUUUGAAUUAAGUUAACAGCUUAAAUUAAGUACAACUUUGACCUAUAAAGAAAAUUACAGUACAAAGGAAAAACAAAUGGAGUCAAAAAAUAUUUAGACAAGGAAUUUAUAUGUUAGCUGCCGGUAAGAUGAGCAUCUUGAAAUAUCAAGAUACAUAUCGUAAAUGUAUAAAGUUGUGGGGCCCUUUGUCCACCUUCCCUUUCUUUUUUCUUAAAAGUAAAGUGAAAGUAAAAGUAAGGGUAACAUAUAUAUAUAUAUAUAUACUAGUUUCCGACAAUUUUCCAGCUACCGAUCGACUGUACGACCAUGUUUACUACUUUUUGGAUCACCUUUCUCAGUUUGUUCCUUUUCAAUGAAGGUCUCUCAGACGUCUAGAGCGGUCCUUAUUAGUUUUCUCCCACAUAUCUUCACCAAGUCCCUCAUCGAUCCUCAUAUUAAUUACAUCCAUAACAAGUUUGGCACAUAUGUCUUUUUUGCACCACCUUGAGGGGGAGUGUUAGAAUAUGAGUAGGAAUAGGAAUAGCAUAUAGAAUUCUACUUGAAAAAGGAUUGUCAUUUAGUGACCUAUUUGAAAAAGGAUUGAAAUAUAGUGUCUAUAAAUAGGGUCUCAAUGUAAUAAUGUAAACACAACAAUUCAGUAGUAUUUUUCUCUUAUAUUUCUCCCAUUAACUUCAGUCAAAGUAUCCACCACUGUUCUCCCUGAUGCCUAAUACAACACAUCAAAUAUACAAUGAAGAACAUGUACUCCUACCAAAUAUGCAAUGAAGAGAGUACGCUCUCUUUGUUGUAUAAUUUGGUAGGAAUAUAUUUUGUUGGUCGAAUAUUUGGUAGGAAUAUAUCCUCUUGAUUGUAUAUUUGCCAUUUGUACAGGAUAAUCCUGUAGAUUCCUACACUUGUAGUUUUGUUUCCUAGUUUAGCUACACCUCCGUGUAUAGAGGUCAUUUUAAUCAAUGAAAGAUGCAGCUACUUGCAAUUCGUAGACGGUAUUGGAGCCCCAGUCACCUUCUCAUCUAGUCUUUGGUUGUCUUCACCAUCGUGUAUGAAACAAAUGUUACCAUUGUUCAGACCACCGCUGCUGUUGUGAAUUCUGCUUCAAGUCAGCAUCACACCUUUCCCUAUGCCUAGUAUCACACAUUAAAUAUACCAGGAAGAGAAUAUAUUCCUUGCAAAUAUACAAGCAAGUGAAUAUAUCCCUCAUUAAGAUAUUCCUCAUUAAGGCUACAUGGAAAAGAAAUGGACUCUUGAUCUAUUAGUCUAAGUACAUUCUUUUUGAAAAUAUUAACAUAUAUUAAUCUGCAUAAAGGCUAUGCUGGCAGCGAUCUUUAAAAAAUGAUCCCCUGUGUGCUCUACAAAAGACGCUUUAGACCAAAAAUAUAAAUCGUAAAUACAGUUCAUUUUAACUACUUGACUGGAAGUAAUCCUAUUUUCAAAGUAUCUGUUGUUUCUUUCCAGCAGAUGCACGCUGGAAAAAUACUCCACUUAUUUUGAUUAGUCCUUCCAGCGUAGUUCCGGGCUUUCAAGAUCCCUAGUGUUUCUUGGCAUCACCCAUUUCAGUUAAUCCAAAAUCAGAAACAGGUCCCAGAGCUGAGAAGUUAAAUACAAUGUAGGUCGUAGGAAGAGGCGGUUGUUUGAUUCUGAGGCAGCUUUACAUAGAUUUACAUAGGAAACAUCUGGAGAGUAUAUUAAGGACCUUCUUAAAAGUGGGUAUGUCUUUUUGUAGUGACAUUUCUACUCCAUCUUGUACUGACACACGCUUCCUCUGGGUGAUAGUAACACUUUUUAUGAUGAAACUUUGUUUUCUCGAAUUGUUGGAGAGAUUGCAGUUUUUGACUUUCACCCGACCAGAUAUUGCUUACUUUAAUUUAUUGUAAAUAAUGUAAGCAAGGUUUAUGCAUGCUCCUGACCCACUAUUCAUCAUUAGUGGCCAUAGUACAUGGUUGGUUUAUUUCAACUCAUAGUACAUGUGUUCUUCAUUGCAUGUGUUAUGAUCUUUUAUGGACAGGAGAUGUCGUUGACAGGAAGUCUACAGCAGAUUUUGCACUCUUUUAUGGUCAUACUCUUGUCUCUUAGUUGACCAAAAAGCAGCUUUAAGUGUCUCGGUUUUCCACUCAAGCUGGGUACUGUUUCUUCGUAGCUACAAGUUCUGACAUGAUGUGGACUGACAAUCUCCUUCUUAAGAUUUUCAUAUAUGUCCCUGGUGUGCCAAUUGUGUGGUAUGAAAAUCUUAGUACAACACACUUAACUACUAAUCUGAUGCUUCAUUCUUGAAUGGAACACAUGGAAAUAGCCCUCCAUGUUGUCAGUGAUUUACUUUGUGAGAAACAACUUCAGGUUCGGUAUAUCUCCUCCACUAUUCUAGUUGCAGAUGUGCCUAAACUUCUUGCUACACUAAUUCAACUUGAGGGAGGGUAAUGAGAAAUAUAUAUUUUCUUGGUUAUAUAUUUUGUAGGAAUAUAUUAUCUUGAUUGUAUAUUGGAUAAGAAUAUUUUCUCUAGGUUAUAUAUUUGGUAAAAAAUAAGAAUAUAUUCUUCCGGUGGUAAAUUUGUUUUAAAAGUUUUGUAGAUACCUACACCUCAUCUGUAAUAAAUUCUGUUUCGUGGUUUAUCUAUACAUCCUUGUAUAAGUAUAGUUUGAUCAAUGAAAUGAUAAAUUUCCCCGCCAUGUUUACACCUGCUACUCAACCAGCAAACGUCAUGCAGGCUAAUAUCCAUUAAAAUCUUCUAAUAUUAAAUUUUUUUCAUACUUCAUAUGACUAGUCAGUACCCUGUCUUUAAUAAUCAAUUUCCAACUCCAUAACUCAGUACAUAAAAUUUUGGCAACAAGCUCAUUGUUUCUCAAUGUACACCAUAUUCUAUCUUCUUUGACUUUUGACAAUGAUAUCUGACCAUACAUUUUCAAGAUUCUCCAGUCGUUUUUCACAAAGAUAAGUUGCAAAAAAGAUAAUUAGUUACAGAUAAAAUGACCAGGUUUGACCAAGACAACAAUCCGCAAUCGUUACAUCAAGCAAACACGCCAAAAUUAUGAUAACCCACCUUUCAUUAGCUCAAGCAACUAACCUUUGGAACCACCUGUAAUCAAGACAUUGUAAGGAGGAAGCAUUGGCUAAGUUUUAUUUCUCUGUGGAGAAGAAGCAGUCGCAGCCUUCACAACAGCAACACAGAAACGAAACGAAUUGCCUUUAGAUAUUAAACAAAACCUGGGUCUCGGAGACACAAUAACUGAACGGCCGUAAGAAGAGUUAAAUUUUCUGGUUGAGAACGAGCAGAGUGGUGAUUUAGUAAAGGAUUGAAGUGAAGUUGUGGGUACACUCAUUUCAGCCAUUGUUCUUCUUUUCUUGUUUGGCUGAGGGAAGGAAGGAUACAGACCGUUGUUUUGGUGUGCUGCUGAUAACCAAUAUAAAGACAAAAUCCCCUAAUUUUUUCGUCAAACCUAGUCUAACACAUUUUAACUUUAUAGAUACUUACUAGAUACGUAUGCCCGUGCAAUGCGUAUGAUAGAAUAAAAUGAAAAUGUAAAGUAAGGGACUAUCCAAUUUGAUUAGAUCAGUUGAUGGAAAUGAUCCCAAAUGUAUAUUCUAUACAAUCGUGGGAAUAAAAUACUACUGGAUGCUCAAAUUCACAUAUGAUAGUGAUUGUAGUCUAUUUACAUUGAUACACAUAAUAUUUAUAAAUUCUACAGUAGAAGAUGCAUUUUUGUUGUUGUGAUCAAUCUCUCGAGCAUUCAAGAUCAAGCACCUGUUAAAUUAGAUUUACAGAUUAAAUUAGUUCAGAAGUUCAAAAUAAUCCACCUUUGCAAGAAUCACAAGAGUAGCAAAGUUGUGUUUGGUCAUUGUUUCAAUUCAAGCAAUCCAUGUUUGUUGCAUUGUUAAUUAGACUAAUCCAAUAUGUUGGGAUCACAAAUGUGUACCCACAUAGAGUUGGUGGCUUACAACACCCUGACUGCAAAAAAGAAACAAAAAGAAGUAUUAUUAGAGAAAAUAAAUGUGAAAAAUAAUACUCCAUAUGUCACAAAAUAAGUGCCGCUUUAGCUCAUUUUAUGUCUAUUUAGAAAAAUAAUAAAUAGAGAUAAAUAUCAAUUACCAAGGUUCUUCUCUUAGGAAAGAAAAGUCUCCCUUCAAAAAGUUUUUCUAUAUAAAUCUACAACAAUAACGACAUACCCAGUAUAUUCUCAACAAGUGGGGUCUCGGAGGGUAAGUGUACGUAAUUCAUAUUACUACCUCAAAUGUGAGUUAGAGAGGUGGUUUUGAAUAGACCCUCAGCUCAAACUUUUCUAAUAUAAAUCUCUAACAAGAUAUUUAUAAUGACUCCUCAUAGACACUGCAAUGUAUUUGAGGCAUAGUCCUAUACCAUAUAUAGAGAGAGAAAUCAAUCAACUAAUUCACUGGCUCUAAAGCUUUCCGCACCAUUACCCAAAUGUUUUCAAAUUCCGACACCAAGUUAUUUAUAAAGUACAUGCCUGAAGUCUUAAAGUCUACAAAUGUACCAGUACCUAGCAGUCCUCUUUUAGCAAAGACUAUCUUUUUAGUAGCAAAAGACUCUUCAAUUUUGUUUCCAACUGAUCAAAUGAAUUUUUCCUAUCAUCAGAAUUCUAAGUCCAAAUAGCCAGCAUUCUGCUGACCAAACAUAUCUGCAAUUGGAAGUCGUCAAAGUUGAAUAAACGGAAUGAUAAUAGACACUAUAAAGUGGCAUACUUACCCAUGACAUGCAGUCAUAUAUUACCAAGACAGUGUAUGUGCUUCCACCAGGACAGUUAAGAUAGAUUUGACAUUGCAAAACAUGGAUGUAAUUAUAAAUAAUACCUUUUUACAUACAACUUAAUUAAAAAAAAAGUAUAGCUAUACGGUUAUGGAAAAGCAAAGCAGUACCAAAAUAUCCGUGUUUACAUCUAUAGUUUCAAGGGUCACAAGUUGUGAUAUUACUUUCUAAGCAACUGCAGAGUUGAUUAGUGUUCCAAUGAAGAUAAUCCGACUCUUGAACAACACAGUAGAAAGAUCCAACAUGUCCCCUGGUGUGAUCACGGCAGGCAUGAUGAGUGAAUUACUGACUCCCUCUUUUGCUUCAAUAACACCAUAUAUGUUCCCAUGAACAUUGGAGGAGAAAGAAUAUUUACCACUUAUAUUCUCCACCCUGUGAUCUAUAAUCUGGUCACAAUAAUUAAGAUUUAGUGCUUGCAUAUUUUUGCAAUCUUUGAGAUAAGUCAGUCCAGGAUCUGUAACAUCAGACCCCAGCCGAUCUAGGGAAAGUAGAGAUGAACCCUGUGAAGAGAUGACAUCCAUCCAACGGUCGUUCAGACCAGGAUAUUCUCCCAUAUUCAAAUCCUUUAAUGUUAAAAUCACUUUAUCAAGAGUUUGUCUGACCUCAAAGUCACAUGCAAGAAUUAGAUGCCAUAAUACCUUGAAGGCGGCAACCUAAUGCAAGUAAAAUGAAAUGCCAAUUUCAGAAGCUUACUUUAAGAAGCCGUACAGUGUAUAAGCCUGAACUAAAGAAUCUAAGAGUUCUUUCCCCUACAUAGAGAAGUACAGGAAGUGCUAGGUACAUCCGUCUGGAAACAAAUAUAUGUUAGUAGCAUAAAAAUGACAAAAUGAGAGCCAUAUUCAUGAAAAGAGACAGAACAAGAAAUCAGAAACUAUACCGUCUUGGAGUACCAUUUAUGCACAAAAAAUAGAAACGUACCAUGGAUGACCAGCAAGAUGUAGAUAAUGACAAGAAGGUGGUGCAAAUACCAAAAUGCAUUGAAGCUAGUGAGUCUAUCAAAAGGUUUAGGAAGCGUAAUGAGGCUCUGCCUAAACCAUCGCAUUGAAAGAGUGAAAGCAAUGGCCAUGAGGAUUACCAUUAUUAGUCCCGUCACACCCUCAACUCCUUUACCAAGAUCUAUGUACCGAGGCUCACUUGGGCCAAAAUCAUUCACCAAAUAUUUCUGAUAAUUUGUAUAUUUGCACGUAUAAGCUAUGGAAAAUUACAUACAAGGUGGUUGCCGGCAUGGUAUGAUACUAGUAACAAUUGUUGCAACAGCCUGCACACAACAAAAAUAUUAGAGCAAAUAUAAGUGCCACCUAUUGCAACUUAAGGACUAAUAUAAACACCACCUUUCACUUAUGUCGUCCACAUAUUUUGUGAUUAUUAGCGAUGUACAUGUAUAAUAAGGCAAAUUCUACAAGAGUAACAUAGAUAUGUUCAUUAUUCAUACUCACGUAGUAAGAACAAAUUCUCAAUCUACAUGGGCAAAUAGAGUAAUAGUAGGAACAAAUUCUCAAUUUAAUUUUUGCACAUGUAUGAUGAACUUCUUAACAUAUAUAUAAGGUUGUGAUCAAAACUACUGGAUUAUGGCAAAUCCAUAAUUAACAGACUAUCUUAGUUAUAUAAUCUGUUUCAUAGGAGGUUAGUAAAAAAUACUACAUAACCCAGAAGAGAUCUUUGUGGGAGCAUUUCUUUUUUAACAUAUGGAAAUAAAGAGAAUGUAAGGGGCAGCCUACCUUGUGAAAGUUGAUAAUAUCAUCAAAGGGUACAAAACAGUUCAACUUAGUAGACCUGAGGCAUGUAAUAGUAUUCCUGCAUACUUACAACAGUAUUAAAGCCAUGUUGAACUUGAGAGGCUCAACAGCACCCUUAGCCGUGAGAAGACAAUAACCCAUGACUUUAAAUACACUCUUCUGUUUGUACGUAUAGAAAUUCCAAAGAAAAAGUUCAAUUAUUAGCAAAAUCCACAAUGCCAAAACCCAAAUUCUCUUCCAGUUUUCUUGAAACCAAUAGAAAAGUUUUGUGCUCAUUCUUUUUAUUGAGCUUCUCUUCCUUAACCCAUGUAGAUUUUGGCUUAAGGUUUGGCUUGUGUAGCUUAAUGCUUGACUGUAAUUGAGGUAAGUGUCCUUUUGGAGGAAAAGUGUUUCUGCCUGCCAUAGCUGCAUUUUCAUCAUAGUACAGCAAAGCAUGUAAGAAACAUUAUCAGAAAGUUGUGUCAUGGCAUCAUGCUCAAUAACUAAAGGAUAAAUGUUACCACAUGCUAAUUCAUCCAUAAAAUGGUCCAACGUUAAACAUUUUCCAGAAUGAAACCUAAUGAGGCAUUCAAUAUUAUUAUGGGGAUUUACUUUUUUAAGUAUUCCACCAUAACCAACAUUCGAAGCAUCAGUCUUAACUAUUUUUAACCAAGUAGGAUUAGCUAAGGUUAAACAAGGUAAAGACUCAACACAUUUUUAAAUUGUUUUUACCAGAUUAGUGUGAGUAUAAGUCCAAGGUCCUUUGUAAUCCUUCUUUAGCCUAUCAUAUAAAGGGGAUAAAACCGAGACAGAUUCUAAUAAAAAGGAGAAAUGUAAUUAAGGCUGCCUAAAAACCUUUGCAAUUGAGUUUUAUCAGUUAUAACAUCAGAAAAUUUUUUAGCAAAGUCUAUGCCCUUUGUAUGGGUUCGAUUCUCCCUUGGUAAAUAUUGUGUCCUAAAAAUCGAAUAUCAGUUUGAAAUAAGCACAUUUUUGGUUUAGAGAUGACCAAACUAUUUUGUAACAUAAUUUGCUUGAAUAUAUUCAGAUGUUUAAAAUUCUAAUGUUUUUGAAAAUACAAAAAUAUCUUCAAUAUACACAAUUAUAAAAUCUAUAUACGAAUUGAAUAUAUCAUUCAUGAUUUUUUUAAAUUCAGAAGGGGCAUUUUGCAGAUCAAAUGGCAUCACAUUCCACUCAUAUUAUCGAAAAGAAACAUUAAAAGUAGUUCUAUAUGUGUGCUUUUGAGAAUCUAAAUUUGCUAAUAACCAAAUUUUAAAUCAAAUUUUGAAAAUAUAUUAGCAUUAUAUAAUUUAGAUAACAAAUUCUUUUUAUUAGGUAUUGGAUACCUAAUCCAUUUCAAAACUUCAUUAAGAGGUUUAUAAUUAAUUACAAGUCUUGGCAUACCAAGUUCUUUUUCAACAGCAUUAUUAAUAUAAAAUGCAGUACACAACCAAGGGGAUUUUGAAGAUUUUAUAAGACCCUUUUGUAAGAGAUUAUCAAUCUCCCUUUUACAGAAUUCAACUAACUCUGUGUUCAUUUGGCAGGAUCGAGAUUUGGUUGAGAUUUUAUCUUCGCUGAAAUCAUCUUCAUAAGGAAGAAUAACAAUAUGCUCUUUGCGAUUCCAAAAAGAAUUAGGGUGAUCAGCACAAAUAUCAACAAUUAAUUGAUUAGAUAUCAUUUUUAUUUUUUCCUGAAUUUUCACAAAAUUCAUUAUAUUAUGAAUAUUCAUACUCAUCAUUUCAAGCUUUAAGAAAUUUACCUGUCGAUGCUUCAUGUUAAUUAAAGCAUUUAUUUCCCUUGUUACUGGAUCGGUAACAAAAGGAUAGGAAAUUUCUUAAUUUUUAUAAGAAGCCUUGAAACCAUUCACAUCAAUAUGCGUGUAAGGAUAAAUAGCAUUUAUAAAAGGUGUUCCUAAAAUAAUAGGAGGAUAUAACUGAUUUUUUAUUAAGAAAAAGAAAUGUGGAAUGCAAAUCUUAUUUAUACAAAUAUGUUUAUGGGGUAACUUAUAAUUGAAAAAUUCAAAGAUAAACAAUUUAAUAAAAAUAUUAAAAAUACAAAAAAGAAAUAAGUGAAAUAAAAGGUAAGAAAUUAAUUCUUAUAUUUAAUUUAAAAUAUUUUUUCCACCAAAAAAGAUAUUUUACAAUAUAAAUAUGAAAUAAAGAAACUAAUAAAUCAUUUAAAAGUACAACAACAACAAUAUAAAUAUACUGGGUUUGUUAUCAAUAUAACUAAUACAUCAUUUACAAUAUAAAUCUGUAAAUCGAUGAACUAUGUAAAUAAUAGUUAAGUUAUCAAUUUGUAAAAGUUCAUAUUCUUUUGGGGGUCUGGUUACAGUAUAAUUAGGAAGGAGAGAGAGAAGUUUUAAUUUGUGGGUUAAGUUUUUGAGUUGGGUAAUUGGAUGAAAUUUAGGAGACUAAAAUUAUAUCAGUUGGCUGCAAUUUUUAGUUUAGGCGAAAAAGAACUAAAUAUUUGUCCCAAAUGGAAGAAAAAUCCAAUUGUUCUCCCCUUAAUUAAUUUAACGAUAUUUAUUAUCGCCCUAAUUAAUUUUUCCUGACGUACGUCUAAUGUACGUAUGCAUAUAAACUUAAAUAAAUGCAAUUAUAUUUCAUAAUUAAAAGAACUGUAUUUAAAAAAUAUUAUAACGAUAUGAAGAAAUUUGUUUAGAAUUAAACAUAAAAGUAACAUACUAAUAUUUUUUUUUUCAAAAAUUAGUGAAGAGAGUAAUCUUUAAAAUGUUCGAUGCGAUAUCAAUAAUUAUUAGACUAUAUAUAGAUAUAGAUAUAGACUAUAUAGAAAUUGGAGCAUUGGGACGACCAAUGACAAUAAUGAAAUUAAAUUCAGAUGUAAGGUUAAAAUGGUAAAUUGAGCAUACUAAAUAUCCUAAAAAUUUUAUUUUAUGCGUGGCCUUGUGCACAUUGCACAUAGCGCUGUAGAACUCUAGAAGUUUCUCAGAUAAAGCCUAAGGUUGGUACAAUAUAUUUUGAAGUUGCUGCGAACCAAGGAGCAAUUCUUCUUGCCGGCGGAGAGAAGGGCAUGAGGUAUGCAGUGCCAAAUGCACGUAUAAUGGGUCAUCAACCUCAAAGUGGUUGUGGAGUAAAUUCUUUCAGGUAACUUUUUCUGUCAAUUUUACCCUAAUCUUUUGUUGAUUUUUCACUUUCAUGAACUGAUGCUUCCUUCCUUUCUUGAGCUAUUUCUUUUGCCAUAUUUCUAGUUUCUUUCACACUUUUGAUUUCCAUUACCUCAUCUAGAUUUCAAGUUCAGGUAUGUUUUCUAGCAUAUUUCUCCUAAUUGUCUUCUCAUCUUGAUUAUAUCUUUUGUCCAGUUAUUCUAUUUUAUACCCUUUCGUCUUUAACAUUUUUCUUUUUUUACUUUUUCAAGUUUUCUUCAAAUAAUAUAUUUUAUAGUUCAUUGUUGUUGAAGUUGAAGGAUAAAUUAAACUCUUAGUUAAGACAUAUCAUGGUUGUAAUUUAUUUUCUUUAAAAUUCUUUUCAAAUUUCAAAAUCUGUUCAUUCAGAUUUUGUUUAUUUUCAAUUUGAUUACUCUUUUCUUCCUUUUAUUUCCUGCCAAGAAAAAAAAUUAAUUUUAGCUUCUAUCUCCAGUUAAAUUCUUCCGUUGUGUUCUUUGCACCUAUUUGCGGAGGUAUGCUCUAAUGAUUUAGUGUUAAUACUUGAGUUUUUAAACUAAUUUUUAUGUCAUCCACUCUUUAGUAAGUUCACUGUGAGUUAUCUUCGGCUACAGGGCUACACCUAAUGCCAACUUUUUAACCAAAGAAAAAAUCGGAAGAAAAUAGUUGUUUAAUUUAACCUUUUUGCAGUUUGUUACUUGUCCAUUUAUAAAUGCUUGCGAGAAAAAUGUUGUUUUAUUGCAAAUACAGCAAUCUUAAAUAUAUGAUAAAAUGAUGCUCAACAGAAAAUUUGGGCGCUCUUUUUUUCCAAUCUUAAAUUUGGAAUCUUAAUUUCCUCAUUUAUUUUAGUCCACUACCUUGGCUAUAUGCUUUCUGGUUCGGUUUUUGGUCUACUAGUAUUUGUUUGUUGUAUUCAUUUCUUCUUCUCACUCACCUAUACUUUCAAAAAUUAUCCCAAUGUAUCCUACCCUCCUCUCGUAAGAAAUUAUCUUAAUUGUACACUUGAUUAAGGAGUGCUAAUUUGUUAAUGAGUUGUUUAAGCUGAGAUUAGGAUUCUUGAUCAUGUUUUCUUUAUUUUACUAAUUCGAAUAAACUUAUUUCUUUAAAAUUCUCCUGUAGACUCUCUUGGACUAAUCACAUGUGUGAUAUGUUCUAUACAUAAUUGAUGUUGAUUUCAUCAUAAGAUAAUUUACAAUUUCCUUUUAUAUGUUAAUAUAGUUUCUUUUUAGUAUACAUACAGAAGAAGGUGGCAAAACUAUGUUUUACUCCUAAAUGAUGUCAAUUUUUUUUUCUUUUCUCCUUUUGCUUAAUUAUUAACUUGCUAUAGUAUUUUGAUGUGUGCUUUAUUCUUGUCUAGUUGAGGAUGUGUUUUGAUGAUUACUGCUGCAACCAUAUCCCUCUAUCUAAAAGCAUUUGUAUUUGUGCAUAAUUUUUGCACUUUCCCUGUUGUGAUUAAGUUUCUUGGUUAGUCACUUGAUUCAAGCAUGUUUGUGUUUAGGCAUGAUGUUCUUCGAAAUAAUUCGCAACUUGUAUUUCCUUGUCUAUGGUAACAUGAGAAUUUCAUAUAUAGUUUUAGUAUUGCAUGGUCUGUUAGAGAGUAUGAGUUCACUUUAAAUUUACUAUUAGAAGGAAAUUAAAAGUUUUGUUACUUCUGGGGUUAAGUGUGACUCAUUUGUCUUUUUCGGUUUGGUUGUUUUAUUUCCUCUAUAACAUGAAAAAUAAAAUGAGCGACUCACCUGCAUAUGAUAAUAAGGAUAAUGAGAGUAGAAUAGCAUCACAGUAGUCUUCCUAGUAAUGUUGCCUAAUCAUAUCAACAGACUUUUUGUUUGCUAUUCAUAGUCAUAGUUUGACUAAAAAAAGUGCUCCAGUAAUAUUCUUUUCCCUCUUAGUAGAUUUUUGGCACGCGUAUUAAUUCUCGUAUCUUUUCUUUGCAUGAACUCACCUUGAAGUCCAAAUAGACUUUUUCUCCUUGCAUUUCAUAAUGGUUCAACAUGACCCACUUUCUCGAGUCAAACCCGAAAGGAAGUCCAAAGCCGAUUACAUAGCGCGUGGAUACGAGAAGAAGGAAGAAGGAAAAUGGGUCAAAAUUCCAUCAUUAAAGUUGCCAAGAGACUCGAAAGUCUUGAUUUUAUUAGUUUUGUUCUUUUUUACAUUUCUUUUAUUUAUUUAUUUAUUUGGGCCUCGAAGGCAAAGUUGUAAACGAAUACAGGUGAACAUAUUUUGGACCCAAAAGGUCCAGAAAUAUAGUUUAGGACAGGUUAUAGGCCAAAGCCCAAAUACUUAGAUUAGGACAGUUGAAGAUGGACCGAAAGCCCAAUUAGAUUAGGACAUGGUUUAUGGAUUGGGGAUUAAGAGUCUAAAUCACUUAUUUCUCCCCCUUUCCCUUUUUCUAUGUUUAUUUGCUAUAUGCUUCUUCGAACUUAGUUAAAUCCUGUACGAAGUUGUUAAAAACUGACUUUGCAUAAAACUCAAAAAAUAUUUUCUUAAUCUAUUUUCUUUUCAAUAAUCAAUUUUCCUUUUUAAAAUAAGUCAAAAGAAUCAUUUUCAAAUAGUCCAAAUAAGCGCAAGUUAGCGGAUAUUCUUGGUGCCUUAAUAACCUUCCAAGAGUAUUAAUAGGAACCGCUUAUCUAGAAUUUCAAAACUUAAAUGAUUUUUCAAUUUUGAAUCAUUUAAGUAAUUUAUAAAGGUUUUCUUAAUUUCCUAAAUAAAUUAAGUGGCGACUCUAAAUAGUCAUUUCUCCGCAAAACAGAAAUGACGACUCUGCUGAGGAUUUAAUUAGGUUCUAACCAAAUGUUUAAAUUUAUCUUUUGACUAACUGUUUAAACUAUUUACGUGCUUACAUGUUCCAAUUCUGCGAAAUUUAAUUGUUGCAAUUCAUGGCAUAAUCCUUCAUGAUUAUUAAACUAUUUUAGGGUUUCGUGGAUGUCCCGGCCCCUAUUGAUCAACUCCAAAUCAAGUAUUGGAAAUACGAUAAUUUAUCAGCACGUUAGGCGGUCGGAGGCUAUUCGUAUCUCCAAACCAAAGUUGUUCACUUGGGAACCUGUGUCUAAACCCACUCUAGACACCCAGGAUAGAGCUAAACCAAAUCCUAUUUUAGGCAUGAGCCUAGGAUGACUCAAUACCCGAUGGGGUAUUGGGUUCAUUAGAAGACUUGUCGUGCGUCUAUUGACCCUGAGUCAAUUACAGAAGAACCAUAUUUAUGUGUUGAAGAAAUAUAUAUUUGUUUAAUCCAAUCCAUUAUUCUUUGGGGGUUGGGGGAAAGCUUGCUUUUCUUACUUUCAUAUAAGGAUGUCUCAAUCAUAAAUCAAUUAAAGGAGGAAUUAAAAUGAGCCAGGCAAAAGAUUGAUCGAUUUGGACGAUUACAUGAUUUCCCAGACUAAUGAUCUAGAGCAUAGUAAUACGAGAAUUGUUUGAUCAUCAACAGAUGUCACCAAUGACAAGAAUUAGAUAAAGCUAAGAUGUUGAAGGCCGAUAGAAGAGCAUCUAGGAACUAGUAUUUCCUAUCUCCUACACGGGAUAUUGUUCUUUUUCUCAUGAUAUUUUUCCUUUCCCAAAAGAUUGUAUCCUUUUUAUGCAACUUUUGUAAGCAUUUAUGCCCUUUAUGUAUAUCUAUGUAGAUUUGGCGGAUAAUAGAUUAGUUUUAAAAAGCAUAUAUUUCCUUCAAAAUUCGCUAGGCCAACACUUGGCUCAAAAGGGUCACCCCAACUAGGAUAUGUGCUUAUUAUAAUGUCAAUAUGUGAUAUACUGCCUUAUGUGUUUAUGUGUGUUUGUUUGAAUCAAAUACAAAUUUAUCUACUAUGUCCCCGCGGAUCAGUUUGUCUAUGUGGCAAACAACUUUAUGUGGUUACUUCUUGUCAAAUAUCUUGCAUUAAUUAUCACAUAUGGGAACUACCACAUUUGUCUUUGAGUUAUUUUACUUUACAGAUAAUCAAAAACUACUCUGUGUUGAAACAAACUGGAAGAACAUCCUUACUUCACCCGGUCAAAAGUUCAUCAAAAUCCAAUCCUCUGACCAUCAUUCAAAAAUGACUAGAAGCGACGAAGAAAAUGUGCUGACCAUCAAGGACAAUGUAAUAGCGGAAUAAAGCGAGAUGAUUGAUGAACUCAUGUGAAAAUUAGAAAUGCUUCAGGAGGAGAUGAAUCGUACUCGAGAUUUGAUUAAUCUGGCCAUCGCUGUUAACGCUCCCGCUCCAGGAAGACAUGGGCCUCCGCUCCAGAUCCCUUCCCACAAUACGCCUAUUCUCGAGGACCAUCCAAAUAACAUAUCGUCCGCCUCCACUCCUCAACUUGUCCAAAACACCAAUUGAGAAAAUAACUCAAAUGCUUACCAUCCACAAAAUUCAUCCCUAAUCUCACAAAAUCCACCUCCAAACCUAUAAAAUUCAUUCCUAAAUCCAUCAAACCUACUCCCAAAUCCACAAAAUCCACUCUCAAAUCUAAAAAGUCUAUCUCCAAAUCCACAAAAUUUAUUUUCAAAUCCACAAAAUCUCUCUCAGAUUCCACCAAACUAUUCUUAAACUCCACAAAGCUCUAUCAAUUUCCAAAAUGUAAUCCCCCCCUACCGCCCAAUCUCUUCUCAUCCUCAAAAUCAAGCUACCCUCUCAAUUCCUUCUUUUGUCAUUAUACCCCCUAACAUCUACAAUCCCUUUCCCAAUCCUGAGAUAGAUCAUUACGAGGAGAAGGAAAAGGAGUGGAGGACUGAGCAUGAAAAAAAGUUGUUGGCCAUGCAUGAAGAGAUUAUGAGGAUCAAAGAAUCUCAUGGGGCUGGCGAUAAUGAUGCUUUAGGGUACGAUGAUCUGUGUGUGCAUACCGGAGUAGAUCUAUCAGAAGGGUACAAGGUCCCCUAAAUUUGAAGUGUUUAAUGGUAUCAAAAAUCCAAUGGCCUAUCUAAGAAGGUAUUGUGAUCAAAUGGUUGGGGUAGGAAGAAAUGAGGCAUUAUUGACGCACUUAUUUAGCUGAAGCUUAAGUGGUGAAGCCUUAGACUGGUUCACAUCUCAAGAACCAAAAUGAUGGUCUAGCAGGAUGGCAUUCGCUAAAAGUUUUCUCGAUAGGUUUGCAUUUAACAUUGAGAUAGUCCCUGAUCGAUACUCACUAGAACGGAUCAAUCAGAGGAAUGAUGAGAGUUUCUUAGACUAUGCCUUUUGUUGGAGAAACUAAGCUGCUAAAGUACAACCUCCCAUGUCUAAGGAAGAAAUGGUAUCGGUUUUAUCUCAUGCUCAUGAGGGAUAAUGUUAUACCAGGAUGGUAUCCGUGGUCCGAGCAACUUUCGCAGAUUUGGUAAAAAUUGGGGAAUAAUUAGAGGAAGGCAUUCGAAUAGGAAAAAUUGUCAAAACCCCAACAUCAUCUGAAUCUUCUACGUUCUCAAAGAAGAAAAGAGAGGAUGUGACUACGGUCUCUACUAAUUCUGUUGAUAAAUUGAAGAAGAAGUUCAAGCCAAUAUUCUUUCUUCUCUAUCGUCACCAAGUUUUCAACAUGUAUUCUACGCCAAAUUAUCAGUCUCAUGUUUAAGCUACCCUUCCAAAUAGCCAAAUAAACAUCCAAGAACCUCCAAACUAUCAUCAAGUACCUCCUCCCACUAAUCAAAACCAGUAUAACCCCCCACGUCUUAACCUCAAAAAGAAACCUCCUAGAAAAUUCACUCCAUUGGCUAAAAAUCUACCCAGCUCUUCAGAAGAUUGAUAAAAGAUGGUUAUUUACAGCUUAUUCCAUCAAAACCUACCAAUCUCAAUUCCCGAUUCUUUCAAGCCGAUCAAGUCUUUGCUUAUCAUUCAGGAGUGGAAGGGUAUAAUACUGAAGAUUGCAUUAACCUAAAACAUAAGAUCCAAGACUUGAUUGAUCAGAAGAUUAUCACUCUUCAGGUACCGACACCAAAUAUCAUUAGUAAUCCACUGCCUAAUCAUGAGGGAGCCACAGUUAGCAUAAUCAAAAUAGAAAGCGAAUGGGUAUCUAACAAGACUAUUACUAAGGUGGAUUCGGAAAAUUCUAAAAAGACAGAAGGAGUGGAAAAGAUAGAGAAAUUCAUGGCUUCCUUAAGUGUCUUGGAUAAGAACUUGGAAGGAAUUAUUGAGCCCAUUAUGGUCCCAGAAAAAGCAUCUAAGCAUGGGAUAGGAUACCAACCAAGAAAGGAAGAUGAGAUUCAAGAUAAGUCAAAGAUGAGUCUGUCCAAACCGUUGCCACUCCUAUACUAGUCAUUUCUUGUGUGUGAAAUGUCAAAUAAUGAUGGUCUUGGGGAUGAGAUAAGAAAUCUAUUCAAGGGAUUCAAUGCUAUAACAUAGGAUUUCCCGAAUUCUGAUAGGGUGAGGAAGGUUGCACCAGGAGAGGCUUUACAAAAUUGAACUUCCACUCCACUCAUAACUCGUUGCCCGUCGUGGUAGAUGAAAGUAUAAUUACUAGUAGUUUUAAAAAUUGGUAAUGAUCCGGAGGAGGCCCCAUGAUCCACCCUUUUAUGUCUUGAAUUUUCUUUUCAUGUUUUACUACUUUAAAAAAGGCAUGGGCCCGCAUUUGUGCGAGUCAUGAGCCAUAGUUUGUAUUUAUUUCUCAAAUUUCAAUGAAAAGAUCUCCCUUCAUUUAAGAAGUUAUUUUGAAAUAUGAUUAUAUUACUGUCUUUUAUUAUCUUACUAUCAUCUAACUUGGUAGCAUCAAUUUAAAACCUACCAAUGUUAUGUCAUGUCAAAGGUUAGACGAACAAAGUGAGGGGAAUGAUGAUGAAUAGAAAGAAGUCAAUGAGGAGCAGUUAGUGGAAGUAUAAAGGAAUUUUAAAAAUUAAGAGAAGCCCAACUUGGACGAAAAUGGAAUAGACAACCUGGGUGAUCAUGAUAAAAUCAAAGAGACAAGUGUUAGUGUUCACUUAGCAGAAGCACGCACAAUUCUGAUGUGAUAAAGAGAUACUAUGUUUUAUGAUGUUCUAGUUUCUGUUUCCUUGGUUUAUUUGGAUUCGUAUUCAUAAUAAGAUUUUGUUUUCUAAUUUGUAACUGCCUAGAACCUCUUUCCUUUUAUGUACGAACUGCGUUUGACCUGAAUUCCCAAGAAAGGGAUACAUAGGUGGCGUAUGUCGGCUUCGGUCAACCCCUUAGGAGAAUUUACUCUUUCUUUUUAGGUAUGAACUAUGUGAUGACCUGAAUUUCCAAGAAUGGAGUACGUAGGCAUCCUAUGUCGGAUUCGGUCAAGCUUUUAGAUUUUUCUAUAUACCCCUAGCACAGUCCUGAACUACGUUUGACCUGAUUCUUGCUUGAACGGGAUACGUAGGUGCCCUAACGGCUCAGUCAUACUACCCCAAAAAUGGAAACUGGGUAGAAUUUUUGAGAAGAAAUCUCAAAAAUUCACAAGAGGAAGAUCAUCAUCCAAUAAAUAGAACGAAGACCAACAAAGACUUUGGAUCCUCCCAAGCUGAGAUCAUCUCAAACAACUUUAAACUGGGGCAUAAAUUUAAGGAAGGUCUCAAAAUUUCCACCAAAUACUGGAAUAUAUUUCAAACUCUACAGCACCAGAGGUUAAAAUCAAGCUUUAGAAGACACCAGUGGCAACAAAGUCUAGGUAGACUAAAUCUACAACUAUGAUAGAACUAUUGAUAGAAAUCCUCGGCGACGAUGAUGAAUCCCUAGAAUUCCUCCAUCACACGUCUGAUACAGUCACAAUCAAGAGAAAGAUGUUUGUUGAGCUAGUACAUGACAUGAUUGGAAGGGAUUUUCUAAAUCUUUUACAGAAGUUUUGAAACUAGUUUUUGAAAUUAAGACUACUUUCAAAAAACUAUACAAUUUUUUUACUUAGUGAUUGCCUACGCAUCUAUUGGAAUGAGGAGUCAGGGUGGAGGUCCCAACAUGACGGAGCGCCCGAAAGAUGGCGAGGAGAAAACCAAGGAUCGAAGGAGGUCAACACGAAGUAGUUUUGCUCAAGACUAAUCAUUUUUCUGUGGAUGCAUGGCUCAAUACACAAAAAUGGGAAAAAAAAAUUUCAAAAAAUCUCCAAGUUCAUUCAAGGGAGUCGGCACAAUAAAUACGACAAUCAAAAGGAUCGCUCAAUAGGAGAAAGAGCAGAAGUCAUCCUCAAAAUUCGCCUUGAAGUGAAGCAAAUGGUAUUUGAGUAAUCCCCAAAACAAGGACUUUGCACCAUUUACUUGCAUCCGAUGGAUUUGCUAUUUAAUUAUUUCUUCAAAAAGAGAAGAUUAAUAGCGGAAUAAGUCAUUCAAAUAAGGAUGCUCAGUAUUCAUCAUUUAACUAUCAUAAACCUUGAUUGUGGUCGCCAGUGAUAGUGAUAUUGUGUCUACUAAUUGUCUACCUUGAGUAAAAUUACAUGUAUAAAGUAAAAUGCAGACAAACAAACUCAAGUGAAACUGUUUUCAAAUCAUCCAAAGAACUAUUUCACAUCAUCUCAUUACCAAGAGGGCCAUUUCAUGCCAUUACCAAGAGGGCCAUUUCAUAUCAUCUCAUUGCUGAGAGGGUCAUUUCAUGCCAUUGCCGAGAGGGCAAUUUCAUAUUAUCUCAUUGCCAAGAGGGACAUUUCAUGCCAUUGUGGAGAGGGUCAUUUCAUGUCAUUGCCAAGAGGGAUAUUUCAUGCCAUUGCCAAGAGGGUCAUUUCAUAUCAUCACCGAAAGGGUUAUUUCAUGUCAUCGCCAAGAGGGCCAUUUAAUAUUUAUUGACAUGCGAGACACAAAUGCUAGCGUCGAGGAUAUUAUCAAUAUUUAAUAUCUAUUAACACAUAAGACACAAAUGUUGGCAUUGAGGAUAUCAUUAGCAUUUAAUAUCUAUUAACAUAUGAGACACAAACUCUAACAUCGAAGAUAUCAUCAAUAUUUAAUAUCUGUUGACACGCGAGACACAAACGCUAGCGUCGAGGAUAUCAUCACUAUAUAAUAUCUAUUGACAUGUGAGAUACAAAUGAUGGCUUCAAGUAUAUCUCAUUAUUUUAUGAAUAAGAAUCUAAAUACAUCAAGAGCACGCGAUUUGAAAGAACGCCUUUAAGUCGCUAUCUGAAGACUGAUGAUGUAUGAGAUUUCCUAGAAAUUGACAAUUUGAGGGUCAUCUAUAAGUCAUAUUAUUUGAAAUAGGAUAGUAUGAAAUAUUACCUAUGAUUUGAUAGCCCAUAGAUCAUCUGUAAGCCGCAACAACAUCCUAACUGGAUAGUGUGCAAGGUUACCCAAAAAUCAAUAGUCCGAAGGUUAUCAUAAGUCUCAACUAAAUCCUUACCGAAGAAUAUGCGAGAUUAUCAAAGUGAUAAGUCUAAGGGUUCUCUAUAAGCCGCGUAAUAUCCAAGAUCGAUUAUGUGUAGGAUUACCCCAAAACUACCAAUUUGAGAGAUAUCUAUAAGUCAUAUUGUGUCCAAGGUCGGAUAAUGUGCAGGAAUACCUGAGAACUAGCGAUUGGAUGGAUAUAUAUGAGCCAUAUAUUAUCCAAGGUCGGAUAAUGUGCAGGAUUACCUAAAGGCUAGCCAUUCAAAGGAUAUUUGUAAGUCGCCUCGUAUUGAAUAUCAAAUAAUGCGCAAGAUCAUCCAAAGAUUGACAAUUAAAGGGAAAUCUAUAUGUCGUUCAUUGGCAAUAACAAGAGAGGUUAUCAUUCCACAUACAACAAGCAAUAUAGGUAACCAAAAGGUUGCCGCAUCAACACAAGAUUGCACGGUUGCACGGACCAUUCUGCAUAAAGUAUCGUCGGUGUCCAAAAGGGUCACCCCACUUUGAAGACAUAUUCACUCGAUGAACAAACUACUUAUGCAACAACCAAGAGGGUUGUUGUUGCAAGUUAUUUCUUGCCAAGCAGGUACAUGAAAGGAUGACUUCGCUUUUUAGGCAACAACUCACGUGGAGAUAUAGUAAAAAAUUAUACAUUUCUUUCGUGAAUUGUGCUUGUUUUGCAGAGAAAUUUUGGCUUUUGAGAAGAGAGCCGCCACUUAAUUUUGAAAAGGAAUUAAGAAACCUUUAUAAAAUACUUAAAACGAUCCAAAAUAGGAAAAUUAUUUUAAGUUUAGAGAAUUCUAGGUAAGCGGUUCCUAUUAACGUUUUAGGAAGGUGUUAGGCACCUAAAACAUCCGCUAACUUGAGGUUAUCCGAUCUGUUUGAAAAUUAUCUCUUUUGACUAACUUGGAAAAUCGACUUGUGGGAAAAGUAAUUGGUUAAGGAAAAGUUUUUUUGCAAAAUCAAUUGUUUAGCGACUUAGUUAGGGAAUUAACUAGAUUCGAACACUAAGCAAAUAAAAUAACAAAAGGGAAAUAGAGGAAGAAAUAAAUGAUUUGGGCCUUCAUGCCCAAAUCCGUCACCCUGUCCUAGUCUAGAUAUUGGGCUUUCGACCCGUAUUCCACAUGUUCAAGCUUUUGGCUCGAGUAUCACUCCACCUGUAUUAACUUUACAACUUUGGCUUCGAGGCCCUAAUGAAUAAAUAAAUAAAUAAAUAAAUAAAUAAAUAAAAGACGACAAUAAAUAUAUAAAAUAAAAUAAUAAAUGAGACUUUUGUCUCUUAACCGCUUCAAAGUGGAACUUUAACCCACUUUCUUCUUUCAUCUCCUUGCCCCCAGUAUACCGUAGGGUUGAUAUUCAAGCUUUCUCUAAGAAUUGACACGAAAGAUAGGCCUCAUUGGCCCGUUUAAGAAAUGCAAAGAGGCAAGUGUCCCUUCGGACUCCGAGGCGGGCUGCAAAGUAAAAAAUGAGUGAAUUAGUAUACAUUCUCAAGAGUCUUUACACUAAUAGAUAAACUAUGCAAUAAAAAGCACAACGCUUUAGGCGGGAGAAAAUAGCAAUUCACUUGCUACAUAUAGACAUGUGAACUAUAAAAACCAUAAAUACAUGAGCCUCAAGAUUAUAAAAGUAUAUGGCUUGCAAGCGAGUUAAUUAGUUAACGAAUGUGGUAAUCAAUACACUCGGAAUAAAUCCACAUUCUAUAAUCUCUACAUUAUUUCAAGAGAGUGUUAGGAAGCUUAAAUAACCAAGUCUCAAUUACUUUUGAUCGCGUAUGGUACCGAUAUAAUCACCAAAAUUUUCAGAAAAAAGAAUUAAACCAGAUUUUCAACGAAUAUGCAAGGCAAAUCAAUACACUGCCUUUAGUUAGGACAUAAAGAAGGAAGCUAACCAAUGAUGAAAAAUUCAACUUUAUGGAUAACCAAGAUCCUGUAUUAUUUUUAUCAAGAGAAAAAUAGGAGCAUCUUCAUAACAUGAUACUUGCAGACAUUAAAGACAAAAAAAAGGUAAGAAUUUGACACUUUACAAACCCAUCCUCAUGAAUUAAGAGCGACUUUCAUAACUUGGUUUAGCAAACUAAAAUGCAGUUUCGAAGACCCAUGAAAAUAGAGAAAGAUUUGAUUUUUGUUUUCAAAAUAUUGCUCAGAUAAGACCUCUUUUGGUCCGUCUAUACUACAACAGGCAAAAUCCUUCUUUAAAACAUGCUUGACUAAGCAACAAAAAACAAUUCAAAUUUUUGAUGUCAAUCAUAACAAGCCACGAAAAAACAAAUAGAGUUAGGGAAAAUGCUAGAGAUGGACAUCUUCGAGUAUUGAGGGAAAAUGCUAGAGAUGGACAUCUUCAAGUAUUGAUUUAUCAUUCAUUUGAAAGAUAAAUUCCAGUGUUUUAUUUUGACAUUAUGAGUCAAGGAAAAACAAAGUGAAGAGUCCUCUUUCAACCAAGAAAACAACAAGAAACAAGCAAUAUUAAAUAUGCAUAGAACUCGAAACGUCUUUCGCGAAAUAUCACCCAAAAGGAUAUAAGAUUUACAUUAUCCUAAAGUAACUAUUUGAAGCAGUAAAAUACCAACAGAACAUGAACAAUGGCAUCUCUAGAGAAAGUCAAAUAACUAUGAAUAGGGCAAAUUUCAAGCAGACUGGUGCAAAGUUCAUCAAAGCAUAAAUUUUAACAUCAAUAAUCAAAUAAAUUAUGAUCUUGGACUCAACCCAAACCAACUUUAUAGUCAAACCAUUAUUUGCACUUCGCAGGUAAGAUGAAGGAAAAUAUUUUAAUACCCUAUAUUCUAACCAUAACCAUACUAAGAAGGAAAACUAGUUUGAACACGCAGAAAGAAUGCAUUUUCUCUUUAGCUAUAGCAGCUUACAGACACGGGAAAUAAGGGUAUAAGAAAAUUACAAAAGCAAACAGCCAACAUCCAUCAUAACCUAUGGCUUUCGAGGCCUCUAACAACGAACAUCCCAGCACACCAAGAUAUUAUUUAUCACCAUAGAACGACAAGAUGAAGCAGAAAUAGGUAGAAAUAAUUUAAAAACUGAACGUAGUGGAGUGUUACCUAUUUCGGAGAAGCAAAACAGUACUACAAGCUAACUUUGGACCUCCACCACCACCGGAAAGCUCAAUACCAUCGUGAACACUCGACUAGCUGACUGUUUUCCCUUUUUUCUUUCUUGUUUUCCCCUAUCAAAGAAAAGUUUUGCCGCCCUAAAAGAAUUUUUCUACCUAGGUUUUCGAGUUCGGAAUUUCUAAUCCUUCUUGGACCCAAAAGUUUCCCAACCCAAGAAUCUUCAACCCAGAAUUUCCAACCUCUCUCCUCUUGAACCGGAAUCCCCUUCCUUGCUUCUGAAACUCCCCUUUUAUAGAGAGUCAACUAGGGUUUAUCUACGGGGUAAAUUAGGGUUUUUCCAGAAUAGGAAAUUUUGAAAUUCGAAAUUCCAAACGUCCCCCGCUUCGAUUUUUAUCCAUGACACAUCCAUUUUUGGAUUCUUUGAAGAAAAAUUAAAAUUGUGGACCAACAAGAUUUGGGGAAAAACAAAUUAACCCCAAGAACCAAUGACAUUCGUCCAAAUAUGUACGAAAUCAUACAAUUACACCCGAAAAUCGCGGAAUCGAACCGUUGGGGGGACAGCUUAUCCGAUUCUAGAAACUUCUAGAGCUUUCUUCGUACGAAUCUAUGUGAGACGCGCAUGGAGAAAGGUUGGGUUGGGUCGGGAUUGAAGUUGUUCGCAUAUUGGGUUGACGGAUUCAGGUAGAGUGGGUCACUGGAUGCGUUAUUGUUGUUUUGUUAUUGAUAGAGUAUCGGUGCUUAGCUUUUGUUAGUGCUAUUGAAGAAGAAGAGAGAAAUGGGCUGGGUUGGACAGCUUUGGGUGUUGGGUUGAAAUUGUUAUGGGCUGCUGGUACAUGGGUUAACCAUUGGGGUUAUUUAAUAACCCCAAUUAAAUCUAAUUGAAUUAUUAAAUAACCCUAAUUAAAUUUAAUUAGAUUAGAAUAAUCAUAAUUAAAUUUAAUUGGAUAAAAAAAAUAACUCUAAUUAAAUUUAAUCGGAUUAAAAUAAUCUCAAUUAAGAAAUGAUAACUUUUGGGAUUAAGAUUGAAUUACAAUUUAAAUGGCUUAUUUAAAUUAUAACCAAAUUGAAUAUCUAUUGGUCAAUUGCAUCACAAUUGGGCCAAUUUGAUUUCAAUUGAGGUCAUAUUUAAUUUGUUCGCUAAAUUGAAUCGCAAUCUGGCACGAAUCAAGUAACAAAUCAACCUCGAGUUUCUUAAUUUGAAAAAGAUCCAACAAAUAUUCCUCCAGAUAAAAUAUUUUGAGAGAAAAUCUUAUUUAAAACCAAGAUUUUAUCCAUUUGAAUUUAUUUUCAAGUUUAAUCAAUAAAAAUCUAAUUUUAAUGAAAACGUUCAUUUAGAUAACAAAAUUUAUACACUCUCGUAUAUAAAAAUGCGAAGAAUGUAUAAUCGUUAAUUAAAUGAUAAAAUUGAAUUGAAUAAGUAAUUUAAACUAGCAUUUAUUUGAACAAAAUAAUUGUUGUGAUUUUAUUUUAAAAUUGAAGAAACUCGAAAUUAAAUUGAAUUGCGGAGGGCAAAAAUUAGGUGUCAACAGUGCUUAUUACUAAUAAUUUUUGUUUGAGAUAUUGUCGAGAGAUUCCGAGAGAAUGAAAAUCUCAAAAUUAAAACUACAGGUGCAGACAACUCCAGAUAGGAUCCAACACAAUAUGAAACUCUUUCAUAGCAGCAAAACGAAACAUAGUCUAGAGAGGGACGUCAAAUUCUUUGGAUGCGAGCUAAAGGAUCAUCGCCACGACCAAUCAAACCACACCCUUGUUAGAAGGCAUGUGGGUAUUUUGAGAUACUCUAGUUUCGGCUUCACCUUUGAGACAUUUCUAAACUCAUACUGAGGGUAAUUUUCUCUUUCUUUCAAAUACGGGUGACAACAUGCUUAGAGUUUUGGAAAUUAUGUCCAGCUAAGUUCUUACCUAUGGAUGUGAAGAGCUCCACAUUCAUUGUUAAGAGGUUAUAAACCUCUUUUCUGCAACUCGAUCAACCUGUCACUCAUCCCUAACCAAAGAUCGUCUAAAAUAAAAAAACUAUUUUUUUACUGAUUAUAUUGAACUACAAGCAGUCUGAUUCCCUAAGUCUCAGGGAUAUGUAGGUGUAGGCUGGGCUCUAUGUAGAAAACUCAACUGCAUUCCAACUUCCCCCUAAAUUCCUUUGUUCUCCAGCUUUUUGGUUUCAUCAAAAACUCUAAAACCGAGAUACCUUGUGCAUUUUGUUGAAAAUCAAGUUUUAUGAACUACAAGUGGCCUGAAUUCUCAUGUAACCUGAGAUAUGUAGAAAACCCGAUACCGGAGUUCGUCCAUAACUCCAACACUCGUGCGAAAAACAACCUCUUUCAGAAAUAAAUUUGUGCUCGGGCAAAAAGUAGGAACUUCAAACUCACUUUGCCCAGGGUUACUUGUAUUCACCCUACCCAAAGGGAGGGGGCAGUUAUUAACACCUAAUUUUGGCCCUCCACAACUAAUUUAAUCAUGAGUUUCUUUAUUUUUAAUAAAAACAAAUAAUUAUUUAAUCCGGCUAAAUGUGCUCUAAAAUAUUUAUUUUAAAUUAAUUUUAUCAUUUAUGUGAUGAUUAUAUGUUUCGUAUUUACAUAUGCGAGAUUGUAUAAAUUUGGUUACUUAAAUGAAUAUGUUUAUCAAAAUUGAAAUAUUAUUGGGAUUAAUCUUGAAAAUCAAUUCAAAUGAGUAAAAUCUUGAUUCAGUUAUUUUUUGUUCUCAAAAAUAAUUUAUAUGGAGAAAUAUAUGUUUGAUUUUGUUAAACUUGGAAAUUCAAGAUUGAAUCGGUUCUUAAUUUGUUUUAAGUUUUGAUUCAAUUUAGUCGAUUUAUUAAAAUUGAUCAUAAUUGAAAUUAAAUUGACCACAAUUGUAAUGUAAUUGGUCAAUUGUUAUCCAAAUUGGUUAAUAUUUAAAUAAAAUUGACUAAAAAUCUAGCUAAUUUGACCAUUUUAUAAAGAACCAAUUUUUAUCCUUUUCCAUUUUUAAUUUUGGGCCACAAAGACCUGCCCAACAACAAUAACAACAAUUAAAUCAUUCAUUUACAACUCAGCAACCCAACAAUUCACCCAUUUAAUAAAGGGAAAAUUUCAGAAAUAGCAACUAUAGAGCUUUAAUUGCAACUUUUAUAUCAACAGUUUUAUAAUUACGAAAAAUAGCAAAUUGUUUUUUGUAUUUAAGUAAACUGUUGCUAUACAAAUACAUAUGCAACGAAAUUUACUGCACUUGUUUUACUCAAAUUAGUUGAGUUAAAUAAGGAAUAAUUAUCUCAUCUAAUUAAAUUCCCAUAAAUUACUCUUAUUUAUAUGUAGAAUCCUUUUCCAAAUCAAAAUCAAAUAUGAAGAUUAUUAUUUCUAUGAUCUUCAAAUUUUAAAAUAGCAUUCUCUUAUAUCUCUAAAUAUUUAUUUUUUUAGCUUUUUCAUUUUUUUAAUAUUUUUCUUUUUGUUUUAAUUUCUGUUUCUUUUCCAUUUUUUUCUUUCCACUUUAUUUUCUCUUUUCUAUUUCUUUUUUUUUUCCUUUUUCGUUUUUUAUUUAUUUAUUUAUUUUUUUAUUUUCUUUUUUUAUUCUUUUCUCAUAUUUUUUUUCAUUUUCUUCUUCUUCUUCUUUUUUUAAUUUUUUUUUCGUUUUUAUUUUUACACUUCUAUUUCUAGUUUCUAUUUCUCUUUCUUCUUUUUUUUCCUUUUUCACUUUUUUUUUGACUUUUUAUUUUUUGUUUUUUUUUUUUACUCUUCUAUCUUUAUCUUUUAUUUUUAAAAGAUAAAUAUCUAUAUGAUAGAUACAUAUUCAAAAAAUAUACAAAAUAAACAGACAUAAAGAUCUGCAUAUGUAUUUAUGGUAAAAAAAAACAUUAGAUAUCUGCAUAUGUAUUUACAGAAAUACAUAUCUGACUCACAUGUAUAUAUAAAUAUAUAUGACACAAAAUCUUUAUAAUAAAAUGACAAUUAUAUACAUAUACAUAAAGGUAGUAAAAACAUACAUGAUAGAUAUCUUAAACAGUAAAAGAAAACAAAUAAGUACAUAUGUUACCCUCUAAAAUGAAAUAGUAUGUACAGUUUAAAGACAAAUUCAACACCGUAUAAAAUACAUAUAGCUCUACAUAUGUGUUUACAGAAUACAUACUUGAUCCAUAUGUCUAUUCUUAUUUUAUAUGAGUCACUUUUUUAUUUCGCAAAUACAUAUGAAGAUAUAUAGUAUAGUUAUAUUUGUUAUUGUUUAAUAUAAAUAUGAUAUGUAUAUCGUAAAUACAUAUGUAUGUUUUGUACCGUAAAUACAUAUUCAGAUCUGUAUGGCUAUGUAUUUUAUAUAUUUUUUGAAUAUGUGUAUGUGAUAUACAUAUUUGUAUUUUCAAAAUAAAAGUUAGAGAUAGAAGAGUUAAAAAGGAAAAAAAUAAAAAUAUAAAAAAAAUGAAAAAAAGAGAAGUGAAAAAAAAAAGGAAGAAAGAGAAAUAGAAGUGUAAAAAUAAAAUAAAAAAGAAAAAAAUAAAAUAUAAAAAAAAGAAGAAGAAAAAGAAAAAAAAGAUAUGAAAAAGGGAAAAAAAAAAAGAAAACGAAAAAGGAAAGAAAAAAAGAAAAAUAGAAGAGAGAAAAUAAAGUGGAAAUGAAAAAAAAAAAGAAAUCAAAAUAAAAUAAUAAAAUAAUAAAAAAAUAAGAUGAAAAAAAAACUAACAAGAAAAAAAAAAUAGAGACAUAAGAUAGUGAAAGACAGUAAUGAUGUUUUAUUUUAAAAUCUUGAAGAUCAUAAAGAUAAUUAUCUUCAAAUAUGAAAAAGGUAUAAAAAAGAAAACAAAAAAUAAAAAAAGGAAAAAUGAAAAAAGAUGAGAAAUAUAAGAGAGAAAAUAAAGUGAAAAUAAAAAAAUGAUAAAGAAAAUAAGAUGAAAAAAAAGAGGGUAAAAUAUAUGGCUAUAUUUGGGGGAGGUGAAAUAGUGGAGUGAAAAUAGAAAAAUGUAAAGUUGUGCGUGUAAAACAUGCACUUGCCUGGUUAAUGAUUAAAAUAAUGCUACUCUUGCUAUAAACUAUAAUUUUACAAAAGUGUUGCUAUUUAUUGUAAUUAUAGUCUUAAGUAUGCUACUUUCUGUGAUUUUUCCUUUAAGAAAUAUCCAACACCGGCCUCCCCAGCCUAAUCCAACAGUGAAUCACAACAGCAACAUUAAGAACGUUCAACAAACAACGACCAAGGCAAACAACAAUUUUAACCGACACAGCCUCAAUCAACCCAAUACCCUUCAACGACGAGCUGAAUCCAACAAACUCAACAGUUCAACAAUCCGAACCUGCUCCAGCUGCAAACAACCAGCGGCUAACCCGACACCCUCGACCCGACUUUGACCCAUUCGACUAAAAUUCUAGAUUUUUUGUGGAUGUUCCGACCCCUGUUAAUCAACUCCAAAUCAAGUGUUGGAAAUAGGACAGUUUAUCAGUAAUACCGACUCCUACUCAAAAAAAUAAUAUUAUAUUCACAGCUAAACGGGGCUUAUUUACAAUCUGCAACACUAGUUCUACCAAUAGCUUCCUUCAUUUACAAUGAUCACAAAAAUAUACAAUUUAAAAAUUAAUAUUACAAAAUCUACUAAUAGUAUCCACUUUUCAGAUUAUACCAAUAGAUAAUUAACAAAACCUAUCAAAUAACGUAGAAGGAAAGAAAAACACAGUAAAAAAAUAUCAAAAUUGCAUACAAAAUAAGUGAUAUUCUUUCCUAUAAUUUCUCCUCAUAUGUUUUUCAAUUCCAUAGUUGACUCAUUUCUUUUCAAUUUUAAUUUCUCUUCUUCUCUUUUUUUCCUCUUAUUUUCCAUUUUGAAAUGCCAACACACCCACGUUGGGUGUUGCAUCACGAUACCACAUUGUGGUGAUUCCCAGUUUCUCUUCAAAAUCAUUCUAAUGAAUUAAAGAAGAUUGAAAAUUGAUAUCUCCUUUAGGAACAAAUUUGUAAUUAUUUCAGUCUCUAAUUGCUAAACUUAUCAUUUAAUUUCAUAUUAUUCGUGAAAAUAAUAUAGAAACUUAUGUGUAAAAAGGUUAAAUAACUACCUCCUAUAAAUAUAGUAUGAAAAUAGUGUAAAAAUUGAUGUCUUGUAAAGGUUAUUUAUUUGCUUCUUAGAAACAUAGUAUAAAAAUGGUAUAGAAGUGGUGUAGUAUAAAGGUUAUUUAAUUACCUUCUAGAAAGAUGGUAUAAAUAUGAUGUAAAAAUUGGUGAUCCUAUAAACAUGGUAUGAAAUUGAUAUAGAAAUUGAUGUUUAGUAAAGAAUAUUUAACUAAAUUCUAAAAGUAUGAUAUAAACAUGGUAUAGAAGCUGGUGUUCCGUAAAAGGCAUUCCAAAAGAACUUAUAUAUUAUAUCCAUAAACGUUUUAAUCUGAAAAAGAAUAAUUGAUUUUUUACUAUUGCUUUGAGUAAAGUAUUUAGCCCAACAAGAUUGAUUUAGUAACAGUACAGCGAGAUAAUUGCAUGUAAGACUAUUCUAUAUACGAUACCACAAGUUCACGGCUUGGGUGAAUCAAUAUUGCUGCUUGUUCAAACAUUUAUUAACCUAAAUUCUUUGAUUGUUGUAGGAUUAUGAUCAUAUUAUUUUAUAUAACUUUGAGUGAAGAAAAUGGUGAGGAUCGUGAUUGUACUUAUGAAAAGAGAAGCAACAGAUUUAGUGAAGAUAAAGGAGUUUGGAGACCUUCAAAGAACUUCUGAAUUUUUAAUGGUAAUGGGUCGGAGUCGCAAUCGAAAUCGAAAUCGGGUUGGAUUGAAUUAAUUGAUUGGGUAUUUUUUAUUGAUUUUUUUGUGUGAUUUUGAAAGGGGUAGCUACAUAAUUUUCUAAUUUUUUGAUGAUUUUUCAUUUUUUCACUUCGUUUUUAGUAGCCAUAGGAAGUUAGAGGUGGGAUUGGAAGAAAGAGAGGAGUGGAAAAAAGGAGAGGAGUAGCAGAAUUUUUGGAUUUGAUUUUUUACAGAGGAAAAAAAGGAACUGAAUAGUUGAUAGAUUUUGUAAAUAAAAAAUAAUAUUGUUAUAUUUUGUGAUAUUGAUUCUUAAAUUGUAUAUUUAUGUGAUUUUUCCAAUAUAAAUUGGGUUGUGCUUCAUCUAUAUGGCCCUGAUCUAAUAAGCCCAAAAAUGAAAGGGACAAGUGCACAAAUAACCGAUUUGAACGAUCAUUUAAAUCAUAGCCAUUGUACAUAAAAAAAAAUAUGUAAAUUUAGCUGCUUCAAAACCAAAUUAAGGCAUAUGUGAUCAAAGAUGUAAAAAUUCGAGUCUGAACGGAUGACAAAGUUCUAACAUUUUUUCUUAAAAUUUGGCUUGUCACGAUCAAACUCUUGAUAUAUUUUCCAGAAGUUUAGUUUGAAAAGGCCCAACCACCAACAUUUAUAUUUGAAGUUUGGUUGGUCAAGACGGUUGGUCUUGUAGUGACUAACACAAUAAUGAUGGUGGUAACUGUGGAAGUGAAUAGAGUUAAUGUUAGUAGUUGAUGGUUUGGUGAUAGAUGUCGCUGAAAAAUAUGUGGUGAUUGACAAUGAGUGUUGGUGGAGGUAGUCGAUAUUGGGAAUUGGCCUUAAUGACCAUAAUGACCAAUAGUAAUAGCGGAGGUGGUGACAGAAAGUGUGCUAGCAUAAAUAAUUAUAAUAAUUGAUAUGUAAACAUGAUAGCACUAAGGGUCGUUUGGUUGGAAAAGAGUUAUCUCGAGAUUAGUUAUCCCACCAUGUAUGGGAUAACUAUUCCAUCAUUAUGAUAUAAAUGGUGGGAUAAAUAAUCCCAAGACCGACUAAUACCUCCAACCAAAUAUGGGAUAAAACAAUCCUGCAUUUUGUCCUUGGAUUAUUAUACCUUAUACCUACACCAAACAAUCCCUAAUAGUAGCAAUCGAUAGUGAUUAUGAUUAUUAGUGAUAGUUAUGAUGACACAGAUGAUUGACGAUGAUGAUAGCGAUUGCGAUUGUUGACAUGGUUGGAGAUGGAGACCGGUAGAUAUGGAUAUACUAGUUGUGAAAAUUAUUUACAGAAAAUAUAUUUUAAUAAUAGUAUUUUGUAUCUUAAUUAUUUAUAUAUUUUAUAAGCAUAUUUAGUAUUCUAAUAUAUGUGAUGGUUCAAAUGGACUUUGAAUUUUUUAUUCUUAGUACUCUAUUCUAUUUCUUUAUAUUUUUUGUUUGACCCACGGUUCAGUCCAGUCCAUAUUACUCAAACCCACGGACCAACGGGAUUAUACGGGCCGAGCUAAAAAGUCUUGUUCUCAAACGAGUUGUAAAAGUCUUAGCCCAUCCCUAUAAAAUUACAGGUUGGAUUGGGUCUGACCUAUAUUGACGGCUCUAGUUAAAAGAAUGAAUUCUAGGUUUUACUUAAUUCGUUCUAAGUACUUACAUGAUUACUCUUUCUUAACAUUUUCAUAUAUUAGCAACAUGUAGUUUGAAGUUCACAUAAAAAUUGGAUUGUGACUUUGUAUCUUCCAUAAAAUAGUCAAGUUAUGACCUGUUUUUAAUUGAGUUUUAAAAUGAAUUGUAAUAAGUUAGAAUGAAAUUAAUAGAAAUUAAUAAACAGAAAGAUCAUUAAUAGAAAUUAUUGCAAAGUACAUAUAAUAUGUACCAUUAUUGAAACAAAAUAACAAAAAUGGAAGAUGAAAGCAUACUUAAAUAGAGUGAAUCUAUAUAUAUACUCACUUCAUUAUAUAGAACUUCGAUAAAUAAUAUUAUACGAAGAUAGUUUAUUUAAUUCAUUUAAGAAGCAGUAAACUAGAUAUCUGCAUCUUUUGAUGGAGAUUGUGAGGAGGACGAAGCUUCAGCUAAUUGAUCCUUCAACAAAAUUUCUCCACUAUCCAACCAAGCUUGAAACUUCAUUACAUCAUCUGCAUUUAAAUGAUCAAUGGACUCCCAUCGACCUUUAUCUCUAGUCUUAUUCCUUUGGGAUAAGAAAAGGAAUUUAUCUUUUGCAACUUCUUCUCUUUCAUCAAGUUCAUUUAGCCUAUCAUUAAUUGAUUCACUUUGUGAAUUUUCAUCAACAAUUUGUUCACCUAAAUCUGUUUUCAAAUUCAUAAAACGAUCAAUGAUUGCAUUUUGUGUUGGGUGGACAAAAUCAACUGGUGAAGAUAGAAAGAUUCCAAGAUCUACAUCAUUUUCUCUAACGAGUUUGCUAGCUUUUUUAUAUAAGCCGGAACGUCGUUUAGAGAAUGUGGAAUAUCGAUUAGCAUUUUUUUCUAUCCUCACCAAUGGAAUUUUUCAGCGUCCUAUUGUUUUCUUACGCUCCAUGAAGAAAUAUGACUUACAAAAAAAAAUGAAUUAUGAUGAAUAUUUAUAUACAUAUUAUUCAUAAUGAUCAUUAAAUUUCUAUCCAAAUAUCACAAUGGAAAGUAAUCUUUUCUUCUUGAAAAUUAUAGUAGAAAAUUUUUAUUCAACUUGAUACUCAUAAUCUGAGUUUUAUAGUAACAUCAAUGUGAAAUUCAAGGGGGAUGAAUAAAAAAUUUGUGAGUCGACUAUUGACUCCUCACAGUCGACAUACCUACCGAUCAGUAUACUUCACAAAAUAGAUUAGAAUUAAAACAAAUAGACAAGUAAAUAAUUAACUUUAAACAGAAGAUACGAAGAUUUAUCCCAGUUUGGAAAACCAAUGUGCUUUCUACUUCCAGUCCCAUUGGGUUUCAAUAUUUUUUUAGAUCUUUCAAUGUUGGGCUCGAGUACAAUGAUGAGAAACAAGUUCCGAAGACUUAAUUUGUUCUUCGGAUCUUGUGACAUAACUUCAGCUUGUAUUAGAAAGUUGACUCGAUCCUAUUCUUUAUACAACUAUUGUAAACUAAGGAUUACAAAGCUUUGUGAGACUAAGAUUGAGGCACUUUGAGAUUUCUCCUUGAAGUUGUGUAUCUUCUUUCUUCCAUUUUGGCCUUUUUAGUCUUCUGUUGUAUAUGCUUCUUUUCUUCAUAAGAAAACCCAAGAGAUUUCUUCUCAAUCAAGGAAUUAAGUUGAUUUCUUGAUUGAGGGAAUUUGCACUUUUUGGUAUGUCCAUAUCAGAUAUGUCCAUACUUGGUGCGAUUUUUCUUUCUCACAUAUGUACAUGUCCAUAUCAGAUAUGUCUAUGUAGGAGGUGAGAUCUUCUUUCUCCUUUUUUUAUUGCCGUGAGGUGCAUUCAAUUGCCUUGUUCACUGAGAUCUUUAGUUGAUAUGAUUUUUGUUGCCUUGUCAAAUGAUAUCCUACUUUGGUGUGGCUCCAAAUUUAACACGAUCUUCUUUGAGAUAUAAUCUCCCAUUAUUUGAGUUCUUCAAUGUCUUUUGUGUGAGAUCUCCUUCCAUCAUUAGGUAUCUUUAAUAUCCUGCAAAUUUCACUUAUUAGUUUAUCAUUAUUAAAACAUAAAACAUAAAUAUCGGAGGCUAACAAUCUCUCCCUUUUUUAUAAUGACAAAUAAUCAUUUAAAAAUCAGUUGACUUCCCUGUUAUAGUAGUAGACUUGCUCCUUUGACUCUUAUCCAUUGAUAGUCGACUUGCUCCCCUUGAAUUUAAGCAUUGAUAGUCGACUUGCCCCCCCUGACUUUAAGCCCAUUUGAUGUUCCUAUUUUUCUCCCUCUUUUGGCAUAAUUAAAAAAAAUACAUGAAAUCAUACAUCCAAAAAGAAUAUGCACAUAGCAACGAAAUUAACAGAUUAAUUACCAAGAACUCAGGCAAAAACAAGGAAGUGUGGUAGAAAUUAUUUGUAGAAAACAUCUUACAACCCAACAAAAAUAAGGGACAGGACCCCCUUUUGAUUAAACAGUCAUUAUUCACUGCUUAGCUAGAAAAUAUGUUAGGUUAUUAUGCAUGUUAUAGCAUAAUUUGUCAUUGAAUUUCUCAACAUUUUUAAAGAACAAGGAAAAGGAGUUCUAAACAGAAACAACAAGAUUGUCAUUAGAGGAGGUGACUUGGGACUUGAGGGAGUCCAUGCGAGUGAACACUCGAGUAAACAACUUGAUGCCUUCCUGUUUCAACCCAUCGAGUGCCAGCCAAACCACACUCAUGUCAGUGCUGGUGCUUGUUCCAAGGUCCAUAAGUUUGGAAGUCGACUCCUGGAGCAGCAUAAUACCUUCCUCAACGGCUUUGAACCGAUCUUUGAUUUCCUCCAGUUCCUUCAUCACAGCAAUAGAGGGGUUAGACUUACUUACCUUUGGGAGUUCAUAUUUUGCACGGGCAGAAUCGUUCUUGUACCAUUCAUCUUCAACCAAAACAUAGCCCAUACUGACAAAAGUUUUGGAGUCAUAAGUAGCCACAACUUCCACUAAAGGGUAAGUAGAGAGAUCAAUUGUGUAAUACAGAAGAAUCCAAGUAAUGAGCAGGCCAUACGGUAAACUGGCGAAAGCAUGAACAUCUGUUGCACUCUCAAGCAUGUACUCAUGAAUCCAAGUUGCACAAUUUAUUUUGGUCUUCUUAACCAGACAGUAUAGCACAAAAAAUCAUGAUAAGUGAUGUUUCUUAGAGAUCUUUUUCGGUGAAUCAGAGUGGUGGAAACAAUAUAAGCCAUAAUGUGAUAUUUGAAUCAGAGAGACAGGGACCAAAGCUAGAUGGUACAGAUUCAGAAUUAGACAAAAACUUUUUGGGUUCCUCUAAGCGCACUUUAAAGUCCUCAAGCCAGUUAUUAUUCAUAAAGGCACUACACCGGAGAAUUUAGUAUCAAAAACUUUCUUGAAUAGAAAGUUGUUCAAGAAAAUUCUUGUGUUGAGCACAAGAGUCUCAAACUCCCCACUAUCUGGGAAAAUUCUGAAAUUGGUGUAGAACAUGUUCAAAUGGACUUUGAAUUUUUUAUUCUUAGUACUCUAUUCUAUUUCUUUAUAUUUUUUGUUUGACCCACGGUUCAGUCCAGUCCAUAUUACUCAAACCCACGGACCAACGGGAUUAUACGGGCCGAGCUAAAAAGUCUUGUUCUCAAACGAGUUGUAAAAGUCUUAGCCCAUCCCUAUAAAAUUACAGGUUGGAUUGGGUCUGACCUAUAUUGACGGCUCUAGUUAAAAGAAUGAAUUCUAGGUUUUACUUAAUUCGUUCUAAGUACUUACAUGAUUACUCUUUCUUAACAUUUUCAUAUAUUAGCAACAUGUAGUUUGAAGUUCACAUAAAAAUUGGAUUGUGACUUUGUAUCUUCCAUAAAAUAGUCAAGUUAUGACCUGUUUUUAAUUGAGUUUUAAAAUGAAUUGUAAUAAGUUAGAAUGAAAUUAAUAGAAAUUAAUAAACAGAAAGAUCAUUAAUAGAAAUUAUUGCAAAGUACAUAUAAUAUGUACCAUUAUUGAAACAAAAUAACAAAAAUGGAAGAUGAAAGCAUACUUAAAUAGAGUGAAUCUAUAUAUAUACUCACUUCAUUAUAUAGAACUUCGAUAAAUAAUAUUAUACGAAGAUAGUUUAUUUAAUUCAUUUAAGAAGCAGUAAACUAGAUAUCUGCAUCUUUUGAUGGAGAUUGUGAGGAGGACGAAGCUUCAGCUAAUUGAUCCUUCAACAAAAUUUCUCCACUAUCCAACCAAGCUUGAAACUUCAUUACAUCAUCUGCAUUUAAAUGAUCAAUGGACUCCCAUCGACCUUUAUCUCUAGUCUUAUUCCUUUGGGAUAAGAAAAGGAAUUUAUCUUUUGCAACUUCUUCUCUUUCAUCAAGUUCAUUUAGCCUAUCAUUAAUUGAUUCACUUUGUGAAUUUUCAUCAACAAUUUGUUCACCUAAAUCUGUUUUCAAAUUCAUAAAACGAUCAAUGAUUGCAUUUUGUGUUGGGUGGACAAAAUCAACUGGUGAAGAUAGAAAGAUUCCAAGAUCUACAUCAUUUUCUCUAACGAGUUUGCUAGCUUUUUUAUAUAAGCCGGAACGUCGUUUAGAGAAUGUGGAAUAUCGAUUAGCAUUUUUUUCUAUCCUCACCAAUGGAAUUUUUCAGCGUCCUAUUGUUUUCUUACGCUCCAUGAAGAAAUAUGACUUACAAAAAAAAAUGAAUUAUGAUGAAUAUUUAUAUACAUAUUAUUCAUAAUGAUCAUUAAAUUUCUAUCCAAAUAUCACAAUGGAAAGUAAUCUUUUCUUCUUGAAAAUUAUAGUAGAAAAUUUUUAUUCAACUUGAUACUCAUAAUCUGAGUUUUAUAGUAACAUCAAUGUGAAAUUCAAGGGGGAUGAAUAAAAAAUUUGUGAGUCGACUAUUGACUCCUCACAGUCGACAUACCUACCGAUCAGUAUACUUCACAAAAUAGAUUAGAAUUAAAACAAAUAGACAAGUAAAUAAUUAACUUUAAACAGAAGAUACGAAGAUUUAUCCCAGUUUGGAAAACCAAUGUGCUUUCUACUUCCAGUCCCAUUGGGUUUCAAUAUUUUUUUAGAUCUUUCAAUGUUGGGCUCGAGUACAAUGAUGAGAAACAAGUUCCGAAGACUUAAUUUGUUCUUCGGAUCUUGUGACAUAACUUCAGCUUGUAUUAGAAAGUUGACUCGAUCCUAUUCUUUAUACAACUAUUGUAAACUAAGGAUUACAAAGCUUUGUGAGACUAAGAUUGAGGCACUUUGAGAUUUCUCCUUGAAGUUGUGUAUCUUCUUUCUUCCAUUUUGGCCUUUUUAGUCUUCUGUUGUAUAUGCUUCUUUUCUUCAUAAGAAAACCCAAGAGAUUUCUUCUCAAUCAAGGAAUUAAGUUGAUUUCUUGAUUGAGGGAAUUUGCACUUUUUGGUAUGUCCAUAUCAGAUAUGUCCAUACUUGGUGCGAUUUUUCUUUCUCACAUAUGUACAUGUCCAUAUCAGAUAUGUCUAUGUAGGAGGUGAGAUCUUCUUUCUCCUUUUUUUAUUGCCGUGAGGUGCAUUCAAUUGCCUUGUUCACUGAGAUCUUUAGUUGAUAUGAUUUUUGUUGCCUUGUCAAAUGAUAUCCUACUUUGGUGUGGCUCCAAAUUUAACACGAUCUUCUUUGAGAUAUAAUCUCCCAUUAUUUGAGUUCUUCAAUGUCUUUUGUGUGAGAUCUCCUUCCAUCAUUAGGUAUCUUUAAUAUCCUGCAAAUUUCACUUAUUAGUUUAUCAUUAUUAAAACAUAAAACAUAAAUAUCGGAGGCUAACAAUCUCUCCCUUUUUUAUAAUGACAAAUAAUCAUUUAAAAAUCAGUUGACUUCCCUGUUAUAGUAGUAGACUUGCUCCUUUGACUCUUAUCCAUUGAUAGUCGACUUGCUCCCCUUGAAUUUAAGCAUUGAUAGUCGACUUGCCCCCCCUGACUUUAAGCCCAUUUGAUGUUCCUAUUUUUCUCCCUCUUUUGGCAUAAUUAAAAAAAAUACAUGAAAUCAUACAUCCAAAAAGAAUAUGCACAUAGCAACGAAAUUAACAGAUUAAUUACCAAGAACUCAGGCAAAAACAAGGAAGUGUGGUAGAAAUUAUUUGUAGAAAACAUCUUACAACCCAACAAAAAUAAGGGACAGGACCCCCUUUUGAUUAAACAGUCAUUAUUCACUGCUUAGCUAGAAAAUAUGUUAGGUUAUUAUGCAUGUUAUAGCAUAAUUUGUCAUUGAAUUUCUCAACAUUUUUAAAGAACAAGGAAAAGGAGUUCUAAACAGAAACAACAAGAUUGUCAUUAGAGGAGGUGACUUGGGACUUGAGGGAGUCCAUGCGAGUGAACACUCGAGUAAACAACUUGAUGCCUUCCUGUUUCAACCCAUCGAGUGCCAGCCAAACCACACUCAUGUCAGUGCUGGUGCUUGUUCCAAGGUCCAUAAGUUUGGAAGUCGACUCCUGGAGCAGCAUAAUACCUUCCUCAACGGCUUUGAACCGAUCUUUGAUUUCCUCCAUUUGCUUUAUCACAACAAUAGAGGGGUUAGAAAUAAACUUACUUACUUUUGGGAGUUCAAAUUUUGUGCGGGCAGAAUCCUUCUUGCACCAUUCAUCUUCAACCAAAACAUAGCCCAUACUGGCAAAAUUUUUAGAGUCAAUAAGUAGCCACAACUUUCACUGAAGGGUAAGCAUAGAGAUUAAUUGAGUAAUACAAAAGAAUCCAAGUAAUGAGUUGGCCAUACGGUAAAUUGGCGAAAGCAUAAACAAUUAUUGCACUCUCAAGCAUGUACUCAUGAAUCCAGGUUGCCCAAUUGAUUUUGAGUUUCUUAAUCAGACAAUACAACACAAAGACAUCACGACAGGUAAUGUUGCUAAGGGAUCCUUUCCAAGGAAUCAAUGUGGUAGCAAUUAUAUGGGCCAUGACGUGAAACUUGAAACACAAGGACAUGGGACCAAAAAUUGGUCAAAAUAGAGUCAGGGUCAGACGGGACCCUUUUGGCUUCUUCAAAGCUAACCUCAAAAUUUUUGGGAUAGUUACCAUUCAAGAAGGAGAUUGCACUAUAGAACUUUGUAUCAAAAUCAUUUUCAAACAUAAAAUCAUUCAGAACAAUUCUUAUGCCAAGAACAAGAGUCUCAAGUUCACCACUAUCAGGAAAGAGGUGGAGAUUCAUAUAAAACAUGUAAACUAGAUCCUCAUAAGCCAGAAGUCCACAGAGAUGAAAAACCAGGGAUAAAUCUUGAAACUUAAAGAAGUGACUGGCAUUACAGAAGGCAUAUUUCAAUUAACGGAGAUUGAUAAUGUGAUCGGGUACAACCAAGCAACUUUUAAAGGAAAAGAAUUUGUCUUUGUGAAAGUAUGUAUAGAACAUGUGCAUGUCUUCUGAAAGGGGGGAGUUUAGAAAGUUUGUACAAGGUUUCUUGGCAAAAGGGGAUAAGCUGGGAGUAGGACGACGUCUCUUGAUGAGAGUUGAUUGAGAGUCCAAUGACGAUUAGUUAGAGGAUUCGGAGAGGAGAACAGGACUGUUGGAGAGGGUUUUGUGAAGGAGAUUUGGACAUAUUUUCCAUAGAACGAGUUCUGACCAUGAGAGAAGAGGGAAGAUAAAUUUUAAAGGGGAAAAGAGGGAUAAGAGGGAAUGGUUAAUAGGACUAAUAAAGAGAAGGAGGAUGUAGACAACUGUUGGAAAAGAUAAUGAAGGGGAAGAUGAAGAGGUGUGAGGUGAAAAAGUGACUGGUAGAAGUGAAAGGGCGGCAGAAGGGGGGUUAGAAAGGUGAAGCUAUGCAGAAACGACAUAGGUGGCGUGAAUAUCAGUGAGAAAUAAUGAUGACUUCCCUUUUGAAAACCAAUUUUUGGUUAAAACCUAACGAUAAAAUUGGAACAAGUAAAAAUUAUUUUUCUAUCCAAAAAUAAAAAUCAUAAGUUAUCAAUACUGAGAAUUCCAAUUAUAUUUCUAAGAUAAGAAAAUCUUUCUUCUAAUAAGGGUUUUAUAAAAAUAUCUUCCAGUUGAUUUUUGGAGUCAACAAAUGUUACCAAAAAAUCGUCAGUUUCUACAUGAUUUCGAAUAAAAUGAUGCUUAAUGUUAAUGUGUUUAGCCCUAGAAUGAUGAACAAUAUAUUUAGAUAAACUAAUAGUACUGGUGUUAUCACACAUUAUGGGAAUAGAUUCAAAAUAUAAAUUAAAAUCAAGUAGUUGAUGCAUAAUCCAUUGAAUUAGAGUACCACAACUCCUAAUGGCUAUACAUUUGGCUUCAGUUGUUGAAAGAGCAAAUGAAGUUUGCUUCUUGUUGUGCCAUAAAAUCAGGGCAUCACCAAGAAUUUGAAACGUUCCACUAGUGCUUUUUCUAUCACUUUUAUCACCUAUAAAGUCAGCAUCUGAAUAUCCAAUUAAAUCGAAAUGGGAAGAGCACGAAUACCAUAGUUCAAUGUCUUGAGUUCCUAUGAGGUAUCGGAUGAUCCUUUUGACGGCAUUCCAAUGAGACUCUUUAAGAGUCGAAUGGAACCUGACACACUUACGUUUACUGAACAUAAUGCCUGGUCGACUGGCGGUCAGAUAGAGUAGUGAUCCAAUCAUUCUCUUAUACAUCUUUUCAUCAACAACCUUUCUAGACGAAUCUGAAUCAAGACUUGUGGAUGGACUCAUCGGAGUUUCAUAGGCCUUUUUUUUUCAUACCAAAUUUUUUAAUGAGUUCCUUUGUGUACUUACUUGACUAAUGAAGGUAUCUUUGAAAGUUCGUUUGAUUUGUAAUUCCAAGAAGAAUGUGAGCUCUCCCAUAAGGCUCAUUUCAAAUUCUCUUUUCAUCAGAUUUACAAAAUUCUCACACAGAGAUAUUAGGACUACGAAAAAUGAUAUCAUUAACAUAAAUUUGCACAAUAAGAAGAUUUGAAUCAAGAUUUUGUAUGAAUAGAGUUGUAUCAAUUUUACCUCUUUGAAUAUUGCUAUUUAUUAAGAAAGUACUCAAUCUCUCAUACCACGCCUUUGGAGCUUGUUUGAGACUAUAGAGUACUUUUGACAAUUUGAAAACAUGAUUUGGAUAAGAUAGAUUUUAACACCCGAGACGUUGUUUUAUGAAACUUCUUCAUGGAUAAAACCAUUUGAGAAGACACUUUUGACGUCCAUUUGAUAUAACUUAAAACAUUUGAAAGAAGCAAAAACUAAUAAAAUUUGAAUUGAUUCUAACCUUUUCACAGGGAAAAAUGUUUCAUCAUAAUCAAAACCUUCUUGUUAGGAGUAUCCUUGAGCUAUAGGUUUGUUUCUGAUAACCUUACCUUCUUCAUUCAAUUUUUUUUGUAGACCCAUCUAGUUCCAAUUAAUGAGCAGUUAUUGGGUCUUUCAACCAGAGUCUAAACUUGAUUUCGUUCACAUUGGUCCCGUUCUUCCCUCAUGGAUUUGACCCAUGUUUCAUUUUUGAGGGCAUCAUCAAUCUUCUCCGGUUUAAUUUGAGAUACAAGGGAAACAUAUGCCUACUUUCUCAAUGAUGCUCACGUUUGCAUCCAAUCAUUUGGAUUUCUGGUGAUAAAUUUAUUUGGAUAGCUAGCAUUAUAUCUCCAUUCUCUUAGAACACUCAUUUUAACUGUUUCUGCUGUGGGAUUUGACUCUGAAGGUGGUAUAGUCGACUCAUCUUGUGAUGGCUCAGAGGUUGUACUAGUAUUGGCUCCAGAUUAUAGACCACUCACCUGUUCUUUGUCAAUACUCAAACUCAUAAAAGGGUGAUUAGUUUAAUAAAAAACAAUAUGCAUAGAUUCUUCAACACAUAAAUUUUGUUUAUUAUAGGCUCGAUAAGCACGACUGGUGGGAGAGUACCCAAGAAAAAUAUCUUCUUCACUUUGUAGAUAAAAUUUUCCCAGGUUAUUCUUACCAUUAUUAUAGAUAAAACAUUUGCAUCCAAAGGGAUGAAAGUAGCUAAUGUUUAGAUUCUUUACUCUCCACAUCUUAUAAAUUAUAUUUUUUAGGAUUGGUCUAAUAAGACACCUAUUGAUGAUAUGAAUUACUGUGCUUACUGCCUCUGCCCAAAAAUGAUCUAGGAGAUUGUGUUAUGACAGUAUGGUCCUGGCAAUUUCUUGGAAGGGCUGAUUUUUUUACUCCACCACAUCAUUUUGUUGAGGAGAUUGAGGUGAUGAAAGGUUCUGAGAGUAUCCGUUCUGAGCACAGUACUCCUCAAAAGCUUUGUUUUCAAAUUCUCCUCUAUGAUCACUGUGAACAUAGGUGAGAAGUGAACAGCUUUACUCUGUACUCUUUUGAAAAAUAUUUCAAAGUUUCUAAAAGCCUCGUGUUUAUAAGCAAGACACAUUACCCAAGUAAAACAAGAACAAUCAUCAACUAUGACAAGAGCAUAUCUUUUUCCACUGAUACUUACGGUUUUGGUGGGGCAAAACAAAUCCAUGUGGAUUUUUUAAAGGGGCUUGGUAGUAGAGAUGAUGUCCUUGACUUUGAAUAAUGUCUGGGUCUGUUACCAAAAUGGCAGGCAUGAUAAAUGUGAUUUUUUUAAACUUGAGUUUUGGCAGACCUUUCACCAAUUCCGGUCUGUAUUUCUCAAUAAUAUGCAUACUAGCAUGCCUGAGUUUUCUGUGCCACAACCAAGUGUCAUUUGUUUGCACAGUGAGGCAGGUUAAGGUAGUAAAGUCAGGAAUAUUUAAUAUAUAUAUAUAUAUUAUCAAUGCGUUCACCGAUAAGGGAGAUGUUUCUUUUAUCAUAUUUGAUGGAAUAACUUUCAUCUUUUCAAACUUUCAGCUUUGAAGAAGACUCUAAAUCUAGAGUCACACAGCUGACCGAUACUGAGCAAGUUAUGUUUGAGGUCAUCCACUAGAAAUAAUUCAAUAAGUUCACAUGAGAAGUUGAGCUUUACUGAGCCGACUCCGAUGAUUUUGGCUCUAGUGUUAUCUUCGAAUCUGGUUGAUCCUCCUUUUAUUUUCCUUAGAGAAUAAAAAUUUUAUUUAUUUCCAGUCAUAGGUCUGGAACAUCCGUUGUCAAUGACCACCAUUCCCUUUUUAUAGCUUCUGCAAGCAUGUUCCUCGCUAGAUUCUCCUUUUGCCAUGAAGCACAUGUUGGCUGCUUUUGUUUCUUCUUCAGUUUCAUCUUCAUCACUGCAGGCUAUAAAAAUUUUAUUCUUUCUAGAUGACCUUCUUCUUAAUUCUGGACAGUUUUGUUUAAAGUGGACAAGCCUUCCACAGUGAUAACAGCGAUCAUAAUUUCUAGUGGAAUCAUUAUUUUAGCUCCGUCAAAUCUUUGCUGUCUCUGUCUCAUGAUUUGCCUUACUCCAUGAUUUAUAAGUCAUUCCUUCGCUAUUGGCUUCCUCCAGAAUGUCCUCUUCUUCAGUUGGUGCAACAUUGAAGGCUAUUGGUUUCUUCUUUUCCUCUUUAUAGUAUCUGUUAAUAUAAUUUCAUUCAUAUGCAAUGAUAUUACCUCAUAGCUCAUCAUAUGUUAUUUUGUGAAGAUCUCCAUCUUCUAGGAUGGCAGCCUUGGUUUCCCAUAUUUUUAAGAGACUUUGGACCAGUUUUUGUACUUGCAAGCUAUGUGAAUAGAUCUUCCCUAGUGAUUUUUGCUCACAUACGAUCUUGCUAAAUCUGGAAAACAUUGUUUCAAUGUUCUCAUUUUCUUUCAUUUUGAACAGCUUGUAUUCAUUGAUUAGGGCAGCAAUCUUUGACUUUUUGACUUUGGUGGUUCCUUCAUAGGUUAUCUCCAGUUUAUCCCACAUUUCUUUUGCAGUCUCAUGGGUUGAUAUCUUGUCGUAUUCUUCUCCACUAACUGUACAAAGAUGUAAACUUAUAGCUCGUGCAUUAGUUUGGAGUACCUCUUGUUGUUCUUUGGUGACAACAAAGCUUGCAAGAUCUUCUAUAUUAGUACUGCUCAAUUCUUUGUCCUUGUUCUUUUGCUUCUCCUUGAGUCCUGCAACUGGCUUUGGUCCCUUCUUAAUGACAACCCAAGCUUGAAAGUUAUUUGAUUGGAUAAAGAUUUUGAAUCUAUUUUCCAAUAAGAGUAGUGUUGUCUAUUAAAGUAUGGUGGUCCUGUAAAGGAAUGACCAUCUUGAAGAAGAGCACCGAGAAUUUUAUAGGUUGUCAUUCGAUCUUUGCUCGCAUGCGGUUAAGCAACACUGUUGGUGAGAUCUACUCUGAUAUCAAUUGAAAUUCAAGGGGGUAGGGGUGAAUUGAAAAUUUCUGUGAAUCGACUAUUGACUCCUCAUAGUCAACUUGUCUGCAGAUCAGUAUACUUCACAAAACAUAUUAGAUUACAAACAAACAAGUAAAUAAUUGACUUUAAAAAAAAACACGAAGAUUUAUCCUGGUUCGGAACAUCAAUGUGGUGCCUACUUCCAGUCCUCUUGGGUUUCAACAUUUUCUUGGAUCUUUAAAUGUCGGGUUCAAGUACAAUAAUAAGAAGUAAGUCCCUAAGACUUAUUUUGUUCUUCAGAUCUUGUAACAGAGCUUCAGUUUGUAUUAGAAAGUUAAAUUGAUCCUAUUCUUUAUACAACUAUUGUAAAGUAAGGAUUACAAAGUUUCUUAAGACUAAGAUUGAGACACUUUGAGGUUUCUCCUUGAAGUUGCAUAGUGUCUUCUUUCUUCCAUUUUGGCCUUUAUAGUCUUUUGCUGAAUAUGCUUCUUUUCUUCAUAAGGAAACCCAAGAGAUUUCUUCUAAAUCAAGGAUUUGAGUUGAUUCCUUGAUUGAGGGAGUUUGCACCUUUUGGUAUGUCCAUAUCAUAUAUAUCCAUACUUGUACGAUUUUCCUUUCUCACAUCUAUACAUGUCCAUAUCAGAUAUGUCUAUGUAAGAGGUGAGAUCUUCUUUCUCCAUUGGUCUUGCCGUGAGGUGCAUUCAAUUGCCUUAUUCAUUGGGAUUUUAGUUGAUAUGAUUUUUGCCGCCUUGUCAAACGAUAUCCUAUUUUGAUGUGGCUCCAAUAUUUAGCACGAUCUUCUUUGAGGAAAUAUUUCUUGCCUUGUGCGAGAUAUCCUCCCAUUAUUUGAAAUCUUCAAUGUCCUUUAUGUGAGAUCUCUUUCCAUCAUUAGGAAUCUUCAAUAUCCUGCAAAGUUCGCUUAUUAGUCUGUCAUUACUAAAACAUAAAAAAUAAAUAUAGGAGGCUAACACAAUGAAUAUGAUAUUCUAAACAAAAAUAGGUAAAUAAUGUAAUAUACUACAUGUCAUUUAUCCACUAUAUAAUUUGAUGAAACAUUAAUUACUCACCAAAAUCAUUCAGUUAUUUUAUAUAGUAAUUAAAUAAAAUUUCGCACUUAGUCAAAUAAAAUAAAUCUACCAUUUAAUUUGAAAAAGAAAAAAUUAUUAAUAUACUUUUAAGUUUUAAAAUUAUAUAAAUUCUUCACUUGGGUUAACAUCCAAAUAACUUCAAAUGACAUUGAAUAUAAUUAUAAAUCUAUUUUGACUAGUAAAUGUUUAAUGAAUAACCAGUAUAAAAAUCAAACUUUCAACAUGUAUUAUAAGUAAAUCAAAUCUAAAAUUUAACUUGAAUUAAAAAAUAUUUUUGACGUGCUUACUGAAAUAAGAGAAAAACAUUCACAUUAUGAUUAAUUAGUUUUUGGAAAUGCAUUCAAUUAAAAGCUGAACCUUAAAUUGAUAAUUAAAAUAUCUUUUUUAAGUGUAAAAAUUGAAAUUGUUAACUAUAAUGACCUGUAUAUAACCUUUAAUUGGGAAAAUUAACUAAAUAAACUUAUUAAAUUAUUUAUUAUAAGUUAUAGUAACUAUUUUUAGUUUUCAAGUUAUAGCAACUUUCAUUUAAAAAAAAUUUAAAAAUAUAUUUUUUAUUUUUUUUUAAAAGGCAUAUCAAAAUAAUUACAAGAAAGGAAAAUAUAGAUUUAAUAUAACUAAUCUACAAUAUUCCUUCCUUAAAUAUUGUUAACAUUAAUAAUUGAUAUCAAUCCCGCUCCCCAAUUCUCACUAACCAUUUUUAUUUCUCCUAUUUUAAUGCGUCCAUUAGGAGUUUCCAUCUUUAUACACUAUCUUUUUUUCUACAAGAUUAUAUUGUUCCAGUAAACAGCAAUCAUAAAUUUUUUUUGUUUUAUGCAACUUUUGAGAAUCUUUUUUUUGAAAGGAAAGCAAACAUAAUUUAUUGUUGUGUUAUAAAAAUAUGAAUUGUGAUAAUUUGCAUUCAAUCAUUUGAAAUUUGUCAAGUUUGUUAAAUUAUUUAGCAAAUUGAUACUUUGCAAUCGAACGUAUUUAAAGAAUUAAUUAAUUUUUUUAUGUGUUUCUUCAACUAAGGAUCAACUAUUAUAAACAGAAAAAUAACCAAACUUAUUUUAAUUACAAAUGAUAACAAAUUACAUAAAUAAGUAUGAAAAAGUAUAACAUGUAUGAAAAUAUGACUAAAAGAACUCAUCUACUGUUUAUAAUUUGCCUUUAUAAUGUCAAUUAUGUUAUGUGAUAUUUAACUUAAAUGCAAUAAUUAAAUAAAUUGCAAAUUUAUUAAUGUUGCAAAAAGAUAAUAUAAGAUGAUCAAAACAUAUACAUAUUAACAUGAACUUAAUAAGAAUUUAUAAUAUAAAUUAUCAAAGGAUAAACGUCAAUAAUAUCAAACUUGAUAACAAAAAAAUCAUUCCCAUAAACUUUCUAUUAAGUGAUAGAACAAUAACGAUAAAAAAUCAUUCCCAUAAACUUUCAAAACUGCUUCCCUUGAUCUUUUGAAACCACCAUGCUUGCUAGUAACAUUUUUAGUUACCUCACUUUCACUGAUUGCUCCAUCAUUCUGCUGUCGUCUGGCAUGAUCCCAUAGUAGUGCACCAUAUCUGAGUCGAUGGUUGAAAGCACCAAAUACUCUACUGGAAAUAUCAAAUACAGUGUGGCUAACGAACUUAACAAAGGCACAUACAAACAUGCCAUUAUCACUGAAAAAUAGAAAAUCAAAAAAUUAAGUACCUCUCGAACAUAAGCAGCCAUUAGUAUAAUAGAUGCCUCAUGUUUUGGAUUCGAAAUCGAGAGGGCGUCAUGCGGAAGCUAUUAGGUGCAAACUAUGAGACGAUAAAUCAAAUGACACAAAACAAAACUAGAAAACAUAAUAUUAUUUAUGAUUUGGCCAAUUGGCCUACAUAUAAAAUCUAACAUUAAAAAACAUAAAAACAAACUGAAAGAGAAAAUUUCCCCUUAAACAAAAUUCUUUAAUCAACUACAUUGUGGAUGCUAUUGUGUUAUGGUAUGAGAAGGGGGUCUUCUAUUUAUAGAGUUCCAAAACCUUUCCUCCAAGAAGGAGGUUUGCCAAAUAUGAAAAAAAUUUAUAUUUUUUUUUUAGAAAAGUAAAAGUAAUUAUAGUAUUACUUUUAUUUUUCUUUCAAGAAAAGUAAAACUUAACCUUGGUAAGAAAAUCAGGGCAAAAACCUAACAAAUCUCUCCCUUUUGGCUUGAUUUUCUUGACUUAAUCCGCCUCUUCACUUCACAUGCAUAAACUUCUUCUUGAUAUAAUCUUCAUAACUGUUGUUUGCCAUGGUUUAAAAAUAAAGUUUAAAAUAUCAUGAUUAAAAAUGAGUUAAAAAUUACUAUUUUAUUUUUAUUUUUAAAGAUGCAGCAACAGGAAUGUUGAAAAUAUUGAAAAUAUGGUUGAAACUUGUUCUCCACAAGUAGCAAAACAAAGUUGUCAUUAUCUCCUAAUUAGUUGCAGCUUGAUUUUGAAACAGCUUUGAACCUAUUUAAUCUCGUCUCACCACACCAUUGACCUUUGAACUGUAGGCUCUGAUACCACUUGUUGGGUUCGAAAUCGAGAGGACUUCAUGCGGAAGCUAUUAGUUGCAAACUAUGAGACGAUAAAUCAUAUGACACAAAUCUAAACUAUAAAACAUAAUAUUACUUAUGAUUUGGCCAAUUGGCCUACAUAUAAAACCUAAUAUUAAAAAGCAUAAAAAUAAACUAAGAGAGAAAAUCUCCCCUAAACAAAAUUCUUUAAUCGACUACAUUGUGGAUGCUUUGUGUUAUGGUAUGAGAAUAGAGUCUUCCAUUUAUAGUGUUCCAAAACCUUUCCUCCAAGAAGAAAGUUUGUCAAAUAUGGAAAAGUUUUAUAUUUUCCUUUAAGGAAAAGUAAAAGUAAUUAUGGUAUCACUUUUAUUUUUCUUUCAAGAAAAGUAAAACUUAAACUUGGUAAGAAAAUCAGGGCAAAAACUCUAACAAAUCUCCCUUUUUUAAAAAAAACUCUUACCUCAGUCCCCAUCAUUUCCCUACCCCCUACCCCCCACACCUAUACCCCUACACCCCGCCCGCUCCCAAAAAAAAAAAUUUAAGAAAUUUUUUUUAAAAAAAAAAAGUUAAUUUUUUUUUUAAAAAAAAUUACCUCAAACCCCAUCCUAAAAACCAUCCCUCCUACCCCCGACCCCUUACCCAACACCCCUCCCUAAAAAAUAAAUUUUAAUUUUUUAAAAAUAUUCUUACCCCGCCCCCACUCCCAACCCACCCACCCAACUUUUCAAACCCAUUCAAAUUUUAUUUCUUUACAAGUGGUAAAUAUUAAUAUGUUAAUAUUUUUUAGACUAAGCGGGUUAGAUUGGGCAGGUCAAGACCCAACCCGAUUUUUAUCAAUUUCAACCCAACCUAUUUCUACUCAAAGUGAAUUUGGACAGGUCAUGACCUAAUCCGAUAUCCAAUGCAACCCAUUUAAUAUCUUCAAUCUCAACCCAACCCACCCAUUUGACACCUCUAUCUGAAACAAUAAAAAAAUUAAUCAAGACUUAAUCACCAAAUCUUAGCCUCUUAAUGUAAAAUUAAACUCAAAUGAAAAUCUAAUCCUCACACUAACAACAACAAAAGUUAUAUCUCCACUUUCAACCACAAACACACAAAAGUUAUGAAAUUUCAUUUACAUACAUGUCAUUAAAAAUAGAAAAUGUGAUUCAAUAUCAAUAUUAUACCAUUAUAAUACAGAAAAAAUAAAAUCAAAAUCAAAUUAUAUUAACCUUAAAAACUUUUCUUGAUUUCCUCGUGUCAACCAUCUUAUCACCAAAUUUAGCAACAUUCAUAUUGGACUUGGACCUUGUAACUUUAGCAUUUUUAUGAUUUUUUAUUUUUGAUUUCUUCGUUUUGUGAGCAGAAAUUUCAUCUUCAAAAUCAGAAUCUAAAACUUGAUCAACAACUACCUUUUUUCUCUUAUCAAUCAUCUUAUAUUAUGGAACAACAAUUGUUUCAACUACUUCAAUGAUGAUGACUUCUUUGAAAAAAUAAUUUUGACCGGAAAAAACCCACCUUCAGUUACCUUCUUCUUGUUCUUUGAUAAUGAAAAUGAGGUAAAACACCCCAAACCAAACGAAGGUCUAGAUAGAAUAAUCAAAUUAUUUUCUUGUAUUAAUCUAGGGCCUUUUAUAUUAGGAGUAGAAUCAAAUUUGUAUUUUUCUGACAUGUCUCAAGAAAAAAAAAACUAAAGUGAAGAAUUCUUAAUCCAAACGUAUGAGUGAGUGUUGGUAAACACUAAACGAAUGAGUGGAUGUUGGAAAACCCAACUUCAUACGCAUGAAAAUCAAAAAAAGAGAAAAAAAAGAUGAAAAAAAAAAUAUGAUAAAGAGUGAAUAUUUUUAUCGGUAAAGAAACACUGUAAGACGCGAUAAUGUGUCGAAAGUAAGUUAAUUAUUAAAGUUAAUAAAAAUUCAAAAAUUUAGUAUCAAUGUAAAAAAAUAUAUUUACUAUAUGUGACUCCUUAAAUUGUGAACAAACUUUGAAACUUAAGUAUUAAAAAAAAAUCAUUGAUACCAAAAUAUAACUUGCCAUAAUAUCAAAAGAUUUAAUGAAGAGUGAUAAAUGUUAAAUGCUAUAAAUAAGGAAAUAAUAUGAAUAUUAAAUUUUAAAAAAAUAAUUUUUGAAUAUUUAAUAAAAAAGAUUUUUCUAAAAAAUUGCUUUAACUUGCAAUUAUUUCUUUAGUCUAAUAAUUAUUGAAAAAUAUUGCUAUAACUUAUAAUAAACAAUCUAAAAAGUUCAUUUAGCAUAAUUUUCACUUUAAUGAUUCAAGAAGUUUUCAGCUUAAGGGAAGACCAAUGGCUACAUAUUGGACUCCUUAAGCCCAUACAAUAAAUGUGGCACCUAGCCCAUCUUACUCUUGUAUAUUUCAACUAGAAAAUUUUCAAAAAUAGCAACUUAACAGUUAUAAUUAUAACUUUUAUAGUAACUGUUUCAUAAUUACGAAAAAUAGCAAGUUGUAUUUUGUAUUUUAGUAAAAUGUUGUUAUGUAAAUACAUAUACAAAUUGAAUAGUAGUUCCUAUUUUUACUCCAUCAAUUAAAGUUAAAUAAGGGAAGUAAAUGUCCCUAUAUUCAUACUACUUUUAAUUAUAAAGAUCAUUUUCCUUAUUUCCUUAUAUGACUUUUCUAUUUCUCUUCUUUUUUUAUCAUUUUUCCUUUUUUUCUUUUUUCUUAUUUUUCGUUUUCUUAUUUAUUUUCCUUCUCAUAUUUUUCUUUUUCUUUUUCUUCUUCUUUUUCUAUUUUCGUUUCUUUUUUUAUCGUUUUAUUUUUUUAUUUUGAUUUCUUUUUCUUUUCCUUUUUUUUGAGCAAAAUGGUUCAAUGGACCUUUAUACUAUGUCUGUUUUGUAAUGUGGACACUUCUACAUACAGGUUUAUCAUCUAGACCCUUGAACCCACUAAAAAGCAACAUUUUAAACACAUUUUCUGAUAUGGCAUCCUAUGUGGCUGGAACCACAUAGGAGAGUGUAUUUUAGCCUCCUAGCACGCGUCAACCAUCAAAAAAGGUCCCCCAAUGGUUAUUAAAAGACCUUAUAAAUGCUCUUUCUUCCUCAUUUGUUUCCAACACCAUUGUUGGAGCAAUUUGAGCUUUUUUUUCUCCCUUCUUCUCCAUUUUUUCUCUCUCUAAGUUCUUGUUCCUUAAUUUUUUUCUGCUGUGUUUGUAAUAUUGGAAAGUUAAUUUUUUAUGUAGUUUUUUGCAACACUAUGACAGUUCGAAUUUGUUAUUGUGGGCUUUAUGCGGAACUUAAGAUAUCAAGAACACCAACCAACCCCGGAAGAAUGUUUUGGGGCUUUGAAAAAUAUAAAGUUAGUAAUGGAUGUGGAUUUUUUCGAUGGGUUGAUGAAAAUGAACAAUAUAAAGGCGGACAUAGAAGGCAACGAAAAAAAGAAGGACUGGGAAGAUAUGAAAGGCACGAAAGACCUGAAAGAUCAAGCAUUAGUAUUGAUAUCACUGUUAUCAUUAUUGUUGUCAUCUGGUUUCUAUCUAUUGGAUUUAAUAUGGCUUGAUCUUUGUAUUUACAAUAUGCAAUGAAAAGGAAAUUCAAAUUUAAUGACAAACACCAUUUUGCCAACAUAGAAAUCUUCAAUAUAUAAUAUCUUAACAAAGUUGACAUCAAAAAGCUUGUCUUAACAACAUCUUAAAUGAGAAAUAUACUAGAAGUCGUAAAAAAAUUAUCUUAACAACACUUAGGAUCUGUCACGACCCAAAUGGCCAUGAGUGACACUCACACUCAUCUUCCUGUGGGAGAACCAUCUAAAUCAAACUAUUACCCAAUCACUAAGUCAAUAUUAAAUUGAUAUUUUCAUAAAACCAUCUUAACAAUAAUAAUCUGGAGUUAAUCAUGAGUAAUGUGGAAAUCAAACUAUCUACUUACAGAAAUUUCCAAGAUCCGAAAGUCAUCGUACAAGAACUAUAACAUAGAUCAUGUCUAAGGAGAUAUCCAAAAAUAAAGUAAAUAAAGAAUGUUUCAUUGCCCGAAAGAUGAACAAUAACAAAUAAGAUGACCCAUGGAAGCCUGGAGACGGAGUGCUCACCCUUGGAUCAAGAUCUGCUAUCAAACUAUAGAGGUGAGAUCAUGUAUGAGCCUCUAGAACAUUUUCUGCACUCAACAAAAGAAGAGUACAGAGUAGUAUCAGUACAAACCACUAUGUACUGGUAGGUAUCAUAGGCUAACUCAACUUAAUAACAUGUACACAACAUAAAUCAAAUAACAAGUAGACAGGCAUAAUCACAUAACAAAUUACCAAUGAAUCAACAAUACAGCAAUAGCAGGUCAACAGUGUUCACAAACAAGCCACAUAACUAUCAAGAGUAUCAAUCAUACUGUAAACAUCCACCAACUCAACACAAGUAUGUAAACAUGUUAUGGGACUUAUUUUUGCCUAAAUAGUCAUGACCUGCAAGGAACAAUCUAUGUUCAUGUACCGUACCGACGUGGUACCCGAUCCAACAUAAAUAUAAACGUACCGGCGUGGUACCCGAUCCAACAUAAAUAUAACGUACCUGCGUAGUACCCGAUCCAACAUAAAUAUAAACGUACCGGCGUGGUACCCGAUCCAACAUGAAUAUAAAUGUACCAGCGUGGUACUCGAUCCAACAUAAAUAUAAACGUACUGGGGUGGUAUCCGAUCCAGCAUAAAUAUAAACGUACCGGCAUGGUACCCAAUCCAACAUAGAUAUAAAUGUACCGGCGUGGUACCCGAUCCAACAUAAAUAUAAACAAGUAUUAUCAAUAUCAAUUUACAUAACCUCACAGCAUACAAUACAAUGUACCAAGUCUACAAGUACACUUAAAGUCAUAAGACAAUUCCAUCAAGUCAAUUUUCAAUAAACAUUUAUACACGAAUCAACAAUCCAAACAUCAAUAAUUUCAAGCAUGUAUGAAUACCAAUCCACAAGUAUCCAAUUUAGGAGCAUACACACAAUUAAGUCGAGUCUAAACUCCAAUUAAACCGUAACCUACCUCAACCAAAGAAUCUGAAUGUCACUAGUGCACAGUACCUUGUCCUUUCUCAAAAUUUUGAAACAUUCACAAUCUGUUCAAAUAUAUAAUCCUUAUAAGAAUACGAAUCUAGUAAAAACCCUACUAUUAUGAUUAUUUUUAAUUUAAUUAGGGUUCACUUAAUAACUGAAGUGAACCAUCGAAAUAAUGGCUGCCCAAAUCAAGAAUUACAUAACUGUUUCUUGGCCUAACUUAAACCUCACAUUAUUAUAUUUUAUAUUUUCCAAGACAAUUUCUUAAUGAGAACAAAAACCAAAAUUCCUUAACUUAUUUCAAAUUGUAGUAUAAACAAGAUUCUCCAUAAUGCUACUGUGAGUCAUGAUUUUCAUAGCUUUAGUGGAAAUAAAACUAUUUUCCUAUAUUAUUUGUCAUCAUUACCCCAUUAUUGGUUUUUCUUUCAAUUAACAUCAAAACUUGCACCCAAAACAUUCAGAAAGAUUGAUUACUAAGGCACUGUUUACCUUAUCCUAAAAAACACCAAACAUGCACAGCAUUACUAUCUAUAUAUAUCUUUGACACAUGCAUAUUGCUUACAUAAUUAGACCUUACCCGAAGUCCGUGUCCUCGGACGCUGCAACGAAUUCCGCCUCUCAUUUUCUCAACUUUCUGACUCCAUUGUUAUUAUAAAUGAUAAAUCCUAACUAAUUAAUUAGUUUUUGUAAAGACCACAUAAGUAAAUAAAUUAUAGUUUUGAUCCGCUAAAUUACUAAUUAAAAUAAUUAUUUAAAAUACCCAAAACUUUUAAUAUAUUCCAAAAAUUUAUUUGAAACUCCAUGAAAAUAAAUUAAAUAUAUAUGUAAAUUGACUAGAAAGUACAUUCUGGGCCGAUUAAAAAUAUUACGACACUAAUCCGAGACCAUCUCGAUUUAAGGUUGACUAUAAUCGGGUUUAAUUUUUUUUCAAACUCAACAACCCCGUUAAUGACUUAAAUUUCCUCCGAAUACUCAAAGAAUAUCGAUACUACUCACCACCGUAAGUCAUAAAUCAUGUAUACAAACUAUGGAGAGCGCUAAAAAAAGGAAGAUGAGAAAAAUUUCACAAACGGACCGGAGGGUCGUUACAAGAUCAAUACAGAAAGAGAAUUAUACUAAUGUAUUCCUUGAGUGCUUGUUGUGGACUGAUUCUUGCUGACUUUAGUGCUUGAUGUGGCUUGACUGGUUAUAGAUGAUUUUGCCUUUGAUCUUUUGUAACUCUGUUUUUGUAGCUGUCUUUGAGUUACUGCAACUCCACAUUUCCACCCUAGUCCAUUUGGUUUGAAACCCAAGUCAAUAUUGGUUGGAACUGAACUAAUAAGUAUUGGACUAUGUAACUUUCUAUCAGUAUUUCCAGACUGUAAAAAUAAAAAAAUCAGUUAUAGAUGCACUAAUUAAAACCAAUUAAAUAUAAAUUACAUUAUAGGAAACUUACCCUCUCUACCAGACAGCCACUUGGUCCAAACAGCACACCAAAACCAUCUUCUUUUGCCUUGGUCUUUUAUAUGCAAGAUUUGUACCACCUCUCAACAUUGUACUAGUCUUCCUCUUUUGGGCACCAACACCACUAGUAGACAGAUGAGUUGUAGAUUGUGUAGCAUUAUCACCUACUGGUGGAAUGGUAGUGGGCAUCACAAUAGCUGCAGGCCUUAUAUCAGCUGUUGAGGCACUUGCAGGCCUCACACCACCAACUGAUGCAGCAUUUGCAGGCCUCUUGCAGCUCUUAGUGCACUGUGAGCAUUUGCAGGCCUUUUUGCACCUCUUGGUGCACUAUGAGCAUUUGUAGGCCUUCUGUUGCUUGAUUUAGCAUUUGUAGGCAUCUCUUCAGCUGUUGAGGCAUUUGCAGCUUUCUCAACAGCAGCUGCAGCUGCAGUACUAGUGUUGGCUUGCACAUUUGGUUGACUUCCACAACUACUACUGAAAUCUUUUUUCUACAAAAAAAUAUGUAAAGGUCAAAAACACAUUUAAAAAGAGUAAAAUUCAUCAAUAAGAAAAGAUUUAGCUUACCAAAGUUGGACAUCCUUUCGUGUUGUGUCCAAUAGACUUGCACAUAGAAGAUGUCAUUUUUCUUUCCUUUCUUGUAGCCUUUCGAAAUCUUUUCUUAACAGGUUUACCCUUAGCUUUCUUCUUAUUUUUACCUGGCCUUCCUGGUAUGGGAGUAAUCUCAGGUGGCUCAAUUGGUGGUCUUGUACUUCUUGGCCACAUCUUAAUAUUUGUCAUUGGUUGAAUAUACUUAUCAUAUGCCUUUAGGUAUGUUUCCCUUUGAUACCAGCGAUCAACAAAUGACUCUAUAUUCCAUCCCUUGUAAUGCAUUGCAGCAAUUGCAUGUGCACAAGGAAUUCCCUUUAGUUGCCACGACCUAUAACUACAUUGCUUCCUCUUCACAUUAACAAUAUGUAUAUAAGGUGGAUCACCAAUCUCAAAGCCCAUAUCACCAUUAAACCUUACCUCACACUUGGCUGCAUAUUCACCAUUCUCUCUGUAAGAACGUCCAUAGCCAUUGAUGAUACAUCACUAUCUAUUUUUCAAAAAAAAAUCUCGUUUGCUUUCCAUUACUUUGCAUCUUAUUUCCUCCAACAUAGUGAUAAUUGUUUUGAACCUAGUACCUAAAAUCCAACUAUUGAAAGUCUCACACAUGUUGUUCUCAACCACAUCACACCUAUUAUGUUCCUUAAAAAAGGCCCUACACCAUGCCUCUUUGUUGUACUUGAGCAAAUCUUCCACAAUUCCAACACCCAACUCACUCAUUCCAUUAAGUUUUUGUUGCAAAUAAAAUUUAAAUGGGGCCCAUGCAACCUGCCGAAAAAAUUUUCUCCUUUUCUUCACCACUCCAAACCUGCUUCUAGUUGUCCCAUAUAUGUCUAGCACACCAUCUAUGCUCAAUAUUUUGGCAGUAGAUUAGUAAGUGCCAAAUGAAGAUCCUAUCAAAACAUGUAAAAUAGUAGUCAAACAUUAAUGACAUCACUGCAGCAAAUAGAAAAAAAUAACUGAAAAAUAUGAAACUUCAUACCUACGCAGACAUUACUGUCAAGCCUUCACCCCUAUUUUCUUGAAGUUCAAAAUCAUGGCUGAUGAAUCUAAGAAACCAAGACCAUGUGUCCUUGGUAUCUUUAUCAACCACAGCCCAUGCUACAGGGUACAUUUGAUUAUUUCUAUCUAUGGAAAUGCAAGACAACAAGAUAACUUUACAUACACCCUUGAGAAAGGCACCAUCUAAACUAAUUAUUCUUCUGCAGCCCUCUUUCUAUCGAUUUUUUAAGGCCCCAAGACAAAUGUAAAUGUCCAUUAACACCUCUUUUCCUAGAAUUGCAUUCUUGGAUGUCCUAAUAGAUACAGUGGUACCAGGAUUGGUGGUCUUCAACUGUUCAGCAUAGUCAUACAACCUAGCAAACUCUUUAACAAAAUCACUAAAAUGUUCAUUCAGAAUUUUGAUUUUUACCUUUCUACAGGUUGUUUUACUAACAUUUAAACCACAGUCCUUUCUUAAAAGUGCUUGAAUCUGAUAUAAUUUUAUUGAUGGAUCACUCAUAAUCCUAUCCUUGUAAUGUUUACUAAUCCACAAAGGGUUACACAUCUUAUUUCUUGUCCUUUUAGAACACUUGUGUACAAGAAAGUAAGUUUUCACACUAAAAUUUCCUGUGUUAUCAACAGUUUAAAGAAUAACCCAAGGACAAUUAUGCUUACACUUUGCCCUUACCCUUUCCUUCUCAUUAGGUUUCAACUUAAGGUUCACAACUUUUUAAAUAGAGUAACUCUGCAGUGCCUCUCUAAACUCAACAACAUUAAAAAAAACAUAUACAACUUAAAACAUACCUUCUUUGUAGUUUUAUCAAAGUAGAUCUUGCUAAAUGAAGUUCUAGGUAGUGGAUCUACCACUUCAUCAUCAUCAACAGGAUCUCCUUCCUCUUCAUCACUAAUUUCACUACCCGAAUCUGAACUAUCAAAAUAAAGGUCAUUCCCACUCAGUUUACCUUCAUACUAACCCCCUUGUUCUUAUAAAUAUCAUCAAAACCAGCAUCUAUACCUACUGGUCCAGUGGUAUCUCAUCUAGAUUCACCCUAUCAACCUUUUCUUUUGCUUGUUUUUCAAUGUUAGACUUCCUAGAUUGAAGCAACUCUUGGUCAAAAUCACUCAACUCUUCAAUGUUUUCAUCAGGAUCAUAAAGUUAAUCACCAUCAGAAUCAGUAAUAUCAAAAUCUAAUUCAGAAUCAGAUGUUUGAAGAUAGUAUGUGGAGAAAUCAUUAACUUGACCUUCACCUAAGUCUUCUAAAGAAACCUUAGCUUUUCAUUUGUCUGCCCUUGCAGGCUGAUUUUCAUUUAUAUACUCAUCUUCAUUUAUAUCCAAUGGAUGAGAUGAAGACACGUCAGCCCUAUCAGUUUCAAAAGGGGCUGCCACAUCACUAUUACUAAGUAGUAAUAAUGGUGGAGUGGCUGCCACAUCAUCAUUAAAAACUAUAGGUUCACUAAUUUUGUGUACAACAUAUACAUCAACAAAAUCUCCAUGUUUUAAACUAACCUGUAAUAAUAGCCCUUUUUGUUUACUCUACACCAAAAGGUUUCAACUUUUUUCACAUCAAAAUCUGCUGCUAAGUUAUGAAACAAUAUAAUAUAAAUCUCAUCAACAUCUACUCUAAUUUUAUCAGGAAUACGAACUCCAUUUGCAUACCUUAGAUCAGGGUCUGACAAAAAGACCCCACCCACCCCCACCCACCCCAUAAGAGAAUUGAAGUGUUACAAUUAUGUCCAUUUAUUUAGAAAAUUUGUACAAUGAGAAGAUAACAUAUACAUUAGUCAAUUAUCCACAAAGCCCUAAUUUUUAAAGAAAAAAUAAAGGAGUAAAAAAAUCAAUUAUGAUUUUACCAAAAAAAUCCUAAAAUGUAAUCGAAAUAACAAAACAUGCCAUUGAAGGAACAAAACUGCUAUACACACGUUUAAUAGGAGCAUUAAACAACGAAAAAAAUUAAAAACCCAAAAAAUUUCGAACCCAAUUCUGAAUUUACCAGAAAAAAAUCCAAAUCGAAAUAACAAAACAUGUCAUUGAAGGCACAAAACUGAAAUAUAUAGGUAAAAUAGGAGUAUUAGACAACAAAUAAACCAAAAGAUCCAAAAUUUUUGGACCCAAUUACCAUUUUACGAAAAAAUCCUAAAUUCUAAUCAAAAUUCCAAUAUAUGUCAUUGAAGGCAUAUCACCACUACAAAUACUACCUACAACAACACUACAUACAAAACAGAGCAAAAACACCCGAAAGAUUAAAGGAAAAAGUUCAUAAUCGCGAAAACCCUAAAACCACUAAAACGGAAUCCAUUAAAUCGACAAGAAGCGUCAAAAUAAACUGUGAAAUACUACAACUACCCCAAAAUAUUAAAUACUUACACGGAUUGCAACAACCAUCAACAAUAAUCGGCCUAAAUUAAGUUAAAUCGGGGUAAUUUUGAAUUUGAGAUGAUAGAGACGAAGGACGAAGAAGAAGGGUCUCAAAUGACCUAAUGUUUUGGUCCAACUUUACUAUUUAUACUCUAGACACGUCAUUUCCUAUGUGGAAAUUAUUUUACAAAUAUUUGAUGGCGUGUUCACAUUUGUGCAACACAUUCAACUGAGUAGAUCGACAAAGGGUUUAAAAUGUUGCUUUUUAGUGGGUUCAAGGGUCCAGACGACAAACAUGUAAGUAGAAGUGUCCACAUUACAAAACGGACAUAGUACAAGGGUCCAUUGAACCAUUUUACCUUUUUUUUCUUUUCACUUUAUUUUCACUCUUCUAUUUCUCUUCUCUUUUAUCCCUUUUCAUUUUCUUUCUUUAAUUUUCUUUUCCUUUCUCAUAUUUUUCUUUUUCUUGUCUUAUUUUCGUUUUCUUCUUCUUUUUUCUAUUUUUAUUUUUUAUUUCUUUUGUAUUUAAGUAAAAUGUUGUUAUAUAAAUACAUAUAUACAAAUUGAAUAGUUGUUCCUAUUUAACUCUUAUCAGUUAGAGUUAAAUAGGGUAAGUAAUCGUCCCUUAAUUCAUGCUACUUUUAAUUAUAAAGAUUCCUUUUCCGUAUAUGACUCUUCUAUUUCUCCUUUUUUUUUUCUUUUUUUUUCUUUUUUUUUCUUUCUCAUAUUUUUCUUUUUAUUUUCCUAGUUUCGAUUCUUUUUUUAUCAUUUUAUUUUUUUAUUUUGAUUUCUUUUUCAUUUCCUUUUUUUUCCUUUCCACUUUAUUUUCACUCUUCUAUUUCUCUUCUUUUUUAUCCUUUUACGAUUUUUUUUUUAUUUUUUUUCUUUUUUUUCCUUUCUCAUAUUUUUCUUUUUUUUCCUAUUUUUGUUUUUUUCUUCUUUUUUUCUUUUUUUUUUUUGCUUUUAUUUUUACACUUAUAUUUCUAGCUUUUAUUUCUCUUUCUUCUUUUUUAUCGUUUUUCACUUCUUUUUCUUCGAAUUUUUCUUUUUUGUUUUUUUAUUUUUUUUACUCUUUUAUCUCUUGCUUUUAUUUUUAAAAGACACAUAUCUAUAUCACAUAUACAUAUUCUAAAAAUAUACAAAAUACAUGGACAUACAGAUCUGCAUAUGUAUUUACAAUACAAUAUAUAUAUAUAUAUAUAUAUACAUAUAUAUUUGCAUAUGUAUCUACAUAAAUUAAUAUUUGAGUAAUAUGUAUAUAUAAACAUAUAGGACACAAAAUCUCUAUAACAAAAAGUGACAUAAUACAUUUGCCUAAUUGCGCUUGAACUACAGAUUUGUUGUACAUGAUGUAGACAUCAACGCGCUACGUCUUCUCCACUUUAUCAGUUUUCAAUAUUUUUUCACCAAUACAAUCAUAUUAAAGAUUUCAAAUGAUUCCAUUAAGUCAAUUUCAAAUUUCAAGUCCAUUCUUAUCACUCCAAAAGUUUUCAAAUUCAAUUUCAAGUUUCAAACUUUGAAUUCUGUUGAGUUUAUGAAGAAAGUUUUUUCAAAUUAUUGAAUGAAAUCUUUCAUUAAUUUUUCAUUGAAACUCGAAAGAGUUAAUUAGCGAGUUCCAUUAAUAGAAGAUUCAAUGAAACUUCCUAAUUGAAUAGAACUCGCUAAUUGAAAACUCAAUGUAAGAUUCAACUUUUAUUAAUGGAACUCGGAAGAUUCAAAAAAUUUAAUUUCAUGUAUAAAGACAAAAAUAAGGACUGUACAUGUAUGAGGCUAUUCAAUCUUCCGUUAAUGAAACUCGAAAGAUUCAAUUUCCAUUAAUGAAACUCGAAAGAUUCAAUUAGCGAGUUUUCAAGUUUGAAUCUUCCAUUGAGUUUCAAUUAGAGAGUUCGAAGCGGAAUCUUCAAGAAUUCAAUUUCAAUUCAACAAUGGAGCAAAUUCAAUUUCAAUUCAACAAUGGAGCAAUCAUUGUUUCAAUUCAACAAUGGAGCAAUCAUUGUUGAAGAAAAGAAAGAAAGAAAGAAAGAAAGAAAGAAAGAAAGAAAGAAAGAAAGAAAGAAAGAAGAAAGAAGAAAGAGAAUGAAAAAAUAAAUAAAAAUAUAAAACUUUAAAUAAUUAUAAAAUUAAGGGGUUGUUUGAUAAAAAAAAUAGUUUUAUAAUGUUUUUAACAUUGUUCACGCGCUCAAUGCGCGUAACUAACACGCAAUGUGCCAAGUGGAAGAUAUAUGUCAUUAAAAUACGAAAAAAAAAAGUCUGGGGGGUAAUAGGACCCCCGCUAAGUUCAGUAUGCUCAACUGGUAAUUCGGUCAAACUUCAGGUAUUUUUGUGAGUAUUCUCCCUAUAUAUAAAUAUUUAUAUAUAUAUAUAUAUGCAUAUGUAUUUACAGGAAUACAUAUCUGACUCGUAUAUAUAUAUAAUCAUAUAGGACACAAAUUCUCUAUAACAAAAAGGAUAACUAUAUACAUAUACAUAUAGGUAAUCAUGAAAUAGAUGAUACAUAUUUAAAACAAUAAAGAAUACAAAUAAGUAUACAUGUUACCUUCUAAAAUGAAAUAGAACAAUUCAAAGACAAAACCAACACCGUACAAAAAUACAUAUGGAUAUGCAUUUGUAUAUACAAAAAGGACAACUAAAUACAUAUGCAUAUAGGUAAUCAAAAGAUGCAUAAUACAUAUCUUAAACGGUAAAAAAUAUAAAUAAGUGCAUAUGUUACCCUCUAAAAUGAUAUAGAACAGUUCAAAGACAAAUCCAAUACCGUACAAAAUACAUGUAGCUCUGCAUAUGUAUUUACAGAAUACAUACCUCAUUCAUAUGUAUAUUCUUGUUUUAUAUGAGUCACCUUUGUAUUUCGCAAAUACAUAUGAAGAUAUAUAGUAUAGUUAUAUUUGUUACUGUUUAAUAUGAAUAUGAUAUAUAUUUCGUAAAUGCAUAUCAGAGUCAUAUUUGUAUUUUUUAUAGUAAUAUACAUAUGGAUCAGACAUGUAUUCUGUAAACACAUAUGCAGAGUUAUAUGUAUUUUUUGUAAUGUAAUACAUUAUGUAAAAGAAAACAUAUGAAUAUUAUGUAUUUUGUAUUAUAUUUUUAUGAAAAGUACAUACAAUGCAGAUAAGUAUUUUAUAUUUUGUAUAUAUAAAUGCAUAUCUAUAUGUAUUUUUGUACAGUGUUGGAUUUGUCUUUGAACUAUUCUAUGUAAUUCUAGAUGGUAACAUAUGUAUUUAUUUGUAUUUUUUAUUGUUUAAGAUAUGUAUAAUGUAUUUUUUGAUUAGCUAUAUGUAUAUCCUUUUUGUUAUAGAGAUUUUGUGUCAUAUAUGUUUAUAUAUACAUAUGAGUGAGAUAUGUAUUUUUGUAAAUACAUAUCCAGAUACAUAUGUAUAUUUUGUACUAUAAAUACAUAUCCAGAUCUGUAUGGCUAUGAAAGUAAAAAAUGAGAAAAAAAAAAUAGAAAAAUAAAAAAAUAAAAAGAGAAAUAGAAGCUAGAAACAGAAGUGUAAACACCAAAGAAACAAAAAAUAGAAGAAAGAAGAAGAAAAUAGGAAAAGAAAAAAGAUAUGAGAAAGGAAAAAAAAAGGAAAAAACAAUUAGAAAAAAAAAUGGAAGGGAGAAAAUAAAGUGGAAAGAAAAAAAAUAAAAAAUAAAAAGAAAUCAAAAUAAAAAAAAUAAAAUGAUAAAAAAUAAGAUUAAAAAAACUAACAAGCAAAAAAAAUUAGAGAUAUAAGAGAUUGAAAGAGAGAAAAAAACAGUAAUGGUGUUUUAUUUCAAAAUUUUGAAGAUUAUGAAGAUAAUUAUCUUCAAAUAUGGGAAACUAAAAAAAACGAAAAAGAAAAAAAUAAAGAAAAAAACGAAAAAGGAAAAAAGAAGAGAAAUAGAAGAGAGAAAAUAAAGUGGAAAGAAAAAUAUGAAAAAAAGAAAAUUAAAAAAAAAAUAAGAUUAAAAAAAAGGAUAAAUGAUAGGCUAUAUUAGAGGAAAGUGAAAUAGUGGAGGAAAAAUAGAAAAAGUUAAAGUAGUGGAAGUAAAAUAUGCGCUUGACUAGUUAAUAGGCAAAAUAAUGUUAUUCUGGCUAUAAACUGUAAUUUUGCAAAACCGUUGCUAUUUAUUGUAAUUAUAGUAUUAAGUAUGCUACUUUCUGUAAUUUUCAAUUUCAAUAUUACUAAUCUCAUAUACACCCGAUGUAUACAUAAAACGCGGUAAAAGUAACUCUAGUAACAAUAUUGUCACAAACAAAUUUGAGUUCCCAUCGAAAUGUAUCCUAUUAUGAUCGUAGCCAAAUUAAUUCAAUAGGAGAUGAAUGAAAGAAUUCGUAUUUUAUUUUGAAUAAUCAAUAUUCCAAUAAGUCAUAGAUUGUUGGAGAAAUGAUCCAUUUACUUAGUAGGCAUUUCGCCAUGACAAUUCUUACACUUUUUUUUCAAGAAAUUAUUUGACUUUAGUGAAAAAAGUAAAACUAAUUGCGUUUGACUAUAAGAAUUAUUUCACUCUUCCCUAAACAAGAUUUACACGUAAGAAGGAAUAUAAAUAAACAUAAAUUGAGUUGUGCUUUAUCUAUAUGGCCCUAAUCAUAAUAAACCCAAAAAGGAAAUCUUUGUUUAGAUUUGGUUCACUGUAUUGGAGGACAAGUGCACAAAUAAUCAAUUUUGGACUAUCAUUUAAAUCAUAGCCAUUAUACAUACAAAAAAAAUGUAAAUAUAACCGCUUCAAAACCAAAUUAAGGUAUAUGUGAUCGAAGUUGCAAAAAUUCGAGUUUGAACUAACAUCAAAGUUCUAACAUUUUUACUUAAAAUUUGGCUUGUCAUGAUCAAACUCUUGAUAUUUUCCCCCCAAGUUUGGUUGGCAAAGGCCCAACUACCAACAUUUAUGUCUGAAGUUUGGUUGGUCAAGAUAGUUGGUGUUGUAGUGGCUAACACAAUAAUGAUGGUGAUGAUUGUGAUAAUGAAUUUGAUUUGAUGUUAGUAGUUGAUGAUUUGGUGGUGGAUGUCGCUGAAAAAUGUGUGGUGGUUUACGAUGAGUGUUGGUGGAUGUUGUAGGUAUUAGGAAUUGGCCUUAGUGACAAUAGUAACUGAUAGAAAUAGCAAAGGUGGCGAUAGAAAGUGUGAUAGCAUAAAUAAUUAUAAUAAUUGAUAUGUAGACAUGAUAGCACUAAGGGAUCGUUGGGUUGGGAAAGAGCUAUCUCGGGAUAAUUAAUCUUGAGUUAUCCCACCACGUAUAUAGGAUAACGUAUCCCAUCACUAUGAUAUAAUUGAUGGGAUAAAUAUUCCGAGACUAACUAAUACCUCCAACAAAAUACAGGAUAAAACAAUCCUGCAUUUUAUCCCGGGACAAUUAUACUUUAUACCUCACACCAAACGAUCCCUAAAAAUAGUAAUCGAUAAUGAUUAUGAUUAUUAAUAAUAGUUGUGAGGACAUAGAUGAUUGACACUAAUGGUAGUAAUUGCGAUGGUAGACGUGGUUAGAGAUGGAGACCGACAGAUAUGGAUAUACUAGUUGUAGAAAUUAUUUAUAGAAAAAUAUAUUCUAGUAAUAUGAAAACUUAGGGGUCGUUUGGUUGGAAACAAGUUAUCCCAAGAUUACUUAUUCCAUCGUGUAUAUACAACAACAUACCCAGUAUAUUCCCAUCAAAUGGGAUAUGAGGAAGGUAAGUGUACACAGUCUAUACCACUAUCUUAGAGGUGAGAUAGAGAGGUUGUUUUUUAUAGACCCCACUCUUAUCCCAUCGUGUAUAUGAGAUAACUAAUGAUAUAAAUGGUGUGAUUAUUACAAAACUAACUAAUAUCUUCAACCAAAUGCAACAUAAAAUAAUCUUGCAUUUUAUCUCGUGACCUAACAAAACAAGGCCAAAGUUAAAGAUUCAAAUUUAGAGGCUUAUUUAUUCAAAGUAGAAAAUUAGGGGCAAUUAAAUCAAACAAUUUACAAAUGUUACGACAAAAAAAAAGCAAAUUAAAGGUAAAAAAAGAACAACUUCGAGUUUCUAAUCUCCGGGUCUUCAUUUUCCUUCUAGAGAUUCAGGUACCACCAAACAAGUCCUAAUUUUUCUUCUUUUUUUCACGUAUUUUUUGGGAAAAUAUGCAAAUAAAUUUGUUUAUUCUUUCUUUGUUAAAUUUUUCCAUACUAGUAUUAUUUUUGUUUGAGAUUUUUUUUUUUUUUGAGGACUUUUGAGUAAGGUUAGCUAUUGAUUUACUUUCAUCGCCGUAUUGUGUACAACUCGACUAAUUCCAAGGAAUAUUUGCCAACCUGCACCACAACCAAUAGGUAAUCAGGUAACUCUGUCCAUCAAGGCUAAGUGUUUUUGUCUUUGUGGGAAUUUGAACGUGAGACCUCAUAUUUCUCAACUACUUGAUUACCACUAGGCUACCAUAAGCUAGUUAUAGUGUCUUUGGAUGGAUGGUUGAGUAUCCUUUUGGUUUUAGUAGAUUUUGGCUCAAGAAUUUAUUUAUUUUUAUAAUCGUGAUGUCCGGUAUAGUAUGUGCACACCUUGAUGAAUCCAUGGGAAAUUUGCUGACUUCUAGUAGAAGUAGCAGUUAACUCUGUCUAUUAAGGCUAGAACAAAUAGAAAGAAGUCACCCUAGUGUUUGUCUUUUCUGAGAAUUGAACCUGAGACCCGAUGGUACUAAAUCCAAUUUUAUUGAACCACUAAGCCACAUGCUUGGGUGCUCAAGAAUCUUUUAUGCAAGUGUAAUUUUUGUUCAAGCAAUCUUUUAUGAAAAAUCCUACAUUGUUCAAGCAUAGCCAUAUCAGAGCUCGCCCUCAACGCCCCCCUAAGACCCUAACCACAUUAGACCCCAAACCACUCCUCCUCUCAACAAAACAUAACAAAGCAUCAAUAUUCUUUCCAUUCCUCACAAACCUAACAAUCAUCGACGAAAAACAGAUCUCAUCUCUCACAAACAUUUUAUUUUAAAAAUACAAUGACACUCAAAAUAGGCUCUUUGAUACAUGCAAAUACUUGUAAAAGGCAUGCUAGUAAAAACUAUAUCAAAGUUAAAAGUAGAGCUGUCAAUACAAGUCGGCUCAGUCCAUCCGGGCUAGCCCAUACGGGCUUUUGAGUUUGACAGGUCAGGCCGACCUGGCCCAUCAACAUGACAAGCCAGAUAGCAAGCCCAACCUUCUCUGUGGGCUGCGGGCCUCCACGGGUUUGUCCAUUUUUUAAAAAUAUCUUAUUUUUAUAAUUUAAAUUUAAAAUUAUUAAUUACAUAAAUUUUUACAAUAAAAUAUUACAAGAAGUUACUACUUGUUAAUAUAGUCUCAAAUUUAUAAAAAAAAAAAAUAUCCUAAUAAUCUGUGAAAUUAAAUAACUUUUGACACCACAUUCAAACCAAAUAGAGAUGUUAAAAAACAAACGAAACUGUUGUUGACACUCAAUUUUCGCUCUCCGUACUUAAAAUUAACGUCUUCAGGCUUCCUGACCGUUAAAGGACACAAAAUACAAUUUUCACAUAUUUUUUACAAUUCCUAAUAAAUUAUUGAUAUUCAUUCUUACUUUAGGAUUUUAUCAAUUUAUUUUUAUAUUUUACUUUUUAUAAUUUAUUAAUAAUUCUAUGUACAUUAGGAUUUUUAUCAAUUCAUUAUCGUUUUAAUAGUUUACAAUUAUCUGCACACGUGCACGACAUGACGUCAUAGUUUUUACAGUAUUUUCAAUAAUUUUAAUAUUCUUUACAUUUUUUCUGUAAUUACAUAUCAAUACUUGCAUUUUUGUAUAUUUUAUAACAAUCCACAAAAGUUGAAUCGAGUCAACUAUUUUAAUACAUAGAGCAAUAAAUCAGUCAAGUCAAAGUCUCGUCAUCAUUAUGACACUUAACUUUUCUUUCACCUACUAUCCAUAAUUUAAGGGAUAUGUUGGGAAGAAAGUACAUUUGAUGUUUAUUUUUUAUUAUUAUUUUUACUUUUUAAUACUCAUUCACACCACACACAUUCACAAAAACACACACAUUUUUAUUCUUCAACUCUCUCAAAAUAUCCACACAUAUUUUUCUCCUCUUUCUCCUCUCCCUCAAACACAAAAAAUUUUAGACAUCUUUUCCCUUUAUCUCACACACACACAUUUUUUUACCAAUUACACAUUUCAUUCUUCUUCCUCCCCUCUCUUAAAAUAUAAAUUUCUUUUUAUAUAUUUUAUUUUAUUUCCAAAAAUACAAUACAAACAUAUUUUUUCUCUUCUCACAUACAAAUACAUAAAUAAAAUACACAUUCACAAAUGCAUUUACACAUUUUUCGUCCUCACAUAUUUUUCUUUCUCUCUAAACACACAUUUCUUCACUACACACACAUUCUUCACCACACAUAUUUUUAUCAUACACAAAUUUUGUUCAUCUUUUUCUUUUUCUCAAAAACACAUACAUAUACUCAAACACAUGGUCGAUGAAAUUAUCUCUCCGUCGGAUAUUUGAAGCCACCCCACUAUAAAAGACAGAUUUUACUUUCUCAAAUUUACUAUUUUAUAUCAAAGAUCAACACAUGGCCAAUGAAGAAACGCCCGUAAGUUUUUGAGGCUUUCACAAAUAAAAAGGCGGAUUUUACGUAUACAAAUACGUAAAAAAAAAUAUCUUUAGGCGAUGAUGAAAUCUUUAUAAUAUUUUAAAACUUUAUCUGAGCCCACUUUUUUACAAAAAUUAUAUUUUUAAAUAUGUAUAUGUACACAUAUUUUUUAAUUUAUUUUUAUUAUUAUUUAUUUGUUACUAACAUUUUUAUUACAAGUGUUUAUACAGGUUAUUGGGAAUCAUUAUCGGAAAUGACAGUCAAAGAAGACUUUAAUUUAUGUGUUUAUAAUUUUUAUAUUCUUGCACUUGUACAAAUGCUAAUCAUAGUGAAAGUUUUAUUUUUGGGGUGUUGGGCGGGAUAUUUUUUAUUUAAUCUUCACCACGCAUUUAGGCAAAUUUAGGCCAUUAAUAUUUAUAUAAAAAUAUUAGAUUGACUUAGAUUAUUUAAUCAAACAAUUUAUACUUUUGACACUAAAAAAUAUUACGUAGUUUUUUUCUUUAGAACAAGUUUUUCUUUACAUACAUAUACUAAUGUACUUUUGUUUCUAUUUUUUACGACAAAACAUAUAUAUUAUUUUGAUACACUUACAUAAAAGAAUCAAGUUAAUCAAGUAAUUCAUAUAUUAUGUAGUCUUUGCUUCUCAAAUAUGCUUUACUUUUCUCCGUAAUUUUAAUCAGAUAAAAAAUAUUACUGAUAAAUAUUUUUUCUUUUCAUGGCACAUCAAAAUACAUUUUUUUUCAUACAUCAUAAAAUACUUUAACUCUUCACAUGAAUUUAUACAUUUUUAUACAUGUCUUUUACAUAUUUUUAUAACAAUAUGUUUUAUUUAUAUAUUUAAUAUACAUAUGUCUUUUCAUGGUUUUAAAACAUUUAUAUUUUUUCAAAAGAAUUAUUUUAUACUUGAUACUUACACUUUUUACAUUAUUUUAGAUAUACCUCCUUCUCUUUGAUAAAUUUAGUUUAGCCGGGUACCACAUUUGUGGAUCCUGAAGGUGCCUAACCCCUUUCCUUCUGGAUAAUUUGAACCCUUACCGAGAAUCUCAAUUGAUUUUUUGCAGACUGAAACAUAAAUCACACGUGUUAAUAAUUCAAAAGGUUUCCUUAUUUUCCUUAAAAAUUAGGUGGCGACUCUGUACAAAUUUUAAUUCUUUUUAGAGUCCAUAAGUCGUGCUUGUUUAACCAUGAAAAAAAUUGAGCAUAACUGAAUGGCGACUCCGCUGGGGAUAACAGCAGUUUCUAACCAUGAUAGACUCAAUUUUUCAAUUGAGGGAGGUAUUUUUACAUUUUUUUAUAUAUAUUAAUUCUUUGAUUCUUUAUCUAUUUCACAUUGCAAAUUGUGUAUACUUUUUCAUAAAUUUUUUACAUUAUUUGCGCAAAUUAAAUUUGUUGCCUUAUCAAUUUUUUUAUUAUUUAUUAUUUGUUUAAUACACUGUAUUUGUAUAUUGUAAAAACUAUUACACAUUAUUCUUUACUUCAUUUGAUCAUAAAUCACAAUGCCAUUGAGUAUUUGGUCGUACACUUCACACACUGUGGUUCACAGUGGGAGUGUCUUACACUCCCCCAAACCUUAUUUGAAUUCCAUAGUUUUAGAGUCGGUGCAUUUAGGUUAGUGCGCCUUCUCGUAAUCAUUCAGUCCUACUCUCAACCAUUUAGGAAAGUUCCUAUUCUAAAAAUUGAUCACACCAUGUACAAACUAACAAAUUGGUUUGAGCUACGUUUUGACCUAAUUCUUUCCCUGACAAGAUACGUAGACAACCCUACAUAAGGGUUCGAUCUCUUCACUGUUUCAAAAUAAUUUCUCUGGAAUUCAACUGGGGCAAUUUUUUCAAAACAGUUCAAAGAUGCUCUCCAAGAGCGUAAAUUUCCAAUAACACUAGUGCCUAGCCGGCCUACCUCCAAAUCCUCACCCAAUUUUAAUUCGAGGACACCUAGCUUCUUCUCUUGAACAUUGUAAAUCAUUAAAUUUACGACGUAUCGAUCCCCACUUUCAAAGCAAGGGUUCAAUAGUCUUUCAUUCAUAAUAAUUCUGCCAACUGUGGCGAAAUAAUGUCAUAAUUUCUUCAAUGUCUGACUUUCUCAAUCUUGUCAGCAUACCGAAGUUGCUUCAAAACUCUCUUCAUGAUUGACAUCCUUUCUCUCGGUCAUCUGAUUAAAAUAAUUUUGAUGCUAUAAGAAAUUUCUUUCUAAUUAUCUUUUACAUCAUAUUCAAGGAUGAUCAUUGGUCUUAUACAUUCAUACAUUCUACAUACAAAUUUAUAAAUUUGCUUGAACUACGCAGACCUGAUUCUUGUUUUCACAAGAUACGUAGGCAACUCUCAUUCGGGUUCGGUCUCAUUCUUUUUCUCAAAUAAAUAAAAAUUUAGAAUUUUAUUUGGUUGGUACUAACACAGUUAGGAGUGUGGAUGAGAAAGAGAACUGGUAUAAUAGAGAGGCCCGACUUCAUGGUAAACCAUAGAUUCAUUUGGUACCUUUUAAUCAAACCUGAGUAACACUAGAAAGUUCUCUUGCAUACAUCUAAGACAAGAACUAAACCAACCUCUUCGUUUCAAGUGCAUUGUGUGGUAAGAUUUAGACUAGUUAAUUGCAUUGCAUUGUUGAUCCAAAACUUGGCCUGAAUGUCUGUUGAGAUGAAAUUCUGAGUUACACUUAGUUUGGGAAAGGAUUGUAGGCCUUCUUUGACCCGAUUGUGCCUUUCACAGCCUACCAAAUGAUAUCAAUCCUUAGUAUUCCCUCCUUUGAGCUUGAAACCUUUUCUUUGGAUAACCACAUUUGAGCCUAUACCUUUUGAGUGCUUACAUGCACUAUCCCUCUUUUGGCCUACCUCCUUGAGCGCAUUAAGUACGUGUAAGUUGCGAAUGAAGAUUCAAGAUCAAAGCUUCUAAAGGCAAAGGACUUAUAGUCCCAGAAGAACAAAAACAAAAGAUGACUUUAAAGAAAAGAAGGAGAAGAAACCCCCUACAAAAAAAGAGAUAACUCCGACAAAGGUGAAGAAUCAUCAUCACCCAAAAUAAAAUAUAUCCAAAAAAAAAGGGAAAAACUCUGGUACAAGAUUCAAAUGAAGUCGAAUCAAUUACCAAACAAGGGGCAAAAAGCAUAACAAAGAAAAUCGAACGUCAAAAUGCAGUAAAUAUCAAAAGCACAAAUACAGUGUAACACUCAUUGAGAAAUUAGUCACUUUCAACUCAAAUAUCAUCCUACCCAUCCCCAAGCCUACAUUACAAGACAAUAAAAAGUCCUACAAGAUCCCUACUCUAAGUAUUCUCACAUUAGUGGAUACUUAUAUGAAGGCCAAGCCUAUGGUAUCACAAUUGCAUUCAUUGAAUUUUUUUUUCUGAGUGUGAGGCUAUAUCUCUAGACGUCUCCAAAUUCAAAAGAAAAAUAGCAUUCAAAUAAGUGUGAGAAUGAGACAUUCUUUCUGGAGAGCACACUUGAAACAUGAGAACAGACACAACCCAAAAUCUUUACUGGAAGCAAGAUGAACAAAUCGUGUUGAUACUUAGGUAUGUCUGAGGUACUAUUUGAAGCUAUAGGAGUUAUCCUGAAGUCAAUCUCGGUUAGCUGGACGAGAUGGGGAAAUUCUUAUACACACUACUAAUUGUUGGUACCAACUACAGUCAAGGCACGAUUAUGCUUUUUUCUAACUUUCAACAUUUCUUACAAAAGAAAAUACAAAAUAAUUUUGUUUCACUGAUCAACACUUUUUACAAGGAAAACAUAAAAUAAUUUUCUACAAUUUUCACCUAUCAACAUUCCUCACAAAGAAUAACACAAAACAAUUUUCUACAUUUUUCCACUUUCAACAUUUCUUACAUAGAAAAUACAAGACAAUCUUCUGCAUUUUCACCUUUUCGCAUUUUCCACAAAGAAAACACAAAGCAAUCUCCCACAUUUUUCAUCUUUCAACACAUUUUUUACAACAAAACUGCAAAAAAUAAUUUUCUUUCCUUUCAAACACAUGUCAUCACAUACCUGCAUUACACUUUACAUGCAAGAAACCCACCUCCAAAUACAGACGAUUAACGUUUCUUUUCAAGUUCUCACAUUCAAACACAAACAUUUUACUUUUCUAUUUGGUGUUUUCCUUUCAAUAUUGCUUCUACCUUUUCAUAGCCCCGCUAGUCGAGAGGAUAUUACCUUUCAAUUGCUCCGCCAGUCGAGAUCUUCUUUAUUUCAGUUGCCUCACUAGUCGAGAGGUUAUUAUAUUUUACUCUUCCAGUUGAGAACUCGUUAGUUUCAACAACCUCAAUAGUCGAGAGGCUAUUACCUUCUAGUUGUUCCACCAACCGAGAGGCCAUUAGAAUUUGAUUUCCUUACCGGUUGAUGACCUCAGUCUUCAUAGACAAUUGAGGACGACCAUUAACAUUAGUCUCCAUAGAUAAUUGGAGACGUCAUCAAGUCUUCGUAGACAAUCGAAGACAUCAUCAUUCAACAUUCAUCUCCAUAGACAAUUGGACAUGUCGUCAAGUCUUCAUAGACAAUCAAAGACAUCAUCAUUCAACAUCCAUCUCCAUAGACAAUUGGAGAUGUCAUCAAGUCUUCGUAGACAAUCGAAGACACCAUUCAUCACAUUAGCCUCCAUAGACAAUUGUAGGUGUCAUGCAUCUGUCUUCUAAAUAAUCGAAGAUGUCACAUAGUCUCCGUAGACAAUCGGAGAUGACAAUCCACUAGCCUCCAUAGAUAAUUGGAGGUGUCAUACAUCAAGUCUUCAUAGACAACUGAAGACAUGAUCAUUCAAUAUCUAUCUCCGUAGACAAUUGAAGAUGUCAUCAAGUCUUCGUAGACAAUCGAAGACACCAUUCAUCACAUUAACCUCCAUAGACAAUUGGAGGUAUCAUGCAUCUGUCUUCGUAAAUAAUCGAAGACGUCAUAUCAGUCUUCGUAGAAAAUCAAAGGCAACAAUCAACACCAACCUCUAUAGACAAUUAAAGGUGUCAUGCAUCAAGUCUUCGUAUACAAUCGAAGACAUCAUCAUUCAUCACAUCAGUCUCCGUAGACAAUCGGAGACAAAAAAUCCACACCAACCUCCAUAGAUAAUUGGAGGUGUCACACAUCAAAGUCUUCGUAUACAAUCAAAGACAUUCUCAUUCAACAUCAGUCUCCAUAGACAAUCCGAGACAACAAUCCACACCAGCCUCCAUAUAUAAUUGGAGAUGUCAUGCAUCAAAGUCUUCAUAUACAAUCGAAGACAUUCUCAUUCAACAUUAGUCUAUGUAGACAAUCAGAGAAGACAAUCAACACCAGCCUCCAUAGACAAUUGGAGGUGUUGUGCAUCAAGUCUUUAUAGAUAAUCGAAGAUAACAUCACUCAUCACGUUAGUCUCCAUAGAUAAUUGGAGAUGUCAUCAAGUCUUCGUAUACAAUCGAAGACAUCAUCAUUUGACAUCAAUCUCCGUAGAUAAUCGGAGAUGACAAUCAACAUCAGUCUCUAUAGAUAAUUGGAGAUUCCAUACAUUAAGUCUUUGUAAACAAUCAAAGACAUCUUUAAUUCAUCACAUAAAUCUCCGUAAACAAUCGGAGGCGAUAUUCAUCCCAAGUCUCCGUAAACAAUCGGAGGCGUCAUUCAUCCUCAAGUCUCCGUAGAUAAUCGGAGAAAUCAUACAUAUUUUUAACAAAAAGUACAAUUCAGAAUAACAAUACAUUUUUUCAAGUCCCAUACAUCAUACACUGGAGCAAAUUUUGAGAACCGCCCCAAAAUUUUCUACUUUCUCAUUCUUAAACUACAUUGACCUGAUUCUCGGGAUACUGGAGAUAUGUAGGAAGCUCUAUGCAAAGUUCGGUCAUCACAAUCCCCUAAUCAUUCCUUCUCCCCAGCAAGUACACAAUCCUGCAUCCCCAGCAUCUCACAGCUCGAUACUGGGGCAAUUUUGACAGGAACAUCGAAAAUAGAUGAACACUUCCGUUCCCAAAUAGUUCGUCUCUCAAUAAUCACUCUACAUGGUCAUCCGCCCCUAAUAACAAGGUAGGAGGCAAUUGCUUAUUCUUUUGAACUACACCUGACUUGAUCCUCAUACAACUCGAGGUAUGUAGGCAACUCUAAAUUGUAGUUCGGUCAAAUUUUCAUCAAAAUUAUUUUUUGUCGAGCAAAAUUGGCUACGUGUCAACGUUUUCGUUUGAAGACUUCUACAUCACCUUCAAACAAAAAGGGGAAACUAUUGACACUCAAUUUUUACUCUUCGUGCUUAAAAUUAACGUCUUCAGGCUUCCUGACAGUUAAAUGACACAAAAUAUAAUUUUCACAUAUUUUUUACAAUUGUUAAUAAAUUAUUGAUAUUCAUCCCUACUUUAGGAUUUUAUCAAUUUAUUUUUAUAUUUUACUUUUUAUAAUUUAUUAAUAAUUCUCUGUACAUUGGGAUUUUUAUCAAUUCAUUAUCGUUUUAAUAGUUUACAAUCAUCUGUACACAUGCACGACAUGACGUCACAUUUUUCACAGUAUUUUCAAUAAUUUCAAUAUUCUUUACAUUUUUUUUGUAAUUACAUAUCAAUACUUUCAUUUUUGUAUAUUUUAUUACAAUCCGCAAAAAUUGAGUCGAGUCAACUAUUUUAAUACAUAGAGCAACAAAUCAAUCAAGUCAAGGUCUCGUCAUCAUUAUGACGCUUGACUUUUCUUUCACCUACUAUCCAUAAUUUAAAGGAUAUGUUGGGAAGAAAGUACAUUUGAUAUUUAUUUUUUAUUAUUAUUUUUACUUUUUAAUACUCAUUCACACCUCACAUAUUCACAAAAACAUACAUAUUUUUAUUCUUCCUUUCUCAAAAAAAAUUCACACAUAUUUUUUCCCUCUUUCUCCUCUCCCUCAAACACAAAAAUUUUAGUCAUCUUUUUUCUCUCUCACACACACACAUUUUUUCACCAUAUGCACAUUUCAUUCUUCUUCCUCCCCUCUCUCAAAAUAUAAAUUUCUUUUUAUAUAUUUUAUUUUAUUUCCAAAAAUACAAUAAACACAUAUUUUUUAUCUUCUCACAUACAAAUACAUAAAUAAAAUACACAUUCACAAAUACAUAUACACAUUUUUCGUCCUCACAUAUUUUUUCUUUCUCUCUCAACAUGCAUUUCUUCGCUACACGCAUAUUCUUCACCACACAUAUAUUUUUAUCAUACACAAAUUUUGUUCAUCUUUAUUUUUCUCAAAAACACAUACAUAUACUCAAAAUAAACGCAUGGCCGGUGAAAUUAUCUUUCCGUCAGAUAUUUGAGGUCACCCCAUUAUAAAAGAUAGAUUUUACUCUCUCAAAUUUACUAUUUUAUAUCAAAGAUCAACACUUGGCCAAUGAAUAAACGCCCGUCAUUUUUUGAGGCCUUCACAAAUAAAAAGAUGGAUUUUACGUAUACAAAUACGUAAAAAAAAUAUAUUUUCGGGCGAUGACGAAAUCUUUAUAACAUUUCAAAACUUUAUCUGAGCCCACUUUUUUACAAAAAAUUUAUUUUUAAAUAUGUAUAUGUACACAUAUUUUUCAAUUUAUUUUGAUUAUCAUUUAUUUGUUACUAAUAUUUUUGUUACAAGUGUUUAUACAGGUUAUUGGGAAUCAUUAUCGGAAAUGAUAGUCAAAGAAGACUUUAAAUUAUGUAUUUAUAUUUUUUAUAUUCUUGCACUUGUACAAAUGCUAAUCAUAGUGAAAACUUUAUUUUUGGGGUGUUGGGCGAGAUAUUUUUUAUUUAAUCUUCGCCACGCUUUCCCGCAGGAACAUCCACAAUAGAUCCAGUGCGCUUGGCAAGAUCUCCUUCUUUAAUAGCAGUAUCACUACCAAAGACAACAAUCCCUACAUUCUCAUUCUCAAGAUUCAAGGUUAUUCCUUUCACACCGCUGGCAAAUUCCACCAUUUCCCCAGCUUGAAUCUCGUUCAAUCCAUAAACACGUGCAAUUCCAUCUCCAACUGAGACCACUCGACCGAUUUCAUCCACUUGAAAAUUCGUGUAAAAGUUGCUAAUUCGACUUUCUAAUAGACUUGUUAGUUCCGCAGCUCGGGGAGAAAGUUCCAUAAUUCAAAUAGAUAGAAGGGAGAAUGCUGCUGACAAAGAUGACAAAGAAGAGCUCUACCAGUAUCUCUUUCUUUUGAUUGAGUCAAAGACCAGCGCUAAGUCCUGCCGAGCAAUCUCUCUCAAAACCCUUUUAUAAGGCAGGCUGCGGUGGGUCCCAUAGUUUUCUAUUUGAGAUAGGUGGUCUAAGUAAGUGUCCAAGGAUAAUGGCUUCCCAAACGGGUAGAAGAGUUCCACCCUAAUCUGGUGCCUUUUCUCAAAAAGAGACGCGUCUUGCACUCUGUCUGAACGAAGGGCUUCCUCUAUCUUUAGUUCCGUUUGGAAUUGAGCCUCGAGAAUAUCGGAGGAAAUAUGCUCGGGCAGGGGACACCCGAAAGUAUAGAAGGAAGGACUCUCAUUGAGCUCCCUUAGCCUCUCUCCAUCCUCCUGUAACGGAUGAUAAGGCUCAGCAAUAGGAGGCUCUGCGGGUUCACCAGGGUUGGGAGAGUCCGGGGCCGGUUGGUUGAGACCGGCUUCGGAAUUUGCAGGGGAACUGCUUCCAAAUAAAUCGGAAAAUAAAUCAGUCAAACUGAAGCCCCUUCCUCCAGCGGAAUUAUCAUCCAUGUGCAAGCUGCAGGCAAAUUCAGGCAGUUAAUAUCUAUAUAAAAAAUUAGAUUGACUUAGAUUAUUUAAUCAAACAAUUUAUACUUUUUACACUAAAAAAUAUUACGUAGUCUUUUUCUUUAGAACAAGUUUUUCUUUACAUACAUAUACUAAUGUACUUUUAUUUAUAUUUUUUACGACAAAAACAUAUAUAUUAUUUUGAUAUACUUACAUAAAAGAAUCAAGUUAAUCAAGUAAUUCAUAUAUUAUGUAGUCUUCUCUUCUUAAUAAUUUUUACUUUUCUCCGUGAUUUUAAUCAGAUAAAAAAUAUUACUGAUAAAUAUUUUUUCUUUCAUAGCGCAUCAAAAAUACAUUUUUUUCAUUCAUCAUAAAAUACUUUUACUCUUCACAUGCAUUUAUACAUUUUUAUACAUGUCCUUUACAUAUUUUUAUAACAAUAUUUAAUAUACAUAUGCCUUUUCAUGGUUUUAAAACAUUUAUAUUUUUUCGAAAGAAUUAUUUUAUACUUGAUACAUACACUUUUUACAUUAUUUUAAAUAUACCUCCUUCUCUUUGAUAAAUUUAGUCUAGCCGGGUACCACAUUUGUGGAUCUUGAAGGGUUCUUAACCCCUUUCCUUCGGGAUAAUUUGAACCCUUACCUAGAAUCUCAAUUGAUUUUUCACAAAUUGAAACAUAAAUCACAUGUGUAAAUAAUUCAAAAAGUUUUCUUAUUUUUCUUUAAAAUUAGGUGGCGACUCUGUACAAAUUUUAAUUCUUUUUAGAGUCCAUAAGUCAUGCUUGUUUAACCAUGGCUAAAAUAGGGCAUAACAACUGUUAAUGAUUAAUAAUAUACUAGCUAAAUAACAAUAUUAACCUAAUUUUAUUUUAAUUGAUCGUAAUAAAAAACAAAGAAAUGUCAAUAUUUAGUCCAUUAAAAGUGAAAUGAACUCCUCAAAAAAAAAAAAAAAAUGGUCCAAAUGGACUUUGAAUUUUUUUAUUCUUAGUACUCUAUUUUAUUUUUUAAUAUUUUUUGUUUGACCCACAGGUUAAUCCAGCCCAUAUUGCUCAAGAUCCACGGGCCAACGGGCUUAUACCGGUCAAGUUAAAAGUUCUGUUCUCAAACGGACUGUAAAAAUUGUAGCCCAGAUCUAUCAAAUUACAGGUUGGGUCGGACCAACCCAAUGGGCCUACCCAUAUUGACGGCUAUAAUUAAAAGAAUGAAAUUCCAGGUUUUACUCAAUUUAUUCUAACUACUUACAUGAUUACUCUUUCUUAACAUUUUCAUAUAUUAGCAACAUGUAGUUUGAAGUUCACAUAAAAAUUGGAUCGUGACUUUGUAUCUUUCAUAAAAUAGUCAAGUUAUGAAAUAUUUUUAAUUGAGUUUUAAAAUGAAUUGUAACAAGAUAGAAUGAAAUUAAUAGAAAUUAAUAAACAUAAAGAUCAUUAAUAGAAAUUAUUGCAAAGUACAUAUAAUAUGUACCAUUAUUGAAAAAAAAUAACAGAAAUGAAAAAUGAAAGCAUACUUAAAUAGAGUGAAUCUAUACAUAGAUUCAUUUCGUUGUAUAGAACUUUGAUAAAUAAUAUUAUACGAAGAUAAUUCAUUUAAGAAACAGCAAACUAGAUAGCUGCAUUUUCUGAUAGAGACUCUGAGGAGGACGAAGCUUCAGGUAAUUGAUCCAUCAACAUAAUUUCUCCAACAUCUAAUUAAGCUUGAAACUUCAUUACAUCAUCUGCAUUUAACUGAUCGAUGGACUCCCACCGAUCUUUAUCUCUAGUCUUAUUCCUUUGAGAUAAGGAAAGGAAUUUAUCUUUUGCAACUUCUCCUCUUUUAUCAAGUUCAUUUAGCCAUUAUUGAGUUGAUUCACUUUAUUAAAUGAUUUUUCAGCAACAAUCUAUUCACCUAAAUCUGUUUUCAAAUUCAUAAAAUGAUCAAUGACUGUAUUAUGAGUUGGGUGGACAAAAACAUAUGCAUUAUCAGCUGGAGAAGGUAGAACAAUUACAAGAUCGACAUCAUUUUCUCUAACGAGUUUUUUUAUCUUUUUCAUAUAAGCCAGAACAUCGUUUAGAGAACGUAGAAUAUCGAUCAACAUUUUUUUGUAUUUUCACUAAUGGAAUUUUUCUACGUUCCAUUAUUUUCUUACCCUCCGUGCAAGAAAUGUGACUUACAAAAAAAAAUUGAAUAUGAUGAAUAUUUAUAUACAUAUUAUUGACAAUGGUCAUUAAAUUUCUAUCCAAAUAUCACAAUGAAAAGUAAUCUUUUCUUUAUAUUGAAAAUUAUAGUAGAAAAUUUAUAUUCAAUUUGAUACUCAUAAUCUUAGUUUUAUAGUAACAUCAAUGAAUAUGAUACUUUAAACAAAAAUAGGUAAAUAAUGUAAUAUACAUGAAAUUUAUCAACUAUAUAAUUUGAUGGAACAUUAGUUACUUACCAAAAUCAUUAGUUAUUUAUUUCUAUUUUCUAUUAUAUAUGAGUGAAGAGUUGGUUACUACUAUUUUAUCUUAUGUAAUGACUACUUUGGUAAAUAACACUUUCAAUCAAGAAGAGAAUAUGAGGUAGUCUGUUCCCACGUGUCCUACAUCAUUCACGAACAUUUCUCUAAGAAAAAAAUAUUAGCAGUAGAUCAUGGCUGGUGCAUACGGCUACAAUGAUAGGCGAUCCACUCCACCACCUGCUGACGGUGGUUCCGGCGGCGAUAGAUACAGCAGCUCAUCCGCAGGUGAUAGUGGUGGAUACGGUGGUUCAGGAGGCGGUGGAGGAUAUGGCGGUGUAUAUGGUGGUUAUAGCGAUGGAAGAUCAGCUCCGCUACCUGCUGGUGGAGGAUACACAGGCUCCGGCGGCGAUAGAUACAACGGCUCAUCCAGCAGUGUCAGUGGUGGAUACGGUGGUUCCGGUGGCUGUGGUGGAUGCGGCUGCGGUGAAUAUAGUGGAUACCGUGGUUCUGGCAGCGGCGGUGGUGGAUACAGUGGUACGGGAGGCACCGGUGGUAGAUACGGUGGUACAGGCGGCACCGGUGGUGGAUACGGUGGUUCUGGUGGCAGCAGUGGUGAAUACAGUGGUUCUGGUGGCGGCGGUGGCUUAGCAUAAAUUGUGGACAGUUGUGGUAUCAUGACUACUAACUUUUUAUUUGAAAUAAUAUAGUUGCAAUUUCCUAAAUGAUGUUGUAUCCAUGCUUUAAAUUUCUGUUAUAUAUUAAUUUUAUUAUCUUAAUCCAAUAUAUAGGACCCUUCUCUAAAUGUAGUUCUAGCCUCCAGUUUGACUCAACUUUCUCUCGACUUGCAUAGGUUAUUUCGUCUGGUCAGCUCCAUGUGAUUGGGACUGAAUGACAUGAGUGGCGGCGAAUUGAUAAUCAGGUACUAAUUUUGAUAUUGCCAUUGCAGUACAUUGGUCAAAACUAACUAGCGGCGAAUCAUCAGGUCCUGCGACUACUGCUGCUUCAACUAUUUUAAAUACUUUUGAGUUUUGUUGGAAAGAGCCUCGAACAAAGUGGAAAAGUUGGAAAUGAUUCAUACGGCUGACCCAACGAGCGUUUGAUUGAACGAAUAGUUGGUUGGUUGAUUGAUUGCAUUUACCUAUUGAUUGUAUCCCAAACGGAGUUAUGGUGAACUCCCAAUUCCACCCCUAAUUCGGGGGUCGGGUAUCAAUUGAUACCUUUUGGAUAAGGUGUCACUCCUCCCCUGCGUAUAUACAUAGCAUAAUUUUCGGGUGAAUUUGGGGGUCGGGUCUCAAUUGAUACCUUUUAGCUAAGGGUGUGGAUCCUCCCUUGAUUCUCCAUCACACAAAUUAUCUUAGAUGUAAUAAUCUAAAAACAAUAUAAUGAUAUAUGUUUCCUCUAUUAAUACUUCCUUACGACAAGCUUAUUUUCACACCAACCAAAAAACAAGAACAACAAUAUCUAUAGUGCAAAUUAAUUCUCUCUUAAUCGCAAUGAAAGUUGUUGUAGUGUUGUUCAUUGCAAUGCUUGUGUUCACAGAGCAUAAUGCUAUGACUGGUACAUUAACAUGUCUGAUAGGAUGUUCAGUGAAGGGACAAUCUCUAAAAAAGUUACUUAAGUGUCUCGUUGGUUGUGGUACACCAUGUUUGAUACAAUGGUACACGAUGUUCAAUUUCUUCAGCAUAAUGAAGCUCGUCAGAUUUUUUAUGAAGCUGAUUAUGUUAUGUUGAAGAUUUUGGAACCUAGAAGCCUUUGCUUUGAGGUUAUUUGUUGUUCUCGUUAGCUGUGCCAUAGGAUAUUUAGCAAACUUACUAGAAAUUGUGUGUGGCAGAUAGUAAGCCCUGAAAAGAUCCUCAGAUUGAGAGUCCGUGAUACCAAGAGAGCUCUGACCCAAGAUGCAUCAUCAGAAGAGGUCUGUGUUGUUAUGUCAGGUGUUAUUGCUCGUUUUGAUGGAUCAGACAUUCAGGUACUCAAUCAUUCUCACAGUUACAAGUAACAUUAUUUUUUCUUCAUCAACUAUGCUAUGAGUUAUGAGAACAUUUAUUUUUAAUUUUUACAUCUCCAUUUAGAUCUCGAACCAUGAAGUUUAAGUUCUCAUAUGCCAUACUGCUAAUGUCGGUAUUAAAUGCAGAAUAUACUGCAGAGAUGGUUUCGAGAAAGAUACUCCCAGUUCUGGGGUGAGAAAGAAUCUGAAAAUUCUAGACAAACUUUCGGUAGGCUUCCGUACCAGCUAUGGAAUGUUAGUAAGUAUGGUUCGUGUGUUGAUGCUGCUAUCACUUGUCUGAUGCCCCCUCCCCCGCCUCUGUUGCUUUGUUUUAGAACAAUACAACUACUAAAAUAACAAGUUGAGGGAAGAUGGCAAUGAAAAGCAAGUAGGUCGAAUCAGGCAUAAGAAUUGAUUUCAAGCCAAACUAGCCACCAGAUGGAUGAAUUGGUGUAGUAUAGAUGGCUUGGAGUUAGAAUCAUUGGGACUUAAGGCUCCAAUAUGACUUUGAAUGAAGGUGCUCAAAAUAAUACAUAAUAUCGUCAUAGCUAGAAGGUAUAACAACUUUCAUUGAUGAAAUUCACAACUUAACUGAAUAGACGAUGUAAACAAUUACUGCAGAUUCUGAAAUAUUAAAAAUUCAGAAGUGCUCAUCGACUAAUGAAUUUGCUGACAGGAAAUAGUCAAGUGCAUUUUCCUCUUACUGUUGGAUGUUGCAUUACUUACCAGCAAGAUCAGCUAUAAGUCGUACAUGCCCAACUGUUUGUUUCUCAUAAGUUUUAAUCUUUUGAUUUCAUAUACUGUAUUAUCAUUAUCAUGAUUUACUUACUACAUUUGAAGUUAUCUUUCCAACAAUUUCUGACGGAGGCGAUUAUAUUGAUGAUUAUGAAGGUCUUGAGUUUAGUUACAUUGCCUGAGGGUUUAAAAUUCUGUAAUUGUAGUUAACAGGUGUGUAACCAUAGAGGUUAAGUCUUGAUUUUUUUACUUUCCUUGUGGCAAUUAAAGUUACACAAGAAGAUAAGACAGAAACAUAAAAUUCUCAUAUUAAUAGGCUAGGAUUGCCUUAUGCAUCUUCAAAUCAGUCUGGAUGAAAUGAUUAAAAUGUGAUGGUGUUAAGUCAUGAGUGCAUUUGUAAUUCUGAUCAGUGAUGGAUUACUUCAGUUAGUAAUGGAUACUUAAGGAGAACACCAGUUGCCUGGAUACUCUAAGGCUAUGUUGCUCGGACUCUUCAAAAAUGUCAUUGGGUACAUGUUGGAUCCUUCAAAAGUAGUGCAUUUUUUAAGGAUCCCACACGGGUGCGGCCACAUUUUUGGAGAGUCCAAGCAACUUAGCUCUAAGGAAACCUAAGUCUACUGGUAGACUAAAUCUACUGAAUAUUUUCCUGUGGAACGAAGCUGCAAUAUGUAAGCUUCUUGAGUUGUGACUAAGAAAAAAGAAGCACUACCGAUACUCUGACUCAAGAAUCUAUAAGACAUGUCAAAAUUCUAUUUUUUCCUCUCCAUAAAUUUCAACCUUAGCUUAUUGCGAAGAUACUUUGUAUAUAUGUUUGGAAUGGUUCUUGUUAUGUGGAUUCAACUGCUCCAGUUGAAGCGAAACUUUUUCUUGGGUGACCCUAAAUAUGGUGCAAGAGCUUUCAAUACUACGAAGCAAUAUGCAUCCACUAUUUUGCGAUGUCAUCGGCAUCAUAUCUGCUCAUAUUUUGGACUUCAGAAAUAGUUUACAGGAGAAUCUGAAUGUAUUAACAAGCGAUAAAAGAGCCUUUACAUCCGAUUUUGCGCUUUGUAAUUAAUUAACAGUUUGAAUCUGUCUUUGAUUUUCAUUUCAUACUUUCUUUCUGGUGCCAAUACUUCUACAGGAAAAAGCUAAUGAUGGAGAGGGUGCAGCUCUUUUGAAGAGUUCACAUAAUGGUGCUACUGGUGGUUAUGAGGAGUCCUUAGCCGCAGUUCUUGCCAAACAUAAGCACCACCUUGCAAGUACACAGGUCCGAUGUUCAGUCUAAUUUGGUAAAAGGAACAAUAUGCCUACAAAGAAGAUGAAUGGAGCAGCAGCAGGAGAUGGAGGAGGAGGAGGAUUCAAGGCCAAAUUAGAUCAUGUGUUAUAGAGCGGCGAAAAGAAGCAUGUCUUAGGUGGCAUCGCCGUCAUUGGCGUUCUCUUUGGUGUUCCCUGGUACUUCAUGACCCGAGGUCACUGAUUCUUCUUCUUUUUCCCCCCUUCUAUUACAUCAAUAGUAUAUGUAUGAAUACUUCAUGUCUAAUUCUCCCACUAUUUCAUACAAAGUUGCAAUUUUUUUCCAUUUUAUUGGUUACCCUGCUACUGGUAUAAGAGAUUGAACUUUUCCAUGUUCUUUUAUUACCUUGGUGUUAGGGCCAGCUUGAUUGUCCCACGACUAAUUCCAUACGCCAUAUACUAGCACAACUCAAUCUGUCUAUCUAAGCCAUGUACACUAAUAUUGUUUCCUGCUAACAACUGAUGUUUCUUAUGUUGAAAACUUUUUGGUCCUUAUUUUCUUUGUACAUUAUUUCCUAUUAUUGCAUGCCAAAGCUCAAUUUUAAUGAAGAGAAAUGAAAAAUGGAAUGAGAUGUAUUUGUUUUGAACUACUACACAACCAGCCCCAUCAAAUUAAAAUAUACAUUAAAAUAAGACAAUUAGACGGAAUCUCAGUUGAACUACAUUGUAAAAAGGAAAUAAGAACUAAGAGGUUGGAGUAAGAGAAUUGGAGAGGAAUAGACAAUAGAGAGACCAAAUGAGAAAAAAGAGAGGUAAAAUUCACAUGGUUACUCUUGAUCAUUUUAAAUGUAGGCUUGCACUAAUUUUUAUAGUAAUGCUUAAGAAGUUGUUAUUCUUUGAGUACUCAAAUCGAAAUGUGUUGGAAAUUUGUGAUUUGCAAGGUAAAAAGGUUGACUAUGAAGUUGAUUAGAUCUUAUUAGGAAUUUUUAAUUGCUUAUUUAUGGUAUGCAAUUCAUUCUCCGUUCUCCUUUCCCUCUUUUUCCUUGGAAAUGCCACUGGCUUGAAUUUUUUUUGAUUUCGUAUGCAUUAAGCAUAGUAAUAUACAGUAUGAGAAAAAUAUUCAUGCUUCUGUGCAUUCAAAUUGGUCUAUUCUCCAUCUUAAAGUUUGUGAUUCAUUUGCUUUGAUUCCGCUUCUUCUAAGUUGAUGGAGAACUGUGGUUCCUCAAUCCAAAAGUUUCACUUCAAAUAAGGGUGGGAUGAACACAACUCUUUUAAAUUGUGCUUUCUGUAUUAUAUUUGAGAACGCACAUUGUUUUCUUGAAAAGUAAAAUUUACAUUCCUCAAUUGCAGGCUAAGCUGCAGGAAUUUCUUGGAAGGAAUCUGGACACACACUUGGACUCUGAUAAAGCAAUUGCACUUAGUGCUUCAUUGCAUACUGCUAAUAUAAGUGAUGGAAGAUUAACAACUGACAUUGAAGUGCCUACAUUCGCUGCUGCGAUAGCGACACAUUAAAAGCAGAUAAUUUAUUAUGUAUUUGGAAAAAGAAAAAAAGAGCCAUAUUAUUUACUCGGAGAGAGAAAAGAAAGAGAAAAAAGUUGCUGCCUAACCUUUCUAUAUUUCUAUUAUAUAUAAAUGAAGACUUGGUGUACUACAUUAAGUCAAAAAUAAAUUUGACUAAAACGGAUGAUAUAAUUAUUGCAGUCAUUUCAGAAAUGAAUAUUGAGAGCAAUGUGAGAAAUUGGAGAAUACUUUACUACAUUAGAGUAAGAAGCAGUUUAAGUCCACUGUAGAAUCCUUUUUGUUGUACUAACAAUACUUUUAGUUAGAAACAACACUUUACUAUUAGAGUAAGAAACAGUUUGAGUCCACUGUAGAAUCCUUUUUGUUGUACUAACAUGGCUAUAUUGCUUAAUAUGUUCUUAAUCUAUAUCUUUUGAUGUAAUAUAUUCAGUUUAUAGUAACUGCCAGUCAAAUUGAUGUGUCAAAAGGAAAUAGAAAAGCUGUUGUUAUCUAUCCAUUAGAAGAUAUUAGUAGUUAAAUACUAUGUUGUUUGUGUGAUUGUAAUUAAAGAAAUAUCAGCAUUUUUUGUCUAUUAUCAAUAUUCAAGUCAAGUAUAAUGAUCUUAUAAUCAUACAAAUAAUGCACACAACUGUAUAAUGAUCUUGUAAUCAUACACAUGAUGCACACAACUAUCUGAAGCCAUCUAGUAUAUAUAUAAGUAAAGACUUGGUGUACUACAAUUUUGUCUUUUGUGGAACUACCAAAUCUUUACUUAUAUAUUCAUUCUUUUUAACAGGAUCUCUUAGGCUGGGGUAUGCCACUCAGCCUACCAGACCAUAUAAUAAUAUCGGAUUAAGCCAAAGUCGGAAGACCGAAUCAAAGCACCAACCGAAAUAGAAAAGAAUCUUAAAUAGUUUAAUGACUGUAUGGGCUAUUUUACCCAAACAUGGGGCCUUUCAGAGAUUUAAUAACCUUAUGUUAAACCUAUGUGUCUAGAAGUUCUAAUUGUGCAGAAUUCGCCCUUUUCUUAACAACACAAUUGGCUAGAGAGGCACAACUUACUAGACAGAGUUACAGAGACAAAGCUAACAUAAGUGUAUUGAAUUCGACUGUACCUCCAUUUUGGAACCAAGUCAAGAAAUUAGAAAGAUUCUUUUAUAUUUUGAUAGAGUCUGGAGCUUUCAUAGUUAACAUGUCAGCAAAGUUAGAUCUUUAACAUAGAUAUAAGAAACCUUUCAACCGGACAUAGUCACGGCUGGGUAGGGUAGAAGUUUAUUUAAAUGUACACAAGUAAGAAAGAAAUAUGUACCUGAUUUUUUGAGAACCAGACUGAAAUAAUAGUAAAUAGUAGCUUCUUCUUUAUUUAAUUCUUGAAUAUGUUACAGAGAGAGAGAGAGAGUUUUUAGAAAACAAAAGGAGAGAACUUCUGAACUCCUGCCUCUUCACAAGAACGAGGCGUCUAUAAAUAAUAAAAAAGGAAAUCUUGCACAGUAAGGGGUGGGUCCCUGUGCACAGUUAUUUUACUAUUACAAAAAAGGAAAAAUUAGAGAGGUCUUUAUCAAACAGUCAUAUCUUGUCUUUUUCUUUCCAUUUCUUGAUGAAUGCUUCAGCCUUUUUAAUUUCUUCCUCUUCUAUCAGAAUUUUUGGAGGUUGAGAAUCGGUAAUAUCUUCAGUAUUUGCUUCGGUACUAUUCAUUGAGAUGUCUGAAUUUUGCUCAACAGUUUGAAGUAAUUUAUCUCUGGCUUCUGAUAAAUAUUCUUCUAUCAUUUGCAUUUUAUUCCCGUCAUGUGCAGAUAUUCUUCUAGAAACAUAGUUAAGANNNNNNNNNNNNNNNNNNNNNNNNNNNNNNNNNNNNNNNNNNNNNNNNNNNNNNNNNNNNNNNNNNNNNNNNNNNNNNNNNNNNNNNNNNNNNNNNNNNNNNNNNNNNNNNNNNNNNNNNNNNNNNNNNNNNNNNNNNNNNNNNNNNNNNNNNNNNNNNNNNNNNNNNNNNNNNNNNNNNNNNNNNNNNNNNNNNNNNNNNNNNNNNNNNNNNNNNNNNNNNNNNNNNNNNNNNNNNNNNNNNNNNNNNNNNNNNNNNNNNNNNNNNNNNNNNNNNNNNNNNNUGAUCUGAAAGAUAUAAUUUUGUUAAGAAAGUGGAGGAUUUUUUCCAUGAAUAGUACAGAGAAGAAUAUUCUGGAGGUAAUAUUUUGACUGUAGGUCCAUGUUGAGUCCACCAUUGAAUAAAUCAAUUUGGAAUAGGCUUUUCAAAUACUUUAGCACAAAUUUUUAUAAACCAAGUGUGUUUGUGCUUAUAAUUAUUAUAAUAUAAUACUUGAGAAAAAGCUUUAAUAUAAGGCUUUUAUAAUUAUGGAUAUGGGAAAAGUUAGUACUAAAAGUACAAAACUCGAAGAGGUAGAUUUACCUCAAGAUAUGGAUUUACUAAAUAAAUGGACAAUUUCAAAAGUUGAAUUAAAAACCAUAUAUGAAUACGGAUUUUUUGAUAAAAUAAAACAUAAAUAAAUUAUUAAAACAACUGAACAAUCCCUUGCUUUAAAUGCUGAUGAACAAACUAUUCAACUCCUAAAUAAGCAUGAUAUUGAUAUUUUUAAACGAAAUUAUAAUUAUAUGCAUAUUGGCCUAGAACAAAUUGCCUUUGACCUUUAACACUAAAGAGUCUCCCUGAAACAUUUUUAGCUGCUUUGCAUGAUGCUAGAAAUUUAAAUUUUAGAAAAUCCUUAAUGGGAUCUAUUGAAUCUACUCUUGCCUAUGGUCCUGUAUAUUUUAAUACUCAGCCAAAUUUACAAUUAUCUCUAACUGAUGUAAAUAUUCUUCAUGCUUUAACCUUAAAUGUGAAAACUCAUGGAUAUGAUUAUGCCCCUGGAUCUGAACUUAUAGGAUUAACUUACCGCAUAUACUAUCGUUUAUUAUCACCUUAAAUCCUCGAUGUAAAUUAAUAGAUGAUAAUUCUGAUUGCACUAUGCUUAUUGAAACUAAUUUUAUAAAAUCCAGGGUUACUACCCGAAGACCUCUUAGAUGGGAUGAAAUUGACUUCCCCAAAACAUGGAUUUUAAACUCAGUCACUUCCUCAAAACAAUUGGCGGAGGAUGUGACUAAUUCGGAGUUAACUCAAGUAACUCAAAAUUCAGAUGGACGAAUUUGUCUACAAUUUGAUAAUAAUCCCCCAGUUUAUAAAAAUUCAUUUUCUCUACCAAGAAGACUUCCUUCUAUACAUCAUAUUUCUCCUAUAGAACCUGAUUAUGAUCCAACUAGGAAUCGAGCGGCAUCCUUGCAUACUAUUAAUUCUGCAGAUUCGCAUGUUACACCUAAAGGUGUAGAAAAGAUAAAAAUCAACUCCAAAACUAAUAUAGUUCAAGAUUUUGAUAAUGAAAAUCCUACCCCGUCUGAGAUGGAUUUUGAUAUCAAUUCUGUUUAACUAUGAUGACACAACUUAUUGAUUUUAGUCCUGGUUCUCAGGCAAGAAAAUAUAUUCAGAAAGAAUUUGUUUUUGAAAAAUGGAAAACCUUUAGGACAUGAUUUUUUAAAACUUAUAAUCCUGAUGAAUUACGAAAUAUUUCCGAAGAAUUCUAUGAAAUAUGUGUCUUACAUAAUAAAAUUAUUUUUUUUGUACCAUGGUUCAUGUCUGCAUAUUUGCCGUCAUAUAUCAAAAUAAUUGAAAGAUCUUAUCAAAAUUCUGAUGGUACNNNNNNNNNNNNNNNNNNNNNNNNNNNNNNNNNNNNNNNNNNNNNNNGGAAUGACUUUUUCUGCUUUCCAAAAAUUUGUCAGUGAAGAUGUUGGAAAAAUUACUGUUUCUGAAAUAAAUAACCUUAUCGCCCAAAAUAAUUAUUUGAGUCUCUAUGUUAAGGUUUUAGGAGAACAUAUUUCCUCUCUUGAUAAAAAACGUGACGAAUUAAUUGAGUUAGUUAACAAACUUAGCCCCUAGAUGAAUUCCUCUAACAAUCCUUCUACUUCUGAAAACAAAGACGAAGAAGGAUAUAUUUUAUCUAAACCUUGUAUCCAAAGACCUCCUGAAAUAGAAGGAUUUGAAAAAGUUUCUCAAUUAGACCAAUUAGAAAAACUCUUCGACAAAAAAUUCUCUCGUUUAAACAUUCAACCUCUUAAUAUUUCUGAUGAUUUUGUGCAAAAACUCGAGUCUAAUUUUGAUGAUAAUAACGAAUCUACUCAAAAUACUGGAGAUAUAAUCUCUUCUGAGCUAAAUAAGCUAAAAGGUAUGAUUAAAAAACNNNNNNNNNNNNNNNNNNNNNNNNNNNNNNNNNNNNNNNNNNNNNNNNNNNNNNNNNNNNNNNNNNNNNNNNNNNNNNNNNNNNNNNNNNNNNNNNNNNNNNNNNNNNNNNNNNNNNNNNNNNNNNNNNNNNNNNNNNNNNNNNNNNNNNNNNNNNNNNNNNNNNNNNNNNNNNNNNNNNNNNNNNNNNNNNNNNNNNNNNNNNNNNNNNNNNNNNNNNNNNNNNNNNNNNNNNNNNNNNNNNNNNNNNNNNNNNNNNNNNNNNNNNNNNNNNNNNNNNNNNNNNNNNNNNNNNNNNNNNNNNNNNNNNNNNNNNNNNNNNNNNNNNNNNNNNNNNNNNNNNNNNNNNNNNNNNNNNNNNNNNNNNNNNNNNNNNNNNNNNNNNNNNNNNNNNNNNNNNNNNNNNNNNNNNNNNNNNNNNNNNNNNNNNNNNNNNNNNNNNNNNNNNNNNNNNNNNNNNNNNNNNNNNNNNNNNNNNNNNNNNNNNNNNNNNNNNNNNNNNNNNNNNNNNNNNNNNNNNNNNNNNNNNNNNNNNNNNNNNNNNNNNNNNNNNNNNNNNNNNNNNNNNNNNNNNNNNNNNNNNNNNNNNNNNNNNNNNNNNNNNNNNNNNNNNNNNNNNNNNNNNNNNNNNNNNNNNNNNNNNNNNNNNNNNNNNNNNNNNNNNNNNNNNNNNNNNUUCAAAAAAAACUUUUGGUCAGCUUAUUGUAGCUUGUACUCAAGAAGGCUUAGCCCUUUGCAACGAGUUAAAAUUAGACAGACAAAUUAAGCUCGACAAACUCAGUGAAAAAUCCCAAUUAGGAGACUUUUGUGAACAAUUUGGUAUAUAUAAACCCUUAGCAUGAAAAACCCAAAGAUAUUCCAAGCCUAAUAAAUCCUAUAGAAAUAAACGUUCUAGGCAUAGAACCAAAGAAGAACGUGAAACUAGAAAAUCCUUUCUUAAGUCUGCCAGAUUCACGAAAAAUAGAUCAAAAAGAGAGUUAGCCAAAAUUAAGUACUAUAAGUGCAACCAGUAUGGUCAUAUAGCUCCAAACUUCAAAUUACAAAAACUCAAGUCCUUAAGACUUUCUGAAGAAGUUCAUGACCAAGUUUAUAAUUUGUUAUAUACCUCUGAUUCCGAAUCUGAUUCUACAUCUGAAAAUGAUUUUGAAUUGCCUAAUUCUGAUAGUGAACUCAAUCAGGUUGAUAAAUGUAAUGAUUGUGAUAAUGAUAUUUGUAAUUAUGAUGAAAUGAUGUAUAAACUUCAAGCGCAAUUCGAAGAUCUUGAUUUAAAUGUUUAAACUCUUACUGCUGAUAAUGUCCUUGAAUUAUUGAAAGAAGUUACUGAUGAAAAACUUCGUGAAAAAAUCAUUAAUUUUGCUACUCAAAAAACUUCUGCUAAUACUAGUAUUUCUAAAGAUAACUCUUAUGAUAAUUAUCACAUGUCAUAUUUCUUAGCCGNNNNNNNNNNNNNNNNNNNNNNNNNNNNNNNNNNNNNNNNNNNNNNNNNNNNNNNNNNNNNNNNNNNNNNNNNNNNNNNNNNNNNNNNNNNNNNNNNNNNNNNNNNNNNNNNNNNNNNNNNNNNNNNNNNNNNNNNNNNNNNNNNNNNNNNNNNNNNNNNNNNNNNNNNNNNNNNNNNNNNNNNNNNNNNNNNNNNNNNNNNNNNNNNNNNNNNNNNNNNNNNNNNNNNNNNNNNNNNNNNNNNNNNNNNNNNNNNNNNNNNNNNNNNNNNNNNNNNNNNNNNNNNNNNNNNNNNNNNNNNNNNNNNNNNNNNNNNNNNNNNNNNNNNNNNNNNNNNNNNNNNNNNNNNNNNNNNNNNNNNNNNNNNNNNNNNNNNNNNNNNNNNNNNNNNNNNNNNNNNNNNNNNNNNNNNNNNNNNNNNNNNNNNNNNNNNNNNNNNNNNNNNNNNNNNNNNNNNNNNNNNNNNNNNNNNNNNNNNNNNNNNNNNNNNNNNNNNNNNNNNNNNNNNNNNNNNNNNNNNNNNNNNNNNNNNNNNNNNNNNNNNNNNNNNNNNNNNNNNNNNNNNNNNNNNNNNNNNNNNNNNNNNNNNNNNNNNNNNNNNNNNNNNNNNNNNNNNNNNNNNNNNNNNNNNNNNNNNNNNNNNNNNNNNNNNNNNNNNNNNNNNNNNNNNNNNNNNNNNNNNNNNNNNNNNNNNNNNNNNNNNNNNNNNNNNNNNNNNNNNNNNNNNNNNNNNNNNNNNNNNNNNNNNNNNNNNNNNNNNNNNNNNNNNNNNNNNNNNNNNNNNNNNNNNNNNNNNNNNNNNNNNNNNNNNNNNNNNNNNNNNNNNNNNNNNNNNNNNNNNNNNNNNNNNNNNNNNNNNNNNNNNNNNNNNNNNNNNNNNNNNNNNNNNNNNNNNNNNNNNNNNNNNNNNNNNNNNNNNNNNNNNNNNNNNNNNNNNNNNNNNNNNNNNNNNNNNNNNNNNNNNNNNNNNNNNNNNNNNNNNNNNNNNNNNNNNNNNNNNNNNNNNNNNNNNNNNNNNNNNNNNNNNNNNNNNNNNNNNNNNNNNNNNNNNNNNNNNNNNNNNNNNNNNNNNNNNNNNNNNNNNNNNNNNNNNNNNNNNNNNNNNNNNNNNNNNNNNNNNNNNNNNNNNNNNNNNNNNNNNNNNNNNNNNNNNNNNNNNNNNNNNNNNNNNNNNNNNNNNNNNNNNNNNNNNNNNNNNNNNNNNNNNNNNNNNNNNNNNNNNNNNNNNNNNNNNNNNNNNNNNNNNNNNNNNNNNNNNNNNNNNNNNNNNNUUAAAGAAUGCUCCUUCUGAAUUUCAAAAAAUUAUGAAUGAUAUUUUUAAUCCCUAUAUGGACUUUAUCAUUGUCUAUAUUGAUGAUAUUUUAGUAUUCUCAAAAACCCUUGAAUCUCAUUUUAAACAUUUGCAUACGUUGUUUAAACAAAUUAUUCAAAAUGGCUUGGUCAUCUCCAAACCAAAGAUAAGUUUAUUCCAGAAAAAUAUUAGAUUUUUAGGACAUAAUAUUUCUCAAGGUUUUGUUGAGCCUAUACAACGAGUUCUAGAAUUUGCUAAAAAAUUUCCUAAUAUUAUUACUGAUAAAAAACAACUUCAAAGGUUCCUCGGUAGUCUUAACUAUAUUUCCCUUUUUUAUUAAAAUCUGUCUAGAGAUUUAGCUCCUUUGUAUGAUAGAUUAAAAAAGGAUCACAAAACUCCUUGGACUCAAAUCCACACUGAUUUAGUAAAAUUAAUUAAGAACCGAGUUCAAACUCUUCCUUGUACAUCUCUUGCAAACCCUAACUGGUUGAAAAUCGUUGAAACUGAUGCUUCUAAUAUUGGGUAUGGCGGAAUAGUUAAAUAAGUUAAUCCCCAUACAAAAACAGAAUGUUUGAUUCGAUUUUAUUCUGGUAAAUGGACUGAAAGUCAGAAAAAAUACNNNNNNNNNNNNNNNNNNNNNNNNNNNNNNNNNNNNNNNNNNNNNNNNNNNNNNNNNNNNNNNNNNNNNNNNNNNNNNNNNNNNNNNNNNNNNNNNNNNNNNNNNNNNNNNNNNNNNNNNNNNNNNNNNNNNNNNNNNNNNNNNNNNNNNNNNNNNNNNNNNNNNNNNNNNNNNNNNNNNNNNNNNNNNNNNNNNNNNNNNNNNNNNNNNNNNNNNNNNNNNNNNNNNNNNNNNNNNNNNNNNNNNNNNNNNNNNNNNNNNNNNNNNNNNNNNNNNNNNNNNNNNNNNNNNNNNNNNNNNNNNNNNNNNNNNNNNNNNNNNNNNNNNNNNNNNNNNNNNNNNNNNNNNNNNNNNNNNNNNNNNNNNNNNNNNNNNNNNNNNNNNNNNNNNNNNNNNNNNNNNNNNNNNNNNNNNNNNNNNNNNNNNNNNNNNNNNNNNNNNNNNNNNNNNNNNNNNNNNNNNNNNNNNNNNNNNNNNNNNNNNNNNNNNNNNNNNNNNNNNNNNNNNNNNNNNNNNNNNNNNNNNNNNNNNNNNNNNNNNNNNNNNNNNNNNNNNNNNNNNNNNNNNNNNNNNNNNNNNNNNNNNNNNNNNNNNNNNNNNNNNNNNNNNNNNNNNNNNNNNNNNNNNNNNNNNNNNNNNNNNNNNNNNNNNNNNNNNNNNNNNNNNNNNNNNNNNNNNNNNNNNNNNNNNNNNNNNNNNNNNNNNNNNNNNNNNNNNNNNNNNNNNNNNNNNNNNNNNNNNNNNNNNNNNNNNNNNNNNNNNNNNNNNNNNNNNNNNNNNNNNNNNNNNNNNNNNNNNNNNNNNNNNNNNNNNNNNNNNNNNNNNNNNNNNNNNNNNNNNNNNNNNNNNNNNNNNNNNNNNNNNNNNNNNNNNNNNNNNNNNNNNNNNNNNNNNNNNNNNNNNNNNNNNNNNNNNNNNNNNNNNNNNNNNNNNNNNNNNNNNNNNNNNNNNNNNNNNNNNNNNNNNNNNNNNNNNNNNNNNNNNNNNNNNNNNNNNNNNNNNNNNNNNNNNNNNNNNNNNNNNNNNNNNNNNNNNNNNNNNNNNNNNNNNNNNNNNNNNNNNNNNNNNNNNNNNNNNNNNNNNNNNNNNNNNNNNNNNNNNNNNNNNNNNNNNNNNNNNNNNNNNNNNNNNNNNNNNNNNNNNNNNNNNNNNNNNNNNNNNNNNNNNNNNNNNNNNNNNNNNNNNNNNNNNNNNNNNNNNNNNNNNNNNNNNNNNNNNNNNNNNNNNNNNNNNNNNNNNNNNNNNNNNNNNNNNNNNNNNNNNNNNNNNNNNNNNNNNNNNNNNNNNNNNNNNNNNNNNNNNNNNNNNNNNNNNNNNNNNNNNNNNNNNNNNNNNNNNNNNNNNNNNNNNNNNNNNNNNNNNNNNNNNNNNNNNNNNNNNNNNNNNNNNNNNNNNNNNNNNNNNNNNNNNNNNNNNNNNNNNNNNNNNNNNNNNNNNNNNNNNNNNNNNNNNNNNNNNNNNNNNNNNNNNNNNNNNNNNNNNNNNNNNNNNNNNNNNNNNNNNNNNNNNNNNNNNNNNNNNNNNNNNNNNNNNNNNNNNNNNNNNNNNNNNNNNNNNNNNNNNNNNNNNNNNNNNNNNNNNNNNNNNNNNNNNNNNNNNNNNNNNNNNNNNNNNNNNNNNNNNNNNNNNNNNNNNNNNNNNNNNNNNNNNNNNNNNNNNNNNNNNNNNNNNNNNNNNNNNNNNNNNNNNNNNNNNNNNNNNNNNNNNNNNNNNNNNNNNNNNNNNNNNNNNNNNNNNNNNNNNNNNNNNNNNNNNNNNNNNNNNNNNNNNNNNNNNNNNNNNNNNNNNNNNNNNNNNNNNNNNNNNNNNNNNNNNNNNNNNNNNNNNNNNNNNNNNNNNNNNNNNNNNNNNNNNNNNNNNNNNNNNNNNNNNNNNNNNNNNNNNNNNNNNNNNNNNNNNNNNNNNNNNNNNNNNNNNNNNNNNNNNNNNNNNNNNNNNNNNNNNNNNNNNNNNNNNNNNNNNNNNNNNNNNNNNNNNNNNNNNNNNNNNNNNNNNNNNNNNNNNNNNNNNNNNNNNNNNNNNNNNNNNNNNNNNNNNNNNNNNNNNNNNNNNNNNNNNNNNNNNNNNNNNNNNNNNNNNNNNNNNNNNNNNNNNNNNNNNNNNNNNNNNNNNNNNNNNNNNNNNNNNNNNNNNNNNNNNNNNNNNNNNNNNNNNNNNNNNNNNNNGCAAGAUUCCCUUUUUUAUUAUUUAUAGACGACUUCGUUCUUGUAAGAGGCAGGAGUUCAGAAGUUCUCUCCUUUUGUUUUCUAAAAACUCUCUCUCUCUCUCUCUCACUCUCUCUCUCUCUUUGUAACAUAUUCAAGAAUUAAAUAAAGAAGAAGCUACUGUUUACUACUAUUUCUGUCUGGUUCUUGGAAAAUCAGGUACAUAUUUCUUUCUUAGUUGUGUAUAUUUAACUAAACUUCUAUCCUACCCAGCCGUGACUAUGUCCGGCUGAAAGAUUUCUUAUAUCUAUGUUGAAGAUCUAACUUUGCUGACAUAUUAACUAUGAAAGCUCCAGACUCUAUCAAAAUAUAAAAGAAUCUUUCUAAUUUCUUGACUUGGCUCCAAAAUGGAGGUACAGUCGAGUUCAAUACACUUAUGUUAGCCUUGUCUCUGUGACUCCAUUUAGUAAGUUGUGCCUCUCUAGCCCAUUGUGUUGUUAAGAAAAGGGCGAAUUCUGCACAAUUAGAACUUCUAGACGCAUAGGUUUAACAUAAAGCUAUUAAAUCUCUGAAAGGCCCCAUGUUUGGGUAAAAUAGCCCAUGCAAUCAUUAAACUAUUUAAGAUUCUUUUCUAUUUCGGUUGGUGCUUUGGUUCGGUCUUCCGACUUUGGCUUAAUCCGAUAUUAUUAUAUGGUCUGGUAGGCUGAGUGGCAUACCCCAGCCUAAGAAGGCUGAGUGGCAUACCCCAGCCUAAGAGAUCCUGUUAAUGGUUAUUAUUAUUAUUAUUAUUAUUAUUAUUAUUAUUAUUAUCAAGGGUAUUUCGGUAAUUUUAGUCAUCCCAACCUUCACUUAUAUAUAAUAGUAAAUAAAAUGAUUACAUAUGCAUAUGGACACAUAUCGAUUCAGAAAUAUUUUUUGCACCAUAAAAUUAUCAAAAUAUCCUUGAUAGUCAUUUAAUAAGAAAUAAAAAGAUAUUUAUAAAAAAUUACUAUCAUGUAUAAUUAAGUAAAGACUUGGUGUACGACAAUUUUGUCUUUUGUGGUACUAUCAAAUCUUUACUUAUAUAUUCAUUCUUUUUUACUACUUUAUUACUACUAUUGUUGUUGUUGUUGUUGUUGUUGUUGUUACUAUUUUAUUACUACUACUAUUGUUGUUGUUGUUGUUGUUGUUGUUGUUGUUGUUGUUGUUACUAUCAAGGGUAUUUCGGUAAUUAUAAUAAUAAUAAUUAUUAUUAUUAUUAUUAUAAUUAUUAUUAUUAUUAUUAUUAUCACUACUAUCAGGGGUAUUUCGGUAACUUUAGUUAUCACAACCUUCACUUAUAUAUAAUAGUAAAUAAAAUGAUCAUACAUGCAUAUAGACAUAUAUUGAUUCUAAAAUACUUAUUGCACCAUAAAAUUAUCAAAAUACUCUUGGUAGUCAUUUAAUAAGGAAUAAAAAGAUAUUUAUAAGAAAUUACUACCAUGUAUAAGUCAAUUACAAAGUCUAAAUAAAAUAUUAUUAAAAUAAUACAUGAGGACAAAACUAAUAAAUAUAACAAAAAAGCAAUAUGCAUGUCUAACUAUUUUAUUGCACCAUAAAAAUGACGAUAAAACUAAUAAAUAUAAGGAAAAAGCAAUACGCAUGUGUAACCAUUUAUUGCAUCAUAAAAUUAUCGAAAUACCCUUGGGGGUAUAAAAAAUAGGUAAUUUAAUAAGGAACAAAAAGAUAUUUAUAAAAAAUUACUACCAUGUAUAAUGCAAUUGCAAAUGUCUAAAUAAAAAUAUUAUCAAGAUAAUAUAUGGGGACAAAACUAAUAAAUAUAACAAAAAAAUAAUAUUCAUGUCUAACCAUUUUACUGCACCAUAGUGGUACUACUAAAUCUUUACCUAUAUAUUCAUUCUUUUUUACUAUUAUUAUUAACUAUUGUUGUUGUUCUUAUUAUUAUUCUUAUUAUUAUUUUUAUUAUUAUUCUUAUUAUUCUUAUUAUUCUUAUUAUUAUUAUUAUUAUUAUUAUUAUUAUUAUUAUUAUUAUUAUUAUUACUAUUACUACUACUAUCAAGGGUAUUUCGAUAAUUUUAGUCAUUCCAACCUUCACUUAUAUAUAAUAGUAAAUAAAAUGAUUGCACAUGCAUAUGGAUAUAUAUCGAUUCCGAAAUACUUAUUGCACCAUAAAAUUAUCAAAAUACCCUUGGUAGUCAUUUAAUAAGGAAUAAAAAGAUAUUUAUAAAAAAUUACUACCAUGUAUAAUUCAAUUACAAAGGUCUAAAUAAAAUAUUAUUAAAAUAAUACACGAGGACAAAACUAAUAAAUAUAACAAAAAAGCACUAUGCAUGUCUAACUAUUUUAUUGCUCCAUCAAAAUGAUGACAAAACUAAUAAAUAUAAGGAAAAAGCAAAACGCAUGUGUAACCAUUUAUUGCAUCAUAAAAUUACCGAAAUACCCUUGGGGUACAAAAAACAGGUAAUUUAAUAAGGAACAAAAAGAUAUUUAUAAAAAAUUACUACCAUGUAUAAUUCAAUUACAAAUCUCCAAAUAAAAAUAUUAUCAAGAUAAUACAUGAGGACAAGACUAAUAAAUAUAACAAAAAAAAAUAAUAUGCAUGUCUAACCAUUUUAUUGCACCAUAAAAAUGAGGACAAAACUACUAAUUUGUCUAUUGUGGUACUACCAAACUUUUACUUAUAUAUUCAAAUUUUUUUUCUACUGCUACUAUACUUCUACUACUACUACUACUACUAUUAUUAUUAUUAUUGAUAUUACUUUAUUACUACUAUCAAGAGUAUUUCGGUAAUUUUAGUCACUCAACUGUCACUUCUAUAUAGUAGUAAAUAAAAUGGUUAUAUAUGUAUAUGGACAUACAUCGAUUUCGAAAUAUUUAUUGCACCAUAAAAUUAUCAAAUUAUCCUUGGUAGUUAUUUAAUAAGGAACCAAAAAAUAUUUAUAAAAAAUUACUACUAUGUAUAAUUCAAUUACAAAGGUCUAAAUAAAAUUACUAUUAAAAUAAUAUAUGAGGGCAAAACUAAUAAAUAUAAGAAAAAAGAAAUAUGCAUGUGUAACCAUUUUAUUGAACCAUAAAAAUGAUGAAAAAACUAAUAAAUAUAAGAAAAAAUCAAUAUGCAUGUGUAACCAUUUCAUUGCACCAUAAAUUAUAGAAAUAUCUUUGGGGAAUAAAAAAUAGGUAAUUUAAUAAAGAACAAAAGAUAUUUAUAAAAAAUUACUAUCAUGUAUAAUUCAAUUACAAAGGACUAAAUAAAAAUAUUAUUAAAACAAUACAUGAAGACAAAACUAAUAAAUAUAACAAAAAAAAAAAUGCAUGUCUAAUUAUUUUAUUGCACCAUAAAAAUGAGGACAAAACUAAUAAAUAUAAGGAAAAACAAUAUGCAUGUGUAACCAUUUUAUUGCAUCAUAAAAUUACCGAAAUAUCCUUGAUAAUCAUUUAAUAAGAAACAAAAAGAUAUUUAUAAAAAAAAUACUACCAUUAUAAUUCAAAUACAAAGGUCUAAAUAAAAAUAUUAUUAAAAUAAUACAUGAGGACAAAACUAAUAAAUAUAAGAAAAACCAAUAUGCAUGUGUAACCAUUUUAUUGCACCAUAACAAUAGGGAUAAAACUAUUAAAUUACUAUUACUACUAUAUAUAAGUGAAGGUUCGGGUGACUAUCAAAGGUAUUUCGAUAAGUUUAGUCAUCCCAACAUUUACUUACAUAUAAUAGUAAAUAAAAUAGUUACACAUGCAUAUAGUUUUUCUCUUAUAUUUAUUAGUUUAGUCCUUAUUUUUAUGGUGCAAUAAAAUGGUUCCACAUGCAUAUUGCUUUUUACUUUACUACUAUAUAUAAGUGAAGGUUGGAGUGACUACCAAGGAUAUUUCAGUGAUUUUAAUCACCACAACUUCACUUAUAUGUAGUAGUAAAUAAAAUGAUUACUCUUUUAUUUUACUCCUAUACUAAACAAUUAAAACAAGUAGGAAGUAAUCUUCCUAAAAUUGGAUCUCUUUUGCACAUUACUGUUACCAAAAUGCCCGUGCCUUGCACGGACACGGGUAUCUAGUAUAUUAACUAAAUAAAAUUUCACACUUGGUCAAAUAAAAUAAAUCUACCAUUUAAUUUAAAAGAAAAUGUAUUAAUAUACUUUUAAGUUUUAAAAUUAUAUAAAUCCUUCACUUGAGUUAACAUCCAGAUAAUUUUAAAUGACACUGAAUAUAAUUAUAAAUUUAUUUUGACUAGUAAAUAUUUAAUGAAUAACCAUUAUAAAAAUCAAACUUUCAACAUGUAUUAUAAGUAAAUCAAAUCUAAAAUUUAACUUGAAUUAAAAAAUAUUUUUUUGACUUGCUUACUGCAAUAAGAGAAAAAACACUCACAUUAUGAUUAAUUAGCUUUUGGAAAUGCAUUCAAUUAAAAAGUUGAACCUUAACUUGAUAAUUAAAAUAUUAUUUUUAAGUGUAAAAAUUGAAAUUGUUAACUAUAAGGACUUAUAUAUGCCCUUUAGUUCUACAUCAACAACGCAAAAAGUGUAGAUAAAAUUUUUGAUAUUUUUCAUCUAUAAAAUAUGAUACGAUAAACUAACAUACCAAAUUUAUAUUUCAAGCCCAACAGUACCAUUCAAUAUCAUAGGAAAAAUAAAUACAUCUUAACUUAUCAUAUUUACAUAAAUUUCCACCCUCACAAAGUAAUUAUAAAAAUCUCAACUAAUUAUGUAUCUUUGUUGAAUGUAUCGGGGAGUUAAUUAUGUAUCUUAACAGAUCGAAAAUCUGAAAAAAUAUGUCAAGGGCUAAUAUGUAUCCUCUUAUUAGUAACAUACAUUAUUAUUUUUUCCCUCAUGAAUAAUCAAGUGUGACAUUUUUGUAACAUGGAUUAAUAAUUUAAUUUUGAAUUAGCUCGACACAAAUUUUUUUCCCGGAUACGUUUGGUAUUCGUGAGUAACUGAUUAUUAUCUUAUACUAGAAGCGAGAAGAGAACGAUCAUCGUAUCUCAUGUAUAACAGUUUUAAGUAUUUUUUAAAAACUUAAUGUACUAAUGGGCCAAAUUCUGCUAAGAAGUUUUCAGCUUAGGAGAAGCCCAAUAGCUACAUAUUGAACUCUUUAAACCUAUACAAUAAAGGAAAAAAUGCAUAAAGUAUCAAACUUAAGCAUGAAAUUACAAAAAAUAACAACAAUUUUAUUAAAUUACAUUUUGUAACAUUCAUAUCAUUAUUUUAUGUGGUCUCCACUUUUUACCCAUUUGAAGAAGUUACUGUUAGUUUCCCUAUUUUCAUGCCAUUAGCCUUCUCUUUCAUUAUUUUGAAAGAUUUUUUUCCGUUUUUUUCGCCCUAAACAAUAUCUUUCCGCUUCAAUUUUUUUCACUUUGCACGCUUUUAGCAUCAUCAGUAAAGAUUAUCUUCAUCUAUUUCAGGUAACUCUUAAUUUAACCACUGCAUGUUAGCAUUUUUUUUUUUUGGGGUAAAUUUCAGAAUUAGCAUACUCUAAUAAAUCUCAAAAUCAGAAUUUAAGGUUUUUGAUUUUAAUGGCGGAACAAACACCAAAAUUAUGAACAUAUAGUGGUAUAAGUAAUUCGAAUUUGGUCUAUGAUUGUGGACCAUCUUUUAGUCUUGGAUUAACUCAAGAAGAUGUAGUUAAAGUUGUUUCAAAUUCUUUACAGUCGAAGAAAUCUGACAAAACCGGAGGAGAUUAGGUCGAAGUUUCGCAACAAUCCGCUGAAGAUGAAAAAGAUUUUGAAAAAAAAAAUGUUGAAGAAAUCGCCUUCUCAGAAGGAAAAAAAAUCAAAAAAAUCCAGAAGAAAAGGUAAGCGAAAGAAAUUGAAGGUUUGACAUUGGUUGAUGAGGAUGUUCAGAUCUCUUUUGAUGAUGAUUCUGAAGAUGUUAGCGAGGAAGAGGUAUUUUUUUGUUCUAAAUGUAUUUUUGAGUGAAAUGUAUUUUUGCCCUAAGUAAAGAUGUUAAAGUUGUAAGUUAUAUGUAUUUUUUUUAUGUAAUUAAUAUGUAUUUUGAUGCUAUGAUGAUAUUUACUGAUUAAAUGAUGAUUUGUGAAGAUGAUAUAUGUAUUGAUGAGGAUGUUCAGAUAUCUGUUGGAUAUAUGUAUUUUUAGUAUAUAUGAUAUGUAUUUUUCAGUGUUGGUUUCAGUUUUGAUAUUAUAAAAAUACAUAUGCAUGUUAGUUUAAGCUUAAAUACCAGAACUGUCUAUUGACUAGAUGUAUUUUUAGUAUAUUUGAUAUGUAUUUUUCAGUGUUUGUUGCAAUUUUGGUAUGAUAAAAAUACAUAUGCCCGUUAUAUGUUUUUGAUUUUUAUUGGAUGAUUGAUUUGUUGGUUGCAUGUUAUAUGAUUCUUUUUAUAGGUGAUGCGGGAUGAAAUAUUCAUUGUCAAAAAACUUCCAAGAUUUACACCACACGUGUUCUUCCAGUGACAAAGAUAUUUAUGGAAGCAUACGCACAAUUUUAAACAAGGAACGGUUUAAAAACUUUUGCGAGAAAAACAUUUUUGGUUAUUUUAUGAAGAAGCAGCAAUGUGUAGUGCAAACACAAUUGUGCAGAUGCGUUAUGACGCUUGAGGUGAAAGGUAGUUCUUCUUCUGAGAUUUUGAUUUGUACUAAUGGGACCUUUCUUAAUUUUACUCCCAGGGAAUUUGCUAUCAUAACUGGAUUGAACUGUGUGUCAAAUAUGUAUGACUUUAUUUUUGACGAGGGUGUACCAAAUAGGAUGGUUGAGAAGUAUUUCAAUGGGGCAGAAAUUAUACAGAAAAUACAACUAUUUCUAGCAUUCAUGGAGAGAGUAUGGGGGAGAACAAUGAUGCAGAUGCUGAGAAAUUUGCAAUCCUGUACUUCCUGCAUUCAUUUGUCUUAUCUAAUGUUGAAACUGUGGUAAUACCCCGUCUUAAUUUCGAUUUGGCCGAUAGUGGAAGAUAUAAGGGUUUUUCAUGGGGUUCUUUAUCUUUUGAAGAUUUGGCCAAAAGUUUGAACAACCGGUUGAAAGCUGGUGGUCAAUUUUAUUUGAUUCAGGGAAUGCCACUGGCUAUUCAAGUAUGGCUUUACGAGUAUUAUUCAAAUGUCCCAUCAAAGAUUGCACUGAAGGUUGAUAAUCGGAUUCCCCAAUUAUUAAAUUGGAAGACGAUUUCACCUCGUCCACACUUUGAGUUUGUAAUGAAUGCUAUGUUUAAUGGCAAUGGCAAGGUUUGUUCUUAAUAAAUACAUAUGUAUUAAUAUGUAUUUUUCAGUAUAAAUAUAUGUAUUUUCAUUUACAAUUGUUUAACUGAUUCUUUAACAUUUAUUAUUUACCUAUUAUUCUAGGUUGUCUUUAAGAACAUAGAGCCAACGAAAAAGGAGCUGUCAAAAUUGCAAAUACCACAGAAAGAUGCAACACAACAUGAACGUUCUGUUGAUUUUGAUGACGACUUCCAGGAUCCACCACUAAGAAAGAGCAACGAACAUUCAAAGAAGAAACAGAAGGUUGAUUCCUCAACACCAGUAGUGAAGAAACCUUUAAGGAAAAAGCAAGUAGAUAGUUUUGAAGAGCAUACCCAAAUGAGGACACCAGCUCCUCGUGCCGCAAAGGCUAAUGGAAUGAAGACACCAAUUUUCAAGCCAAUUUCAAUACGGCAGACAUCUUCAAAAACGGCGAAAGAAAAGCAAACAGCUCAGGUUAUUUUUCCUCAGGUACACUCAAAGCCAGAUAUUCAUGUAGAGGAAGUAACUGUGUCAAAGCCUGAGAGUCAUGUUGACAAACAAGCCUUUAUUUCUAAGAAAGAUUUUGAUGCAUUCCACGAUGAGGUACUUUUUUUUUGGAAUAAAUUUUGUUUUUCAUGAAAAAAAUUUUGUAUAUAGAUUUUUUAUCAAAACAGGUUCAUCGCAAAUUUAAAGGAAUUCGUGGUCUAAUGAGAAAAAAAUUGAAAAAGUUGAAGAAAGCAUUUGCUCAAAGCAAGGUAAAUUUUUUCUUUGAAAAUCUUAGUUGAUUUGAAUAUAUAUACUUAUUGGAUUGCCUUAUACAAAUACUACACAUUUUGUAAAAUAACUCGUUAUGUUAUUGGACACAAUUUUUUCAGGAGUAGGUUGAAGAUAUUGAGGCUGAUAAAGCAGCAAAUGUUGAUGAGGGAGGGUUAGAGCAAUCUGGACAAUAUUUCAAUCCUAAUGUUGUUCAAUCUCCGGAUAAUAUUUUUAACGGUACAAAGGUAAAUAUUAAAGUUUCAAAUACAUAUUUAUUUGUACUUUUGAAUUUUAUAUUCAAAAUAUAGCUGAGGUUAAUAGACUGUCAAAUUUGCAAUAGAAUUGAAGAUUGACUUAGUAACAGUAAAUAUUAUUUGGUUCAUUAAAAACACUAUAACAUGCGACACAGUGUGUUUUUAGUUUUAUUCAUAUGUAUUUUUAACACUGCAUAUGUAUUUUUUAAAACUACAUAUGUAUUUUUAGUUUUAUUCAUAUGUAUUAUUUAACAAUGCAUAUGUAUUUUAACAAUGGAUGAUUAUUUUGUUAUAUUCUAUAAUAUGUUUUUUUGAGUUUGAUGUUAUAUAUAAAUAUGUAUAUUCAAUUUUUAAAAAAAAAACUGACUCAAGUAUUAAUAGAUUAUUUUAAUUUGUAUAUGUAUUUGUAGCAACAACAUGCAGAUAAAGAUCCUGAAGUCCAGAAUAUGGAUUAUGUUGUUACUGAAAAAUCACCGCAACAAUUAAGUUUGGAGGUUGAUCAGGAAUUGGAGGCAAAUUUGCUUGAUAAAAAAGUAAAUAAUUAAGUUUCAUAUAUAUAUUCAUUUGAAUUCACAUAUAUAAAUAGAUACAAGUACAUGUUUGUUUGAUGUUUUGAUUUUUAUACUUGUUUUCAAGGGGUGCACUAUUUUGCGUUAUGAAAAAAUGAAUGUUGAAAUUGAUUCUCAACAAUUAAUUCCUGAUGAGCUUCUCCAAAAUAUAAAUUUGGAUUACUUACAUUCUGAGAAGGUUGUUCAACAUGAUUGUCAAGUAUGUAUAGUGAUGUUAACUUUAUCUUCAUGUCAUGUAAUAAUCAAUAGGACAAUUAAAUUAUUUCUUUCAUUUUUUGGCAGACCAGCGAUGAGAAAAUUGAUGAAACAAUUUUGUCUGAUUCGCAAUUCAUAAUCCCUGAUGUUACCUAGCCUAAAUGUGUAUCAAAUACAAAGCAUCAUCAUACAUCCAUCGGCAAACCGUCAAGAAGAAUCUCAUCAUGAAAUUUUGGAUGCAACAACUUCUAAGACUGUUAUUGAAGAUCAUGAUCAAGUAUGUAUCUAACUAUUAUAUAUUUUGAGUUUAUUUAAGUUCAAUUUGAUGGAAAAAAUGUAAUAUUCUUUUUUCAAUCUUUUUGUUAGAUCAACAGAGGAAUCACUAAUUCAGAGGUAGAACUUGUUAGAACUUGCUCCUCGGUAUCAAGUUAGAACACCUCCUAAUACACAAGAAGUAACCAAUGAUGAACAGAAGGAUGAAAAAUUGUGGCCUGAUUCACAAAACACAAUCCCGGAUGAAUUUCUACCUAGCUUGAAUGUCUACAAUAAAAAAAGCAUCAUUAUUCAUCCAUUCGCUAAUCGUGAAGUAAGAACUCCAAGACCAAAGUUAAGGAUUAGGCGACCAUCAAAAUUUAAGGAAUCGCCAUACACCAAAAAAUUUGGUUCAGCUACUGGUAAGUACAAUAAGAUAUAUAUAAUUUUUUAUGUAAUAUGUAUUGCAAAUACGUUUGUAUUUAUUAAGUUUUUAUAUUCUACAAUUAUAUAGGGAGCUCAGCAGGGGUAAUACGCAUAUUCCCCCAGAAACAACAAUUUUUAUAUCACCUGAUUGAUGGGAUAAAAGAUUGAAAGAUUGUGAAGAACUUCACGGACUGAAUUUCUACGGACCUAUUAAAAGCUACUGCUAAGAGGUUGUUCUUUUGAAUAGUGACAAAUUAUCUUUUUGUAUCAAUACAUGUUUUCAUGGUCUACCAAAUACUUAAAAUACACAGGAAAGGAAAAGUGGAUCAUUACAAGAGGGGAAAAUCAAAAAUUUCAAAGAUGUAUUUUGGUGUUGAGACUGUGGAAGACAAAAACUGGUUCUAUACGAUGGGAUUUGCAGAUCAGACAUGGACAGACUAGGUUAAUAUAUUAUUUUGAAAUGAAAUUUUUUUCAUUUCGUCUGUAACAAUACUUAAAAAUACAUAUUAGGUUACAUUGAAAUACAUUUGGUUUAACGUGUAUGUAUUUUUAAGAAUUCAAAGUAUGAUAUAGUAUAAUACAUCAAAUACUAUUGCAUAUACUAUGCAGAUAACAUUGUCUGCAUGUAACUGAACUUUAAGAAUGCAAUUUUUGAUACACAAGUCAUCUAUAUUAAUAUAAAAAAUUGCGUAUGUAUUUUUUACUUGCAUAGACUGUAAUAUUUAGAAUACAAUUUUUUUGAAUGCUCUAAAGUUUGUCGUAUUCACUAAUGCAGCAUAUUGAUGUCUGCUUUUACUGCUUGAGGAAGAAGUCGAAGUAUGGGCCGCACAGUUCGUACAAAAAUGAGCCAAACAAAUCAUACAAAUACAGUACAGUUGACUGCAACUGUAUGAACGUAAUUAGAUCGUUGAAUGAUGUAUAUUCUAUGGAUGCUCAAAAUCUUAAAGAUGGAGGUCAGGAGCACCAUCUUAUGGAAUACAUCAAUGAUUUCCGUAUGCAUACCGCAGUACCAUGGCAUACAGUCGAAGAAAUUUUUAUUCCGGUCAAUAUAAAGGAAAAACAUCACUGGGUUCUCGCAAUUUUAUUAUUUUCAGAGAGGUGUAUAUUCUUGUAUGAUUCAUAUGAAUCCAGUGGUCAUUAUGCGGCUGUUCUUGCUGAGAUCGAGAAAAUAGCAAAGAUUAUUCCAUUGUGUCUCCAAGCAUGUGAUUUCUAUGUUAAGGAAGGGAUUGAUCAUCAAAGACAUCCAAGAUACAAAGACAAAGAAUCCUCAUAUAUGUUUGAUGUUUUAUUUCAAGAUGAUUUGCCUCAACAACCCAGUGAAAGCUUGUAAGUUUUGAAAUUACAUAUACCAAAACUGUAUCUUUGUACAAAAUAUAUUUCACCAUUUAAUCAAAUUUAUUUAUUUUUGUAGGGACUAUGGUGUGUUUAUGGUUAUGUAUGCAGAGUGGCUUUCUUAUGGUCACAAAGUUAUUGCGUCUGAGUUCGACCCCAACGCACUCCGUACAAGAUAUGCUGCACUUUUAUGGGAUUAUGGGAUCCGAAAAUAAGAAGCAAAUGCCAUUAGUGAUGUCGAAGCACCCGUGAGGCCUGUAAGGUAAAGUAGAAUAACUAGUGUCACUGAAGUUGUUGAUGUAUGAUAGUUUAUUGAUUUUUGACUUUUUGUACUUUAAAAACUAGUUUAUGGAUGUAGGUUUUGAUUGUACAGACUAAUUAUAUGUUUUGAAUUUGUUCAUAUUUCAUGAAAUUCUACCUUUUACGGUGAGACAAAAAAUACUUGCGUAGUUUUUAUAUUACAUUUACAAAUACAUAUAUCGUAUAAAAAUACAUAUGCAGUGUUAAAAUCAAAUAUUGCAAAAAUACAUAUGAAUCAUUCCUAAUAUGCAUUUUAGUAUGUUGUUUUUGUUCUCUAAAGUUUUUCACCACAUUCCUAUAUUAUUAAAUACAACAUGUAGUGUUAGAUUUAAGGAGUUCAAUAUUUUACUGUGAGAUUUAGUUGAAAAAAAUACAUAUGUAGUUUUCAUAUUAUCCUUAAAAAUACAAAUGUAGUAUAAAUCAAUUGUUUUUCAAUAAAAAAAUACAUAUGAAAUAUUAAAAGCAAACACUUAAAAAAUACAACUGCAACAUACCUAAUAUGCAUUUUUACUAUAUUUUCAUUAACUAUAAUUAUAAAUUAGGAUUUAAAUUAAAGUGUAAUUUGACAUUUUAAUUCAGUUNNNNNNNNNNNNNNNNNNNNNNNNNNNNNNNNNNNNNNNNNNNNNNNNNNNNNNNNNNNNNNNNNNNNNNNNNNNNNNNNNNNNNNNNNNNNNNNNNNNNNNNNNNNNNNNNNNNNNNNNNNNNNNNNNNNNNNNNNNNNNNNNNNNNAAAAAAUACAUUUGUAUUAUACAUCAAAUGUAUUUUUACAGUAUAAAUUCAUAUGCAGUAAUAAUAUUAUGCAAUUCAAACAUAUAUUUAUAUGUCACAUAUAUUUAAAACAGUGAACAAUUACGAAUCAUAUACUUGUUUUGUGAAUCAAAGUUACCACCUUUAACCUAACAUAUAUUUACUAUGUCAAAAAUACAUAUGAACUGCUGCUUAAAAAUACAUAUGUAAUGUACAGAUUUUGAAACAUAUAUAGCUCUAUUAUUCAGAUAUUACUGUCUUCAAUUGUCAAAUGAUUCAUAAAUGCAUUAACUAGACUGAAUUAGUUCAUCAUUAUAAAAAAAGAAAAAAAAAAUAAGAAACAAUACAAAAAAAGAAAUGUAUCAUUUAUAUUUCCUACAAGAGUGCCUAUUGUGACCCUUAACCCCACAACCACCACAUGAGUAGAUAUUCUUCUUUCCAAACAUAUCCCGGCCUGAUUUUCCACGAUCCUUCUUUGCAGGUCUUCCUGGAGGUCUUUUGUAUUUUAGAGGCAGUACUAUUUCAGCAAGUGUGGUCUCUGGAAUUAUCCAGUCAUCGCUGUGUGGCAACGGGUACAUUGGAACAUCAUAUGUCUUCAAAACUGUUUUUAGUUUAAACAAAUCAGAACAGUAUGGCCCCUUCUCAAAAUUCUUUUUCUCUAACACCGCACAAGCAUGUGCACAUGGUAUCUCAUCUAUUUGAAAAGUAUUACAUGAGCAUUUAUUUUCUUUGAUGCAAACAAUGAAGUGCUUUUGUUUGUCGUGUACCGUAUAUACAUACUUUGUGGCUGAUACAACCUGACAUAAAAAUAAAAAAAUAUUUAUGUAAUAAAAAUACAUAUGCAGAGUACAUUUUUACAGAGCAGCCAAAUACAUAUGUAGUUGUUAGUAAUUUUCAAUACAACAAUAUACAUAUGCAAAAUACAUAUUAUGUAUUUUAAAUGUUCAUACAUUUUAUGUUUUAUAUCUUUUCAUUUAUUUACAACUGCAUGGAAAGUAUUUUCACAUUGAUACUUUAUGCAUUUUAUCCUUUCAUAUUUAUGUUUUCAAAAUUAAAAUUUCCACAAAUCAAAAAGGUCAUACCGUCAUACGGGUACACAAAGCCUCGUUCUCACUGAAUAUGUCAUUAAAAUUUCCAAUGAUUGUUAUGAAGGUAUAUGAAGCCUCCUUCCUAUUUGCACAAUUCCAUUUUGCAAACAGUAAUCGAACUUUCUCAAGAAAGUCAUAAAUUGGCAAUUCUCUAGCUGAUACAAGCACUCCAUUUAUUGACUCUGCAAUGUUUGAAGUCAAAGUCCAUCCUCUGUGAACUUUUGCAUGCGACCUAGCCCACUUUUCAUAACCGGCCAAUUCCAAACAUAUCUUCACUCUCAUAUCAGCUGCCUCAACUCUUUUCAUUAACAUGUGAAAUUCUGACUUUGAAUAUGAUUUGACCAUUGUAUAAAAUAUCUCCGACAAUGCAUCGUGUGACUUUCUGUAAAGUUUUUUCACAUUACCCCAUAGAUGCCAAAUACAUGCAUAAUGUGGAACAUCUUCAUACACAUCACCAACAGCCUUUAUAAUGCUUGGAUUCCUAUCAGACACAACACACAUGUUUUGCCUAACCCCGUACGCUUCCUUUAGAUUCUCGAAGAACCACAUCCAAGAUGCAUCAUUUUCAGAAUCAAGAACACCAUAUGCCAAAGGAAAUAUAUGACCUGUAUACAUAAUUCAUAAUUUUCAGAAUCAAGCACAACAUAUGCCAAAGAAAAUAUAUAACCUGCACAUAUAAAAAAAAAAUCUGCGCAGGCCGAUUUAAAUACAGUUAGGAACUGCAUAUGUAUUUAUUACAAUAUAGUUCAAUUAAAAUAUGUAUUUUAUCUACCAGAAAUUGUAUCAAUUACAUAUAAUAAAAUUUACAUCAACCUCACUAUCAAACAUAAUCAAUUUUACAUGUUUCAUUCAGAAAACUUUGAACAUAUAUCUAAUUAUAUACACAUAUGUAUAAAUGAGUUGGAUAUAUGUACUUUUCAACUCUACAGCAGAAAGCCAAAAAAAAUACAAGCGGUUAUAGUAAUUAAGUGCUACUAACCUGCUCCAUCUGUUGUACAUGUUGUUACAAAUGCCCCAGUAUACAUUCCUGUCAGAUGACUAGCAUCAACAACUACGACUGAUCUACAAUGAUCGAAUCCUUUAAUGAAUGCAUGUAGAGCGAUAAAUACAUACAAGAACGCAUUAUCAUCUGUCUUCUUCAUUCUUAUAUGUGAAUCCGGAUAGGUAGUAUUCAGAACAUAUAAGUAUAAUGGCAGUUUCCCAUAAGAUGUUGAUAGCUUACCCCUCAAUUCUUCUAACGCUCUUUCCUUUGACCUCCAACAUAAAGUGUAUGUCAAAUCCAUACCAAAAUCCUCCUUCAUGUCAUUUUUUAUUUUCGUCGCACUGUAUUUUCUUUUGUGGUUUUUGAAUUUCUGUUUAACCAUACCAGCUAUCAACAUACUAGUUGCAUGCACCUUUGGAUAGAUAUUGUCCUUCACCGGGCAUGUAUGUUGAGGUCUGAAUUCUCUUAUUCUAAACAUUCUUGUUUCUCCUAUUCCUGAUGCAUGCAUUAAAAACUCACAGUUUCUUGAUUUGCAAAACAAUGUAUACCUGCACGCAACAUAAUUUAUUACACUAAAAUUCAUAUCCAAACUAAUAUUAAACAAGAUCUGAGAGAUAUAGAAUGUACAUACGUUUUCUUACUUGGCCUUUUACUGCGCGUUUGAAACUUCUCCCUAAUUGAAUAGUCCUUCAUGACUGACUUUAAAAUUAUUUUUCUCAAGUAAACCUGGUCUUCCUCAACAUGCUUAUGAUGUGGGUCUGAGAUAAUCACCUCAACAGGAUCCAUCNNNNNNNNNNNNNNNNNNNNNNNNNNNNNNNNNNNNNNNNNNNNNNNNNNNNNNNNNNNNNNNNNNNNNNNNNNNNNNNNNNNNNNNNNNNNNNNNNNNNNNNNNNNNNNNNNNNNNNNNNNNNNNNNNNNNNNNNNNNNNNNNNNNNNNNNNNNUUACAUAUAAAGGAAGACAAUUCAUGUCUUGUAUCAGCUUUUUCUGCAAUAUAAACACUUUUAAAUCCAUAUCGUUAUGUAUUUCUAUCUGCCCUGCGUUAGGAGUGAUUUGAUAUUCCACUAGAAUACGUUUGAUGGUUAAAUCCACACUUAAGUGAGAUGCCAAAACAUCGUGCAGCUCAACGAAUGUGGCUGAUGUGCUCAACAAUAUAGCAUCAGUGACAUAUUCUUCAAAGUUCUUUUCGUACGUCCAUCGACUAGAGUGCUUCACAAGGACUGGUAUGCUUCCCAUUUCUAAAAUACAAAAUACACAAACUAUUUGAUCAAACGGAAGUAAAACAGGCACCAAACAUAUUAUCACAUAUACACUUAUACUCUCAAAUUCCCACAAGCAAAACAAAAAUACAUAUGCAGUGUUUACAUAUAUCGCAUAUAAAAUACAUAUGCAGUGUUAAAACUAAGCAUAUCAAAACAAUACAUCUGGAGCAUAACUAAUUUGUAAUUUGAUAUGUUACAUACAAAUUUGUCAAUUAUCUCUUCUUAUAACACGCACUUUUCAGAUUUACGUGCAAACAAAGAUACACAACCAACAUCUCAAUUAAAAAAAUACAUACACACAAGAUUACCUUAAACUAAAAUAUUUUUGCAAAUAUACAUUUAUAUAUCAAAAUACCUACAACAAAACAAAAAAUACACAUGCACCAUUACCAUUAACAAUAUCAAAAAUACGUAUGCAGUAUUAUCAUUAAACACAUCAAAAAUACAUAUGGACGAAGAUAUUUUAUACUUUUAUCUGGGUUCACAGAAUAUCGUCAACUUCAACAGAAACAUUUGUUCAAUCAAUUAUCUAGUAUUUCAAAAAAAAANNNNNNNNNNNNNNNNNNNNNNNNNNNNNNNNNNNNNNNNNNNNNNNNNNNNNNNNNNNNNNNNNNNNNNNNNNNNNNNNNNNNNNNNNNNNNNNNNNNNNNNNNNNNNNUGAACUGAAUAGCAAUAAUGGUUAUGUACCUUGAACAGCAGUAAUGGUUGAAUUUUCAACUGACAGUUGAAUUCAAACAAAUAUAAUAGAUGAAUCAACAAUUGAAUUUGAUUCAAACGAAUAACUGCUUCGUUUUGCAAUUGCUGUUAAUUUCGCAUAAGAAUCAGUUCAAUUUGAUUAAGCAAUACAGGGUUGGUUUAGAAAAAAUUGAAAAAAAAAAUAUGCAGCUGUUAAUGGUGAAAAACUGAAAUUUGAAUUAUUUGAUUAUAACGGAUGUCACGUUUUUUAAGUGUUUUAAAUGCAAAAGGAAUCAACAUGUUUACUUGAUUGGUAAUUAUACCAUAUAUAGCUCAACUAAUUUCAGUUAAUUAAGUGCAGUAAUUUUUUUGUAGAUGUAUUUUUACAGCAACAUCUUUUAAAAAUCCAAAAUAAAAGUUGCUAUAAAAUGUAAUUAUGAAACUGUUGCUAUAAAAGUAGUAAUUAGGCUCUUAAGUAUGCUACUUGUGAAUUUUACCCUACAAUAAAUGUGACACCUAAGCCUAUCUUACUCUUACAUAUUUCAAUAAUAUUAUUAAUCUUAUAUACACCCGAUGUAUACACAAAACACGGUUAAAGUAACUCUAGUAACAACAUUGUCGCAAACCAAUGUGAGUUCCCAUCAAAAUGUAUCCUACCACAAUCAUAGUAGAAUUAAUUGAAUAGGCUAUAAACCAAAGAAUUCGUGUUUUAUUUGAAUAAUCUAUAUUCCAAUAAGUCAUAGAUUGUUAGAGAAAUGACACAUUUACUUAAUAGGCGUUUCGCCAUGAGAAUUCUUUCACUUUUUUCGAAAAAUUCUUUAACUUUAGUAAAAAAGUGAAAAUAGUAGUGUUUCGUGAUAAGAAUUAUUUUCCUCCGCUAUUUCUCACACAAAAUUUCAAAACAACUCCACUUUAUAUUCAUGGACAAACACAAUACCAACUCCAACUCAGAAAAAAUAUUAUUUUCAUGCCUAAACGUGGCCUUAAUCACAAUCUGCAACAGUAGUUCUACCAAUAGAUUCAUUUACAGUGAUCAAAUUUGCCACUUCCAUAAACAAAAUUCACAAAUAUAAAUUGGGUUGUGCUUCAUCUAUAUGGCCCUAAUCAUAAUAAGCCCAAAAAUGAAAGGAAAAGUGCACAACUAACCGAUUUGGACUAUCAUUUAAAUCAUAGCCAUUGUACAUAAUUUUUUUUUUUGUAAAUUUAGCCGCUUCAAAACCAAAUAAGGCAUAUGUGAUCAAAGUUGCAAAAGUUCAAGUCUGAACGAACGACAAAGUUCUAACAUUUUUACAUAAAAUUUGGCUUGUCACGAUCAAACUCUUGAUAUUUGAUUUGCAAAGGCCCAACUACCAACAUUUAUAUCUGAAGUUUGGUUGGUUAAGACGAUUGGUGUUAUAGCGACUAACACAAUAAUGAUGGUGGUGAUUAUGAUAAUCAAUUGAUUUGAUGUUAGUAGUUGAUGGUUUGAUGGUGGUUGUCGCUGAAAAAUGUGUGGUGGUUCACGAUGAGUGUUGGUGGAGGUAGUAGAUAUUAGGAAUUGGCUUCAGUAACGAUAGUAACGAUAGUGACUGAUAGUAAUAACAAGUUGGUGACACAGUGUGAUAGCAUAAAUAAUUAUAAUAAUUGAUAUGUAAACAUGAUAGCAUAAGGAGUCGUUUGGAUAGGAAAGAGUUAUUAUCUCGGGAUAUCCCAGGAAUAAUUAUCUCACCAUGUAUAUGGGAUAAGUGGGAUAACUUAUCCUAUCACUAUGAUAUAAAUGGUGGGAUAAAUAAUCUCGAGACUAACUAAUACCUCCAACCAAACAUGGAAUAAAAUAAUCCCACAUUUUAUUCCGAGAACAUUGACCAACUUAAAGGGUCAAACAUAAUUAGAAAACUUGAUUAAGUUAAUUGUGGACUUGAUAAAUAUUUUCAAAACUUUCUAAUAUUUUUAAAAAUACAAAUAAACCCACACCUCUCUCCUUUCCAAAUCAACCGUCUCUUUCCUCUCUCUCGAGACAGUCUCUCUCGACUCUCUCCCAAUUAACAGUUCUGCAAAAUUACUCCAUUUAAUCCUCGACGGUUUCAAGCUCUGGCGACAAAUAGUUGGGCGGUUUCUUUUCAACUUUCAAUCAUCAAUCGACAUGACAAGUAGUGUUCUCUGGUGACAACAACGUUGAGUUCUUCGUCGUCCCAUUUCUUCUUUCACAGGUAAAAAAUUAUGUAUUUUUUAGUUAUGAAGAAAAAAAGGAACUUGAGUCAACUCCUCUUCUAGUAUUGAUUAACAAUUUCAAUAUUUCUUGCUUAAAUUUGAAAUGUGGACCGAAGAAAAUCCUAAUUUCUGGCAUUUCUUCUCUACUCUUUUCGUUGUGAAAUAUAAUUUUUUGUUGUUAUUGUAGUUCUUGUUAUCACUUGUCAGUAAGUGAAAGCGGAACAUCAAAGACCCGAUGGUCUAGCUCAAACCUUUAGUAUUCCUGUGUGGAAAUGGGAUGCUAUUAAUAUGAACUUCAGUGUAGGCUUACCUUUUUCUUAUCAAAAACAUGACUCUAUUUGGGUAAUAGUUGAUCGAUUGACGAAAUCAACCCAUUUUCUUCCUGUUAAUUCUACCAGCACGGCUGAAGCUUCUGCCAAGCCUUAUGUAAAGAAGAUUGUUCGCUUACAUGGGACCCCGAUGUCUAUUAUUUUAGAUAGAGGUUCCCCGUUUAAAGCUCAAUUUUGGAAAUCAUUUCAUAGGAGCUUGGGUACUCAAGUGAACCUUAGCACUGCAUUUCAUCCGCAGACAGACGGUCAGGUCGAGCGCAUCAGUCAGACGCUCGAAGACACGUUGAGAGCAUGCGUGCUGGAUUUUAAAGGUAAUUGGGAUGAUCAUUUGCCUUUAAUAGAAUUUGCUUAUAAUAACAGUUAUCACUCUAGCAUUGGCAUGACUCCAUUUGAAGCUCUCUAUGGGAGACGAUGUAGAUCACCUAUUGGUUGGUUUGAAGUAGGUGAGACACAGGUAUUACGUUCGAAUCUAGUCCAUCAAGCUGUCAAAAAGGUUAAAUUGAUACGAGAACGGUUGAAGACUGCCAAAGUAGGCAAAAAUUAUAUACGAAUAUGCAACGUAGAGAUUUAGAAUUCCAAAUUAAUGAUUUUGUGUUCUUGAAGGUGUCGCCUAUAAAAGGCGUUAUGCGAUUUGGUAAGAAGGGUAAGUUGAGUCCCGGGUAUAUUGUGCCCUAUAGAGUUAUUUGUAGAAUUGGCCAGGUAGCUCAUAAUUACCUCCAGAGUUAGCUGCAGUGCAUCCUGUCUUUCAUGUGUCUAUGCUACGUAAAUGCUUAGGAGAGCCAUCUCGUAUCAUCCCUAUUGAAGGUAUUGAGUUUGCUGGAUACUUAUCUUUUGAGGAAGUCCCUGUGGCUAUAUUGGAUCGCCAAGUCAAAAAGUUGAGAACCAAAGAUAUAGCUUUGGUCAAGGUGCUUUGGAGAAACCAGAAUGUAGAAGAAGCCACUUGGGAAGCAUAAGCGGAUAUGAAAACUAAAUACCCAUACUUGUUCCAAAAACUACCAGAAGGUUCUUAAAUUACUUGCCUCUUUAUAUGAUUGAUAGUUUUUACUGUAUUAUGUUAUGUUGAUAUCUAAUUCUUACUUGAUAUGUUUAGGUACAUGAUUUGUACCUAUGGGUCUUGAGAUUUACAUGGAAACAGCGUGUAUAUGAAGAGUAAAAGGUAAGUUACAUGAUUGAUUAUGACCUUUAAUUGUGUGUAAGGCCAAGAGGAUCUCGUGAACUAUUUCUUGAGUUUAAGGCCAAGUGGAGCCUCAUUUGUUAUUUGUUGAGUAUUAUAUGUAUAGUGACACUCUGUGAAGCGUAUUUGGAUGUAUUUUGGCUAACUGACAGGUACUCGAUAGGCCUAUUUACAAAGAAAACUCUGGUGAAAUUUUUGAAAAUUUUGAGAGUUAGUCAAAUUAAGGCCUCAUGAUGGGUCAAGUGAGACUAGAGUUGAUUAAAUGACCUUAAGAAUGUCUUAGAUAGUUAUGGGAUGGAAAGUAAGGUACAUACAUCAUUCGAAGAUGAAUGACCCUAAGUGGGGGAGAUUGUAGCACCUCGAGAAAAUUUUGAAUUAAGUUAACAGCUUAAAUUAAGUGCAACUUUGACCUAUAAAGAAAAUUGCGGUACAAAGGAAUAACAAAUGGAGUAAAAAAACAUUUAUACAAGGAAUUUAUAUGUUAGCUGCUGAGAUGAGCAUCUUGAAAUAUCAAGAUACAUAUUGUAAAUGUAUAAAGUUGUAGGGUCCUUUGACCACCUUUCCUUUCUUUCUCCUUAAAAGUGAAAGUAAAAGUAAGGGUAAUAUAUAUAUAUAUAUAUAUAUGUUUUUGUGGGAAAGUUUCCUGUACAUGGAAAACUUUGAAUAUUAGCACCCAAAAGGGGUUUCUGCCUCUCUUCUCCUUGCGCAGCUCUUGACAAGAAAAUUGGAAGGAUCGUAAAGCGUACGAAAAGAUUCCUUCAAGAGGAGAUAUUCUAUGAUCCUUAGUAGCUAGAAAUUACUAGUUUUAUCAAGAAUUUUCAAGAACUCAAAUUGGGGAUUUAUUUCCAAAAGGUAAUUUCUUCACCUCAUAUUUGAAUUUACCCAUAGAAUAUGUUGGGGUGCAGUAUAAGUUGUUAAUUAUCAUUUAAUUUGAAUCUUUUCACUACCUCUUGAGAUGGGUUCACAACUAAGAUUCUCGAAAGAGAUGGCAUUUUGGUAAAGUGAAGUUUUAGGAAUUUCUAUCAAUUGGGUGAAUUUAGUGUUGAUUUGUAUGAGUUGGAAUUUAUCUCGAAUUCUUAUUAAGGAAUUCGAUUAAUUUCGGUCAUAAGUGAAAAUUACCGGAAGGGGUUAUUAAAUGCACCCACGGGUUACUAAUGAAUGCUUAUGUUAUCCUUGUAGCUAGUGAAGUUGUCUAUUGGAUAAAGAAAGUUGGUGGUUGGAUAAAUAAAAGUUAUACUAUCGCGUGUUGAAUUAUUUCAGGCUCACAUUACUGUCGUAGUCAGCGAAGCACUAAGGUAUGUAAAGAUAAACCUUCCCUCGCCAUUAAGGCACCACCCUACGUCAUGUACUCCUUCCCAUUAAUGUUAAUAUAAUUCUCAUGAAAUACAAAAGUAGAAUCUUUAUAUAUUGCCUUACGUAUCAUUCUUUCAUUCUCUUAUCAAGCUUAUAAGUAUACAUCUCUCCCUCGUUGUGUUAAGUUUCCAUGAUACUUUCAUAUUACCAUAAGUUUCUCUACUUGGAGCCCUUAGGCCACCAUAUAGAUAUAUCACGUAUUAAGAGUAAAGUAAAUAGUAAUAGCAUAGCUGCACUUGUAUAUGUUAGCUAAAUGGUCAUUUUAGCAAUUCACAUGUUAUAGGCCUUCAAGUCACUAUUUGAUAAACAUUUAAUGAUGGGAGGGUACAUAGGUUUGGCAUGGCAUAUCGCUCGAAGAAAUUCUGUGCACAGGAUCGAGACCAGAUCACUAUAGUAAGCCCAACCAUUGGGCUUGCCCACCUUUGUGGCAUCACUUGUAUUUGAAGUCAGCUGAAACGUCAUGUAGUGGUUUCCCCUGACUUGAGCCAACAUAUGGCAUAUAUGGUCUGCGGGCAGACCCUGAAAGUGAGCCCCUGGGCAGGGCGUACCUGGAUAGAGACUGCGAUUAAAGUUAUACAUAUGGGAUCAUAGCAAUGAGUAUGUGAGCAACAUAUGUUUUAUACUUGCCUCAGAUUACCUUCGGUAGGCCAUUUGUGAUUAUUUGUACGACUUAUAGGAUAAGUACAUCAUCUAGGCAAAUUAUAGGCCCUAUAUUAUAAUGAACAUUUUCCUAAAUAUUAUAUAAGAUGCUAAUAAGGAUGGUGCAUAAGUUAUAAGUUCAUAUCGUAUAUGUGUUAUUUGUUGGCUCAUACGUUUUUCACUUUAUCAUUUGUCGCAUAUGAGCUUCUGUACUUUUCCAGUUGUUAUUCUACCUGCUUUCAUACCAGUACAUGUUUAUGUACUGAUAUCUCGGGCCUACCAUAUUUUAUUAAUGCAGGCUCAGAUCUUCAGGAUAGAAGACGUCCACGUUAGGCCCUAUUGUCGUUUUCAACUGAUAUUUUGGUAAGCUCCAACUCUCUCUGGAGCCAGUCUAUGCCUAGUAUUUUUUAUUAUCUGUACAGGUCUCUGGUUGGGCAUGACGGGCCUGAUGCCAACUAGUCACUUGUAGUAUAGUGUGUUAAACUGACUAGAGCCUUCAUGGACAUCGUGUAGUAUUGUAUAGUUUUGUUAAUGUAACUCACUCAUGUAUAUAUACGACUCUUAUUUAAUAUCCCACUUGUUAUAAUCUCAUAACCUCGCGUAAGUCAUAGAGUGCUUAUAGAGUAAGUGUAUGCGGUCUUGUUUGUCCUUAUUAAUUUGGGACGUGACAUGGCGAUAGAUCCUUUUGGAAGUUCCCCUAACCAUAGAGAUGCUUCUCCAGUCAAAGAAAAUAGGAACAACCUCAAUCUCAAUGCUUCCUAAUUAACCCCUGGAAUAUUGUAUUUAGUGCAGAUCCUAUGAAAAUUUGUAAGGUGCAUGUUUGCGUCAUCCUUAGCAGCACCCGAAAACACACCCUUCAGAUUCAACAACUGGAUCAUAGCACUAGUAAUAUCAAACUUCACAUUUGGGGCUAAUAGAGGAAUAACAAUGGCUCCUGAUUCAGCAGGUUCCACAUACCCCAAAUCUUCAUCAUUUUUCUCAUCAGGUCUAAGGGGUUGGUAUGUCGAAAUAAAUGGAGAUCUGGCUUUCUGAACUCGUCGAUCAACAACCUGUCUAGGCCUGGAUAGUCCACUCAACCUCUACAGCAAGUCUAGCCUCUUCAGCUUCUCUACGUUCUUACUCUAACAGUUGUUGAGUAUGUAAGUCUACAAUAUUCUGCGAAUCUAAUUGACCACGCGAGAGUGCCGCAUUUGGGUCCACAUGUGGGGGAUCUUGCAUCCCAUCAAGAACUUGUGGACAUCCUUCUCGGUGUUUGAAGGAUUCUCUCAGGCUCUAAAUCAAAAAGGAGUAAGGGAUUGCCUCUCCUUGCAAUACUUGGCAUAUGUCCAAAUCAAAAACAGAAAAUAAAACCUGUGAACUUCACCAAUUCAAUGCACUACUCAAAUCGCCUUCUCCGACAACGAUACCAAAAUUUGAUGUCGCCCAAAACUACACCUCAAUUUGAAGUAUAAUGUGGUCGAUUGCAAAUAUAAUAACCCAACAAGGUUGGGGUCGAUCCCACUGAAAAAACGUGAAUAAUUGUUUGAAUUGAUGUAAUCCUCGAGCAGUACAGGAAAGUAAAUGGGGGGAUUUUGUUGUCCAUCGCAAAUAGUAACCAAAUCUUGAGUGCAUUUGAGUUGUAAUCAAUAUGAGACGAACGCUAGGUCUAUAUUCCCCCUAGCUUCUCAACUGCGUAGGUUUCCCGUGAUCAACCUAACUACUCUGUUGUGCUACAUGCAAAGCCUAUAAGAUAGAUAUUAUCAACUGCUGGGUAAGCUAGAAGAUAAAUUUCACCCUAUUGACUUAGUUAUCGUCUCGGGGUGUCGCCUUAUUUUCCCUUACUACGACCUCAGUUACACUUGUCAAGGUAGGAUCAAGUGAUAAGAUGAGAUGCUUGGCUAUCGUAUCCCAAAUCACUGUCUUAAUCUUAUUUUUCCUAAUUGCAAACUUCUUGGUUAUCGAAUGGAUGUGAAUACAGGCAAUCUCAAGUGUCUGCAGCUGCUAUGAGUUUAAUUAUUGCAAAGAAGAAGUAAGAUACACGCAGAAACCCUAGAACAACUGAGUCUCACACUUCCUCUACGUAACUAAUCCGCCAGGGUUCCCACAACCCUAGCUAAGGAGAUUAGCCGCUCAUGUUUGUGCAAGAAACCAUGAUUAUUAAUGAAGAACACAUAAAAUCAUUUGCACAAGAAUAAGAUGAAUAAACUCUGAAGUCUGUAAUUGAAUAAAAUCCUAAAAUCUAAAGAACAAUUGUAAGAGUGUUGUAAUAGUAUGUAAACUAAUGUAAAGGAAUGUAGUAGAAUAUAACCUAAUAAAAGAUAAACCCUAAGGUAUUUAUAGUAUCUCAAAAUAACAUAAAAAUUCUAUUAAAAAUGGGAAAGGUAAAGUUAAGUCGACAAUCGAUACGAUUCAUUCUUCACUCAUAUCCUCAGCUUACAAGUCGUACCCUUCCUUGUCGUAUCCGUUCUAGUGUCUGAUCUUCCCAAGGCUUUAACUCUCUGUUCAGCAUACGACUUCUGUUUAUGAUUCGUUCCUGAGUGUACGACUUAUGUCCUCAACUCGUAUCCACCGGGGACUUCAGUCUUUUCAAGUCUUGAACACCGGUUUGUAUAUGAUAUCUCUAUGUGAGUCAUACUCAGACUUUCGACUCGUAUACUCUUGAUACUUCCACUUCUAGAUUGUAGCUUGGGUUCUGUUAUGCUCACGUCUUCUUCAUACGACUCGUAUUCUGGCUUACGACUGGGAUACUUGAGUUGUAUCUUUCUCAUACUUGGCUCCUCGAUUUGGCUUCUGGUUUUGUUACUCAUACGAUCCAGCAUACAAGUCGUAUCGAACGGGUACGACUCAAGAGCUGACUCGUAUACUGAUCAGAGUUGGCCUUUUUCAGGUCUUUUUCUUGUUUUUUUGUUCAAAUACUAUUGUAGACCUGUUUUACCUGCAAUUCACACCAAAGUGCAUCAUAUCUAACAAAACACCCUAAGUUCACGCAUAAAUUCACGAUUUUAAGCAUCGAAAAAGUCGUGUUUCCACGCCACAUCAACACCCUCAGCUUAAACUUUUGCAUGUCCUCAGGCAAACAAAACCAAAUACUAUUAUCUAAUCUAAAGCAAUGCUUAAAACAGAAAGAUCUUAAACAACCCAUGACAGUGAUUUUGAAUUAACUUUCAAUCUUGUUGUUCCCCUCUUAGUUUUCAACUUUUCAACUCAAAUUGCGUAUAACAAUUUAGCACAUGUAGAAACAAUAAGGAAUCCGAUGAUGCCAUUACAUUAGCAAUAGACACUUGGGCAUAGACAUUGUUUACAUUAGUCAAACAAUCUAGCAACAUAUCCCAUCACAAUCAAAGAGAUCCCAUUUGCUCAUCUUUUGAAUAAAUCAAUCUGUUAAGGGAUAUAACAAAUGACUCUCACUCACAAAGAAGUAUCACCGGUGUGCACAGAAUACCAUAGGCUUGCCCUUAUGCUCUUUUCUAAGUGGUCAGAAAGUCAUGGUAGGAUCACUAUAGGACUUUAUCUGGCUUAUAACAUAGGCUUGGGGCUAGUAUGAUAGCUUUUGAGAUUCUUUUACGCUUUUCUCUCAGGGUCCACAUACUUUCCACUUUACUACUAUUGCAGUUUCUUUGCCUAUUGAACACCUUGAUGGAGUGUCUACUAGUGUUCUUGAAGCUGAAAGUUGGCUAAGAACCAAUGUUUUAGCUCACUAUCCAGCCACCAACAUCACUACUAUUCUUGCUGGUCACACUUUUGUGCCAAAAAGAUCAAGAAAAUAGAAUAAGCUUAAUCUUGCCAUCGGUUAAGAACAUUUACUACUCUCUUACAAGGUGGGGUUUGCAUGCUGAAAUCAAAGUGUCCACUUCUUUUUCUUCCUACUGCUUGGACCAAAAUAUGGCUGAAGAAUAUGUAAAACCUCUACUUGAGUUCUUUCAACAUGUCAAUGCACGUUAUGUAGUGAGCACAACAAGAGAUUUGGAUGAAAAGAUAGAAACUUUGAUGAAUAACCAUUUAGGGUCUAUGAAGAAGUUAGGAAAUUUUAGCCUAAGCAAGAUUUUCUUGAUUGGUGAGACCCUUAUGCAGAAAGCUCUUAACUUUCGACUCAAAAUACAUUAUUCCUACCAGGCCAACCCCAUUGGCUCCAAAUCCAAAUCAGCCUUCUCCAGCAUUUGCUCCUAACAGUCCACUUCCUCCGUUAAUUGGAAACAUUUCACCUCCUUUUGCUCCUGAAAUGGCACCUCCAUUGUUCAAUCCUAUUAGUCCUUCUUAUGGACCUCAUUUGCCACCUUGUAUUCCAUCUCAUGGUGGGGUUGGGGGUCCAGUAGGUGCACCAGCAAUAGGAGGUGGAGGGCUGCAUGGAAGUGAUGGGCUAUGGUGAGUAGCUAAGCCUAGUGUACUACCAGAGACAUUGCAAGAGGCAUUAGAUUAUGCAUGUGGUGAUGGAGGUGCUGAUUGUGAAGCUAUCAGUCCAACUGGAAGUUGUUAUUACCCUGACACUGUUGUGGCUCAUGCUUCUUAUGCUUUCAAUAGUUACUGGCAGAAAACUAAAAGUAUUGGUGGGACUUGUGGAUUUGGAGGCACAGCUAUGCUCAUCAACUCUGAUCCAAGUAAGCACUUUCUUCAAUUUACCUCUCCAUUUCAAUUUGGUUGUCUGAUUUUGAUUUGCGGUCUUAAAUUAAAGAUAUGUAAAAUGUACUAAAAUGUCUUUUAAUUUAUGGUCUUAAAUAUGUCACAUGGAAGUUGUAGAGUGCGAAAAUCCUUUUUGAAACGAACUUAUAAGAAAAAUAAGAUAAACAAAUUAAAAUCGAGUGAGUAAAGAAUUGAUUGGUUCACUUGCUAGUUAUGGAUUGUGUAUUGUAAGAGGUUUUCUGGUACAUGAGAUAAGUAGGGAUAAUCUAUGGUUUUUUCCUACCUUUCAAAUGGGAUAGUAAUCCUAUCAUUUUUGUACAAAUCUCAUUUGGUAGAAGGGAUAAGAAAAAUAAUCUCGGAAUUAAUUUUAUCCCACGUUUCGUAUAAGAUAUUACUUAAUCCCGAACUAUUUUAUCCCAUCAGUUUUGCUAAAAUGGUGGGAUUACUAUCCCCCAUGCAAAGGGAGGGAUAAAAUAGUCUCUAUGAAAUAUCUCACCUCAUGGGAUAUCCUUACUAUAGUCUCAUGAAUAUCUCACCUCAUGGGAUAUCCUUACUUAUCCCAUUCAGUGUACCAAACUACCCCAUAGUGGAUAAAAUAGUACUUUUGGUAUUUGAUAAUUCCUCACACAAAACAUGAAAUAAAGUUAAUUCAAAACUUUAUUUUGGGAUUAUUAUCCUCAUCUCAGGUACCAAAUAACUAAUAAGAAAGAUUAUAUAGCCAUCUUAUGCUAAUAAUCAUAUGUUUGUGCCAUUUUUUGUGCUCCACAUUCAAUUCAAGGCGUCGCUAUGUGUGGAGAAGGGGGAACCCAGGAAAUAGAAAGAAAAAUGAGAUCCAUAAAGAAUGAAUUUUAAAGUUUAUGGGUAGCAAUAACAGUUUCUCUUUUGGUAAUUAGUGAUAACAGUUAUUGAUAUUCACUCGGUUCUUUUUUAUUUAUUCACUAUACUAAAAAGUACAUGUUCAUUUUAGCAUAUUAAAAAAAAAACUACUUUUCUUACUUUACCCUUAGCUGUAGGACUAUUCCAUUUCAAAUUAUUUCUUUAGUCCAAUAUAGAGUAUACAACAACUAAUAUGGAUAUGGGUAUCAGUAAUUUUUAUGAUAAGACAUGGAAUUAAUUCAUUAUUUUUCAAAGUGCGUACAAAGUGUAUUGUGAGUAUAAGCAAAAAUGAAGGGAGAUGGUAUUAGUAUCAUAGCAUGCAAGAGUGACUUCCUUUUUCUCAUUCAUCCAAUGGCACCAUUCAAUUAAAUAUACUUGAUCUUAAACUGAACAAUCUUAGGUCCCAGUGUGUAUUAAAUAUAUAUACUGUUAAAUAAAAGGACACACAAAACUUGUGAUGAACCAACAAUUUAUUGGCUUUCGUUCUUUUCUUAUUAUUUAAAACUUAACUUGGUAAACUGACUAGUGCUUGCACUGUCUGCAUUUGCAGGGGCUCCACAAGUUUUUUUCGAAUAAUCGUUUGGAUUCAGUCCAAACUCAGUGCACAAUAUUUAGGCAUAAUGUCACCGACCAGCCCAACUCGACUUAAAAACCAGCUCAUGUGAUAAAAGGUUGCGGACAACUUAUAAGCUGCCCAAGCAUCACCGAAUUGGAAUGCCCAUGCUAUUGUCCAACCGCCAGAUUCAACUAUGUCACUGGCUCAGAAACAAGGCGAGACUAGCUCUAAUCCCACUGUCAUGCAUGGACACACCAAACUUCAACCACAAAAGCUAGCUCGUGCAGCGAAGGGUUGUGGACCACCUAUUAAGCUGCCCAAACAACCCUUGCGUCCGUGCAGAACUGGAUGUUGCAAGACGAGAGCUCUUUUGAUUAAAUUACUAAGCAAGUACAAAUUUGGACAGAAACAUGGGAAACAGCUUGUAUCAUCUAUGCUAUUAAGAAGCAUAAAUCGCAUAUUGCUUUUUGUGGAGCUGAGAGAUCUGUGUGAGAAACAAUCUAAAAGCAUCUAUCUGCAAUGUGAGCCCAAAAAUUGGAUACUCGGCUAACAACGGAUUUCUUUAUAGAUAGCUUAGGAACCAUAUCUAUCUCACUUAUUCAUUAGUGAUCGAUCACCUUUUGUCAUUUAACUGACAGCUCCUUCCAGGUCAUUCUGCCUUUCAUCAGCACCAUCAGUCAUGUCAACCAGUGCUGCUUCCCAACCAUUCUCUCUUUCAUCAGCACCAUUUGUCAUGUUGACCAGUGCUCCUUCCCGACCAUUCUGCCUUUCCUCGGCAUUAUCAUUGAAACCUUUCUGCAAAAGAUGAAGGUUGGUUGGUGGGCGUGUUAGAACCUCAGACUAAGCGAGCAGAAAAAACAGCAACUGGAUACUAAGGUAAAAACUAAUACGUGAAUAGCAAAAGUUCACCAGCUGCAAGGUUUCAAAUGCAGUUCUCUGUUCACAUAUUAUUAUGGAUAUUACUAUUACUACUCUAUAUAUAAGCGGCUAGAAGCAGGCAGGUGUUCAUGCCAGCAAAGGGUAAUUUUUUGCUCCUAUAUAUAUGUACCUUCCCUCUAUUAGACAAAAAAACCAACAUUUACUUACGACCCGUGUUGUCCCCUAAAAAGAUUUAGGGGUCGUUUGGUUGGGAAACAAGUUAUCCUACCCUCAAGGUAUCCCGUGAUGAGAUAUCCCAUGCUUUUUAACCUAACCAAACAUGGGAUAAUCUCAUCUUAAAAUUAAUCCCGGGAUUAGUUAUCCCUUAUCCCUGGUACCAAACGAGCCCUUAGGGUCAUUUGGAGAUAAGGACUAUAAUCCGGAAUGAAAUAUUUUGAUUGAGGUAUUAUCUAAAUACAGGGAUUUUUUUAUCCCGACAUUUCAGUAAAAAUGGUGGAAUUACUAUCCCAUAUAGAAAAUGGGAUACAAUAACUACAUGGGAUAUCCUUCCUUAUCUCAUCCCGCGUACUAAACGACCCCUUAUGCUUUGUCUGCAUUUUGUGCGCCCAUCUUACUCUAUCCUGCAUCACAGCAUACUCAUUUAAUAUUUGUAGUGUUAUUAUAGAGAACAGUUCAUAAAUUUUUUAACCGAGGUAAUUGUUUCUUUUUUUUUUUUUUUUUUAAAAACCAAAAAUUGUUUCGUACGCAGGCAACAUAUAUUACAACAACAACAACAACCCAGUGUAUUCCCACAUAGUGAGGUCUGGGGAGGGUAAGAUGUACGCAGUCCAUACCUCUACUUCUAAAGAAGUAGAAAGGUUGUUUCCGAUAGACCCCCGGCUCAAGACACGGAAUAAUAAACAAAUUCAUAGUAAAGCAUCGGACAAGAUGGCAUAACAUAAAUACGACACCCACAAGUAAUAGUAAACAGAGAAAAGUAAACAGAUUCGUAAUAAAGCAUGAAACAAGGUAUCACAACAAGAAUAAUACCCCCACCAAGUAAUGCCCUACACUAGCGACCCAAACUAACCCUAGCCUUCUUCCCUAAUUCGCGUCCUCCAGAUCUUCCUAUCUAGGGUCAUGUCCUCAGUGAGCUGUAACUGCUCCAUGUCCCGCCUAAUCACCACUCCCCAGUACUUCUUCGGCCUACCCCUACCCCGACUAAAACCAUCCAAAGCUAGCCUCUCACACCUACGAACCGGGGCAUCCAUGCCCCUCCUCAUCACGUGUCCGAACGAUAUCAAUCAGACUUCCCGCAUCUUAUUCUCCACUGAAGUCACACCAACCUUCUCCUAAUCUCAUUCCGAACUCUAUCCCCCCUAGUCAGCCCACACAUCCAACGCAACAUCCGCAUUUCCGCUACCUUCUUAUCACACAACACCCCGAAGUAAGCUUCCACUUCAUCCAUCCCGCCCCAAUACGGUGCGAGACAUCCUCGUCAAUCUCACUGUUACCCUGAAUCACGGACCCGAGAUACUUGAAACUAUCCCUCUUACAUACCACCUGUGAUUCCAACUUCACUCCCACCUCAUUCUCCAGCCUCAUGUCAUUAAACUUGCAUUCCAAAUACUCUGUCUUGCUCCUACUCAACCCGAACACUUUAGACUCAANNNNNNNNNNNNNNNNNNNNNNNNNNNNNNNNNNNNNNNNNNNNNNNNNNNNNNNNNNNNNNNNNNNNNNNNNNNNNNNNNNNNNNNNNNNNNNNNNNNNNNNNNNNNNNNNNNNNNNNNNNNNNNNNNNNNNNNNNNNNNNNNNNNNNNNNNNNNNNNNNNNNNNNNNNNNNNNNNNNNNNNNNNNNNNNNNNNNNNNNNNNNNNNNNNNNNNNNNNNNNNNNNNNNNNNNNNNNNNNNNNNNNNNNNNNNNNNNNNNNNNNNNNNNNNNNNNNNNNNNNNNNNNNNNNNNNNNNNNNNNNNNNNNNNNNNNNNNNNNNNNNNNNNNNNNNNNNNNNNNNNNNNNNNNNNNNNNNNNNNNNNNNNNNNNNNNNNNNNNNNNNNNNNNNNNNNNNNNNNNNNNNNNNNNNNNNNNNNNNNNNNNNNNNNNNNNNNNNNNNNNNNNNNNNNNNNNNNNNNNNNNNNNNNNNNNNNNNNNNNNNNNNNNNNNNNNNNNNNNNNNNNNNNNNNNNNNNNNNNNNNNNNNNNNNNNNNNNNNNNNNNNNNNNNNNNNNNNNNNNNNNNNNNNNNNNNNNNNNNNNNNNNNNNNNNNNNNNNNNNNNNNNNNNNNNNNNNNNNNNNNNNNNNNNNNNNNNNNNNNNNNNNNNNNNNNNNNNNNNNNNNNNNNNNNNNNNNNNNNNNNNNNNNNNNNNNNNNNNNNNNNNNNNNNNNNNNNNNNNNNNNNNNNNNNNNNNNNNNNNNNNNNNNNNNNNNNNNNNNNNNNNNNNNNNNNNNNNNNNNNNNNNNNNNNNNNNNNNNNNNNNNNNNNNNNNNNNNNNNNNNNNNNNNNNNNNNNNNNNNNNNNNNNNNNNNNNNNNNNNNNNNNNNNNNNNNNNNNNNNNNNNNNNNNNNNNNNNNNNNNNNNNNNNNNNNNNNNNNNNNNNNNNNNNNNNNNNNNNNNNNNNNNNNNNNNNNNNNNNNNNNNNNNNNNNNGCCUCCUUCCUAGCUAACUUGUACUCUUUCCAGUUUACCCGUCUCUCUUCUUCGUCCUUACUCUCAACCAACUUAGCAUACGUCCCUUUCUUGGUCUCCACUUUCUUCUUAACCUCUUCAUUCCACCACCAAUCCCCCCAAUAAUGCCCGGCCCAGCCCCUAGAAACACCCAACACCUCACCCUGAUGCACCUAGCCACCCUAUCCCACAUACUCUCCACGUCCCUCCUACACUCUCAUACCCCCAUUCCCGCCAACUUCUUCCGUAUCUCCCACGCAUUCACUGGCGUCAAGCCGCCCCACUUAAUUCUAGGUCUACACUCCUCACCCCUUCUCUUCCUAUCCUUCUUUAUACCCAAAUCCAUAACCAAGAGCCUAUGCUGGGUCGAAAAAUUCUCACUCGAGAUGACCUUACUACAGUCCUUACACAACACCCUAUCGCCUUUCCUAAGCAACAAAAGUCAAUCUGGGUCUUGGCUAUCACGCUUCGGAAGGUGAUCAGGUGAUCGUCCUUCUUCGGAAAGCCCGAGUUCACCACCACCAGCCCAAAGGACCUCGCAAAAUCCAAUAGAGUAGCCCCCUCUUCAUUUCUUNNNNNNNNNNNNNNNNNNNNNNNNNNNNNNNNNNNNNNNNNNNNNNNNNNNNNNNNNNNNNNNNNNNNNNNNNNNNNNNNNNNNNNNNNNNNNNNNNNNNNNNNNNNNNNNNNNNNNNNNNNNNNNNNNNNNNNNNNNNNNNNNNNNNNNNNNNNNNNNNNNNNNNNNNNNNNNNNNNNNNNNNNNNNNNNNNNNNNNNNNNNNNNNNNNNNNNNNNNNNNNNNNNNNNNNNNNNNNNNNNNNNNNNNNNNNNNNNNNNNNNNNNNNNNNNNNNNNNNNNNNNNNNNUCAAUCUGGGUCUUGGCUAUCGCGCUUCGGAAGGUGAUCAGGUGAUCGUCCUUCUUCGGGAAGCCCGAGUUCACCACCACCAACCUAAAGGACCUCGCAAAAUCCAAUAGAAUAGCCCCCUCUUCAUUUCUUUCCCCAAAAACAAAACCGCGAUGCACAUCACUAAAGCCUCCCGGUAAUGCCCCGAUGUGCCCAUUGAAAUCUCCUGCUACAACAAUCUUCUCCGAGCUAGGCACGCCUUUCACCACCUCAUCCAAAGCCUCCCAAAACCGCAUCUUCUCCUCCCCAUUCAAGACCACCUGCGGCGCAUAAACACUACACACAUUCAGGGUAAACCCCCCAAUGACCAACUUAAUAGUCAUCAACCUAUCGCUGAUCCUCUUAACCUCCACUACCUGACCUCUAAGCUCUUCAUCUACUAAGAUGCCAACUCCAUUCCUACGCCUCUCGCUCCCAGAGUACCAAAGCUUGUAACCAUCCACAUCCCUAGCCUUAGACCCUACCCACUUGGUCUCUUGAACACACGCAAUCUUUCUAAGAAUCUUCACAAGCUCUAUGGACUUACCCUGAAGACUCUCUAUAUUCCAAGACCCAACCCUCAACCUACCAACUCUAUCAUCACGUCUUCCUCUACCGCCCCUGACGCCAAACCUUGGUAAUAAUCAAAUAUUCUGCAGAAUGCUGGUUAGACCGGCUAUGUUGUAUGAGGCGGAUUGUUGGUCAAUCAAGAAAUCUCACAUCCAAAAGAUGAAGGUGGCAAAGAUAAGAAUGUUGCGAAGGAUGUGUGGAUGUGCUAAGAAAGAUAGGAUUAAAAAUGAGGUUAUUCGGGAUAAGGUGAAGUGGAGUCGUUGCAAGCCAACAUGCAGAAAGUGACGCUGAGAUAGUUCAGACAUGUGAUGAGGAGGGGCAUGAAUGCCCUAGUGCGGGGAUGUGAGAAGUUUGCUUGGGGUUGAUUCAAGCGAGGUAGAGAUAGACCGAAGAAAUAUUAGAUGAAAGUGAUUAGAUAUGACAUGGAGCAGCUUCAGCUUACCGAGGACAAUGACCCUAGAUAGGAAGGUGUGGAGGAGGCGAAUUAGGGUCGAAGGAUAGUAGGAAAGGGGUGUGUCAUUGUUAGUAGGUAGGAGGCCUUUGUUUUGUUAUUUGUGCUUGUAGCAAUAGUACUAGUAUUAUUUCAGAAUGUUAUCAUUUGUCGUAUUACUUGGUGGAUCUUGUUUAUCUUAUUAUUGGGUGUGGUAAUUCCUACUAUUUCUUGUCUCCUAUGUUAUUUCUUUUCUAGACUUUUAUCUUAAGUGAAGGGUCUAUUGAAAACAAUCUCUCUAUCUCACCUCUGAGGUAGUGGUAUGGACUGCGUUCACUUACCCUCCCCAGACCACACUUGGUGGGAAUAUACUAGGUAUAUUGUUGUUGUUGUUGUUGUAUUCAUGAAACUAUGUUGAUAGCUUUUGUAAAAAAUAUUUCAAAUUUUUAAUAUAUUCACUAAAGUUGAAAGGGGCAAUGUCAAGGAAAUUUGCACUUACAAAAAGGAUAAAAAAUGAGAACACUAUGAAUACAACCAACUAUAGGAUAACGUAAGAUGGCCCACAAAGUUGCAACAAAGUACAAGGGGUUGUUUGGUACGGGAAUGGGAUAAGCAAGGAUAUCCCAUGAGAUUAUUUUAUUUCACUUUUUAUAUGAGAUAGUAAUCCCACCACCAUUUUUACUGAAAUAGAACGAUUCCGGGAUAAGUUAAUACCUCAAAUCAAACAUGAGAUAAAGUUAAUCUCAGAUUUCAUCUCGAGAUCAUUAUCCUUAUCCCACGUACCAUCUGACCCCUAAAUCUUUUCAGCGGACAAUGUAGGUCAUUGAGCAAAUGUUAGUUUUUUGUCUAGCAGAGAAAAGGUAUCUAUAUAAAGUAGCUAGACACAAAAGUCCUUUUUUAUAACUGUGGUAUCCGGACAAGCUUGUGCACACCUCGACUAAUUCCACGAGAUACUUGCCACCUCCCUCCCACCAGCACCGGUAUCAAGAAACACUAUCCAACCAAGGCUAAAAAAGAUGUGAAGAAAUCACCUAGUAUUGUCUUCGCUAGGAAUUGAACUCGAAACCUCAUGGUACUCAACCCACGUCAUUGACCACUUGGCCACACCCUUCUAAAGAACCAAAAAAAAAGCAAAAAUACCUUUACGGGCAUGUCGAUGACCAAUCGUCUGCUUCUAGCCGCUUUUAUAUAGUAACUAUAGAGAAGACUAAAAUUAUUUUUUACCGAGCUAAUUGUUUCUUACACAGAAAGGCCCAACUGACCAAAUGUAACCUAUGCGGCGCAAGCCUACACCGGCCUGUAACUGCUUUCUAAUUGGCUCCAUUAGGGUUCAUAGUCUCAUCCUAAAAAGGUUUUUUUCUUCCUCCGAAUAUACAUUCAACUUUCCCGCAAUCUUAUCAACAUGUCAGUCAAAAUCAGUUGUGGAGGAAAAAGAGUAAUACCUUUUUUCAGUUAAUCUUAAUAGUUUAAUAAUUCAAGUAGUGGUCUCCUUGCCUAAAAAAAAGGAGUAAGCCCAUCAUGGAUAAUGAUAGACAUACCAAAGAUUUUACGCAGUCCUUGUGUGCUUGCUUUGUGCACAGACACAACAGAAUUCGAAGUUGCUCGACGUACUAGCCUUAUAACGAAGUCAGACCCAAUACACUCUCUUAGAACAAAGCAAAGCAGGACCGAGGAGCUUGAUCUGACUCCCCGUCCAACCGCCCUGGCGUAUGUUUCCGAACCAACUACAUCGUAAGCUUCUAUAGCUUGGAAAUGAAAAAGAAACUCUAUCCUCAACCCAUCCAAUCAUUAGUUUAUGAUGUACAACAUACCCAGUAAAAUCCCAUAAGUGAGAUCCGGGGAGGAUAAAGUGUACACAGACCUUACCACUACCACGGGGAGGUAGAGAGGUUGUUUUUGAAAGACCCUCCACUUAAGUAUAGCAAAUCCAGGUACAACAAAGAGUAAAACAAUUAAGAAAAUAUUUUUACUCACUCACAAAAUUGUGUGAUAAUCGAAACACAAUAAACAACAACAAUGAUAGAUAUCUACAGCUAAACCCUAAGCUAUCAUACUAUGGUCCAUAAGCUAUCAUACUAUGGUCCAUGACAACCCUCCUACACGACUAACCUUCUACACGAAUACGCGUCCUCCACAAUCCCUAUCUAAGGUCAUGUCCUCGGUAACCUUAGUUUAUGGCGUAACAUAUAAAAUUUUGUCUCAUAUUAUUAUUUCAUGAAAUUAUGUAGAUUAAUUUCGUAAAAGAAUGUUUCACAUUUUUAAUAUAUUCACUAAAAUUUUAAGGGGCAAUGUCAAGGAAAUCUGCACUCAAAGAAACCCCCCAAACAAAUAUGUUUGGAAGAAUUCAUUGCUUUCAUUGCUCUGGGAAGUUUUAAAGGACUGCUUGAUAUCUUCAUCAACAUUUAAUUAUUUCUAUAAAAGUUUUGGUGUCAUUCAAAUUUUCUCAUAAAUAGUAAUCGCAUGACUAUUUUGCUGACACGUGAUCUCUUCAAUGUUGAUAAUUAACGACAGUCAUUAGCCCAGAAAAAAAAAACUAUGAAUAGCAAUCAUGUUUUUGAACAUUAUUUAGAAUUGGUUAUGUAUUACUGACUUGAGCCGAAGGUUUUCCGGAAACAUCUUCGGUAAGGUUUACAUACAUUCUACCAUCCCCAGACCCCACUUGUGGGAUUACAAUGGGUAUGUUGUUAUUUCCAAAACAAUUAAAUUAUUACUUUUUAAAAAAAUCACUUUGUCAUGGUUAUAAAAAGUUUUAUAACCACAUAAAUAUUGUAGCAUACUUAAGACCGACCACUUUUAGGAUAAUUUGUACUUUUUAUAACCAAAUAAAUAUUGUAGCAUACUUAAGACCGCUUUUAGAAUAAUUUGUAGGGUCGAUGCUGGCACGGGGCUCUGCAUCUAGUCACAUCGAUAUCUUAGCACAGAUUGUCUUAGCUAGUCGUUCUUUAGUGUUUUAACAUAUUGUGCUAGAGAUUCCUAUUCCCAUCGGUUGAGCAUUCUUCCUAUUCACUGUGCCUCUUUUCUUUUGGGUUCCAAAUGAAAUACUAUCAAAUUCCAUUUUGAUAUACACUACAUAUUUUAACGCAUGCGUCUACAAACUUUUCUAAAGCAUGGAACAGGAGUCAAGUAACAGAUAAUGCGAGAAAAGGAGAAGAAACAACCUUCAAUCUCAUUUGGGAAAAAAAGGGUAGCAGGCUCUGUCCAUUGCUAAGUCAAAGUUGUACUACCCAAUAAGUGCACCGAGUCACAGAAAACAAUCUUAACAGUUGCAUCGUUCCUUCAGAUGGCGUGUUCCCUAAGGAAGAGAACAACAAGAUUUUGAACAGACUACCACUUAAGAUAGAUAUCAAUAGAAAGGUAGGGUCAGGAAGACGAGAAAUAGAAGUGUUCCCUUUCUUGAAAAAGCUCUCAGACCUCAGUAGUAGGGCUUGAAGCGGUCAUCACAUUGAAAAAACUUUAGCAUGUAUGCAUGAGCAGUUAUAGGAACUAAGACAACAAACACUUGAUCACAGAGAUAUUCUACAAGUGUGAAUGUACCUUUUUAGCUAGACCAUGAGCAGACAUAAGUUCAUGGAACUUGCGCAUCAGCAUUUCUUCCUCAACCUACAAGUAGCACAAUGUUAGUUUGGAUGCUGAUGUAAUAUGAAUGACAAACCCCCUGUGCGAAAAAGCUACUAGGGAAAAUGAAUGGUAGUAUUGGUUUAUCCUAAUGUUCUACUAGAUAUACAUGUUAGUCAUCGUGCAGGACGUUCACAUCACUGGCACUCUAAAUAAAACUUUGUCAUGCUACUUGAUUAAGUACUUCCAGAUACAAACCAAAUUCACCGUAAACAAAAUGAUCUCUUGUAAGUUUUUCGUUUGAGAAUUAAAAUAUCUCACCAAACAAAUGCUAUCUGAACUCUGAAGAGCAAGUAAAACAACUAUUGAAUGACUACCACUACUAAAAACAAUAGGAAAACCAACAUGUAAUCGGUUUUCCUGAAUUUCCGACCACACAAAACCAACCAAAAUGCAUGGUCGGUAAAAGUGUGGUAGCUUUUUUUAAAAAUAUAUAUAUAGAUUUUUAAAAUUUAUUAUUAUUUUAUUAAAAUAGAAAAAAAUGAUUUUAAAAAUAAAAAAAUUCAAAAUAAAGUGGUCGGUUUUAUUUUAAAAUUAAUUAAUUUUAUUAAAAUCGACCAUCUGUGGUCGGCUUUUUAAAAAUUUCCAAAAAAACUAACCACUUGUGGUUUCUGGGAAUUUUAAAAAAAAAAAAAAAAAAAGCAACAAGCUGAACAAAUGAAACAACAUACAAUACAAAAACAAAAACAAAAAAUCAAGUGUAUUCCCACACAACUAACAUACAAUACAACUCUAAAAACUACAAGUCAUCUCCAAAUCCAAACUACAACACAUACAAAAGUCAAAAAACUACCACUCAUCAUCGUCUUCGUCUUCGUCUUCUGCAUCCUCAGCCGCACACGCAGGAUCUGAUUCCUCAUCCGUGUUGAUAUCAUCCGGUGGGUCUAGACCUUUUGCAGCCUGAACUGCAUCACCAGGACAUGGAAUAAUCCCUGCAAAUUGAAUAAAAGAGCUGAACUGCAAAUUGAAUAAAAGAGCUGAACUGCUCCUGCAGCAUCCUGAUUUGUGAUGAUGUUUCCUCUUCCUUCUACGCCCCCCCUCUUUGCAACAAGCUCCUCAGUGAGUUUAGAAAUCGUAUUUUUUAGUGAUUCAACGGUUUCUCCAUUAACUGACGAGGUAUAGGAUGUAGGGUCGAAGGAAGACCUAACAUUAUCGCCAAAAUAAUUUUUGCGGUAUCCGUAGUAAUGGCCUCUAACUGCAGGAUCCACAGUUUGUUCCCAUAACUCCUCCUCUACAUGUUUGGGUAUUGGGUCACCCUGCUGAGCACUACGAAACUCACUAAGGAGCUGUAUAUAUUUGUCCUAUAUUCAAAGUAAAGUUAAAAUUAAUAGUCAAAGAAUACUAAAGUACUUAUACUUGAAUAAUAUCAACUUUGAGAAAAAGAUUCAUAAAUUCAAAAUUUGAUUCUUACAUGGGCAGCUUUUGCACGAGGCUCAACCUAGACAUCUUCAUCAGUCAGGUUCUUUUUCUUCUUCACAUGCGUCUCCUCGAAGGGUAUCUUCCUACCCUUUUCUUUUUCCAGCAUAUGGAAAAAUUAUUAAAAAUUUAAAUAGAAACAAACAAUUAAAACUAUAAAAGAUACAUAUCAUUUUUUCCUCCACAGCAAUCAUACUAACUGCACCCGCAGUAUGUAGAGAGCCACCCUUGGAUGAUGCCCGGCUUUCUUUCCUUUGUCUCUCAACAAUUGGUUUUCUUCGCUAUUCCAAUAGCAAAUAUACUAUUGUCAAUUGGAUUCGAAUAUAAACCCUGGUCGUAAUGUUGGUUAUGGCAUAAUCCAACAGACCGUUAAAUCUGGAUCUAGCUAUUCUGUAAAAAUUCCUCCUUAUAGCACAUUCAUUCGCAUCAUCCCACUAAUAAUAUUUCUACAACAAAAAUAAAAAUAUAGUAAUAUUCAAUCUUUUGUUCUAACAAUGUGUUAAGUAGUCGAUAAGUUAAAUCCUUACCUGAAAUUCAUUAAACAUUUUUUCUCUGUUAUUUUCUGGAACCUUUUACCAACUGGUCCAGUAGCCGUUGAAGUGCCAAAAAUGCAUUUACUCGCAAUUUUUCCAACUCCAGCAUAAACCUACAACACAAGAUCAAACAGUAAUUUCAUGGAGCAUAAUAAUAUAGUAACAAAAAAUGAAUAAUGCUAUUAUAUUUAGAAAUCUUACCCUGUUCCAUAUGGAAUAAGAUAACGCCUACCAUAAUCAUCUCGAUCUCCGAGCCGCGGAGCAAGUGCUGGUGGAUGCACUGGCGUGGGCGGAUCUGAAGCACCGGAUGGAGUGCCUCCAAGAUGAAGAUCCGACAACCCAAUAGAUCCAGCAGAAUUACUAUGCGAACAUGGGUGACUGCUACAGGAGAGUACUGACGAUGAUAUAUGUCCGGAUGUGCCAACGGUCGUCCGACAAUACUGUGAUGGCGAUGGCACGGUGUUAGGAGCAGAAUGAGUCGGUGUAGACCCAUGAAGUGGCCCCACAUACGUAGGAGCAGGAACCGAAUGCUGAGACAACCUAGAAUAUGAGGGUCGUGCUGGCGCGUCAACAAACCGACCCUCAGAUAUAUGAAUACCUGUCGGUCGUCUAUAAGGCGGAGGUUUUUUCUCUUUUGUUUUUGUAGGUUUAACUUUUCCCUUACCUUUGUCACCUCUACCUGACAUCUAAAUUAUGUCAAGUUAACAAGUAGUUAGUUCCUACAAAAUGAAUAUAUAUAAGAAAACAUUCCAAGUAACUAAUUCACAUUUCAAAUCGCUCCAACAACACGAGAUAGACAAGAAUAUUUUAUUACUAUAUAAAUUAUGGAAAGUGAAAACAACAAUCUUAAACAGUAUAUUACAUAUCAAUCUUAAACAAGAAACAUAAAGGUAAAUAUAUAGUACAAAGCAUAUAAAGACAUCAAUACAUAAUAAAUACAACCUACACAAACUAAUCCUCCUCUCCUGAAGAUUCUCCAUUAAACCAUUCACCCUCUUCGAAAGUUUCCUCAUCUCCUACCCACUAAGCCUCUUCUUACGCAAUAUUAACUUGUUCAAAUAUAUUUUACGGGUGAUUCAAACUAUCCACUAAGUCAAUGUCCACUAGCUGGUGAUCAAUCUGCAUUUCAUUUUGAUAUGUAGUCUCCAACACAUUCUCAACUUUCAGCCGUCCUAGGCUUCGUUUUGAUUACAACCCACCAAUCAAACUUAUCACUGCACAACAGAUAAGGAGCAUAAUACACUUGUUUAGCAUUUUGCGCUAAAACAAAUGGAUCGUAAACAGGAUACAACCUAUUGUGCUUCACUUCAAUGAUGUUAUGCUCCUUAUGUACUCUUGUGCUUGGAUCAAACCACUUACAUCGAAAAAGGACAAUUUUUUUUAUUGGGAAACCAGCAUACUCCAAUUCUAAGAUCUCGUGUAUGAUGCCAAAGUAAUCAACAUCAUCAUCACCCUUAACCUAAACACCAUUGUUUUUCUUGUUCUGGAGUGUUCUUUGGUGGAAAAUUUAAACCCAUUUACUGUGUAAUGGGACAUUGCAUGAACUUCAACUGCACCCAAAAAAAUAUCUCUCAAAAACUGAUCGUAUGCGGCUGCAUUUGGUGACUGGCGCACCUAAAAAUAUUAUAUAUAUAUAUAUAUAUAUAUAUGUUAGUUGAGGAAUGUGUAAAUGUUUAAAAUUUGUAGAAAUAUUAAUACACUUACGAACUUCAUAUGUAAACCAUGUUGCAAAAGAUGCAUACACUUGAUUUUCGUGGAAUUGAGUCUUAAAUGAACUGAAGAUCCAACAUGUGAAAUACAAUUAGUUUCUUUAAGUGAAUGAGUAAAUAAAUAAGAUAUGUUACAAUUUUAAUCUCCUUACUUUAGAAAGGGCUCAACUUUCGGGCAAUUAAACAAGACAGAUAAAAGAUGUUAAUUUGCGCUCCGUGGGAGUGAGCUAGCGAAAUAUGGACCAGAUUGAUUGAAAAUUGAUAUUGGUUGCAAAUAAGGCUCAUUCUCAUCAUCCUGAUGACGAUUCAGUCGGUUUUUUGAACAAGUAACUUCAUCACGAAAGUAGUAUGAACAAAAUUGAGAUGUUUCUCUUGCAAGAUAUGCCUCAACUAUAGAGUCUUCCACCCUAUGUUUUUGGGACCCCUUUUCAAUUUUCCAAUUGUCCUUCACAAUCUUAAAAUUAGAUGUUUACUAUAUUAAAAAAAGAUAUGUAUGAAUUUAAAUAUGUUGUAAUUGCUUACCGUUCGAAUGGAUACAUCCACCUUGUUUGAACUGGACCGCCUAGCCGAGCUUCGUGCACAAGGUGAAUGGGAAGAUGUUCCAUCACAUCGAAGAACGCUGACGGAAAAAUCUUCUCUAACUUGUUGGUGAUAACAACAUUACUUUCCAUUCGCACCAGAUUUUCUUCUUUUAAAAUGGUGGCACAUAAGUUUUUGAAGAACAAACUAAUCUCUGCUAUUAAUUUCCAUAUGUCUUCAGGUAAACCAAUAAAAGCAAUUAUUUCAUGAAAACAUGACAAUCAUGGCUUUUCAUUCCAUGCAAAAUUCCUUGUGCCAUAUCAACCCUUUUUCCCAAAUUUGAGGCAUAUUCAUCGGGCAUCUUCAAACUUUGGAUCCACUCACAUAUUUGACGCUUUUGGUCCAACUUGAAUGUAAAACUAGCCUUGGGCUUAAGAACAUUGCCAUUGGGCCCCUCCUGUAAGUGUAAUUCUCUGCGUUUGCAAUAUUCUGGUAAGUCAAGUCUGGCCUUAGGAUUAUCCUUUGUUUUACCGAUGAAAUCCAUAACUGUGUUGAACAAGUUUUCAAAAUAGUUCUUCUCAGUAUGCAUGACAUCAACAUUAUGUCUAAGUAAAUUAUCUGGCCAAUAUUGUAACUCUCAAAAUAUACUUUAUUUAGUCCAGUUAUGCGAAACGCCAGAUCCAUCCAGCCUAUACAAUGGUUCCUCGCUGACUUUAGGCAAAUCCUGGACUAUCUCCCAGAUGUCAUGAAUAGAUAGCCUUGAAGAUAGACGAUCAUGUUUCCUUCUGAAUGCAUUCUUGAGUCUCCUAAAUUUAUGAUCAGGUGGCAAGAAAUAACGAUGACAAUCAAACCAUGAAUUUUUCCCGCCACGUCUCAACGUGAAAGAUUUUGUUUUUUCCAUGCAGUAUGGACAAGCCAACUUUCCAGUUGUCAUCCACCCAGACAACAUUCCAUAAGCAGGAAAAUCAUUAACAGUCCACAUUAGAUAUGCACGCAGAUGGAAAUUCUAUUUAAGUGAGAUGUCCCAAGUUUCAACCCCCUUAUGCCAUAAAAUUUGAAGUUCAUCGAUCAAAGGUUAUAUAAGUAGACAUCUAUUCUGCUUUUUGGGUUACGCGGGCCAGGAAAAUACAAUUCAGAAAUAUAUAGGGACUAAUCAUCAACACUUCAGGAGGAAGAUUAUACGGGGUGAUAAAUCCAGGCCAACAUGAAUAUGGCCCAGCACCAACUGAAAAAGAAAGGAAGCCAUCCGCACAUAAUCUCAAACAAAUAUUUUGUGGCUCAGCUGCAAAAUCUGGAUAAGCAGCAUCAAAAUGCUUCCAAGCCACUCCAUCAAAUAGAUGACACAUAACUCCAGUGGGCCUUUUAUUUCCACUGUGCCAUCAAAUAUGAGGAGCUGAGCUGUUUGAAACAUACAACCUCUUCAACUUUGAUAUUAGAGGUAAAUAAUGCAUCACCUUAAUAGCAAUUUUAUUUUCACUACAACCACGCUUAUAUCGAGGGUGGCCUUAUAGAAAGAAUCAAGAACCUCUAAGUCAGGGUCAACUAACUCUUUAAUAAGAUCUUUCAUUGAGUCCAUUCCUCCUUCAGCAAUAUUCAAGUUAGAUUUAAUACUUAAUAUUCUAACAGCAACAGACAAACGAGAGUGCGAACACUCGUCAAACAAAGAAUGACUAGUAACAUGCAAUCCUUUGUCUGUUGGGUGUUUGCACUCUCGUUUGUCUGUUGCUGUUAGAUUAUUAAGUAUUAAAUCUGACUGAAAUAUUGCUGAAGGAGGAAUGGACUCAAUGAUAGACCUUAUUAAAGAGUUAGUUGACCCCGACUUAGAGGUUUCUGAUUCUUUCUAUAAGGCAAAGAGAUUGGUGUCAAAGUUAGGUCUCUCCUCGGUUAGAAUUGAUUGUUUUGAAAAUGGCUGCAUGUUAUACUUUAAGGAAGAUGCUAACCUAGAGUCCUGUAAGUUUUGCAAGCACCCUCAAUAUAAGCGUGGUUGUAGUGGAAAUAAAAUUGCUAUUAAGGCGAUGCAUUAUUUAUCUCUAAUAUCAAAGUUGAAGAGGUUGUAUGCUUCAAACAGCUCAGCUCCUCAUAUGAGGUGGCACAGUGAAAAAUAGAAGGCCCACUAGUGUUAUGUGUCAUCUAUCUGAUGGAGAGGCUUGGAAGCAUUUUGAUGCAACUUAUCCAGAUUUUACAGCUAGGAAAUAUUCGUUUGGGAUUAUAUGCGGAUGGCUUCUCUCCUUUUUCAAAUGGUGCUGCGCCAUAUUCAUGUUGGCCUGGAUUUAUCACCCCGUGUAAUCUUCCUCCUGAAGUGUUGAUGACUAGUACCUAUAUAUUUCUGAAUUGUGUUUUCCUGGCCCGCGUAAUCCAAAAAGCGGAAUAGAUGUCUACUUACAACCUUUGAUCGAUGAACUUCAAAUUUUAUGGCAUGAGGGGGUUGAAACUUGGGACAUCUCACUUAAACAAAAUUUCAAUCUGCAUACAUAUCUAAUAUGGAUUGUUAAUGAUUUUCCUGCUUAUGGAAUGUUGUCUGGGUGAAUGACAGCUAGAAAAUUGGCUUGUCCAUACUGCAUUGAAAAAACAAAAUCUUUCACAUUGAGACAUGGCAAGAAAAAUUCAUGAUUUGAUUGUCAGCGUUGUUUCUUGCCACAUGAUCAUGAAUUUAGGAGACUCAAGAAUGCAUUCAAAGGGAAUAGAAAGGAACAUGAUGGUCUACCUCCAAGGCUAUCUGGUCAUGAAAUCUGGGAGAUAGUUCAAGAUUUGCCUAAAGUCAGUGAGGAACCAUUGUAUAGGCUGGAUGGAUAUGGCGUUUCUCAUAACUGAACUAAGCAAAGUAUAUUUUAGGAGUUAAAAUAUUGGCCAGAUAAUUUACUUAAGACAUAAUGUUGAUGUCAUGCACACUGAGAAGAACUAUUUUAACAACUUGUUCAACACAGUUAUGGAUGUCACCGGUAAAAUAAAAGAUAAUCCUAAGGCCAGAAUUGACUUACCAGAAUAUUGCAAACGCAGAGAAUUACACUUACAGGAGGGGCCCAAUGGCAAUGUUCUUAAGCCCAAGGCUAUUACAUUCAAGUUGGACCAAAAGCGUCAAAUAUGUAAGUGGGUCCAAAGUUUGAAGAUGCCCGAUGGAUAUGCCUCAAAUUUGGGAAAGAGAGUUGAUAUGGCACAAGGAAUCUUGCAUGGAAUGAAAAGCCAUUGUCAUGUUUUCAUGGAACAAUUACUUCCAAUUGAGUUUAUUAGUUUAUCUGAAAACAUAUGAAAACCAAUAGUUGAGAUUAGUUUGUUCUUCAAAAACUUAUGUGCCACCACAUUAAAAGAAGAAAAUCUGGCGCGAAUGGAAAGUAAUAUUGUUGUUAUCACCAACAAGUUGGAGAAGAUUUUUCUGCCAGUGUUCUUCGAUGUGAUGGAACUUCCGCCAGCGUUCUUCGAUGUGAUGGAACAUCUUCCCAUUCACCUUGUGCACGAAGCUCGGCUAGGCGGUCCAGUUCAAACUAGGUGGAUGUAUCCAUUCGAACGGUAAGCAAUUGCAACAUAUUUAAAUUCAUACAUAUCUUUUUUUAAUAUAGUAAACAUCUAAUCUUAAGAUUGUGCAGGACAAUUGAAAAAUUAAAAAGGGGUCCCAAAAACAAACAUAGGGUGGAAGACUAUAGUUGAGGCAUAUCUUGCAAGAGAAACAUCUCAAUUUUGUUUAUACUACUUUCGUGAUGAAGUUGCUUGUUCAAAAACCAACUGAAUCUUCAUCAGGAUGAUGAGAAUAAACCUCAUUUGAAAACGAUAUCAAUUUUUAAUCAAUCUGGUCCAUAUUUCGCUGUUGCACUCCCACGAAGCGCAAAUUAACAACUUUAUAUGCCUUGCUGAAUUGCCCGAAAGUUGAGCCCUUUCUGAAGUAAGGAGAUUAAAAUUGUAACGUAUCUUAUUUAUUUACUCAUUCCCUUAAGAAAACUAAUUGUGUUUCGCAUGUUGGAUCUUCAGUUCAUUUAAGACUCAAUUCCACGAAAAUCAAGUGUAUGCAUCUUUUGCAACAUGGUUUACAUAUGAGGUUCGUAAGUGUGUUAAUAUUUCUACAAAUUUUAAAUAUUUCUACAAAUUUUAAACAUUUACACAUUCCUCAACUAACAUAUAUAUGUAUAAUAUUUUUAGGUAUGCCAGUCACCAAAUGCAGCCGCAUACGAUCAGUUCUUGAGAGAUAUGUCUUUGGGUGCAGUUGAAGUUCAUGCAAUGUCCCAUUACACAGUAAAUGGGUUUAAAUUUCCACCGAAGAACGCUCCAGAACAAGAAAAACAAACAAUUGUGAUGUUUGGGUUAAGGGUGAUGAUGAUGUUGAUUACUUUGGCAUCAUACACGAGAUCUUAGAACUGGAGUAUGCUGGUUUCCCAUUAAAAAAUUGUCCUCUUUCGAUGUAAGUGGUUUGAUCCAAGCACAAAAGGCACAAGAGUACAUAAGGAGCAUAACAUCAUUGAAGUGAAGCACAAUAGGCCGUAUCCUGUUUACGAUCCAUUUGUUCUAGCGCAAAAUGCUAAGCAAGUGUAUUAUGCUCCUUAUCCGUUGCAUAGUGAAAAGUCUGAUUGGUGGGCAGUAAUCAAAACAAAGCCUAUCGGACGGGUGGAAAUUGAGAAUGUGUUGGAGACUUCAUAUCAAAAUAAAAUGCAAAUUGAUCACCAGCUAGUGGACAUUGACUUAGUGGAUAGUUUGAAUCACCCGGAAAAUAUAUUUGAAGUUAAUAUUGCGUAAGAAGAGGCUGAGUGGGUAGGAGAUGAGGAAACUUUCGAAAAGGGUGAAUGGUUUAGUGGAGAAUCUUCAGGAGAGGAGGAUUAGUUUGUGUAGGUUGUAUUUAUUAUGUAUUGAUGUCUUUAUGCUUUGCACUAUAUAUUUACCUUUAUGUUUCUUGUUUAAGAUAGAUAUGUAAUAUACUGUUUAAGAUUGUUGUUUUCACUUUUCCAUAAUUUAUAUAGUAAUAAAAAUAUUCUUGUCUAUCUCGUGUUGUUAAGCGAUUUGAAAUGUGAAUUAGUUACUUAGAAUGUUUUCUUAUAUAUUCAUUUUGUCGGAACUAACUACUUGUUAACUUUACAUAAUUUAGAUGUCAGGUAGAGGUGACAAAGGUAAGGGAAAAGUUGAUCCUACAAAAACAAGAGAGAAAAAACAACCUCCGCCUUAUAGACGACUGACAGGUAUUCAUAUAUCUGAGGGUCGGUUUGCUGACGCGCCAGCACGACCCGCAUAUUCUAGGUCGUCUCAACAUUCGGUUCCUGCUCCUACGCAUGUGGGGCCACUUCAUGGGUCUACACCGACUCAUUCUACUCCUAUCACCGUGCCACCGCCAUCACAAUAUUGUCGGACGACCGCUGGCACAUCCGAACAUAUACCAUUGUCAGUACUCUCUUGUAGCAGUCACCCACGUUCGCACAGUGAUUCUGCUGGAUCUAUUGGGUUGUCGACUCUUCAUCUUGGAGGCACUCCAUCCGGUGCUUCAGAUCCGCCCACGCCAGUGCAUCCACCAGCACUUGCUCCGCUGUCCGGAGACAGAGAUGAUUAUGGGAGGCGUUAUCUUAUUCCAUAUGGAACAGGGUAAGAUUUCUAAAUAUAAUAACAUUAUUCAUUUUUCAUUACUAUAUUAUUAUGCUCCAUGAAUUUACUGUUUGAUCUUGUGUUGUAGAUUUAUGUUGGAUGCUGCGGCUACUGGACCAGUUGGUAAAAGGUUUCAGAAAAUGACAGGGAAAAAAUGUUAAAGAAUUGCAGGUAAUUAUUUAACUUAUCAACUACUUAACACAUUGUUAGAACAAAAGAUUUAAUAUUAUAUUUUUAUUUUUGUUGUAGAAAUAUUACUGGUGGGAUGAUGCGAAUGGAUGUGCUAUAAAGAGGAAUUUUUACAGAAUAGCUAGAUCCAAAUUUAUCGGUCUGUUGGAUUAUGCCAUAACCAACAUGGUACGACCAGGGUUUAUACUCGAAUCCAAUUGGCAACAGUAUAUUCGCUAUUGGAAUAGCGAAGAAUACCAAUUGUUGAGAGACAAAGGAAAGAAAGCCCGGGCAUCAUCCAAGGGUGGCUCUUUACAUACUACAGGUAAAGUUAGUAUGAUUAUUGUGGAGGAAAAAAUGGUAUGUAACUUUUACAGUUUUAAUUAUUUGUUUCUAUUUAAAUUUUUCAUUAUUUGAAGAUCAAUAAUUUUUUCAUAUGCAGAAAAAAGAAAAGGGUAGGAAGAUGUCCUUCGAUGAGCUAUUCGAGGAGACGCAUGUGAAGAAGAAAAAGAACCCGACUGAUGAAGAUGUCUGGGUUGAACCUCGUGCAAAAGUUGCCCAUGUAAGAAUCAAAUUUCGAAUUUAUGAAUCUUUUUCUCAAAGUUGAUAUUAUUCAAGUAUAAGUACUUUAAUAUUUUUUGACUAUUAAUUUUAACUUUACUUUGAAUAUAGAACAAAUAUAUGUAGCUCCUUAGUGAGUUUCGUAGUACUCAGCCUCCUGAAAGUCAAGAUGACCCAAUACCCAAACAUAUAGAGAAGUUAUGGGAACAAACUAUGGGUCCUGCAGUUAGAGGCCAUUACUACGGAUACCGCAAAAAAUAUUUUAGCGAUAAUGUUAGGUCUUCCUUCGGCCCUACAUCCUAUACCUCGUCAGUUGAUAGAGAAACCAUUGAAUCACUAAAAAAUACGAUUUCUAAACUCACUGAGGAGCUUGCUGUAGAGAGAGGGAGGACGUAGAAGGAGGAGAAAACAUCAUCACAAAUCAGGAUGCUGCAGGAGUAGUUCAGCUCUUUUAUUCAAUCUGCAGGGAUUAUUCUUCCAUGUCCUGGUGCUGCAGUUCGAGCUGCAAAAGGUGUAAGACCACUGGAUGAUAUCAGCACGGAUGAGGAAUCAGAUCCUGCGUGUGCGGCUGAGAAUGCAGAAGACGAAGACGAUGAUGAGUGGUAGUUUUUUGACUUUUGUAUGUGUUGUAGUUUGUAUUUGGAGAUGACUUGUAGUUUUUACAUUUUUGUAUGUUUUUAGAGUUGUAUUGUAUGUUAGCUGUGUGGGAAUACACUUGGUUUGUUGUUGUUGUUGUAUUGUAUGUUGUUAUUUCAUUUGUUCAGCUUGUUGCUUUUUAUUUUUUAAAAAAAAAUCCCAGAAAAAUCGACCACAUGUGGUCGGUUUUUGUGGUCAGUUUUCUUGUUUUUUUAGUAGUGUAUGAACCACUUUCACUCAUCUUGAGCAGGCAGAGAAACCAAAAAAGAUUAAAUCAAAAAAGAUUAAAUGGGCUUCACAGUAGGGAUAGAGUGGAUCCCAAAUUUAGAACUAGAAGGUUAUGCAUUUGUUAUAAUAUGUACUAUUUUCAAUAUCUUUCAUAUAUAGAUACGACCUAAUUAAACAAGUAAUAAUUAUAUUGAUGUGGAUAGAAAUAGAAAGCAUGAACUAUAUAAGGAGCACCUGCCUCAAAAGGAUAGCUUCUAUGAAUCCCUAUAUAAGUAGUACCUGCCUCACAAGGAUAGUUCUACUUGAAACUCAAUGUUACAGGCUAUUUUACUACGAAGUCCGCUAAUCAGCUUUUCCUUUCCCUUGAUCGAAAGGACUCCUGUCAUAUUAAUCACGUUAUCCUUGGAUACAGAAAUUGAAAACCCAUCCAAAAAGAAAAUUCUUUCUAUGGCAUCUUUGCUAGAAAAGAAUACCCACAUUGGACCUCCUCAGCCAAAACAUUAGAAGCUCUAGUACUUGCUCCUGCUGUAAUUCCCAUCCAGAAGAUGCUAACCACAUUUUCUACCACUGUAGAGCUAAUUGGGCCGACUAAAUCCGCUAACAUAAGUUGUCCUGACCUUAGUGUUAACUGAACAGGCUAAAUUUUAUUCAAUGGCAAGCAUGGUAUGUUUCUUCAUAACUCCUUUGCUGUAGAAAAGAAAGCAGUUUUUGCUUUCUACCUUUCGAAUAUUUGCCUUAACAGAAACAAUAACCAGUUUGAUAACAAAAAGAACUUUAUUGUCCUUAACAGCAUCUUCCUAUGGGCAGUGGAAUUCUUCUCCUUAACUGACCCCCACCAUAGCACCAAUAACAACCACUCCAGUAACAACCAUUCCACAGCGAAUGACAUGGUGCACUACAUGAACCACACGAACAACAUUUUAUCUGGGUUUGUUAGAAGGACAAUUUAGGAACUAGGAAGAUGGGGAGGUUACUUCAGAGGCAACUCUGGCAGUUGAAUUCUAGGUCAUGCAAACAAGUUCUGCAUCACUACAGCUGACGAAUCUUAGCUGCUUGCCCUUAUUCAUGGAUUGCAGUUUGUUCGCAGAUUGCCACGGACAGUAAUUUCAUAUUUAUGGAGUCGCAUGCAGUAAUAAGCCUACCGGAAAAAAAAAAAUCCAUUAUACUCGCAUAUAUUGGAUGAUUGAAGGUAGUUACCAUCUGAUCAUGGCAUCCUCGAAUACAACAUGUUUGUAGGACAAAAUUUUAUCCCAUCUUCUUUAUGAGAUAGUAAUCCCACAUUUUAAUACAGAUGCAGGGGCGGACCUACAUUCAUUUGUGGGGUGCUCCGGUACCCACUAAACUCGACGCGGAAUAAAAUAAAAAUUACAUAGAAAAUAUACAAAAAUCGAUAUAUAAUAUAUAAAAGUACCCACUAAACAAAAAGUUGGUUGGGUGUAUUGGUGUUUAGGUUGACUUUAAGCUUCUACACUAGAAACGAUGCCCGGGUUCAAACCUCAUUGAGGUGAAUUUUUAUUUUUUUCAGUUUUUAAAUUUUUUAAGCACCCACUAUGUCCGCCACUGGAGGUAGGAUAAAAUAAUGUUGGGAUUAGCUAAUUCUUAAAAAAUAAAAACAUGGGAUAACGUUAAUUUCAAAAUUUUAUCACGGGAUUAUUAUCCUUGUCCCAGUUUCAUAAAGAUGCUUAAAAGUUUUUAUGUGCGAUAAAAGAGCAAUACCUGAAGCCUGUGUAAUUCAUCAGACAUAGUUUUAUGGGCAUUCGACAGUAAUUCACUUUCUUUCUCCAGAUGCCUAAACCACAAAUACAUAAUUUAUAAUCACACAAAAAUUAAAACCUAACAUACAAAACUAAGAAAAGAAAAUAUGAAAAUAAGCGAAGACAUAAAUUUACUUCAAGGUUUCUGCAGUAUAUUUAGGAUCCAUGAAAAAAAAUUGAUUAUAAACCCUUCGCGUCGAUUUCAACAGGAGAACCGCAGCUGCAAACUGAUAUACUCUUGACACAGGCUUUAAGAAAUCAAUAAAUAGAAAUAUAAUUGAGUGUAUUUGGCCGUAUGUUAAUGGAGAUGGACUAGAUAAAUAGAGAAAAGUUGUUGAGGAGAAAGGCAAAAACCGUCGAGAUUAAUUCGCCAUUACCCGAUGGUUUGAGGAACGUUAAAUGAAGAGGUCGCUAGUUUGGUUGGGGGUCUGCUUACAAUAUCAAUAUAAUUAGGAUAAGUUUUAAGUUGUGGGUUAAGGUUUUGAGUUGGAUCAAGAACCAAUUAGGUCGGUCUGUAAUUGGAUGAGAUUUAAGGGACUAAAAUUAGAUAGACCAGUUAGCCGCAAUUUUUAGGCUAAAAAUAACUAAAAUAAGACCUCUUUGGUCAUGAAAAUUAUUUUUUUUAAGAGUUAGAUUUAUGUUUAACCAUGAAUAUAAAUUAAAGUUGUUUUUAAAAUUCUGUGAGAAAAAUAUGAGUAAAAAAUGUGAAAAUAAGUAAAAUUUAUUUUGACUUUAUUUUGGAAAGUUUAUGGCCAAAUGAAGCGUGUUUUUACUUUUUCACUAAAGUGAAAUAAUUUUUUGAAAAAAAAAGGAAAAACCAAACGGCUACUAAAUAUUUGGCCCAAAUGCACGAAAAUUCUGAUUUUCUUCAAUUAUUCUCCCCUUAAUUAAUUUAACGAUAUUUAUUAUCGUCCUAAUUAAUUUUUCAUGAUGCGUCUAUAUACGUAUGCAUAUAAACUUAAACAAAUGUAACUAUAUUUCAUAAUUCAAAAAACUGGAGCAAGUAGACAACCAAUGGCAAUAAUGAAACUAAAUUCAAAUGUAAGGUUAAAAUGGUAAAUUGAGCAUACUAAAUAUCUAAAAGUUUUGUUUUAUGCGUGGAUUUGUGCACAUUGCACAUAGCUAUAGAACUCUAGAAGUUUUUCGGAUAAAGCCUAAGGUUGGUACCAUAUGUUUUGAAGCUGCUGCGAACCAAGGAGCAGCUCUUCUUGCCGGCGGAGAGAAGGGCAUGAGGUAUGCAAUGCCAAAUGCACGUAUAAUGGGUCAUCAACCUCAAAGUGAUUGUGGGGUAAAUUCUUUCAGGUAACUUUUCCUGUCAAUUUUACCCCAAUCUUCUCUUGAUUUUUUACUUUCAUGAACUGAUGCUUCCUUCCUUUCUUAGGCUAUUUCUUUUGCCAUAUUUCUAGUUCCUUUCACACUUUUGAUUUCCAUUAUCUCGUCUAGAUUUCAAGUUUAGGUAUGUUUUCUAGCAUAUUUUUCCAAAUUCUCUUCUCAUCUUGAUUAUAUCUUUUGUCCAGUUAUUCUAUUUUAUACCCUUUCGCCUUUAGCAUUUUUUUUUUUGUUUUUUCAAGUCUUCAAAUAAUUUUUUUUUUUUUUUUUUCAAGUCCUCAAAAUCCUUUAUAUAUAAGGCUCCUUAUUGAGCUAAAAAUGGAGGUCUCGGAGGUGAAAAACUUUUCAGCAAGAAAUCUCAUUUUUUAGUAUAAAAAUUUUUUCGCAAAAAGUUGUCAACUACUGAAGGUUCUUGGAGUCGCAGCAAAGCUUUUCGGUGGUGGUCGAGAGUCCGUCGACAGCUUGAAAUCCCGUUUUACUGCCCUAAAAGAGGUAUACUCUUUUCCCUUUUAAUUUUGUCAUUUUUAUUCUUUAUCGCUUUCUCCGUAGCAAUAGUCGUUAGUCGUAAUCGCGAUGAGGCUGGAAAUUAUUUUUUAUAGAAGGUUUUGAAGGCCAUUAGAUUUUCGUGCAAUGUACUAUUAUGUCAAGUUAAGUGCUUUUACUCUAGUUAUUUGAUUCACCGUUCAACUUGUGUUAGUUUUUAAUUCUAUUGUUUCAUCUCGUCGUCCCCCAUUAAUGUUGUUUCACUGUUCUAUGUCUGAAUUGGUGUUUCAUGUGUUAAUUUUCUCAUUUAUUUUAGUCCACUACCUUGGCUAUAUGCUUUCUGGUUCGGUUUUUGGUCUACUAGUAUUUAUUUGUUGUAUUCAUUUCUUCUUCUCACUUCCCUAUACUUUCAAAAAUUAUCCCAAUGUAUCCUACCCUCUUCUCAUAUCAACUAAAAAAGAAAUUAUAUUAAUUGUACACUUGGUUAAGGAGUGCUAAUUUGCAAUCAUGAGUUGAAAGAAUGAGUUGUUUAAGCUACGAUUAGGAUUCUUGAUCAUGUUUUCUUUAUUUUACUAAGUCGAAUAAACUUAUUUCUUUGAAAUCCUCCUGUAAACUCUCUUGGAAUAAUUACAUGUGUUAUAUGUUCUAUACAUAAUUGAUGUUGAUUUCAUCAUAAGAUAAUUUACAAUCUCCGUUUAUAUGUUAAUAUAGUUUCUUUUGAGUAUACAUACAGAAGGAGAUGGCAAAACUAUGUUUUAUUCCUAAAUGAUGUCAAUUUAUUUUUCUUUUCUCCUUUUGCUUAAUUCUUAACUUGCUACAGUAUUUUGAUGGUGUGCUUUAGUCUUGUCUAGUUGAGGAUGUGUUUUGAUGAUUACUGCUACAACUAUAUCCCUCUAUCUAAAAGCAUUUGUAUUUGUGCAUAAUUUUUGCCCUUUCCCUGUUAUGAUUAAGUUUCCUGGUUAGUCACUUGAUUCGAGCAUGUUUGUGUUCAGGCAUGAUGUUCUUCGAAACAGCUCGCAACUUGCAUUUCCUUGUUUAUGGUAACAUGAGAAUUUCAUAUAUAGUUUUAGUAUUGCAUGGUCUAUUAAAGUGUAUGAGUUCACUUUAAAUUUACUGUUAGAAGGAAAUUAAAAAUUCUGUUGCUUCUAGGGUUAAGUGUGACCUCAUUUGUCUUCUAUGGUUUGAUUGUUUUAUUUCCUCUAUAACAUGAAAAAUAAAAUGAGCAGCUCACCUGCAUCUGAUAAUAAGGAUAAUGAAAGUAGAAUAGCCUCACAGUAGUCUUCCUAGUAAUUUUGCCUAAUCACUAUCAACAGACUUUUUGUUUGAUAUUCAUAGUCAUAUUUUGACUGAAAAAGUGCUCCAGUAAUUUCUUUUUCCUCUUAGUAAAUUUUCUGCACACAUGUUAAUUCUCGUAUCUUUUCUUUGCGUGAACCUAUUUUGGAGUUCAAAUGGACUUUUUCUCCUUGCAUUUCAUAAUGGGCCAACAUGGCCCACUUUCUCGAGUCAAGCCCGAAAGGAAGUCCAAAGCCGGUUACAUAGCGCGUGGAUACGAGAAGACGGAAGAAGGAAAAUGGGUCAAAAUCCCAUCAUUACAGUUGCCAAGAGACUCGAAAGUCUCGAUUUUAUUAGUCUUAUUCUUUUUUUAUAUUUCAUUUAUUUAUUUAUUCAUUUAUUUGGGCCUCGAAGCUAAAGCUGUAAACGAAUACAGGUGAAACAUAUUUUGGACCCAAAAGGUCUAGAAAGAUAGUUUAAAAUAGGUUAUAGGCCAAUGCCCAAAUACUUAGAUUAGGACAAGUGAAGAUGGGUCGAAAGCCCAAUUAGAUUAGGACAUGAUUGAUGGAUUUGGGCUUAAGAGCCAACCAUAAUGCCUCCAUGGACGGGCAGCGUGCUCCAUUCUUAGUAUUGCACAGUCAGUCCCGCAUGAGUAGAGGCGUUGUUGGGUGUGAAUGUCCCUUCGAAGUCUCGCAUGCUUUACGCUUUUCACCAGCUUUCCCUCUAGUAAAAUAUUAACUCGUACCCUCUCUCUGUGUCUAGUCUCAGUAUCAACAGAAGAAAAGGACUGACCGACCACCUAAAUCAAUUAUUUCUCCCCUUUUUCCCUUUUCUAUGUUUAUUUGCUAUAUGCUUCUUCGAACUUAGUUAAAUCUUCUACGAAGUCGUUAAAAAAUGAACUUUGCUUAAAACUCAAAAAAUAUUUUCUUAAUCAAUUUAUUUUUUCAAUAAUCAUUUUUAAAGUUAGUCAAAAGAAUCAUUUUCAAAUAAUCUGGAUAACCGCAAGUUAGCGUAUACUCUUGGUGCCUUAAUAACCUUCCAAGAGUAUUAAUAAGAACCGCUUACCUAGAAUCUCAAAACUUAAAUGAUUUUUCUGUUUUGAAUCAUUUAAGUAAUUUAUAAAGGUUUUCUUAAUUUUUCUAAAUAAACUAAGUGGCUACUCUAAAUAGUUAUUUCUCCACAAAACAGAAAUGUCGACUCUGUUGAGGAUUUAACUAGGUUCUAACCAAAUGUUUAAAUUUAUCUUUUGACUAACUAUUUAAAUUGUUUAAGUGCUUACAUAUUCUAAUUCUAUGAAAUUUAACUGUUGCAUUUCAUGGUAUAAUCCUGCAUGAUUAUUAAAUUAUUUUAGGGUUUCGUGGAUGUCCCGGCCCAUGUUGAUCAACUAUUCCGAAGGUGUAACCUAGGCAAUGAAAAAGAGGGCCCGAUACUUCAACUAGAGGAGUAACCAGUUGGUUCACCAAACUCGACCCAGCAUCACAUAUUCUCUAGGUCCGAAGGAAUCCAGUGCCCAACUACCAACUCCUCCCGAAAUUGAGUAAUCGGAGCCGAGCCAGCAAUGGCCGUUAGUGGACACCCACCACUUUUCACCAGUUAGAGAGGCCCUCUAUAAUACAAAUCAAGUGUUGGGAAUACGAUAGUUUAUCGGCACGUUAGGCGGUCGGAGGCUAUUCGUAUCUCCAAACCCAAGUUGUUCGUUUGGGAACCUGUGUCCAAGCCCACUCUAGACACUCAGAAUAGAGCUAAACCAAAACCCCAUUUUAGGUAUGAACCUAGGAUGACUCAAUACCCAAUGGGGUAUUAGGCCCAUUAGAAGACUUGCCCUGCGUCUAUGACCCUGAGUUAAUUACAGACGAACCAUAUUUAUGUGUUGAAGAAAUAUAUAUUUGUUUAAUCCAAUCCAUUAUCCUUUGGGGGUUGGGGGAAAGCUUGCUUUGAUUACUUUCGUGUAAGGAUGCCUUAAUCAUACAUCAAUUGAAAGAGGAAUUAAAAUGAGCCAGGCAAAAGGUUGAUUGAUUUGGACGAUUGCAUGAUUUCCCAGAGUAAUGAUCUAGAGCACAGUUAUACGGGAAUUGCUUGAUCAUCAACAGAUGUCGCCAAUGACAAGAAGUGGAUAAAGCUGAGAUAUCAAAGACCGAUAGAAGAGCAUCUAGGAACUAAUAUUUCCUAUCCCCUGCGCGGGACGUUGUUUUUUUCUGAAGAUAUUUUCCCUUUCCUUAAAGAUUGUAUACCUUUUAUGCAACUUUUGUAAGCAUUUAUGCCUUUUAUGUAUAUCUAUGUAGAUUUGGGGGAUAAUAGAUUGGUUUUAAGAAGCAUAUAUUUCCUUCAAAAUUCAUUAGGCCAACCCUUGGCUCAAAAGGGUCACUCCAACUAGGAUAUGCACUUAUUAUAAUGUCAUUAUGUGAUAUACUACCUUAUGUGUUUAUGUGCGUUUGUCUGAAUCAAAGACAAAUUUAUAAACUAUGUCCCCGUGGAUCAGUUUGCCUAUGAGGCAGACAACACUAUGUGGUAACUUCUUGUCAAAUAUCUUGCAUUAUUUAUCACAUAUGGGAACUGACACAUCUGCCUUUGAGUUAUUUUACUUUACAGAUAACUGAAAACUACUUCGUGUUAAAACAAACUGAAAGAACAUCCUUACUUCAUCCGGUCAAAAGUUUAUAAAAUCUCAUCCUCUGACCAUCAUUCAAAAAUGACUGGAUGCGACAAAGAAAAUGCGUUGACAAUCAGGGAUAAUGUAAUAGCGGAACAAAGUGAGAUGAUUGUUAAACUCGUGAGAAAAUUAGAAAUGCUUCAGGAGGAGAUGACUCGUACUCAAGAUUUGGCUAAUCAAGACAUCAGUGUUAACGCUCUCGCUCCAAGAAGACACGGGCCUCCGCUCCAGAUCCCUCUCCUCAGUACGCCUAUUCUCGGGGACCAUCCAAAUAACAUAUUGUCCGUCUCCGCUCCUCAACUUGUCCAAAACACCAAUUGAGAAAAUAACUCAGAUGCUUACCAUCCAUAAAAUUCAUCCCUAAUCUCACAAAAUCCGCCUCCAAACCUAUAAAAUUCAUUCCCAAAGCCACAAAACCUGCUCCCAAAUCCACAAAAUCCGCUCCUAAAUCCAUAAAAAUCCAUUUCCCAAUCCAUAAAUUUUAUUUUCAAAUCCACAAAAUCUCUUUCAUAUUCCACCAAACUAUUCUCAAACUCCACAAAGUGCUAUCAAAUUCCAAAAUGUCCUCCCUUCCUACCACCCAAUCUCUUCUCAUCCUCAAAAUUAAGCUACCCUCUCAAAUCCUUCUUAUGUCAUCAUAUCCCCUGACAUCUUGUAAUACCCCGUAUUUCCCUAACAUAAUUUAAGUCCUAAUACAUGAGUAUGAGUAUAUAAGAUUUUUGAAGCACUCAUUAUUUUCAGUUUAGAGCCUUCCAUUGCAUAGAAAAUUCAAUUAACUUUCCAACGAUAUAAAUUUUGCCCAAAUCCGAUAACCAAGUAAGAAGUUAUGGCAAUUUUAAGUUUCAAUCGUUAAACAUCGUCAUUUUGACCCUUAGCGCGUCGCGGAGUCAGUGUAAAUAGCAAUUUUCAAUUUCCAGUAUUGCUCCACAAUAGUGGAGCAUCGCGCCGUAGGCCCAGUUCAUAAUUGUCCAAUUUCAUUGAGGCAAAGCGAUCAUGGCGCACCGUGCCAAUGGUGAAAAUCAGAAUCAAAGGGUCACUGCGAUUUCUUCGCAUCGCGUCGUCAGCCCAGUUCCUAGUUGUCAGUUUUUAGUGACAUGGCGCGAUAGCACUGCGUUGCACCACGUGCCCAUUUUGGAAAAAUUCAAUGAAAAAUUAAUAUUUCGUUCAGGGAUAAAACAGUCUUUUUUCCAUUAUUUUAGUCCGCCCAGGUGUGAUAUUUAAGCCCUAAAAACGUUUUUAAAAUCAUUCUUUAAUUAAUUUCUCCCAAAUCAAAAGGCAUUCUCUUCCAAUCAAGAACCCUAGCUCUCAAAUUCAAGGUCAAUCCUCAAGAAUGCACCAAGAACUUCAAGAAAUCCAUCAAUUAAGGUAUGUUAGAUGUUCAUCCUUGGAUUCCUUUCAUCCAUGGAGUCCAAGUAACCUAUUGAAAUUUCAAAUUUUGAUCUUUUAAAGUUAUUUGAUUUUAAAUUAUGAUUUCAUCCAUGAAUCUCCAUGUACUAUUGAUUUUAUAUCAUGUUACCAUGAAAUUAUUGUUAUUAUUCAAUCCUCCAUGUUUUAAUAUUAUUAUUUAUUAAAUUAAACCAUGAUUUAAUACCAUUAUAUCGAAUUCAUGCUAUUUCUAUAAGUUCCACGACAUUCCUAUGAUUAUUUAAAAUCAUGAACUACAAGUGUUUGAUAAAAUGCCUACAAGAGUGAUUGAUUUAAUAAAAGCCUUCAUGUUUUGUUCCCAAAGCUUUAGUGUCAUUUUACUAUUGUUGUUUUGAGUCCUGGGGGUAUUGAAUACCCGAAAACCAUAGUUGUGUAUUUAGUCUAGUCUCAGUAUAUUACGGAAUAGUCUUUAGAAUAUACUGUGAGCAUUAUCAGAAUAGUCAAAUAUCAGUUAGUUAAACUCAGAACAGUCUAGUAUUUCAGUGUCUUUUAGUUCGGAGUAGGAUUUAGCACCGAGCGAGUGAAGGGAUGGAGGCUUCCCCGUCAAAUAGGUAGAGUCGUUAGUAGCAGUCCCUAUACUCCAAAACUACAUAGCCAGCAUAGGAUAUGAGAAGUCACCCGUUAGAUUAGGCUUGACUAUCUCGCAGGGCUCACCUGUCAGUUCAGGCUUGACACCCUUAGUCCUUUGGACAUUAUAUCAGUUUAGUGAAUCCACACAACUAGUGUUUGUACCCGUGGCAUGUAUUAACACCCUUCCAACUUGGGUUACAUGUUGAACCCCGAUUAGCUUAAAUUGGGGAAUGUUAGUUAGAUGAUACCUCCCACAGUCUCAGAUGCAGUCUUAGUUACAGUCCCAGUUCAGUUAUUCAGUCUUAGUAUUAUUUGACCAAAGCAUACAAAUUUCCAUUGUUUUAGUAUUACAGUUUACAGAUUUUACUCAGUUCAUGUUACAUGCUUGGUCAUGCAUCCUCAGUAUCUAUAGAUUUUCACGAAUCUUCAGUAUUUAUGGAUUUUCAUGCAUACUCAGUAUUUAUAGAUUUCCACAUAUUCCCAGUACCUACAGACUUCAUGCUCUCUAUUUAGUAUACAUGCUUUACAUGCAUAUUCAUUUAAUUAUUAUUUCUGUUCGUGAAAUCAUGUAUUAUCAGCCUACCUCAUUUAGCAUACCAAUACAUUCAAAGUACUGAUCGCAUACCUUUUUUUAUGCUAUGAUGUAUCGUAUCAUAGGUUCUUAUGCUCAGUUCCCGGCUGCAUUAGACUUAUUAGAUUCUCAGCAGUAGCAGUGGUGAGUCCUCAUACUUUGAGGACAGACAUACUUUAUUUCAUGUCUCAGUUUAGUAGUUAGUUAGAGUUAGUUGGGGCCUGUCCCAUCAACUCACAGUCAUUCAGUUUUAGAGGCUUAUCAGAUAUUACAGUCAGUUAUUCAGAAUUCAGAUAUUUCAGUUAGUUAUCCAAUUUAUCAGUAUUUUAUCAGAUUCAGUCAGUUACUUCUAUAGACUCAUAUUUAAGUUUUGAAUUUAGUUAUUAAAACCUUAUGGCAUAUCAAUUGUUCUUCCGCAAUUAUGAUAUUAUUAUUCAGUGUUCAUAGAAGAUACCAGUUCAUAGGUUAGCUUGUGGUCCCUCGGGACUGUAAGCACUGUGUGACACCCAGGGUGUACUCUCGAAGCAUUACAAACUUGGUAUAAGAGCCUAAGGUUUUAAAGUAUCCUAGGAAGUUUGAAAGCCGGGUCAAGUAGAGUCUUGUGCAUGGGUGUGUAGCGCGCCACACUUAUGGACGAGAGGCUAUAAGGCGUUUAGGGAAAAGUUUCCCUGCUUUCAGUAUUCAUGUCUUACGAGUGAGCAUGAGCUCAAGUUAAACUCUUUGUCUAAUCCAUUUCUUCCUUCUAUUUAGAGAACAUGCCUCCUAAGAAGAACGGAAGAAGAACAGGAAACCAGCCAGCCCCUCAGCCCGUCCAAGCAGAUCCUCUCGAUGAGCAUGUCUCUCACGCAAAAUUUAGAGCUGCAUUCACUACUUUAGCAAAAUCCGUGGCCAAUACUGCUGCAACCAAAAUUUGGGAUUUCACCUGGAUGAAUCCUUCUUUUUUCACGGGAUCCAAGUCUGAAGAGGAUCCACAGAAAUUCUUAGAUAUGGUUUAGAAGGUCACAGAUGCUAUGGAGGUGACAUCUAGUCAGAGUGUUAAGUUGGUUGCAUACCAGUUGCAGGAUGUAGCCCAUGCUUGGUUUAAGUAGUGAAAUAUUGAUAGGGGUGUAGAUGCAAGGCCUGUAGAAUGGGAAGAGUUUGCCAUAAUUUUCUUAGAUAGAUUCUUCCCUUUGGAGUUGAGGGAGACCAAGGUGUUAGAGUUUAUUAACUUGAGGCAGGGCAGCAUGAGCGUGAGGGAGUAUUCCCUCAAGUUUACUCAGUUAGCUAGAUAUGCUCCUUAUGUGGUAGCUGAUAAUAGGUCUAAGAUGAGUAAGUUUGUGUCUGGCAUAUCUGAUAGUGUGAUCAAGGAGUGCAAGACCGCAAUGCUGAUUAGUGAGAUGGACUUGUCUAGGCUGAUGGUCCAUGCUCAACAAAUUAAAGAGCAGAAGAUUAAGGAGAGGGAGAGAGGAAAUAAGAGGGUUAGGACGGGUAGUUUUAACUUCAGCCAGCCAAAGUCAGAGGGUGGUAAUCGUCCUCAGUUUUAUCAGAGGUCUUCAGCCCUAUCACCCUCUUCAGCCAGUGCUCCUCUACCCAAAUUCAGAAAUGACAAUAGGGACAGAGCACCAGGUUCUAAGUCCCAAGGCAGUGUUAGCAGUGCUCGUACAAAUCUUCUAUGCCAGAAAUGUGGCAAACACCAUCAGGGUGAGUGUAGAACGGGUAGUGAUUUGUGCUUCGAGUCUAUCAAUCCAGGCUAUCGGAUUCGAAAGUAUCGGGUAGUUGCUAAAAAUAUAAGGAUAUGCGCCAACAUGGCCAGUCCCAUCAAUCGUUAGUUCCAUCCGAUCGCCUAACUCAGCAGGGUGUAAGUUCUAGUGCUACCAAUGGUCAGUGUCCGAAUAGGUUAUAUGCUCUUCAGUCCAGCCAAGAUUAGAAAAAUUCUCCUGACGUAGUUACUGGUACGUUGUAGGUCUUUCACUCACAUGCUUAUGCCAUACUAGACCCUGGAGCUUCUCUUUCUUUUAUAACUCCAUAUAUAACUGUCAAUUUCAGAGUUAGUCCCAAAACUCCAGCAGAUACCUUUUCAGUAUCUACCCCAUUAGGUGUUUCCAUUGUAGCUAGAUAGGUAUACAGAAACUAUUCGGUCAUAAUAUCUCAGAAAGUUACUUCAGGUGAUCUCGUGGAGUUAGAGCUGAUGGAUUUUAACGUCAUUCUCGGCAUGGAUUGACUCCACUCAUGCUAUGCCUCAGUUGAUUGUAGAAAUAGAAUAGUUCAUUUUGAGUUUCGGGGUAGUACCAUAACUCUUAGAGGUCAGUUGAUUCAUACCUUAGAGCGAGAAAGAUAAUAUCGAAGGGGUGUAUUUACCAUUUUUUUCGAGUCAAAGACUCUAACUCAGAAACUUCAACUCUUGAAUCAGUUCCAGUAGUAAAUAAAUUCUCAGAUAUAUUUUCUGAAGAUCUUCCCAGAGUUCCUCCCGAAAAGGAAAUCGACUUUGGAAUAGAUCUUCUUCUAGAUACUUAACCCAUAUCUAUUUUGCCAUACAGAAUGGCUCCAGCAGAACUCAAGGAGUUAAAAGAAUAGUUAAGGGAUCUUCUAGAUAAGGGAUUCAUCAGAUCCAGUAUCUCCCCGUGGGGCACACCUAUUCUGUUUGUGCGUAAGAAAGAUAGUUCUCUCAGAAUGUGCAUAGACUACCGUCAGUUGAACAAAGUCACAGUCAAGAACAGAUAUCCACUUCCUAGAAUCGAUAGCUUGUUUGAUCAACUUCAGGGUGCUAGCUAUUUUUCAAAGAUUGACCUUAGAUCAGGCUAUCAUCAGCUUAGAUUCAGGGAAUGUGACAUUCUGAAAACAGUUUUCUAAACUCGGUAUGGUCACUUUGAAUUUUUGGUUAUGUCCUUCGGUCUUACAAAUACCCCAGUAGCCUUCAUGGACUUGAUGCAUUGAGUGUACAAGCAGUACUUGGACAUGUUCGUUAUAGUCUUUAUUUAUGACAUUCUUGUUUACUCCUGUAGCAAAAAUGAUCAUGCAGACCACCUCAAAAUAGUACUUCAGACUCUUAGAGCUCACCAGUUAUUCGCUAUAUUCAGUAAGUGUGAAUUCUGGCUAAGAUCAGUAGGUUUUCUUGGCCAUAUCAUUUUCGGUGAUGGCAUUAGAGUUGAUUAUCAAAAGACCAAGGCGGUAAGAAACUGGCCUAGACUCAUCUCUCUAUCAGAUAUCAAGAGUUUCUUAGGUUUAGCUGGCUAUUACCGUUGAUUUGUUGAAGGGUUUUCUUCUAUUGUAUCCUCCAUAUCCAGAUUGACUCAGAAGAAAGUUAAGUUUUAGUAGUCAGAUUCCUGUGACAAGAGUUUUCAGGAGUUGAAGACUCGACUCACCUCAGCCUCAGUUCUUACCUUGCUAGAUGGUUCAGAUGGGUUGGUUGUAUGCUAUGAUGCAUCCAGAGUAGGUUUGGGUUGUGUCCUCAUGCAAAGAGGUAAGGUCAUAGCCUAUGUCUCCAGACAACUUAAGCCUCAUGAGAAGAAUUACCCUACUCAUGAUCUGGAUCUAGCAACAGUAGUAUUCGCCUUAAAGAUUUGGAGGCACUACUUGUAUGGGGUGCACAUAGAUGUGUUCACUGACCAUAAGAGCCUGUAGUAUGUAUUCUCUCAGAAAGAUUUGAAUUUGCAUCAGAGAAGGUGGUUAGAGUUGUUAAAAGAUUAUGAGCUGAGUGUUCUAUAUCAUCCAGGCAAGGCCAAUGUAGUAGUUGAUGUUCUCAGUAGAAUGUCUAAGGGUAGUGUUGCUCAUGUUGAGUAUGGUAAGAAGAAGUUAGCUUAGUAAGUUCAUCAACUUGCCCAACUAGGUGUCCACUUACUUGAUUCAGUAGAAGGUAGUGUAUGGGUAUAGAGUAUCUCAGAAUUAUUUUUAGUUUUCGAGGUGAAGGAAAAAUAGGAUAGAGAUCCCAGACUAGUUAAGUUAAAAGAAUUAGUCAGAGACCAGAAAGUAGAGGUUUUCUCCCAAGGAGGAGAUGAUGUUUUGCGUUGUCAGGGUAGAUUGUGUGUGCUUGGUGUAGAUGAUUUGAGGCAACGAAUUCUUGCAGAAGCACAUGGUGCACGUUACUCUAUUCAUCCAGGGGCUACUAAAAUGUACUGUGAUUUGCGGGAGAUCUAUUGGUGGAGUGGGAUAAAGAGAGAUACUGUAGAGUUUGUAGCUAAAGGCUUUGUAGCUAAAGUCUAUGUACCAGCAAGUUAAUAUUGAGCACCAGAAGCCUAAUGGGUCCAUGCAGGAGUUCAGUAUUCCCACUUGGAAAUGAGAGAAAGUUAACAUGGACUUUGUGAUGAGUUUGCCUAGUACUCGUCAUCAGAAUAAUUCUAUUUGGGUUAUCGUAGACAAGAUGACCAAAUCAGCUUAUUUCUUGCCAGUCCAUACCUCUUAUUCAGUCGAGGACUAUACCAAACUCUAUCUUAGAGAGUUAGUCAGGUUACACGGUGUUCUCUUAUCUAUCCUCUCAGAUAGAGGUACCUAGUUUACCUCUCACUUUUGGAAAGCAUUCCAAAGGGGUCUUGGUACCAAGUCCAUCUCAAUACAACUUUUUACCCGCAGAUAGAAGGUCAAGUAGAACGGACCAUUCAGACUCUAGAAGAUAUGCUGAGAGCAUGUGUAGUUAUUUUAAAGGUAGUUGAGAUGACCAUUUGCCUUUGAUUGAAUUUGCAUAUAAUAACAACUAUCAUUUUAGUAUCCGUAUAGCUCUAUUUGAGGCUCUCUAUGGUAGGAGAUGUAGAUCUCCAAUUAGUUGGUUUGAAGUAGGUGAGGCCGUAGUAGUAGGGCCUAACUUGGUGUUUGAUGCAUUAGAGAAGGUUCAAUUGGUAAGAAAAAGGUUUAGGGCUGUCCAGAGCCAACAAAAAUCAUAUGCUGAUGUGAGAAGAAAGGAUCUCGAAUUUGAGGUCAGUAAUUUUGUGUACUUGAAAAACUCUCCCAUGAAGUGAGUGAAGAGAUUCGGCAAGAAAGGAAAACUCAGUCCCCGAUAUGUCGGUCCUUUUAGAAUUCUUAGUCGUUUCAGAAAAGUAGCUUACGAGCUUGAGUUGCCUUCAAAUUUAGCCUCAGUACACCCAGUGUUUUAUGCCUCAUUGUUGAAGAAGUGUACUGGUGAUCCAGCUGUAGUUGUUCCCUUAGAAAGUGUAGAUAUUCAGAACAGUCUUUCCUUUGAGGAAGUUCCAAUCAAAAUUCUUGAUCAUCAAGUUCAUAGACUAAGGAACAAUGAAGUUUCAUUGAUCAAAGUUCUUUGGCGGAAUCAGUCCGUUGAGGGAGCCACUUGGGAAGCUGAAGCAAAUAUGUGGACCAAGUACCCUCAUCUCUUCUUCGCGAAUCCAGAUUCAGUAUAAGGUACUAAUAUUCUUAAGAUUUCUCUCUAUCAUGCUCAAUUCCAGUUGCGCAUCAUGUUCAUGUCAGUUGUGCCUGUACAAAUCAGUUUAGUCAUGCAUUCCAUGCAUCAGAUAUGCAUGUUCAGUGUGUAAUCUCAGUCCAUCAGUUUUUCCUUAGCUUAACUAGUCUUAUUCGAGGACGAAUGAUCCCAAGGGGGAGAUAUUGUAAUACCCCUUAUUUCGCUAACAUAAUUUAAGUCCCAAUACAUGAGUAUUAGUAGAUAAGAUUUUCCAAACACAAGUUUAGAGCCUGCCAUUGCGUAGAAAAUUCAAUUAGCUUUCCAACAACAUAAAAUUCGCCCAAAUCCAGUAACCGGAUAAGAAGUUAUGGCGAUUUUAAGUUUCAGUCGUUAAACAUCGUCAUUUUGACCCUUAGAGUGUCGCGGAGUCAGUGUAACUAGAAAUUGUCAAUUUUCAGUGUUGCUCUACAAUAGUGGGGCGUCACGCCAUGGGCCCAGUUCAUAAUUGUCCAAUUCCAGUGAGGCAGCGCUAUCAUGGUGCACCGCGCCAAUGGUGAAAAUCAGAAUCAAAGGGGUACCGUGAUUUCUUCGCGCCGCGUCGUCAGCCCAGUUGUCAGUUUCCAGUAACACGGUACGAUAGCGCAUCGUGCCAGGUGCCUAUUUCAGAAAAAUUUGAUGAAAAAUUAAUAUUUUAUUCAAGGAUAAAAUAGUCCUGUCCAGUUUCCCCAUUAUUUUAGUCCACCCAGAAAUGAUAUUUAAGCCCUAAAAACGUUUUUAAAAUCAUUCUUUAAUUAAUUUCCCCUAAAUCAAAAGGCAUUCUCUCCCAAUCAAGAACCCUAGCUCUCGAAUUCAAGGUCAAUCUUCAAGAAUUCACUAAGAACUUUAAGAAAUCCAUCAAUUAAGACAUGUUAGAUGUUCAUCCAUGGAUUCCUUUCAUCCAUGGAGUCCAAGUAACCUAUUGAAAUUUCAAGUUUUGAUCUUUUAAAGUUAUUUGAUUUUAAAUUAUGAUUUCAUCCAUGUAUCUCCAUGUACUACUGAUUUUAUAUCAUGUUACCAUGAAAUUAUUGUUAUUAUUCAAUUCUCCAUGUUUUAAUAUUAUUAUUUAUUGAAUUAAACCAUGAUUUAAUACCAUUAUAUCGAAUUCAUGCUAUUCCUAUAAGUUCCAUGACAUUUCUAAGAUUGUUUAAAACCAUGAACUACAAGUGUUUGAUAAAAUGCCUACAAAAGUGAUUGAUUUAAUAAAAGCCUUCAUGUUUUGUCCUCCAAGCUUUAGUGUCAUUUUACUAUUGUUGUUUUGAGUCUUGGGGGUAUUGAAUACCCAAAAACCAUAGCUGUUUAUUUAGUCUAGUCUCAGUAUAUUACGGAAUAGUCUUUAGAAUAUACUGUGAGCAUUAUCAGAAUAGUCAAAUACCAGUCAAUUAAACUCAGAACAGUCUAGUAUUUCAGUAUCUUUCAGUUGGGAGUAGGAUUUAGCACCGAGCGAGUGAAGGGAUGGCGGUUUCCCCGUCAGAUAGGCUGAGUCAUUAGUAGCAGUCCCUAUACUCCAGAACUACGUAGUCAGCAUAGGAUAUGAGAAGUCACCCGUCAGAUUAGGCUUGACUAUCUCCCAGGGCUCACUCAUCGGUUCAGGCUUGACACCCUUAGUCCUUUGGACAUUAUAUUAGUUUAGUGGAUCCACACAACCAAUGUUAGUACCCGUGGCACGAUAUUAACACCCUUCCAACUGGGAUUACAUGUUGGACCCCGAUUAGCUCAAAUUGGGGAAUGUUGAUUAGAUGAUGCCUCUCACAGUCUCAGAUGCAGUCUUAGUUACAGUCCUAGUUCAGUUAUUCAGUCUUACUGUUGUUUGACCAAAGCAUACAAAUUUCCGUUGUUUUAGUAUUACAGUUUAUAGAUUUUACUCGGUUCAUGUUAUAUGCUUGGUCAUGCAUCCUCAGUAUCUACAGAUUUUCACGUAUCUUCAGUAUUUAUGGAUUUUCAUGCAUACUCAGUAGUUAUAGAUUUCCACAUAUUCCCAGUACCUACAGACUUCAUGCUCUCUAUUGAGUACUCUAUGCUUUACAUGCAUAUUCAGUUAACUAUUAGUUCUGUUCAUAAAACCAUGCAUUAUCAGCCUACCUCAUUUAGCAUACCAGUACAUUCAAAGUACUGAUCGCAUACCUUUUUUUUACGCUAUGUUGUAUCAUAUCAUAGGUUCUGACGAUCAGUUCCCGGCUCGUGAUUGGACUUAUCAGAUCCUCAGUAGUAGCAGUGGUGAGUCCUCAUACUUUGAGGACAGGCAUACUUUAUUUCAUGUCUCAGUUUAGUAGUUAGUUGAUGUUAGUUGGGGCCUGUCCCAUCAACUCACAGUCAUUCAGUUUUUUAGGCUUAUCAGACAUUACAGUUAGUUAUUCAGUAUUCAGACAUUUCAGUUAGUUAUCCAGUUUAUCAGUAUUUUAUUAGAUUCAGUCAGUUAUUUUUAUAGACUCAUAUUUCAGUUUUGAAUUCAGUUAUUAAAACCUUAUGGCAUAUCAGUUUCUCUUCUACAAUUAUGAUAUUAUUAUUCCGUGCUCACAGCAGGUACCAGCUCAUGGGUUAGCUUAUGGUCCCUCGGGACUGUAAGCACCGUGUGAGGCCCAGGGUGUACUCUCUGGGCAUUACACAUCUACAAUCCCUUUCCCAAUCUUAAGGUAGAUCACUACGAGGAGAAGGAAAAGGAGUAGAGGACUGAGCAUAAAAAGAAGUUGCUAGCCAUGCAUGAAGAGAUUAUGAGGAUCAAAGAAUCUCAUGGGGUUAGCGAUAAUGAUGAUUUGGGGUACGAUGAGUUGUGUGUGCAUCCUAGAGUAGAUCUGCCAGAAGGGUACAAGGUCCCUAAAUUUGAAAUGUUCAACGGUAUCGAAAAUCUAAUGGCCCAUCUAAGAAUGUAUUGUGAUCAAAUGGUUGGGGGAGGAAAAAAUGAGGCAUUAUUGACACGCUUAUUCAGUCGAAGCUUAAGCGGUGAAGCCUUAGAUUGGUUCAUGUCUCAAGAACUGAAAAGAUGGUAUAGCUGAAGGUCGUUGGCUAAAAUUUUUCUCGAUAGAUUUGGUUUUAACAAUGAGAUAGUCCCUGACCGAUACUCACUAGACCGGAUCAAGCAGAGGAAUGGUGAGUGUUUUCGAUACUAUGUCUUUCGUUGGAGAAAAGAAGCUGCUGAAGUACUACCUCCCAUGUCUGAGAAAGAAAUGGUAUCGAUUUUCUCUCGCACUCAAGAGGGAGAAUUUAUACCGAGAUUGUAUCCGCAAUUCGAGCAAUUUUUAUAGAUUUGAUAAAAAUUGGAGACUUGUUAAAGGAAGGCAUCUGAAUAGGAAAAAUUAUCAAAACCCCAACAUCAUCUGAAUGUUCUGCGAUCUCAAAGAAUAAAAUAGAGGAUGUGACUGUAGUCUCUACUUAUUCUGUUGAUAAAUUGAAGAAGAAAUUCAAGCCCAGGAAUAUUCUUUCCUCACCACCAUCACCAAGUUUUUAGCCUAUAUUCUACGCCCAAUCCCAGUACCAAGCUCCACUUCCAAAUAUCCAACCCUAAUACCAAACUCCACUUUCAAAUAUUUUACCAGUGUACCAAGUUCCGCAACCAAAUUAUCAGUCUCAUGUUCAAGCUACCCUUUCAAACAACCAAAAACAUCCAAGCUCCUCUAAACUAUCAUCAAGUACCUCCUCCCACUAAUCAAAACCAGUAUAACCCCCCAGUCUAAACCUCUAAAAGAAACCUCCUAGAAAAUUCACUCUAUUGGUUGAAAGUUGUACCCAGCUCUUCAGAAGAUUGAUAAAAGCUGGUUAUUUAUAGCCUAUUCCAUCAAAACCCACUAAUCUCAAUUGACUAUUCUUUCAAGCCGAUCAAGUCAGUACUUAUCAUUCAGGAGCGGCCGGGCAUAAUACUGAAGAUUGCAUCAAAUUGAAAUAUAAGAUCCAAGACUUGAUUGCUCAGAAGAUCAUCACUCUUCAGGCGCCGACACUAAAUAUCACCAUUAAUCCACUACUUAAUCAUGGAGGAGCCAUGGUUAGCAUGAUCUAAAUAGAAGAUGAAUGGGUAUCUAACAAGACUAUUACUAAGAUAGAUUAGAAAAUUCCAAAAAGAUAAAAGGAGUGGAGAAGAUAGAGAAAGUCGUGGAUGCCUGAAGUGUCUUGGGUAAGAACUUAAAAUGAAUUAUUGAGCCUAUUAUGGUCCCAGAAAAAGCAUCUAAGUAUGGGAUAGGAUACCAGCAAAGAAAGAAAGAUGAGAUUGAAGAUAAGUCAAAGAUGAAUCUGUCCAAACCAUUGACACUCCUGUACCAGUUAUUUCUUGUGCGCGAGAUGCCAAAAUAUGACGGUCUUGGGGAUGGAAUAGAAAAUCUGUUCGAUGGAUGCAAUGCCAUACCAGAGGAUUUUCUGAAUUCUGAUGGGGUAAGAAAGGUUACACCAGGAGAGGCUUUACAAAACUAGACCUCCACACCACUCAUAAAUCGUCGCCCGUCGUGGUAGAUAAAAAGGUAAUUACUAGUAGUUUUAAAAAUCGGUGAUGAUACGGAGGAGACCCCAAUCUACCAUUUUAUGUCUCAAAUUUUCUUUUCAUGUUUUACUGCUUUCAAAAAGGCAUGGGCCAGCAUUUGCGCGAGCAUGAGCCAUAGUUCGUAUUUAUUUCCCAAAUUUCAAUGAAAAGACCUCCCUUUAUUUAAGAAGUUAUUUUUGAAUAUGAUUAUAUUACUGUCUUUUAUUAUCUUGAUAUCAUCUAACUUGGUAGAAGCAAUUUAAAGUCUGCCAAUGUCAUGUCAUGGCAAGGGUUAGAUGAACAAAGCGAGGGAAAUGAUGAUGAAUAGAAAGAAGGCGAUAAAGAGCAGUUAGUGAAAGAUAUAGAGGAAUUUAAAAACUGAGAGAAGCCCAACUUGGAUGAAACUGGAAUAAUCAACCUGGGCGAUCAUGAUGAAAUCAAAGAGACAAGUGUUAGUGUUCACUUAGCAGAAGCACGCACAAUUCUGAUGCGAUAAAGAGAUACUACAUUUGAAAGAUGUUCUAGUUUUUGUUUACUUCGUUUAUUUGUAUUCGUAUUCAUAAUAAGAUUUGUUUUCUAAUUUGUAAUUGCCUAGAACCCUUUUUUUUUAUGUACGAACUACGUUUGACCUGAAUUCUCAAGAAAGGGAUACGUAGGUGGCCUAUAUUGGCUUUGGUCAACCCUUUAGGAGAAUUUACUCUUUUCUUUUGGGUAUGAACUAUGUGAUGACCUGAAUUUCCAAGAAUGGGAUACGUAGGCGGCCUAUGUCGGCUUCGGUCGAGCCUUUAGGUUUUUCUAUAUACCCCUAGUAUAAUCUUGAACUAUGUUUGACCUGAUUCCUGCUUCAACGGGAUAUGUAGGCGCCCCAAUGGCUCGAUCAUACUACCCUAAAAAUGGAAACUGGGCAGAAUUUUUGAGAGGGAAUCUCAAAAAUUUACAAGAGGAAGAUCAUCAUCCAACAAAGAGAACAAAGACCAACAAAGACUUCGGAUCCUCUCGAGUUGAGAUCAUCUUAAACAACUUUAAACUGGGGUGGAAAUUUUUAGAAAGGUCUCAAAAUUUCCACUAAACACUGGAAUAUAUUUCAAAUUCCCCAGCACUAGAGGUCAAAGUCAAGCUUUAGAAGAUAACAGCAGCGACAAAGUCUGGGUAGACUAAAUCUCCGGCUAUGGUAGAACGGUUGAUAGAAACCCUCAGCAACGAUGAUGAAUCCCUGGAAUUCCUCUAUUAAACAUUGGAUGCAGUCACAACCAAGAGAAAAAUAUUCGUUGAGCUAUUACAUGACAUGAGUGGAAGGGAUUUUCUAAAUCUUUUAUAGAAGUUUUGAAACUAGUUUUCAAAAUUAAGACAACUUUCAAAAAUCUAUACAGUCUUUUUUACUUAGUGAAUUCCUAGGCAUCUAUUGGAACCGUGAGUCAGGGUGGAGGUCCCAACAUCAUGGAGUAUUCGAAAGAUGGCGAAGAGCAAACUACGGAUCGAAGGAGGUUAACAUGGAGUAGUUUCGCUCAAGACUAAUCAUUUUUCUAUAGAUGCAGGGAUCAAUACACAAAAAUGGAUAAAAAAUUUCAAAAAAUCCCCAAGUGAAUUCAAAGGAGUCGGCACAAUAAAUACGACAAUAAAAAGAAUCGCUCAAUAGGAGAAAGAGCAGAAAGUCAGCCUCAAAAUUUGCCUUAAAGCGAAGCAAAUGGUAUUUGAGUAACCGUAAAACAAGGACUUUGCCCCAUUUACUUGCAUCCAAUGGAUUUUAUAUUUAAUUAUUUCUUCAAAAAAAGAAGAUUAAUAGCGAAAUAAGUCAUUCAAAUCAUGAUGAUCAGUAUUUGUCAUUUAACUAUCAUAAAGCUUGACUGUGGUCGUCAAUGAGAGCGAUAUUGUGUCUACUAACUAUCUACCUUGAGUACAGGUACAUAUAGAAAGCAAACCAUAGACAAACAAACUUAGAUGAACCUGUUUUCAAAUCACCGGAAGAACCAUUUCAUAUCAUUUCAUUACCGAGAGGGCCAUUUUAUGCCAUUAUCGAGAGGGUCAUUUUAUAUCAUCUCAUUGCCGAGAGGGCCAUUUUAUACCAUUGCUGAGAGGGUCAUUUCAUAUUAUCUCAUUACCAAGAGGGCUAUUUCAUAUCAUUUCUAAGAGGGCCAUUUCAUGCCAUUGCCGAGAAGGCCAUUUCAUAUCAUCGUCGAGAGGGUCAUUUUAUGUCAUUUCUAAGAGGGCCAUUUAAUAUAUGAUGACAUACGAGACACAAAUGCUGGCAUUGAGAAUAUCAGCAACAUUUAAUAUCUGUUGAGACGCAAGACACAAAUGCUGGCAUCGAAAAUAUCAUCAACAUUUAAUAUCUAUUGGCACGGGAGACACAAAUGCUAGCUUCUAGGAUAUCAUCAACAUUUAAUAUCUAUUGACACACGAGAUACAAACACUAGUAUUGAGGAUAUCAUCGACACUUAAUAGCUGGCGAUAGGAUAUCUUAUUAUUUUAUGAAUCAACAUCUGAAUGCAUCAAGAGCACGCGAUUUGAAAGGACGUCUUUAAGUCGCUAUUUGAAAACGGAUGAUAUAUGAGAUUUCCUAGAAAUUGACAAUUUGAGGGUCAUCUAUAAGUCGUAUUAUUUGAAAUAGGAUAGUGUGCAGAAUUACCUAUGAGUUGAUAGCCCAUAGGUCAUCCGUAAGUCGCAACAACAUCCUAACGGAUAGUGUGCAAGGUUACCCAAAAAUCAAUAGUCCGAAGGAUAUCCAUAAGUUGAAACUAAAUUCUUACCGGAUAAUAUGUGAGAUUAUCAAAGUGAUGAAUCUAAAGAUUCUCUAUAAUCUGCGUCAUAUCCAAGAUCAAUUAUGUGCAGGAUUACCCAAAAACUAUCAAUUUGAGAGAUAUCUAUAAGUCAUAUUGUGUCCACGGUCAGAUAAUAUGUAGGAAUACCUGAGAACGAGCGAUUGGAGGGAUAUCUAUAAGCCAUCUCUUAUCGAAGGUUGGAUAAUGUGCAGGAUUACCAAAAGGCUAGCAAUUCAAAGGAUAUCUCUAAGCCACCUCGUAUUCAAUAUCAAAUAAUGUGCAAGAUCAUCCAAAGAUUGACAAUUGAAGGGAAAUCUAUAAGUCAAUCAUUGGCAAUAACCAGAGAGGUUAUCAUUCCACUUAUAACAAGAAAUAUAGGUAACCAAAGGGUUGCUGCAUCAGCACAAAAUUACACGAAUGCAGGGACCAUUCUGCAUAAAGUGUCGUCGGUGUCCAAAAGGGCUGCCCCACUUUGAAGACGUAUUCACUCGAUGAGCAAACUACUUAUGCAACAACCAGGAAAAUAGGUACAUGAAAGGAUGACUUCGCUUUUUAGGCAACAACUCACAUGGAGAUAUUGUAAAAAACUAUACACCUUUUUCGUGAACUGUGCUUAUUACUAAUAAUUUUUGUUUGAGAUAUUAUCGAGAGCUUUCGAGAGGAUGAAAAACCUCAAAAUUAAAACCACAGGUAUGGACGUCUCUAGAUAGGAUGCAACACAACGUGAAACUCUUUCUUAGCAGCAAAAUGGGACAUAGUAUAGAGAGAGACGCCAAACUCUUUGGAAGUGAGCUAAAGGAUCAUUGCCACCACUAACUAAACCACAUCCCUGUUAGAAGGCAUGUGGGUAUUUAGAGAUAUUCUGGUUUCAGUUUCACCUUCGGGACAUUUCUAAACUCAUACCGAUGGUAAUCUUCUCUUUAUUUUAAAUUCGGGUGAUAACAUACUUAGAGUUUUGGAAAUUAUGUCCAACUAAGUUCUUACCUAUGGCUGUGAAGAGCUCCAAAUUCAUGGUUAAGAGGUUAUAAACCUCUUUUCUUCAACUCGAUCAACUUGUCACUCAUCUCAAGCCAAAGAUCAUCUAAAAUAAAAGACUAUCUUUUUUACCGAUUGUGUUAAACUACAAGCAGUCUGAUUUCCUGAGUCUCAGGGAUAUGUAGGGUGGGUCUAUGUAGAAAACUCAACUGCAUUCCAACUUCCCCCUAAAUUCCUUUAUUCUCCAGCUUUUUGGUUUCAUUAAAAACUCUAAAAUCGAGAUAGCUUAUGAAUUUUUUUAAAAAUCGUGCUUUAAAUCAAGCUUUAUGAACUACAAGUGGCCUGAAUUCUCAUGUAACCUGAGAUAUGUAGGAAAUCUGAUACCAAGGUUCGGCCAUAACUUCAACACUCGUGCGAAAACCAACCUCUUUCAGAAAUAAAUUUGUGGUCAGACAAAAAUUAGGAACGUCAAACUCAUUUUGCCCAGGGUUACUUGUAUCCACCCUAUCCAAAGGGAGGGGACAAUUGUUGACACCUAAUUUUUUCCCUCCAUGACUAACUUAAUCUUGAGUUUCUUUGAUUUUUAAUAAAAAUAAAUAUUUAUUUUAUCCGAAUAAAUGUGAUCUAAAAUAUUUAUUUUUGAUUAAUUUUGUCAUUUAAGUGACGAUUAUAUGUUUCGUAUUUACAUAUGUGAGAUUGUAUAAAUUUGGUUACUUGAAUGAACAUUUUUAUCAAAAUUUAAAUAUUAUUGAGAUUAAUCUUGAAAAUCAAUUCAAAUGGGUAAAAUCUUGAUUCAAUUAUAAUUUGUUCUCAAAAAUAAUUUAUUUGGAGAAAUAUAAGUUGAUUUUGUUAAACUAGGAAAUUCUAGAUUGAACCGGUUGUUAAUUUGUUUUAAGCUUUGAUUCAAUUUAGUCGAUUUAUUAAAAUUGACCAUAAUUGCAAUGUAAUUGGUCAAUUGCUAUCUAAUUUGGUUAAUAUUUAAAUAAAGUUGACUAAAAAUCUAGCCAAUUUGACCAUUCUAUAAAGAACCAAUUUCUAUCCUUUUUCAUUUUUAAUUUUGGGCCACAAAGACUGGCCCAACAACAAUAACAACAAUUAAAUCAGUCAUUUACAACUCAGCAGCCCAACAAUUCACCCAUUUAAUAAAUAUCCAACAUCGACCGCCCUAGCCCAAUCCACACCAAUACUGGCCCGAACCCAUCCUUUUUUUCCUUCAAACAGUGAAUCACAACAGCAACAUCAAGAACGUUCAACGAACAACGACCAAGGCAAACAACAAUUUUAACCGACACAUCCCCAAUCGACCCAAUACCCUUCGACGGCAACCUGAAUCUGAUGAACUCAAUAGUUCAACAAUUCGACCCUGCUCCAGCCGUGAACAACCAGCGGCUAACCCGACACCCUUGACCCGACUUCAAACCAUUUCGAUGAAAAUUUUAGAGCUCACUAUGUGGCGGUUUUUAAUUGUUUGGCCAUUUUUUCUCUCAAAUUUGGUAUGAAUUCGUGUUGAUUUCUACAGCCCAUCCCCAUUCCCUUUUCAAAUUUUGAAUUUUCCCUUUUAAGAAUUCCAAAAUUAUCCUUGAAAAUAAAGAUCUCACAUCGACUAAAAAGGGUUUUUCAUCCUCAAAAUUUCUUAUAUAUAAGGCUCCUUAUUGGGCUAAAAAUGGAGGUCUAGAAGGUGAAAAACUUUCAAGCAAGAAGUCUCAUUUUUUAGUAUAAAAUUUUUUCGCGAAAAAUCAUCAACUACUUAAGGUUCUCGGAGUCGCAGCAAAGCUUUCCAGUGGUGGUCGAGAGCCCGCGACACUUGAAGUCUCAUUUUGCUGCUCUGAAAGAGGUAUACUCUUUUCUCUUUUAAUUUUGUCAUUUUUAUUCUUUAUCGCUUUCUCCUUAGAAAUAGUCGUUAGUCGUAAUCGCGAUGAGGCUGGGAAUUGUUUGUUGUAGAAGGCCUUGAAGGCCAUUAGAUUUUCGUGCAAUGUAGUAUUCUAUCGAGUUAAGUGCUUUUACUUUAUUCAUUUGAUUCACCGUUCAGUUUGUGUUAGCUUUUUAAUCUAUUGUUUCAUCUCGUCGUUGGUCAUUAAUGUUGUUUCAUUGUUAUAUGUCUGAAUUGGCAUUUCAUGUGUUAAUUUUCUCAUUUAUUUUAGUCCACUAUCUUGGCUAUAUGCUUUCUGGUUCGGUUUUUUGUCUACUAGUAUUUGUUUAUUGUAUUCAUUUCUUAUUCUCACUCACCUAUACUUCCAAAAAUCAACUGUUGCAUUUCAUGGCAUAAUCAUGCAUGAUUAUUAAACUAUUUUACGAUUUCGUGGAUGUCCCGGUCCCUGCUGAUCAACUCCAAAUCAAGUGUUGGGAAUACGACAAUUUAUCGACAAUACCGACUCCUACUCAAAAAAAUAAUAUUAUAUUCAUGGAUAAACGGGACUUAUUUACAACCUGCAAUAUUAAUUCUACCAAUAGCUUCCUUCAUUUACAAUGAUCAAAUUUGCACUUCCAAAAACAGGUAUCACAAAUAUAAAUCAUAAAAAAUACAUUUUAAGAAUUAAUAUUACAAAAUCUUCCAAUAGUAUCCACUUUUCAGUGUAUACCAAUAGAUAAUUAAUAAAACCUAACAAAUAAGGUAAAGGGGAAGAAAAACACAAUUAAAAAUAUAAAAAUUGCAUACAAAAUAAGUGAUAUUCUUUCUUAUAAUCUCUCCUCAUAUGUUUUUCAAUUCCAUAGUUGACUCACUUCUUUUUCAAUUUUAAUUUCUCUUCUUUUCUUUUUUUCCUUUUGUUUUCCAUUUUGAAAAGCCAACACACCCACGUUGGGUGUUGUAUCAUGACACCACAUUGUGGUGAUUUCCAGUUUCUCUUCAAAAUCAUUCGAAUGAAUUAAAGAAGAUUGAAAAUUGAUAUCUCUGUUAGGAACAAAUUUGUAAUUAUUUCGGUCUCUAAUUGCUAAACUUAUCAUAUAAUUUCAUAUUAUUCGUGAAAAUAAUAUAGAAACUUAUGUGUAAAAAGGUUAAAUAACUACCUCUUAUAAAUAUGGUAUGAAAAUAGUGUAAAAAUUGGUGUCUUGUAAAGGUUAUUUAACUGCUUCUUAGAAACAUGAAAAUGAUAUAGAAGUGGUGUCAUAAAAAGGUUAUUUAAUUACCUUCUAUUCUAAGAAAAUGAUAUAGAAGUGGUGCCAUAAAAAGGUUAUUUAAUUACCUUCUAGAAAGAUGGUAUAAAUAUGAUGUAUAAAUUGGUGCUCCUAUAAACAUCGUAUGAAAUGGAUAUAGAAAUUGAUGUCUUGUAAAGAAUAUUUAACUACAUUCUAAAAGUAUGAUAUAAAUAUGGUAUAGAAGCUGGUGUUCCGUAAAAGGCAUUCCAGAAGAACUUAUAUAUCAUAUUCAUAAACAUUUGAAUCUGAAAACGAAUACUUGAUUUUCUACUAUUUCUUUGAGUAAAACAUUUAGCCCAACAGGAUUGAUUUAGUAACAGUACGAAGAGAUAGUUGCAUGUGAGACCUCUUCUAUAUACGAUACCACAAGUUCACGGCUUGGGUGAAUCAAUAUUGCUGCAUGUUCAAACAUUUAUUAACCUAAAUUCUUUGAUUGUUGUAGGAUUAUGAUCACAUUAUUUUAUAUAAAUUUGAGUGAAGAAAAUGGUGAGGACCGUGAUUGUACUUAUGAAAAGAGAAGCAACAGAUUUAGUGAAGAUAAAGGGGUUUCGAGACCUUAAACGAACUUCUAAAAUUUUAAUGGUAUUGGGUCAAAGGCGCAAUCGGAAUCGAAAUUGGGUUGGAUUGGAUUAAUUGAUUAGGUAAUUUUUACUGAUUUUUUGGGUGAUUUUGAAAGGGGUAGCUACAAAAUUUUCUAAUUUUUUUAUGAGUUUUCGUUUUUUCACUUCAUUUUUAGUAGCCAUGGGAAGUUAAAGGUGGGAUUGAAAGAAAGAGAGGAGACAAAAAAAGGAGAGGAGUAGCAGGAUUUUUGGAUUUGAUUUUUUACAGAGAAAAAAAGGGAACUGAAUAGUUGAUAGAUUUUGUAAAUAAAACUAUAUUUUGUAAAUAAAAAAUAAUACUGCUAUAUUUUGUGAUAUUGAUUCUUAAAUUGUAUAUUUAUGUGAUUUUUUCAAUAUAAAUUGGGUUGUGCUUCAUCUAUAUGGCCCUGGUCUAAAAAGCCCAAAAAUGCAAGGGACAAGUGCACAAAUAACCGAUUUGAACUAUCAUUUAAAUCAUAGCCAUUGUACAUAAAAAAAAAUAUGUAAAUUUAGCCGCUUCAAAACCAAAUAAGGCAUAUGUGAUCUAAGUUGCGAAAAUUCGAGUCUGAAUGGACAACAAAGUUCUAAUAUUUUUACUUAAAAUUUGGCUUGUCACGAGCAAACUCUUGAUAUUUUUUUCCCAAAGUUUGGUUUGUAAAGGCCCAACUACCAAUAUUUAUGUUUGAAGUUUGGUUGGUCAAGAUGGUUGGUAUUGUAGUGACUAACACAAUAAUGAUGGUGGUAAUUGUGGAAGUGAAUUGAUUUAAUGUUAGUAGUUGAUGGUUUGAUGGUGGAUGUCACUGAAAAAUGUGUGGUAAUUGACGAUGAGUGUUGGUGGAGGUAGUAGAUAUUGGGAAUUGUCCUUAAUGACGAUAAUAACCGAUAGUAACAGUGGAGGUGGUGAUAGAAAGUGUGCUACCAUAAAUAAUUAUAAUAAUUGAUAUGUAAACAUGAUAGCACUAAGGGGUCGUUUGGUCGGAAAAGAGUUACAUCGAGAUUAGUAAUCCUACCAUGUAUGGGAUAACUAUUCCAUCAUUAUGAUAUAAAUUGUGGGAUAAAUAAUCCCGAGACUAACUAAUACCUCCAGCCAAACACGGGAUAAAACAAUCCUCCAUUUUGUCCUUAGAUUAUUAUAUCU
rnacentral:lncRNA from 1 species